CGCACCAUAGAAAACAGGCAAAACCGAACAACCCCUUGUCUUGUAGCAGUGAAUGAUGUGGACAAGUUCGUCCAAGCAAAAUGAAGAAGAUGCAUAGUUUGCAGAAAAUAUGGGAAUCAAAAUCCUAGACUCUUCAAUGGCCUUGACAAGUGAUGGUGUGCUUUCAUCUCCUCUUUCAAGAUCGUUGUCAUCAAUGAAGGUUUUGAUUCCCUUGUCAAUAAGAGCCUUGUAGAGAUUGCCGGUAAAACCGUAAAGAGUGUCAAUGUCCCUAAAACUGAGGAACACAUGGUAUUUGAACCCAGAGGAAAUUGAAGAGGAAGAGGAAAGUGAUUGCAUAGCCAUGAGAAUUGAGAGAAAUAAGAUGAAAAAAAAGUUUGAGAAUAUGAAUGAGUAAGUUUUUGUGGUCUGUGAUGUGGAGUCUUUAAUAUGGAUCUAUAUAACAAGGAGAAAACUUGUGACAAAAAUGAUUUGUGAAACUUCUUGGCCACUUCCUAUAGCCGUGUGGACCAAUCACUAUAUGGACCUACCACCUCUUCUUGCUAAUUUCCUCAAUAUGAUUACUGUUCAAUUUUUGGACACAACUUAAAUAAAUAAACAAGUGAAAAGCCAAAUAAUAUUUCACUAUUAUUUUUUUCUUUGUUUCUGCCUAAUGCUACAAUAUACGGUUUUCAAUUUUUUUAUUUGGACACAUGAUUUCCAAUAUUGUAUUUUGACAUUGUAUACCAUUGAGAGUGAUGUUGGUUGGAGUGAGCACGACCACCCGAGAAGAGAAAAAAACUAUUUAAGACUAUGAAACCAAUAAGUAUAGCGUGUGUCUAGAUCUACGUUAAAAAAAAUUCUACAAGACAUUUUACAAGUUUUAUUUUUCAACCGAUUUUAUUCUUGUGUGUGAUUUUAUUCUUGUGUGUGAUUUUCAGUUUGUAAGUUAAUUAAUCAGUCCUAAAUAACAUGAAAUAAAAAUAAAUGCAGCCUAUGCUAUUCUAACAUCUAAUAAGACAGUUACAAAAUUAAAUCUGUUACUUAAUUACUCCUUUUUCAUUUUUGUUAUGUUAACUAUUACAAAUAGAUAUAUACAUAUAUAUGGUUGAAAGUAAGUAACAGAAGAAAUUUGAUGAAGACUAGUUCUACCUAAUAAUUUUGCUUAUUACAGAGUCAAAUUUUUUCUUUAAAAAUGGAUUUACAUGUCAUUGGUGAUCAACUAUGUCUUCAAAAUAUGACCUGUUUAACUAAAUGAUUAAUUAACCAUGCACACACAAUUAUUAGUGUAGGUUGUUAUGUUGAAUGCUUAAUUAGCCAUACAACUGUAACAUAGAAAAUUUAUAUAUAUUUCAUUCCAAAUAUGACAAGGCUUUGGAAAAAUGACUUUAAAUUUAAAUUUUCAAUUGAAGAUGAGAUGGAGAAGCUAAUUUUAUGUAAAAGAUUCUUCUAACUGAAUUAACAAUCACAUUUCAAAGUCAGAAAUAUGCUACCCUUCCCAAAGGAAUAUAUAUAUAUAUAUAUAUAUAUAUUACAUAUAUUCAAAAGUUUUGAUAGUAUUUCCGUCUUAAACUAACUAGUUAGUUAAAAACAAGAUUAGGGUAACAUAGAUAUGAAAUAUUCUUUCCUUCAUUUAUUUUCUCAAGUUUUGGCUACCAAGUCAACACUUUUACUACCGCAUGUUGAGUCUGAAACUUUCUUCUCAUCUUCCAUGUGGACAAAUGUGGGACACUUCCUUUGAAUUUCUACAUCUGUACGUGUGGACCAUUCAGCAAUAGCACCACUCAAAGACCAACCUUCAAAGUCAUUAUCCUUAACCUGUUUCCAUCAAUGAAGGAUAUGGAUAGGUGGAAGAAUAGUAAUACUUGUGUAAACUAAUGCGUGCCUUAAAAAUUAAACUAUGAAUUGCGAGCUGUGAUAUUUUGUUUAGACCUCAAAAGUCAAAAGUCUUUCUGAUAGUUAUUGUGUGUGUCAAGACAAAUACAAUCUCAUCUAUUGAACUGACAUUUUCUGCUCUUAUUCUAAGUCUAUACAAGAACUUGAUAUUUAUAUUUGAAAUUUGAUUCACCUCUUGUAAAUUCCUCCUCAUAAAAUUUUAAAGAUAAAUAAUUAGUGUUGGCACCCAAUUUAAAAAUGAAUAAAACUAAAGAAUACAACAAAUAUAAAAGUAUAAACUAUUAACGGAGGGGGGACACGGUUCUUUACUCCCAAAGAUUGUUUCAACAUCAUUUAAUAUAAUCAGAGAAUCAAUUAUCCUUUAACAACAAAAGCUAGCAACAACAACUUCAUGAUAUUUUUUUAUUAUUUCCAUUAUCCAAGGAAACAAAAGUUUACAAACGCGUCGACAUUCAAAUACAUUAUUCAAGGAUAUGGCCUCCAUAGCAAUUAUGAGCAUGGUUGUAAAUUUAAUCAAAUAAAAACACAAAUUGCAAUUAUAUUUUAUACUGCAUAGGUCAUGACUCUGGCAAAACGAUCUCAUGAAUGUUGGCUCUCAGAUUCAGUUCUUUAUCCCAUAUUACUAUAGAAAUAUAGAAAGAAAUUGUAUAAUGUUGAUAAUUACAAAUUUUGAAUAGUAGAAGUAAUGCUAGUUAUAGCAAAACCCACUAACUAUUGGUACAAGAUAUACUAACACACAGUUUUUAUUUAUAUGACCAAGCCUUUGCAUAUUUCUUCAUAUUAUCCGAUGUGGGACAUUAUUCUAAUUAUUAUUAUUGAAAUCCUCCCGCAAUUGUAUGGUUUGAGAGAGAGAUGCAACUUGGACAGUAAGUACUCGAACCUAGGAUGAAGCAGGGGUUUGGUUAGAAUAUCAGCAAGUUGAUCAUCGAUAGAAACAAAGGAUACUCGAAACUUGCCAUUUCGAACAUUUUCUCGGAAAAAAUGAUAGGCUAAGGCUAUAUGUUUCAUCCGAGAGUGAAAUACAGAAUUAGCACUAAGGUGGGUACGUAGCACCGAGGUUGUCACAAUAGAUGACUGGAUUGGAUGGUGGAGUGUGGCCUGAAGGUGAAAAACACAAGAAGGGGGGGGGGUUGAAUUGUGUUUUCUUUUUCUCUUAAAAAAGGAUUCUUCUUCUGAUAAAACUUCAGAAGCAGUUUGAUUGCUUCUGAUGAAAUGAUCAGAGUCAGAUUGCAGCGGAAAAGAACAGAGCAGAGAAAAGAAAGACAAAGACACAGGCAGUUAUCCUGGUUCCUUCCACAACACGGAAGUAGUCCAGUCCCCCUUGCACUUCCAAGGAGAUUUCACUAUAAUCACAAGAUUACAACUGCUCAAUACUUUCAAAGUAUGAGACUUCACAAAACAAUGCUCAAGCACACACGCAAGAGUCUUCCAAUGCUCAAGCACUAAGCAAGAGACUUCUAAUGCUCAAGCACGCAGGCAAGAGACUUCUAAUCAAACAAAAAUACAGAGAAUUGAGUUUGAAUUGAACACUUGAUAUACAAUCAGUGGUGUUCACAAUACAAUACAGAAAAGACUCUAGACUUUGAAUUUCUAAGAUGUAUCAAAUCAGUGCAGAAAUUCAGUGUGCUUUGUAGAAUCAAAUUGACAGAGUUUUGGCGCUUUUGAACUUAUGUAUCUCUAUCUAAAAUCUUCAAGUCUUCAUUCCUUUAUAUAGAGGCGUGAAAGAGACGUUGAGAUAAUCAGCACGUCUAAAGAGUCGUUUGAAAUCCUUUGAUUAUCCACCAGUGAUCCUUUGCCUGAUUUGGGUGUAGUCCUUUGAAGGAUAAACUUCAAAUUCAUUCCCAUCUUGAGUGUACAAAUUCUGCAGGCAUGGCUGUUGUUUUGUCUUGUAGCGUAGACAGAAAACAGAGUAGUGGAGGUAGUGGUUGUACACUUGUACUUUGUCAACUCUAUUAAUGAGAGACAAGUGCUCAGUGCUAUCCAUAUAUCCGUUGAUACCUCCCUUUCAAUUCUUCAUUCUUCUUUGAUAAGACUGAAUUGAGAAUCAGCAACUUUGAAUCUUCAGUUUGACUAAAGGAUCAAAUGUAGCUUCUGGUGAAAAUAUUGCUUCUGAUGAAAACUUUUGCUUCUGAUGACUUUCUGCUUCUGAUGACGUCAUCUCUUCAGGAGCAGUUUAGCUUCAGGAGCAGUUUUCUUCAGAUGCUCAGAAUUUCUUUUUCUUUCCAUUGUUCUUCCAAGACCUAUUGAAAUAACUUGAGUAGCCUUUGGUCCUGUACACUUGAACAAUUAUUAGUAAUAACCAAUUGACAAUUUUUAAUACCUUGUUAUCAUCAAAACUUAAUAAGGUUCAUUGUGAAACACAUUUUGUUCCAACAAUCUCCCCCUUUUUGAUGAUGACAAACAAUAGUAUUUAAAAUGUUCAAUUGUUGUUGAUCUAAUUAAUAAGUUGACUACUGGGACAGAGGUUUGUAAGCUCCCCCUGAGUCUAAUAGUUCUUUAAGGUGAGGUUUGUAAGCUCCCCCUAAGUUCUAUUCUUAUUAAUUAAAUUUCAAUAAAAUACUCAUAAAAAUCAAAUCAGAGGUAUUUAAAAGAAGUUUAGAAGUUGUUAUAGUAGGGCUCAGUGCCUUAAAAAUACUCAUAAAAAUCAAAUCAGAGGUAUUUAAAAGAAGUUUAGAAGUUGUUAUAGUAGGGCUCAGUGCCUUAAAAAUACUAUACAUUUACUCCCCCUUUUGUCAUCAACAAAAAGAAUAGAAACAAAAGAAAGAGUAUCAGAGCAAGCAGCAUUAAACAGUAAAUAUCAUCAGAGUCAAAGCUUGUAAAACAUAUUGAAGGUGAAAAAGCACAAGAUCCAGAAACAAUGAUAAUAUAUAUAAAGAAGAUUAAGAUACAAGGACACAGCUACGAAGAACAAAAGUAAAAAACAAGCUAGAGUUGGGUGUGCAACUAAGGUUGGGCUUGCUUAUACAACUGUUCUAAGAGAUACUUGAUCUGAUCAUCCUUCUUCUGAAGUAGCUCAUCCUUUUCCCUCAUUCUUCUUUUAUAUCCAGCCUGAAUUCUAGCAGCCCUAGUGAUGUACUCUUCUUCUGGAUAGAAAGGAGUGAUGUCCAGCAGAGGCUCAAAAUUCAGCUCUUUCUCCUUAGCUGCUUCAUGCAUAUCAUCCAAAAGCUUCUUCAGCAUAGCAGAGUGAGAUGACACACAUUUAGUUCUAAGCUGAUCCAGCAGCUCAUCAAAGCUCUUCUGUAGAUCCAUCCACUGAUCAUAAUAGUGAAUAGGAGGUGCAGGAACUGUUCUGCGAAGAAUCAGUGCCUGAAUCUCAUCACUAAGUCUGAUCAGUUGUUCCUCUAUAUACUCAGACUCCAGGAUAUGGUCAGGGAUGGGUGAAGGUUCAGUUUGAGUUGUAUUUGAUAUGGAAGGUUGGUCAGAGGUUAAGUCUAUUAUAGUGGGUGAAUCUGGUUGUUGUUGUUGUUCUGUUGUUUGGUCAGAAGGUAUAUGUUGGUCAGAAGUUGUUUGGUCAGGAGCAACUUGUUCAGAGGCAGUUUGCUCCUGAACAGUUUGCUCAGGGAUGGUUUGGGUUACUGUUUGGGUUUCCAAGACAGUCUUUUCAGGAACUGUCUUAGAGGCCUUAGUGGGUGUUGGUUGCAUUUCACCACCUAGAUGUUUUUCUAAGUUGUGAAGGGUUGAGUAUUCUUGGUGUUGGGGGGUUUCUGAAGUAGUUGCAUCUGAAGCUACUUCAGAGGCUUUUUGUGUGGUUGAGUUAUGUGGUGAGUUUGUUGUAGGUUCUGGGUUGGGUUGAGGUUGUUGUACACUAACAGGUUCAGGAUUAUCUGGAUAGAGUGGAUGAGUAGGAGGCAAAUUGAAUUUCUCACAAAGUUUAAUUCUAUUCUUAGAAAAUUCUAUUUGAGUUUGCUCCCAGUCAAGUGUUCCUAAAUCUGUUAGUUUGGUAGGUUUGGUUUUUAGAAGCUUGUCUAUGUGUUGGCUAAGGGGUUGGUCAUCUGAUUCUGUUGAUGAUGAAGAGGGUGAAGAGGGUAGAGAUGGAAUCUGAGUAUUAGUUGGAGCGUUAGAUGGAUUACCUGAAGACUGAGCUUCUGGAUGAACUGCUUCUGGAGCUUCUGAAGCUGGUUCUGAUGAAGUUGCUCCUGAAGCUUGCUUAUUCUUCAAGGCUUGAGAAAGCAGAGUUGCUCCAUACUUAACAGUUUCUAACUCCGAUGCUAAAGCAGCAAUGUCAGGAGUAGGCACAUACCCUGCAGCCUUGAGACGUUCAUCCCUUUCUUGUUCAUACAAAAUCUUCAUCCUUUUCUUUUCUGCUAUCUUGGAUGCAGCAACCUCCCUAGUAUACUGCUCCAUUUCUUCAGUCAUUUCGAAACUGGGCAUGACUAUGGGCUCAGAAGUUGCAGUCCUUUUUGCUUUCUUAGGGCUUGAGUCUUCAUCCCAGUUCUCUUCCAGUUCUUCCAACAUUUGUGCCCUUCUUCCUUCACUUGUCUUCAGAUUUCUUGUUAAAUUAGACCUUUUCCUUUUGAUGGUCUGAAGAGCAGCUUCUCUUUUAUUUUUGGGACUUGGAGGCUUUUCAGAAGCAGCUUGAUCAGAAGCAGCUUGUUCUGAACCAGCUUGUUCAGAAGCAGGCUGUUCUGCUGUUUCUUGAGUACUCCUUGUCCUUUUUCUGAUAAGAGGGACAUCUUCCAAAUUCUCCACUUCCUCAAGAAUGGUGGACAUAGCAGAUUUUACCUUUUUAGCUUUCUUAUGCUUCUGAGCACCCACCUCAGUAGCAUUUUCAGCAAGGUAUUCUUCCUUGGUGAUCUGCUUCUUCUUAGAUUUUCUGCUUUUGGCCACAGGCAGCUCACCACCAUACAUUUGGUCAGGAACAUCCUUCAAGCUGAUUUUCUGGUUAAAGGAUUUGUAGUGAUCCAUGAUAUAUGCCCUUUGAACCUCCAAGGGAUCUUGUUUACAGAUGGGAGGAAAGUCUGGGAUAAGAUCUGAUUUGGCAUCAGAAGGUUUCAAGUCAGUAGGACUCUUCUUCACAUCUUUUGCUUUAAUCAGAUGCAUAGCCCUUAGAGUCUCACCAUUGAUAAUCUUCCCUCUAACAGUUCCCAACUGUUCAUCUGUGAAGAUCUGAGCUUCUUUCAGCAUCUCAAUAAUUCCUCCCUGAUGGAAAAUCUCAGAGAGUAGUCUUCCAUAGGGUACCCAAGACCUUUUAUUCAGUUGACUCUCUCUGAGUUGAUGAACCAUAUGUCUGAAUAUGUAUCUGGGAAUAUUUGCCUCUACACCCUUUAUGACAAAGUGUAAGAGGAUUUUAUGUUCCAGAGAGGGCUGAUCACCACCACCACCUUUUGGUAGUAGGUUUUCGUUCUGAAUCUUCAACAUAACCUUUGUCUUGGUGUUCAUGUCAGAAUAGGCAAAGUCCUUUACCUUGUUGUAGAGAGUUUUGUUAACAAUAGCAUUCCAGGGGCUGUCCUUUGGCUUUGAAAUCCCAGCCUCAUGUUCUCCUUCUGCUGGUCUUCUGAUGACAAAGGCAAUAGUGUCCUCAGUGAUCCAGACACGGAUUCCCAUGAUGCUUGAUCUUAUCUGGGUUUUGGAGAAAGUUUCCAAGCCCAUUUCCGCUCUAGACUUCCCUUUGAGUUCAGGAUUGAGAAGAACUUUUUCAUCUUCUUCAAUCUUGGCGGCUUCCCUGUCGUAGAUGCUGGCUCUAACCCAGAAAUGACGAACCAGUGUUUGAUAAGUUGGUCCAUUUAGAAGAUUGAAGUACCUUCCCAGACCUUGUUUCUCGUAGUACUUGCCAAUGUCACAGUCGUGAGCGGCCAAAGAAUCAAAAUCCACCGGACUUUCUGAUUGAAUGUUUAAUUCCCAUUCCUCCAAGGACAUAGUUCUUCCUUUGAUUUCAUAAGCAGGAGUAUCUAUAUCCAUAUUCGAUGAAGAACCACCGGCAGAACUUGAAGAUGCCAUUGAUAUGAAGUGGUUUUAGGGUUCUAAAGAGUUUUUGAGAGGAUGAGAGAAUGUGCUUACUUACACAGAGGGUUGAGAAGAAAUUAGAAAGUGUUUGUUGUGAAGUGAGAAGUGUGUGAAAUGACUUAGUGUUUUUUAUUAAAACGUUUGUAAUUCAGAAGGGACAAACAAACACAGCAUUAAUGACAAAUUGGGGGCGCGUGUAAGUAUGUUAAAAAGCGAAUAAAAACAUCAUUGCCCUUUUUGUUAUACUCCAAUACAAAUAGACCACGUCAGAGACUCUUCAGAAAACUACCUUUUGGGUAAUGGGACAGCUGUUACAUAAAGUAACUGCCAGCGUUCCCACUAACCAAGCUAUUCAGAAGCAAAGAAUAACACUUCUGAAGUUUUAGUGCUGACGUCAUCUUCAGAAGCACAUUUUCCUCAGAACCUCAGUUUAAGAGCUUCUGAUGAACCAAAAAUGCUCCUGAAUAAACUUCAGAACCAAACUUCUUAUUCAGAGGCAAGCCAUUUUUCAAUCAGACACAAAAUGCAUGUUCAAAUUUUUCUUAAUAAAAUCAAAUCUUUCAACAGACAAAGGUUUUGCAAAUAUAUCAGCCCAUUGAUGUUCAGUAUCAAUGAAUUGUAUAUCUAAAAUUCCUUUUUGAACAUAGUCUCUGAUAAAAUGGUGUUUGAUUUCAAUAUGCUUGGCUCUUGAAUGUAGAAUUGGAUUCUUUGACAAACAAAUAGCAGCAGUAUUAUCACAAUAAAUGGGAAUACUGUUAGCAUUGAUCUGAUAGUCUUCCAACUGAUGUUUCAUCCAAAGUAGUUGUGUGCAACAACUUGCAGCUGAAAUGUACUCUGCUUCUGCUGUAGACAUAGCAAUAGUUGCUUGUCUUUUGCUUGCCCAGGAUAUCAGAUUCUCUCCCAGGAAUUGACAAUUUCCACUGGUUGAUUUUCUUUCAAUCCUAUCACCAGCAUAAUCAGCAUCACAGAAUCCAAUCAACUUAUAAUCUAGGGAUUUCCUAUACAGGAGUCCAAGAUUAGUUGUUCCUUUCAGAUACCUGAAGAUUCUCUUAACUGCAGUUAAAUGAGAUUCUCUAGGAUCUGAUUGAAAUCUUGCACACAAGCAUACACUGAAUAAAAUAUCAGGUCUAGAUGCAGUGAGGUAUAACAGAGAACCAAUCAUACCUCUGUAUAGCUUCUGGUCUACUACUGUUCCAGUAUCUUCUUUGCUUAAGGUGCAGGUUGGAUGCAUUGGAGUGUUCAUCACUUUACAAUCUUCUAGCUUGAACUUCUUCAGAAGCUCCUUUGUAUAUUUUGUUUGAUGAACAUAUACUCCUUCUUUACUUUGGUUGAUUUGAAUUCCCAGAAAGAAUUUCAAUUCUCCCAUCAUACUCAUUUCAAAUUCAUCCUGCAUUAACUUAGAAAAUUCUUUGCAAAGAGAUGCAUUAGUAGAACCAAAUAUUAUAUCAUCAACAUAUAUUUGCACAAUCAAAAUAUCUUUCUUAAGAGUCCUUCUGAAGAGUGUUGUGUCAACUUGUCCUCUUUCAAAAUCAUUUUUAAUUAAGAAAUUACUUAGUCUAUCAUACCAAGCUCUGGGAGCUUGUUUCAAGCCAUAUAGUGAUUUCUUAAGUUUAUAAACAUGGUCAGGAUGCUUAAGAUCCUCAAACCCAGGAGGUUGUUUAACAUACACUUCUUCUUCAAUGACACCAUUAAGAAAAGCACUUUUGACAUCCAUUUGAUAUAAUAUUAUGCCAUGAUUAAUUGCGUAGGAUAGAAGUAACCUGAUUGCUUCCAAUCUUGCAACUGGAGCAAAUGUUUCAGUGUAAUCAAUGCCUUCUUGUUGACUGUAGCCUUGAGCAACAAGUCUGGCUUUGUUUCUGGUUACUUCUCCUUGUUCAUUCAGCUUGUUUCUGAAUACCCAUUUUGUUCCAAUAAUGUUCUUCUGAGAAGGUUUGGGUACCAGAUCCCACACAUCAUUCCUUUGGAAUUGAUUUAGCUCUUCUUGCAUAGCUAAUAUCCAUCCGUCAUCUGAGAGAGCUUCUUCAACAGUUUUAGGCUCAAUUAUUGAAAGCAGUCCUAUUAGAGACUCUUCUUGUCUAAAAUGUGAUCUUGUUCUUCUAGGACUAUCUUUGCUUCCAAUGAUUAACUCCUCAGGAUGUGAAGAUUUGUGCUUGAAUUUAGGUUGAAUAACCUGCUGAGUGUUAUCUUGAAAGUCCUCAGAAGCACUUUCAUUCUGUACUUUUGGGCUAGGUUCUGCUUCUGAAUUAGACUCAGCUUCUGGAGUGAUUUCAGCUUCUGGACAAGAUUCAACUUCUGUAUACUUUUCAGAAUCAGAAGGUUGAUCAGAUUCUGAUGCAUCUUCAGAAUCAGUUGUACCUGCAUUACUUUCACUUUGCUCUGAAGUUUUACUUCCAGGCUCUCUAUCAUCAAAUUUUACAUGCAUAGAUUCUUCAACACAUUGUGUUUCUGAAUUAUACACUCUGUAUGCCUUUGACCUUUCAGAGUAACCUAAAAAGAUUCCUCUUUGAGCCUUGGCAUCAAAUUUCUUCAGAUAGUCUUUAGUGUUUAAGAUGUAACAAGUACAUCCAAACUGAUGAAAGUAAGAGAUAUUGGGUCUUCUUCCUUUAAAGAGUUCAUAUGUUGUUUUCUCCAACAUAGGUCUGAUAUAGAUCCUAUUUUGAAUAUAACAUGAAGUAUUGACUGCUUCUGCCCAAAAAUGUUUAGCUAAGUUGUUUUCAUGGAUCAUGGUUCUGGCCAUUUCUUGUAAGGUUCUGUUCUUUCUUUCUACAACCCCAUUUUGUUGUGGAGUUCUAGGAGAAGAAAACUCAUGGAGAAUCCCAUGUUUUUCACAAAAAAGUUCAAAUGGCUCAUUUUCAAAUUCUCCACCAUGAUCACUUCUGACUUUCAAAAUUUUCAAUUCUUUUUCAGAUUGUAUUUGAGUGCAGAAGCUGCUAAACACUUCACAUGCAUAGUCUUUACUUUUAAUGAAUUUUACCCAAGUCCAUCUGCUGUAAUCAUCAACAAUGACUAAUCCGUAUUUACUUCCAUAUAAAGAUGCAGUGUUAACUGGACCAAAAAGAUCAAUAUGGAGUAAUUCUAAGGGUCUGGAGGUUGAUAUAAUGUCCUUAGAUUUGAAAGAACUUUUCACAAUUUUCCCUUUCUGACAUGCACCACAAAGUGCAUCUGAAUGAUAAUCAAUGUUAGGCAAUCCUUUGACCAGUUGUAACUUGCUAAUUUUAGAAAUUAAUCUCCAAUUAGCAUGUCCCAACCUUUUAUGCCAUACCCAUUUUUUAUCAUUCAUUGACAGAAGGCAAACUACCUUCUGAUCAGCCAGAUCAGAGAAAUUUAUUUUAUAAACAUUCUCAACUCUCUUUCCCUUGAAUGUAAUGGAUUUGUCAUCCUUGUUGACUAGUGUGCAGUUGGUCUUACUGAACGUUACAUCAUACCCAUUGUCACAAAAUUGACUAAUGCUCAAUAGGUUAUGCUUCAGACCAUCUACUAGCCACACAUUAUUAAUUGAGAUGGAGGAAUUACCAAUAGUACCUGUACCAAUGAUCUUUCCAGUUUGGUUGCCACCAAACUUCACUUCUCCUCCAUCUUUCAUUGUAAGGGUAAGGAACAAAGCUUUCUCUCCAGUCAUGUGCCUUGAACAUCCGCUGUCUAGGUACCAUGACCUUUGUUUCUCUCUUGCCCUUAAGCACACCUGCAUUUUUGGCCAAUUCAGAUUUAGGUACCCAUAUCUUCAUGGGUCCUUUUGGGUUAGUUUUGGAGGUUUUACUUUUCCUCCCUUGCACCUUAGGGUGAAUGCUGAGUGGCUUCUGAUCAUUCAAUACUUUGGGUUUGACACCUUUUGGUAUUGUUUUCUCAGAAGCAGUAGCUGCUUUGUUCUUCUGAUCCUUUUGUUUUGGAAUUUUAGAUUCUGGUUUAAUCAGAUUCUGAUGAACAGGUUCUGAUCUUUUCAGAAUUUUAAUCUUUUGACUCUUAGGAUCAGAUUUUGUCAUUACCUUGAUCUUAAGAUUCUCUGGCUUUGAUGUGAUCUUAGCCUGUGAACCUGAAGCUUCAGGUUUUGACUGAACAGCAGUUAUAGCAUUUGUACCUUCAGGCACAAAGGUGGAUUUCAAUCCAUCCUUGAUACAAUCACAGUAGCUCUUGAGACUGUAUUCUUUGGAUUUCUCCUCAGAAUAUCCAAUCCCUUUGCCUUUGUUCUUGUAUGUGCUGUAGAUCAUAGAAGCAACUUUGCUUCUGUCUAUUCCAGCCAUAAUAAAAUCAUCCAAGGCAAUCUCAUGUUUAUUGCCUGAACCUUUAUCACAUUUUUCUUGUAGCUUCUGACAAAGACUCUUGAGUCUAUCUUCAUAUGUUGUUGAUAUGAGGUUAAACCCUUUGAGUUCUUCUUCAGAAGCUUUCAGUUCCAAUAGAGUUGAUUUUUGUUGUUUCAUCAAAUCAACAUAUUUUUCUUUUAAAUCUGUCAACUCAUUGGUUCUGUGUUCAAACAGUGAUAAAAGUUCUUUUAGAGAAUCAACAAGUUCUUGUCUAGGGAUUUUGGAAUAUACCUCAUUUUCAUCUUCUGAAUCUGAUUCAGCUUCUGAUACUGCUUCUGAUGAUACUGUUGCCACUAAUCCAACGGCUGCCUUAGCAUCAUCAUCAGCUUCUUCUUUAUCAGAACCAGAUUCACUAUCCAAAUCUUCCCAGGUCGCCAUCAAGCUCUUUUUGAUUUGCUUUCUGAAUUUACUGGAGUUGAAGCUUGAUUUCUUGGAUUUGCCUUUAAACUUCUCCUUCUGAAGAUCAGGGCAAUCAGCAAUGAAAUGACCAGGCUUCUUACAAUUGAAGCAUCCCUUCUGAUCUUCUUUCUUGAAGUUCUUGUAGCUACCUCUCUUGCUCAAAAAUUUCUUCUGCUUCCUUGCCAGAUACUCAAGCUUGUUGGACAGCAUAGCCAUCUUUACAGAUUGAUCUUCAUCAGAAUCUCCAUCAGGUGAUUCUUCUUCAGAUUCACUGGCUUUGUAGGCUUUGGAAGACUUUGAGGUCUUUCCUUUAGAUGGUAAAGCAAUGGAUUUACUCUUCUUAGAGGUUUCAUGCUCAUUUAAACUCAUUUCAUGCACUUUGAGUGAGCUAACAAGAUCUUCAACACUUAAAGUAUUUAGAUCCUUAGCUUCCUCAAUAGCAGUUACUUUGGGUCUCCAUCUUGAAGGUAAGCUUCUCAAAAUCUUACUAACAUGAUCAGAAGCAACAUAGCUUUUCUUCAGUAUCUGCAAUCCAGAAACUAAAGUUUGAAAUCUUGAGUACAUUUCUUCUAUACUCUCAUCAUCCUUCAUUCUGAAAAGUUCAUACUGAUGAACUAGCAUCAAUAAAAGAAUGGAAAUGGAAUGCUAAAUGAUAUGUAUGAAGUACCAAAGUAAACUUGUUAGUAAAAAAAAACAUAACAAGUACUAAGAAAUAAAAGCAUGCAAGAUGGCACAAAAAGUUAUCAAAAUGACAUUAAACCCUAAAAACUUAGGUAUGAAACCUAAAGCAUUCUUGGCCUCUAAUUCUCAUGCUUUAACAAAUUUUGAAAGAGUUUUCUUUAUCUCAAGUUAUAGCAUGGAAUUAUUGGAAACAUGCAAACAUGGUUUCAUGCCAUAUUUUCUAGAAUAAACUUGGCAUUUUAUAUCUUUCAAAAUAUGCAUAUAUUGUUCAUAAAAUUAAGAACUUAUGAACCAAAUCAAAACAGCAAAUCAACAUGAAAUUAUAGGCACAAAUCUCUCAUAUUAACACAUCAAGUAGCUUUUAUUACAUAUUCUCACAUCAAGGACAAAUGUGUGAAGAAGAAUUCAUAACAAAUAAUUCAAAGAGAAUUAAAAUGCUAUGAAUUAAUUAUACCAAAAUUUCAUAGAUCCUUAAUGUGCAAAAAUGUCAUAAAAACACUAAGAAAAUAUCAAGAAAUAUGUAUGAAUUUUUCUAGGAAUUUUAUCACAAUUUUAAUCAAGACAUAGGUGCAGGUAGCAAAAAAAUAGGGGUGUGAACAGCAAGAAAAAAGCAAGAAAUGUGCAGAAAAUUAAGCCCAAACCCAAAGCCCAACACCAAAACUCAGAUUGCACAGGAACCACACGAUUGAUCCAGGGUCCUGAAACCCUAGAUCAAACGGCCAGGAACCAAGGGGGGGUUGGACCGGUCCUGAACCGGUCCGGUUCACUGGCUUUAUAAGGGAGGGAAACCGGUUUUUUUUAUAAUUCUUCUUCUCCUUCUCUCUCUUCUCUCAUUCUAGUGAGAGAAGCUCUCACUUCUCUCUUCCUCACCGCGCCGGAUUCUGGAAAAACAGGAGAUGAUCUUCAUCUUCUCCGGCGGAGUUUGUUCCUCCGGCGUGGUGGCCGGCCACCCAAGGGUGGCGGCGCCGCCGCCGGAGUUGAGCAAACUCCUCCGAUUUUGAAAAUUUUUACAUUUUUAGAUAUCCUUUUUCGUGCUAUUCAUGAAUCCAAACUUAGUUUUUUGAGAAAAAGUCCCAAUCGGAGUAGAUCUAGCUUCAAAGAUUCGGAAAUUUGAAUUUUAAAGAGGAAGAAAGAGGAAGAGGAAUUGUCACCUAUUUGUGGUGUGUUGUAGAGCAAGGGAGAGAGCUUUGCUUUCUUCCGAAUCCGGAAUAUUCCUUCCUUCCUUCUCUUCUCUUUCACGUGUCUCUUUGACCGAUUUUGUGCUUGUUGUUUGGUGAUGUUCUUGGCGCGGAUUUGUGGAUUUUUGUGAUUCUUGGUACGGAUUUGGUUCGGAUUCGGUUUUGUGGCUUUUUGGUACGGAUUUGUUGCUUUUUGGUACGAAUUUGUUGCUGGAUUUUGGUACGAAUUUGUUGCUGGAUUUUGGUACGAAUUUGUUGCUUUGUUGAUUUUUCUUCUUCCCCUCUCUCUGUGAUCGUGCUUGAAUUCGCCGCUUCCGGUGGCGGAUUCGCACUUGAAUUGUGGAGCAGAGGCGAUUCGAUGAUGAAGAUUCGCAAAGAAUCUCUGAGAAUCACCCAAAAAAAGGAUGAAUUUGAUGAAUCUGUGAUGAUUUUCGGUUAGGGUUUAUGUGUGUGUUCUUGAUGAUUUUCUGUUUUGAUUUGUAACUGAAUAGAGAGAGAGAAGAAAAAAUCUGUUUGUGAUGUGUCACUGUGUGAAUGGAAUCCUCCUAAAAAAUCUGACACUGUUCCCCUUUUAUAUGCUGCCAUGUGUACCUGAACCAAUAAAAAAGUGACAUCUGGACUGGACUAAAAUUUGUGCGAAAAUUUGGACCAAAAUGCCCUUUGGGGCGUUUCUGCAGAAAAAAAUGAUAAUAAAAGGACUGAAAUGCAAUUCUUAGAAACUUUUGGACUGAAAUGUAAUUUUGGGACCUCAAUUGAGGGACCAAAAUGCAAUAAAAAAUAAAAUUGAAUAAAAAACGCAAUUUGAUCGAACGUAAAGCGAAACAAAAAUAAAAUUGACAAAACGGACUUAAAACGAACCAAUGGCCUAAAUGAGGUACUUCAAAGUAACCUCCCUAUGUCAAAAUUUCGUGUGAAAUGACCAAAAUGCCCCUAGGGCUAAAAAUGACCUAAACUGACUCAAACAGACUUGACACUGACUCGGACGCAAGUUUGAAAUGAAUUUAAACAGGGUUUACUGAUGAAAUGUUAAAAAUGAAUUUGAAAAGACUCAGAGACAGUCACAAGGAUGAAAAUGGGUCCCACUGCAGGAAAUGACCAAAAUACCCUUCUGCAUGACUUUUUGCAAAUUUUGAAAUAAACUGUAGAAAAAGCAAUGUAAUGAUUCAGAGACACCUUUGAAUGACUUUCAAGACAAGUAAAGACAUUUUGAAAGGUUUUAUGCAAAAAAACAUAGGUAAAAUUGUGAUUGAAAAAAAACUGCGAGACAGAGACAAUUUGAACUGUGCAGUUGACAUUUGAUAAUUGACAAAGUUUGAAAUGAAAUUGGGCCCAGUAUUUUUAGGUCCAAAAACAGGGUAUAACAGCUGCCCCUAUUUAAGUUUCUUUGUCUGGAGAGUCAAGAGACGGAGUCUUUGGCUUGACAGGACGAAGAUACUUAGAUAUUAGCAUUUGCACUGUGUUUGGACGUAAAAAUACGCCUACCCAUUUUCAAAUAAUAUGCAUGCCAUGCAUCAUUUGGAUUAUGAAUGCAAGACCUCAUGGGGAUUGGAAUUAACAAAAUAUGUCGUAUCCAUUGCGGGAUUGGUAGACAUUGACAAAGAUAGUGAAUAGCAGAGUAACGGGAAACUAGAAACAAGUUGGACAGGUACAAGCUGUUCUUGGAUUCAAACUAGCCACUUGACCGGGAAUGAAACAAACAGACAACUGCGAGUUGUUCUUAUGGAUUCGAACUGGUCACUUCACAGGGGAUAGAGGUUACUGGACAAAUAUGAGUUGUUCUUAUGGAUUCGAACUGGUAACUCACUUGGGGAUAUUGGAAAGUGCGAGUUGUUCUUAUGGAUUCGAACUGGUGACCCGACUGGGAAAAAGAGAAAAUUGGCAAGUACGAGUUGUUCUUACGGAUUCGAACUGGUAACUCACUUGGGGAUAUUGGAAAGUGCGAGUUGUUCUUAUGGAUUCGAACUGGUGACCCGACUGGGAAAAAGAGAAAAUUGGCAAGUACGAGUUGUUCUUAUGGAUUCGAACUGGUGACUCGACUGAAAACAUGUAAAAUUGGCAGGUACGAGUUGUUCUUAAGGAUUCGAACUGGUUACUCGACUGAAAGCAAGGCAAAUAGACAGGUGCGAGCUUGUUCUUGGAUGCGAACUGGUUACUCCACCGGAGACAAAUACAAAAUAGACAGGCGCAAGCUGCUCUUGGAUCGAGCUAGCCACUUGAGCGAACAGAAACAGAUAGACGGGUACAAGCUGUUCUUGGACUUGAACUAGCCACUUGACCCAAAAUCAUAGACACAUAGACAGGUACGAGCUGUUCUUGGAUUCGAACUGGUAACUCGACCGGGGUCAUGGAAAAGUAGAUAGGUACGAGUUGUUCUUGGAUUCGAACUGGUCACUCGACCGAAAGCAAAGGCAAAUAAACAGGUGUGAGCUUGUUCUUGGAUGCGAACUAGGUACUCCACUGGACAGAAACAUAUAGACAGGUACAAGCUGCUCUUGGAUUGAGCUGGGCACUCGACCGAUAACAUUGAAAAGUAAACGGGUACAAGUCGUUCUUGGAUGCGAACUAGUAACUUGACCAAACAGAAACAUAUUGACAGGUACAAGCUGCUCUUGGAUUGAGCUGGACACUCGACCGAUAACAUAAGCAAAUAGGUAGGUUCAAGCUGCUCUUGGAUUGAGCUUAGCCACUUGACCAAGUAGAAACAGAUUCACUGGGGAUUAGUUUUUUUUGACAAAAUAUAGAUUGAGAUUGACUUGACGUCGAUUUGAAUUGAAAGGCAAAAAUUGACCGAUAUUAUUGGCUCACAAGGUUUUGACAGAGAACCUGACAUGAGUAUCGAAUUGAGACUGAUGUUGACAUUGGAAAUGCAAUAUGCACGGAUGAUAUAACAGUUUCAUUAAAUGCAUGGGCACGUAAUAUGCAUGAUUAUGCAUGUAUGAAUGCUUGUAAUGCAUGACUGUUGGCAUUUUGUAGGCACGACUUCACGGGGAAGACAAGACAUCAGAGUAUUGGGCACGUAGUGGCUCGUGCUAUAUUACACAUUCUUGGAAAUCCUCUAUGGAGAUGACGUCGUUGGGGGACGUAUCGGAGCCAAGGCUGAGGGCAGGUAGGUAUGCAACUUGCUGGGGAUAGAAUCUUGAGAGACCUCACCGGGGAAAACGCCGUUGUGCUGGGCAUCUCAGUGCUGGGUACGUUGUAGACAUUGCAUCUGUGGUCAAUGCUUUUUGCAUGUUAUUUUUCUCAAUUUCAUCAUUUUCAUUUUUUUUUUGCAUCCCAUUUUUGCCUGGAUCGCCUUUUCGGGUUUUCGAUCCACCGGGGAAAUAAAUUCUUUUCAAUGCCCCAUUUUUGCCUGAACUGCCCUUUCGGGUUGUCAAUCCAGCGGGGUGCUCAUUUUUGCCUAAGCCGCCCUUUCGGGUUUUCAACUUAGCGAGCCUAUUCACUUUCAUGCAUUUUCAUUCUGUUUUUUCAUUCUUGCCAUUGACCACAGACUAUCCUGGAGGAGAACCUGCUUGUAACACAUAUUGAAAUAGACAUCAACAUACUCUCGCUCAUGCAUGUUUCAUUUGAAUGUACCCUGUUGCUCAGGUUUGCUUUUCAAAAUAGACCAAAGGUUUUCAAUUUUCAAAAAUGUUUGUUUCAAGCAUUGUCAUUAUCAAAAUAGAAAGAAAAUGUUUUGUAUAUAGCUUUGAAAGUAGAAGAAAAAUAGAGUUUCAAACAAAAGCAAAGGCUCAACUUGAUGUAUAAGAGUGGUGGUCAGCCAAAGGCAUGACUCCACGGAUUCACAAAGCUUGGAAAAUGGUAAUUUUAUUGGUUGGUGGUACAUUGAACACGGUAACCACUACAGUUCUUAGAAACUUUGAAUUCACAAGUACAGAAGCUUUUGAUGAAGAUAGGCAUUAACAGCUGCAGAUGCCCCAAGGGGGACGGUGGUUGGCCAGAUAUAGUUACUUGCCUUUUGUUUCAAUCUCAUUUUUGCAUGAACCGCCCUUCCGGGUUUUCGGCUCAUCGAGACGCUCAUUCUUGCCUGAGUUGUGUACAAUCUCAGCGAGCUUUUCAUAUAUUUUUUUGUCCCUUAUUUUUGCCUGGACCGCCCUUUCGGGUUUUCGAUCCACCGGGAAGCGCAUUUUUGCCUAGGCCGCCCUUUCGGGUUUUCGACCUACCACGCUGUUCUUUUCAUAUUUCUAGGCAAAGUAUUUCUUGACUAUAUCGGCAUUCACUGGAUUUGGAAGUUCUACACCAUCCACGUGUGUAAGGAUUAAAGCACCACCGGAGAAGGCCUUCUUGACAACAUAAGGACCUUCAUAGUUAGGCGUCCACUUGCCCCUUGGGUCGGGUUGCUGGCUUAUCCUCCUUUUCAAUACAAGUUCCCCUACCUUGAAUUCUCGAGGAUGGACUUUCUUGUCAAAGGCAGUCUUCAUUCUUGCUUGAUAUGACUGUCCACGAGCCAUGGCAUCCAAACGUUUUUCCUCAAUCAAAUUCAACUGAUCAUACCGGCUUUGGCACCAUUCAGCCUCGGAUAACUUUGCUUCCAUGAUCACACGGAGAGAUGGGAUCUCCACUUCCAAAGGAAGAACUGCUUCCAUACCAUAUACAAGAGAGAAAGGGGUUGCCCCGGUUGAACUGCGCACAGUAGUACGGUAACCAUGCAGAGCAUAGGGUAACAUCUCAUGCCAGUCCUUGUAAGUGGUUACCAUCUUCUGGACAAUUCUCUUGAUAUUCUUGUUGGCGGCCUCAACUGCACCAUUCAUCUGAGGUCUAUAGGGAGAAGAGUUAUGAUGCUCAAUUUUGAAUUCUUCACAAAGAGCUUGCACCACAUUAUUAUUCAGGUUGGUACCAUUGUCGGUAAUAAUCUUGCUGGGAACACCAUAUCGACAGAUGAUGUUGUUCUUGAUGAACUUAGCUACCACUUGCUUGGUCACAUUAGUAUAAGGUGCUCCUUCAACCCACUUGGUGAAGUAGUCAAUUGCCACUAAAAUGAAACGAUGACCAUUUGAAGCCUUCGGUUCAAUUCUUCCAAUCAUGUCGAUGCCCCACAUUGAGAACGGCCAUGGGGAUGAAAUAACAUUGAGGGCGUGCGGAGGCACAUGAAUCUUAUCAGCAUAGAUUUGACAUUUGUGGCACUUUCUGGCGUGCUGGUAGCAAUCAUGCUCCAUGGUCAUCCAGUAGUAACCUGCUCGUAACAACUUCCUUGACAUAGUAUGCCCUGUAGCAUGGGUCCCAAAGGUACCGUCAUGUACAUCAUGCAUUAACUGCUCUGCUUCGUGUUCAUCAACACAUCUUAACAAUACCAUGUCAUAGUUUCUCUUGUACAGAAUAUCUCCAUCUAACAGGAAUCUACUGGCCAAUCUUCUCAGGGUCUUCUUGUCUUGUUUGGAAGCACCCGGCGGAUACUCACGGCUUAGCAAGAACUGUUUGAUGUCGUAGUACCAGGGUUUAUAGUCAACCACAUUUUCGCCAGCCUGAUCGAUCACAUCCCCAAUAGCAAACACAUGCGAAGGUCUUUCAAGGCGUUGCACUUUGAUUAUUGGCACAUCAUUCCAAUGGUUUACUCGAAACAUGGAGGAUAGAGUAGCAAGAGCAUCAGCCAUUUGGUUCUCAUCACGAGGAAUAUGGUGCAGCUCAACCUUUGUAAAAUAUGUCAGCAAACGUCUCGCAUAAUCAUGAUAAGGAAUCAACUUAGCAUGGUGGGUCUCCCAUUCACCCUUUAUCUGAUUGAUGACGAGCGCAGAAUCUCCAUAGAUGUCGAGGUGUUUGAUUCUCAUGUCAAUUGCUUCCUCGAUCCCGAAGAUACAUGCUUCAUACUCAGCCAUAUUGUUGGUGCAUUCGAACAAAAUUCGGGCGGUAAAAGGAAUGUGAUGCCCUUGCGGGGAUACAAUGACUGCCCCAAUUCCUUUGCCAUAAGCAUUGACAGCACCAUCAAAGACUAAACCCCACUUGCUAUUGGGAUCUGGACCUUCAUUAAUCAACGGUUCGUCGCAGUCUUUGGAUUUCAAAUACAUGAUCUCUUCAUCAGGGAAAUCGAAUUCAAUUGGUUGGUAAUCAUCAAGAGGUUGAUAAGCAAGGUGAUCGGCAAGAAUGCUGCCUUUGAUUGCCUUUUGAGUUUUGAACACAAUAUCAUAUUCAGACAAAAGCAUCUGCCAGCGUGCAAUCUUCCCAGUAACGGCCGCUUUCUCAAAGAUAUACUUUAUCGGAUCCAUUCUGGAUAUCAACCAAGUUGUAUGAUUCACCAAAUAAUGACGCAGGCGUUUGGCAGCCCAAGCUAGAGCACAACAAGUCUUCUCAAGCAUUGUAUACCGAGUUUCACAGUCGGUGAACUUCUUGCUUAGAUAGUAGAUAGCAUGCUCUUUCUUUCCGGUUUCAUCUUGUUGACCAAGCACACAUCCCAUGGAUUCAUCAAAUACUGCCAAAUACAUAAUCAAAGGCCUUCCUUCCACGGGUGGGACAAGGAUAGGUGGUUCCAGCAGGUAAUUCUUGAUGCUAUCAAAAGCUUCCUGGCAUUCAUCGUUCCAUACAAUAGGCUGAUUCUUGCUCAAGCAAUCGAGUGAUCUCAUAUGGUAUAUCAUCAUCCUCUUCAUCUUCGGCUUCAUACACAGGGAAUUCAAAAUUUGGAGGAACCGUAGGAUUACUGUGUUCAACGGGUUUAUUAUGGUUCAAACUGCAUAGAAUGGUUGAAUGAUUUUAGAAAAUGUUUUUUUUUUCUUUUAUGCAGUUCUUUGAAAUUGAUAAGAAAAAUAAAGAUGUUUUGGUUUUUUCUGGUAUUACCAUUAUUUCCAAGAAAAAAAGAAAAAAAAAAUCACUAAAAAAUAAAAGUCGUGAAAGAAACGACGAUUUUUGUUAAUAACGGCGAUGCCGAAACAAACACGCCCUUCCAGAAAUAUCACUUUCGCUUCGGGCAGAGCGAGAGGAUGGUUAUUUUGAAAAACAAAACACUUAAGCAACAAGACACAUUAUUCGGAAACAUGCAUGAUUGAAUGAAUGUUGAUGGCAUCACAAUUUCUCGCAAUGCCUCCUGGUAUAACAAACAUAGGCCUAGGACUACAUCCAGUCGCCUCUUCAGUAAUUGCAUUGAUAAACUCAGCACUGUUGAAGAUUCAUGUGGCAUUGUACUUGUAAGGAAUAGCCUUUGUAGAAGUAUAAGGUACUGGUCCGGGCAGCCUUAUCACUUAGAGGCUCAACAUUCUCUUUUGAAGGCACGCUCUUGACGGGCGGAUCAUGAAAGACUGGCACAAUCACACAGACAUCACUGACAGUCAGAAGAUUAUCAUCCAUCAGGCUUUGGAUGUCGUCUUGAACAGUAUAGCAGCCCAAAGGAUCACAGAGGCAUCCUAGACACUUGGCAUGAUCAUGGCUGAACAGAGAGGCUUUGCAUAGCUUGAUAUGCAGAGGCACCAGAGGAGUGGCAACAUUGUGGACAUCAAGUCUAGGAGCUUCCUCACACACUUCGAUCAUAUUCACAGCGGCAUGAUUUGGAAGAGGAUUGUCAAGGACAUGUGGAACAUUAUUCUCAAAAGUCAGCUUUCCCUGAUCAAUGAGCUUCUUCACGAUAUACUUCAAAGCAUAACAUCCCUCGACAUCAUGACCUAAGGCACCUUGAUGAAAGUCACAUUUGAGAUCAGACCUGAACCUUGGAGGCAACGGAUCAGGUGGGGGCUUACCCUGUCUAGUUGUACAAUGUCCUCUCUGGAGUAGAGUUGGAAGAAGUUCUGCAUACAACAUCGGUAUAGGAGGAAAAGUUGGUCUAGUAUACUGCUGCUGUUGUUGUUGUUGUUGUUGUUGUUGUUGUUGAACCGGCAACUGUUGUUUCAUCUGUUGGGCAAUUGCAUUGACGGGCACUUGAGGCUGGCCCGGUGGCAAAGGGUACUGAUGAUAAAACGGUGGGAAGAACGGAUGUUGAGAAUACGGCAUAUAUGGGUAUGACGGAGGCAUUUGAGCUGCAUUGAUAGGAGCAACGGUAGCCAUAGAUUGACCGGCUCCAGCUGACACCAUCCCCACUUCCGUUUCUUUCUUCUUGUGGUGUCCAUUACCAUAUCUCUUCGAUGCACUCGUAGAAGAUUCAGCUUUCUCAAACACAAUGAUCCCAUCCCUGACUGCUUCCUCAAGACGGGUUCCCAUAGUGACCAUCUCCGAAAAGUUGUUCGGGGCGGCGAUGAUCAUCCUCUCAACAUAAUCUUUCUUCAAGGUCUUUAAGAAUGUCUGGGUCAUUUCUUCUUCAUCUAAAGCAGGAGUGAUACGGGCAGCUGCCCCUCUCCAUCUUUGUGCAUAUUCCCGGAAACUUUCCUCCUUUUUCUGAGAUAGGGACCUGAGGAACUCCCUAUUCGGCUUCAAACGAGUGUUAAACCCGUAGUGGCUCCUGAAAGCGGUGGCCAGCUCAUCAAAAGUAUGGACAUCGUCUUUGCUCAGACUAGUAUACCACUCUGCAGCAUCUUCCAUCAGACUGUCUUGGAAGUAAUGGAUCAUAAGGGAAUCAUUGUCCUUGUAGUUGCCCAUCUUCCGGACAUAUUUGACAAUAUGAUUUUGAGGACAAGUCAGCCCGUUAUAUUUGUCGAACUCCGGGACUUUGAACUUUUUUGGAACAUCUACCUUCGAUACUAAGCAGAGAUCCUGGGUUUUAAUGGAGUCUCCAUUUCCCCUAUUGGCCUUAAUUUCCCGUCGGAGCUCUUUGGCAAGUUCUUCCAUUCUCUCUUCCAUAGUUUCGGUUGCGGCAAUACUCCCGUGGUGUGCAUUAGCAUGGACAAAUAGAGGCACCGCAUUCACAAUGGGCUCGGUAACAGUUGUUGCAGCUUGAGUCAAGGCGGUACUAAUAGGAGUUAAGUUUGCCCCUGGGAUUGGGCCAUUGUUGGUAGUACCAGAGGUCCCUGCCCCUGUAUUAGCAGUAUAGUACAGCGGAAGCCCGUAAGGAUACCCGGAUGGCAUGAUAGAGCGGGGAUCAGUUGUUACGGUAGGAGUCACAUUUGCAGCUGUAGAAACUACAGGAACUGGUUGUUCCUGAGCAGCCAACAGAGCAGUCAUAGCAUCAUGAGCUUUGGCCAAUUCCUCCCUUAGAGAUGCCAAUUCGGUACGAAGCUGUGUGUUCUCUUCUUCCAUAGCCUUUUUCCUUCUUCUGUACUCUCUGGUUCGAUCGAUUCUAUCAGGUUCGUAGACCUUCUGAGCACGAGCCACUUUUCAAACUGUGGCAGAGGAACCAGGAAGUAGUGAGCAAUUGGAAGCCUUUGUGACCGAUGUAUGAUGCAUAUGAUGCAUGAUAUGCAGAUGCAAAUGCAAAAACGACUCUUUUUAAUGUCAUCGAAGGACUUUUUAAACAAAUUCGAAACAUUGUAAACACUGUUAAACAAGCAAAAUAAGGUUUUACAAUGGUAAACUUAUGAAUACAAGUUCACACCUGCGGUGUCUUACAAUGUUUCGAUCUGUCUAAAAAAAUCUUCGAUGUAUGCGUGAAAAAAAACUUAUGCAUGUAUGCAUGGUUGUUUUGUUUAGUUACAAAGAACAAGGUGGGUUGAGAUUCAAAGUAACAGGGCCACGGAUGGACACGGCGUCCGGUGAACUAAGGCUUUGGAUAGUAGUAACCAAGGUUCUAACACAGUUCCCAAACUGCAACCUCUCUCACAUAUAUCAUGGUAGUACAGGACGACACCCGUUCCAUGAUUAUUUGUGAGAAGGUCUAGUUUGAGUGUAGUAUCGCGUGACGACUAAAGUUUGAGACAACACUCAAUUUAGCCACCGCACUACGUCCUAAAAAGGCUAGGAUGGGUUUGGUAACUACGGUUCAUAGCUUCGUCGAACAAUUGAAAGUGAAGUGCCUAAGCAUGACAACACACGCCGACAAUAUCACCUUCAAAAUGCCUCAGCUAUGUGAGAUUGAUCGCAUAAUCCAAUACACGAGGCAACCCCCGGAUCGAAUUGUCGAUUAUAUCUCUACCUAAACAUAAGUUCACUCAGCCCGGGUAUAGGACUUUUGAUAUUCUCACCCCACACGUCAAAUGAAAAUAAACAAGUAUUCACAUAUGUAAGCAAUAAAACAAAGCGUAAAUAUAAACUAAGGAAAACUAGGCGCGACCCGCUAAAAAGAAUCCCCAGUGAAGUCGCCAUUUCUGUUAUCAUGGUUUUUGGGUGCCAAGCCAUUAAUUGGACUUGUACCUUUCGACCGUUGAUAUCUCUCUUUUUUCUUGGGAAGGGUAAAAGGAGAAAAACCCUUGAGUUUCCGAAUUCGGGGGUCGGUUUUACCACGGGAAGGUGUUAGGCACCCGGAGUAACUAUAGUCCUCUAUAGGAGCCGUUUUCCUAAGUCUAUAUUCACGCUUAUUUUUACUUACUUUUGAAAAUGGGAGGUUUAUUUAGUUAAGAAUGGGGGGAGAGAAGUUGUAAGACUUUUUAUCUUUUAGUUGAUUUGAAGAAAAUUUUAAUGUGUUGCUAUUUGAUUUUUUAAAGUUUGAAAAUGAUUUUUUGAAGAAGAGAAAGGAGGCCUUAAAGGCUUGAGAAGUAAAAAAUGUGAAGUUUGUCCAAUUUUACUUAAUAAAAUAGUCUAAGUCAUUUAAGGUUCAUUUAGAAUUUUCUUAAGAAAGUAAAAGGAAACACCAAAGGAGUUUUGACUCCAAAGUUCAUUUUAAAGAAAAAGAGCUAGAAUUAUGGAACUUGGUUUGCUUUGCGAAAAAAUAUUUUCUAAGUACUCGCGUUACCUAAUCAUACAUCUAAACGAAUGUCAUACACCGUGUGUGAGUGUCGGUGCUCGUGCCGGUGUACAUCAAUAGAGUCCAUAGUCCCUUUUACAUUGUCCUAGAUACAUUCUAUGGUCUUUGCAUGAAAUAUAAAAGAUAACACCUACCUAAAUAUUACAAUUCCAAAUAAAAGUAAAAAAAAUGGAUGCAAAGAAACUAAACUAUGUAAAAGAAUGGAAAUGGAAUGCUAAAUGAUAUGUAUGAAGUACCAAAGUAAACUUGUUAGUAAAAAAAAACAUAACAAGUACUAAGAAAUAAAAGCAUGCAAGAUGGCACAAAAAGUUAUCAAAAUGACAUUAAACCCUAAAAACUUAGGUAUGAAACCUAAAGCAUUCUUGGCCUCUAAUUCUCAUGCUUUAACAAAUUUUGAAAGAGUUUUCUUUAUCUCAAGUUAUAGCAUGGAAUUAUUGGAAACAUGCAAACAUGGUUUCAUGCCAUAUUUUCUAGAAUAAACUUGGCAUUUUAUAUCUUUCAAAAUAUGCAUAUAUUGUUCAUAAAAUUAAGAACUUAUGAACCAAAUCAAAACAGCAAAUCAACAUGAAAUUAUAGGCACAAAUCUCUCAUAUUAACACAUCAAGUAGCUUUUAUUACAUAUUCUCACAUUAAGGACAAAUGUGUGAAGAAGAAUUCAUAACAAAUAAUUCAAAGAGAAUUAAAAUGCUAUGAAUUAAUUAUACCAAAAUUUCAUAGAUCCUUAAUGUGCAAAAAUGUCAUAAAAACACUAAGAAAAUAUCAAGAAACAUGUAUGAAUUUUUCUAGGAAUUUUAUCACAAUUUUAAUCAAGACAUAGGUGCAGGUAGCAAAAAAAUAGGGGUGUGAACAGCAAGAAAAAAAGCAAGAAAUGUGCAGAAAAUUAAGCCCAAACCCAAAGCCCAACACCAAAACUCAGAUUGCACAGGAACCACACGAUUGAUCCAGGGUCCUGAAACCCUAGAUCAAACGGCCAGGAACCAAGGGGGGGUUGGACCGGUCCUGAACCGGUCCGGUUCACUGGCUUUAUAAGGGAGGGAAACCGGUUUUUUUUAUAAUUCUUCUUCUCCUUCUCUCUCUUCUCUCAUUCUAGUGAGAGAAGCUCUCACUUCUCUCUUCCUCACCGCGCCGGAUUCUGGAAAAACAGGAGAUGAUCUUCAUCUUCUCCGGCGGAGUUUGUUCCUCCGGCGUGGUGGCCGGCCACCCAAGGGUGGCGGCGCCGCCGCCGGAGUUGAGCAAACUCCUCCGAUUUUGAAAAUUUUUACAUUUUUAGAUAUCCUUUUUCGUGCUAUUCAUGAAUCCAAACUUAGUUUUUUGAGAAAAAGUCCCAAUCGGAGUAGAUCUAGCUUCAAAGAUUCGGAAAUUUGAAUUUUAAAGAGGAAGAAAGAGGAAGAGGAAUUGUCACCUAUUUGUGGUGUGUUGUAGAGCAAGGGAGAUAGCUUUGCUUUCUUCCGAAUCCGGAAUAUUCCUUCCUUCCUUCUCUUCUCUUUCACGUGUCUCUUUGACCGAUUUUGUGCUUGUUGUUUGGUGAUGUUCUUGGCGCGGAUUUGUGGAUUUUUGUGAUUCUUGGUACGGAUUUGGUUCGGAUUCGGUUUUGUGGCUUUUUGGUACGGAUUUGUUGCUUUUUGGUACGAAUUUGUUGCUGGAUUUUGGUACGAAUUUGUUGCUGGAUUUUGGUACGAAUUUGUUGCUUUGUUGAUUUUUCUUCUUCCCCUCUCUCUGUGAUCGUGCUUGAAUUCGCCGCUUCCGGUGGCGGAUUCGCACUUGAAUUGUGGAGCAGAGGCGAUUCGAUGAUGAAGAUUCGCAAAGAAUCUCUGAGAAUCACCCAAAAAAAGGAUGAAUUUGAUGAAUCUGUGAUGAUUUUCGGUUAGGGUUUAUGUGUGUGUUCUUGAUGAUUUUCUGUUUUGAUUUGUAACUGAAUAGAGAGAGAAGAAAAAAUCUGUUUGUGAUGUGUCACUGUGUGAAUGGAAUCCUCCUAAAAAAUCUGACACUGUUCCCCUUUUAUAUGCUGCCAUGUGUACCUGAACCAAUAAAAAAGUGACAUCUGGACUGGACUAAAAUUUGUGCGAAAAUUUGGACCAAAAUGCCCUUUGGGGCGUUUCUGCAGAAAAAAAUGAUAAUAAAAGGACUGAAAUGCAAUUCUUAGAAACUUUUGGACUGAAAUGUAAUUUUGGGACCUCAAUUGAGGGACCAAAAUGCAAUAAAAAAUAAAAUUGAAUAAAAAACGCAAUUUGAUCGAACGUAAAGCGAAACAAAAAUAAAAUUGACAAAACGGACUUAAAACGAACCAAUGGCCUAAAUGAGGUACUUCAAAGUAACCUCCCUAUGUCAAAAUUUCGUGUGAAAUGACCAAAAUGCCCCUAGGGCUAAAAAUGACCUAAACUGACUCAAACAGACUUGACACUGACUCGGACGCAAGUUUGAAAUGAAUUUAAACAGGGUUUACUGAUGAAAUGUUAAAAAUGAAUUUGAAAAGACUCAGAGACAGUCACAAGGAUGAAAAUGGGUCCCACUGCAGGAAAUGACCAAAAUACCCUUCUGCAUGACUUUUUGCAAAUUUUGAAAUAAACUGUAGAAAAAGCAAUGUAAUGAUUCAGAGACACCUUUGAAUGACUUUCAAGACAAGUAAAGACAUUUUGAAAGGUUUUAUGCAAAAAAACAUAGGUAAAAUUGUGAUUGAAAAAAAACUGCGAGACAGAGACAAUUUGAACUGUGCAGUUGACAUUUGAUAAUUGACAAAGUUUGAAAUGAAAUUGGGCCCAGUAUUUUUAGGUCCAAAAACAGGGUAUAACACUAAUUGUUCAUAACAUGUGCCAAAAUUUAUGAAGAAAAACAUGGCAAGAAAUUCACAAAAUUAGGCCAAAAAGAACCAAUUAAUCAAGAAAAUAACACCUACAUUUUUAUCAUCUUUAAACAGGUAGCAAUAUCACACAAAAUGUCAAAAGAUACAACAAAAAACAUAUAGAAUUUUUAGGAAAUUUUUAGAACAAAUAGAGGCGUAUAUAGCAGGAAAAUAAGGUGCAAAUAGCAAAGAAAAGGCAAAAAAACAAAAGAAACUGUAAGAUAAAGCCCAAGCCCGAAACCUAAAGGCCUGGAAGCACAGGGAUGCCAUGCUUAAUUUCUGAGUCAAUAACCGAGUGGAACAAAAGUGACUUAUAUGUAUAUGCAUCAUACAAGUAAUAAAGCAUAUCCAGGAAAUUGGGAGAGUGAAAGAGGAAUAUCAUAAGCUUAACUUCGAAGUUAAUGUCAAGGUGUAACAAAAUUGGUUUCUCUAUGAUUAGCAUUUUUACUUAGAGAAAAAAAGACAGGGGAUGUCAACCAUUCAUGAGGAAAGUAAUGGUAGACAUUACGCAAAACCAAAUUUUAUCACAUUUUACAAAGUAAAAUAAUAGGGAUUGUUAUGCCAAAUUUUUGCGUGGAAAUAAUAUUCACAGCAUGCCAUGUACUCCCUUUCAUUGAUGACCGUGUUCUUUUUAGUUGAUUUUUGUUUAAAAGUGACUUGAACAAAGUGUGGCUGGCCAUUUAUAAAUGGAUUAUUGCUAGUCAUUGUGUUUAAAUAGAUGACUAGCAGGAGUUGGCUACAGAAGUUGCAGCCACAUUUAAAUUUAUUAGAAGGCAACUAAGAAACAAGAAGAUUAGAGAUAUUGGGAGACCUCAAGAUUUUAGACUACAUGCAAAAUAAGUACCUGUUUCCAAUGUCAUGCAUCAAAAGGUUUCUCUAAGCAUUGCAUUGAAAAUUAUCAAAUCAAGAAGCUUAAAGAACCAAGAGAAAGAGUUAUAUGGUCCAUCCUUAUAGAUAAAAAAAUGUAGAUAUUUAGAGUUUUGUUAAUAUGGAAAAAAGGCCAAAUUUAGAAAUGUUAUUUAUUUUGGUAUAUCCUUGGUCUCUCUUUCCUCUUUAUGCUAUCAAUUAGUUCAUGUAAUUUUUUUGGUUCAAUUCAUUGAUGUGAUCUAAAUAGCUCAAUAUAGCUUUUUAUAAAAUGUCCACUCACGAAGCAUAGCUUACAAUAAAAUGUUCAAGUAGUAUACACAAAGAAACAAAUAAAAAUAUAUACACGAGUUAGCGCAGUAGAAAAAGCGUGCCCGUCUGGACGCUAGUAAUAAUGAAAAAUAAUAAUAAAUGAUGCAUUGGUAUUCUAAAGUGACAAUUAUUUUGAGAAAAAGAAAAAUGAGUAAAAAGAAAAUUAUUGUGAGACGGAUGGAGUAUUUAGAAAUUUAAACCUCAAAAUUCGAACAGCUUAAUAGCUAAUGCUACAAAAACUCGAAUAAAUACUCCCUCCGUCUCACAAUAUUAGUUCGCUUUUGUGCACGAUUAUUAAAGAAAUGAUUAAUUGUGUUGAUUUUAGUUGUAAAAUUAAUUGCAUUUACUAAAACACCCUUACUAAAACACCCUUAUUAAUUGUGAAAUUCAAUAAAUAAGGGUAUAAUAGUGGAAAAAAAACUAAUAAAUGUUACAUUGGUAUUGUAAAGUGACAAUUAUUCUGAGGAAAAAGAAAAAUUGUCAAAGAGAUAAUAAUUGUGAGACGGAUGGAGUAUAUGUUAACCUAGUGAGUUAACUAGAGCAAUAAAAGAGCUUAAUAUUAUCUGUCACUUUUUUCUCAAAUUCUCAUUCAAUUAUUAGUAGGACCCUGCGCUUUAUUUGGCUUUGCACUUUUACCAGCCAGUUCCUAUCUUCUGGAAACCAACGUGAAUGCCUUGAAAAUCAAAAGUAUUUUCUGAUAUUUUAAUCUCAUCUACCAAUUUGACAUUUUUCCAGCUGUCAUUCAUAGUCAAAAUUGGAAUCUAAUAAAUGUUGUAGUCUAUACAGAGUAACUUGAUACCUAUAUUUGGAGUUUGAUUUACCUUUUGUAGAUUCUUCAUUAAGUUUUAAUGAUAAAUAAUUAGUGUUAGGACCAAAAUUAAAACCGGAUAAAACUAAACAAUACAAAAAAUAUAAACCAUUAAAGAGGGGGAUACGGUUCUUUGCUCCCUAUUAAAUAUCGUUGAAACAAUAUUUAAUAAAAUCAGAGAAUCAAUAAUCAUUGAACAAGAAAAUUCAGGUUGAUAGCUAUGGCUACUCCUUUCUGCAAGACACAAGCAUUCAAAUAGAUAUGAUAAGUAACACAAUAUACAGUUACGCUCCAACAGAGAAGAUUGCUAUUGAUUACUCGACAAAAUGAUUGUGUAUCAUGCCAAAACUAAGCAUUAACCUCACCGUAAACCUCGUACGUCCUUAUCAUUUAUACAGCAUGCUUCAAUUGCAAUCACGUUAAACCUCAUUCGUAAAAGUUAAAAAUGUAUACAAGCAUUAAAUUAUCCAUACGUUUAUAGGUUAGACAGAAAGCAUGUGACGUAAGUCAAGAGAGAUAUAGCAUUUAAUACUUCAAUGCCCUCAUCACAUCCAGAAGUUGGAUCUAUACCCAUUUCGAGCUGAUUACCUCAUGGUGGAAGUUGAAACUUCCAGCCAGUAGAUCUCUAGUUAGUGAGUUGCGACAAUUUGUUAUAUUCAUUAAUCAUCUACUACACGUAAUUAACCAUAUAUUUUGUUGUGUCAAAAUAAUACAAGGAAGACAGACCCAAGCAAUUAACAUGCAUAUCUGUCAAAUAUGGAAAGGAAAAAAAAUUUAAUACUAAGAACCAGCAGUGACAUCAGACUCUUAACUCUGGAACAGGACAAAUCUGUAAUGAGUCAAAGAGUUGAAAGAGGUAUUACAGGAAAUAUGAAUGUGGACUCUUAUAAAUACGAGAAAGCCAAGAGAAAAAGGCAUGGAAUAUGUGUGAUGUCAACAUUCUUCUUCUAACCACUUCUCUCAUUUUACUAUCCUUAUUUUCUUGCAAUUUUAUUUCCUGCAAUUGUACUCAUUGUGUGUUCACAGUGAAACGUUAUCCUUUAUAUCAAUUUUAGUACCAAUACAUUGGUGCUAUGGCAUGGGCUGAAUCAGUAUGAGCUCAUUGGAAAAACAUAGAAGCCGAGUAUAAUCGAUUGGAAGAGUUGCAAAGGAUCUUUGAUUCAUCUUUCCAGUAUGUUAAUCAUAUCAUUGAAUUUUAAUGCUGAACCACUGCUAUUGAAACCUCCAUAUCCAUUUGUUUUUACUCUGACUCCACCACCACCUCAGCCGAAACCUCCUGAUCGAAGCUUUGCGCAGAUUCCCGUGGAGUUUCAAGUGAUACGGAACUUCACCAUACAUCCACUGCCUCCAGAGCCUCUAGACACCGAUCACACAGCAGUGAAUACCAUAGUUUUGCCUUCUUGUGUGGAAAUAGCAGUUUUCCCACCAUCUGUUUGUGUGAAUGAUUGUGUCAUCAUCCAGCUAUUGUUGUUCAUGUUGUUUCGGUGUUUACCAUUGGUUCGACAUCUCAGCGAAAAGGACCAUGAACAGGUAAUCCUUGUUGUUUAUCUUAGUGUUGGUUCGUAUGCUCCUAUUUCUCUAGACUAUGGCUAUACAAUGAAUGUCUUUGAGAAGAGUGAGGUUUAUGGUUAUGGUGUAGUGUUGUUGAUUGUCUUGACUUGUAAGUAUAUUGAUGAGAAAUGGAAACAAGAACCACAUUUCCACAUGGUGACAUAUGAGAAUAGAUAAUUCAGGAACUUAGUUUUUGACAAGGUUCAAAUUCAUCAACAGCCACCCAAAACAUUUAUGAGUUUGGUAGGAUUAUCUUGCCACAUAACCAGGAUGAUACAAUACUUUCAAGAGAUGUUGAAUCCCAAUAAAAAGAAUGGCACUCCUGUUGUUUUGAUUUGGUUUGAAAAUCUCCAGCAACGACAUCAAUUGUCGCUUGAACCAUACCAUGCUCACUUUUGGAGUUGCAUGAAUGCUAUCUCUCAUAAUGAUGUUAUGGCUAUUGUUCAAUUAUUUUCCUUUGUUGUCAAAUUGGUUGUUUCUAUUCCUGAAGAUGUAUCUCAAGCUAUGGGAUUGAGCCUUGCAUUUUUCAGGACAAAAAUUAAGCAUGAUAAGGCUCAUUAUUCAAUUAUUUUCCUUUCUUCUCAUUAUUCAAUGUAAAACGAUACAAAACAACCUUCAGUAUGUGAAAGAGGCUGCCAUUGUGUUUGUUUUGUUUCUACAACCAAUCCAAAUCAAGGACAAGAGUUAUCAUAUAAUAACUACUUGGAUGUUAUUACUACUUUCAACUUUGUGCGUGCAUUUCAAAUUCCAUGUGGGGUAGCUUCAAGUGAUGUUGUUUUGAAAUCUUGUAGAAUGAACACUACAGCUUGUAGCUUCUCAAGAUUAGAGUAUAGCAACUUAGGGACUUCGCAAUUGGGUUGGAAAACGAAAUUUGAUGGGGAAUGGUGCAUAGAAGAUCUUUUGGUUUUGAGAAUUGACAUGGUUCAAAGAGUCAUACCAAAGAUGAAGUGUUAUGGGCAUUGUCCACAAGGUAUUGUAGUUUCUCUUUUGCAUUGGUCCGGGCUGAAAUUGGCGAGGAAACUCAACUUGUGGAAACCAUCUAGCCUGACUGCAGACGUAAAAAGAAGAGUAGUGAUGGAAAUGACCACUUUUAUGUUCAUAGAAACAUGUAUGCUUCUCUUAUUUAGUAAGGCUCCUAACAUCAAAUAUCAUAUUAAUGUUAAUCCUACCUCAUUGCUUGUCUAUGUUGGUAGUGAUAUACAAGAUCUUCUAGCAGUUUUGGAGGAAUUUUCUUGGGUGUUUUAUCCUAAUAAAGUUACUCUUGCUAGGAUGCGUCUUGAAGCUAAUAUGAAUUCUGCAUUGUAUUUGAGCAGAUACAAUGUCAAGGUUUUCCUUCUCAAGUGCCAUACGAUGGCAGGGAGAGUGAUAUCAAUAAAUGGAGUGUCCUUCAAAGACUGAGAAAUAUUAUAUACAAGACGAAGUUCUUGCUGAACAAUUGCAGGAUCAGGUGAAGAAGCAUCAUCGGCUUGAUGGGUGUAAAUUUAAAGAAGACUUGGGGCUAAAAGAACCAAGAGACAUGAACGAUCUUCUGGUUCAGGCACAUCCUUACAUCAAUUACGAAACAGCUGAAGCCGUCAAGAAGAAACAACCUUAGAAAGAGUACAAGCUACAGGACGACAGUCAAAAAACACGAGGGAACAAUUCUCGGUUCUCGGAAUACAGUCAGUUUAACGCUUCAUGAGAACAAGUUUUCAAGCAAUGGAAAACACAGAAUUCAAAGAUGCCGGCAUCAAAGCCCCAGCGCCGUUGAAGGAAAUACCACGCAGAGACAAGUCCAAGUACUGUAGGUUCCACAUAAGUAGCGGCCACAAUACAGAAAAAAAAUUCCAGCUGAAGGAUGCAAUUGAAGAUCAAAUCAAAAAAGGGAAGUUGAAACGCUACAUCAAAGAUGAUUACCACAAAGGUGGUAAGAAGAAAUACAAAGACUCCAAUCACAAAUCUUCUCUCAGUAGUGAGUCCACAAAGAGAAAGCGCUCUCCUUCCUAGGAAGACACUCCACCCACAAAGAAACGAUUGACGUCGCUGACAGAGGCAAUAAGGAAAGGAAAAUGAUGACCACCAUUAGAAGAACGGUAAAACGUGUCUUCCUGGACGCCAUCAUGGGGAAUCUCCGAGAACGGGUCCAAAGGUACAUGAAGAGGAAGGUAGCUCAAAUGCUCGCAAUCAAUGUCACCAUACCAUCUUCUGAAGCUGAGUAUAGGACAUUAGCACAAGCAACCUUUGAAGGACAAUGGUUGUUGUAUCUUCUGCAUGAUUUCUUAGUUCCUCAUUCUUCAUCUAUUAUCAUCAUAUAUUGUGAUAAUCAAUCAGCAAAGCAUAUGGCUGCUAACCCUAUUUUUCAAGAGAGGACAAAGCAUAUCAAAAUUUAUUGUCAUGUUGUCAGGGAUAGAUUCACACAGGAAUGCUUCAUCCACUACCAGUGUCUUCCAAGGAAAAAGUAGCAGAUAUAUUGACCAAGUCACUUCACCCUGGGUCAUUGAACAUUCUUCGGCACAAGCUUGGAAUGAUUGACAUCUAUUCCAGCUUGGGGGGAUGUUGAAGCUAGUAUAGAUACAGUCAGUUAGUUAAUUAACUUGCACUGACCUUAACUCCUUGCUACCAUUCUCUAACUAUGAUUAGCUAUAGAAGUAACUACAGUUAGGAGGAUAUAAGUGAUAUAUAUACUCUUGCUAGUUCCACUUUGAAGGUGAGAAAAACACAAGAAGGGGGGGUUGAAUUGUGUUUUCUUUUUCUCUCUUAAAAAAUCUUCUUCUGAUAAACCUUCAGAAGCAGUUUGUGAGUGCUUCUGAUGAACUGAUCAGAAUUGGAUAUGCAGCGGAAAAGAACAGAGCAGAGAAAAGAAAGACAAAGACACAAGUAGUUAUCCUGGUUCCUUCCACAACACGGAAGUAGUCCAGUCCCCCUUGUACUUCCAAGGAGAUUUCACUAUAAUCACAAAGAUUACAACUGCUCAAUACUAUCUAAGUGUGAGACUUCACAAAGAUGCUCAAGCACACACGCAAGAGUCUUCCAAUGCUCAAGCACUAAGCAAGAGACUUCUAAUGCUCAAGCACGCAGGCAAGAGACUUCUGAUCAAACAAAAAUACAGAGAAUUGAGUUUGACUUGAACACUUGAUAUACAAUCAGUGGUGUUCUCAAUACAAUACAGUAAAGACUCUAGACUUUGAAUUUCUAAGAUGUAUCAAAUCAGUGCAGAAAUUCAGUGUGCUUUGUAGAAUCAAUUUGACAGAGUUUUGGCGCUUUUGAACUUGUAUAUCUCUAUCUUCUAUCUUCAAGUCUUCACUCCUUUAUAUAGAGGCGUGAAAGAGACGUUGAGAUAAUCAGCACGUCUAAAGAGUCGUUUGAAAUCCUUUGAUCAUCCACCAGUAAUCCUUUGCCUGAUUUGGGUGUAGUCCUUUGAAGAAUAAGCUUCAAAUUCAUUCCCAUCUUGAAGGCACAAAUUCUGCAGGCAUGGCUGUUGUCUUGUCUUGUAGUGUAGACAAAAAAACAGAGUAGUGGAGGUAGUGGUUGUACACUUGUACUUUGUCAACUCUACUAACGAGAGACAAGUGCUCAGUGCUAUCCAUAUAUCUGUUGAUACCUCCCUUUCAAUUCUUCGUUCUUCUUAGAUAAGAUUGAAUUGAGAAUCAGCUACUUUGGAUCUUCAGUUUGAUUAAAGGAUCAAAUAUAGCUUCUGGUGAAGAUAUUGCUUCUGAUGACCUUCUGCUUCUGAUGACGUCAUCUCUUCAGAAGCAGUUUUCUUCAGAUGCUUGGAAUUCUUUUGCUUUUCAUUGUUCUUCCAAGACCUAUUGAAAUUACUUGACUAGCUUUUGAUCCUGUACACUUGAACAAUCAUUAGUAUAAACCAAUUGACAAUUUUUAAUACCUUGUUAUCAUCAAAACUCAAUAAGGUUCAUUGUGAAACACAUUUUGUUCCAACAAUCUCCCCCUUUUUGAUGAUGACAAACAAUAGUAUUUAAAAUGUUCAAUUGUUGUUGAUCUAAUUAAUAAGUUGACCACUGGGAUUGAGGUUUGUAAGCUCCCCCUGAGUCUAAUAGAUCUUUAAGGUGAGGUUUGUAAGCUCCCCUUGAGUUCUAAUCUUAUUAAUUAAAUUUCAAUAAAAUACUUAUUAAAAAUAAAUAAUAUCAGAAGUAUUUAAAAAGUUUUGAAAUGGUUAUAAUGGGGCUCAGUGCAUUAAAAUACUAUACAUUUACUCCCUCUUUUGUCAUCAACAAAAAGAAUAAAAACAAAAGAAAGAGUAGCAGAGCAUAUAAACAUAUAAGCCUUAAAAUACAAUGUAUCAGAGCAGACAUCAUUAAACACAGCAAAUAUUAUCAGAGUUAAAGCUGUAAAACAUAUAAUUCAGAAAAACAAAGAUAAUAUUUAUAAGUUAAGAUACAAAGGCAAAACUACUAACAACUUAGAACAAAAAUUAAAACAAGCAAAGAGUGUUGGGUGUGCAACUAAGGUUGGGCUUGCUUAUACAUCUGUUCCAAAAGGUACUUAAUUUGAUCAUCCUUCUUCUGAAGUAGCUCAUCCUUUUCUCUCAUUCUUCUUUUAUACCCAGCAUGAAUUCUUGCAGCCCUUGUGAUAUACUCUUCUUCUAGAUAGAAAGGAGUGAUGUCCAGCAGAGGCACAUAAUUCAGCUCUUUCACCUUAGCUGCUUCAUGCAUAUCAUUCAACAUCUUCUUCAGCAUGGCAGAGUGAGAUGAGACACACUUAGUUCUAAGCUGAUUCAUCAGUUCAUCAAAGCUCUUCUGCAGAUCCAUCCACUGAUCAUGAUAGUGAAUAGGAGGUACAUGAACUGUUCUGCGAAGAAUCAGUGUCUGAAUCUCAUCACUAAGCCUGAUUAGCUGUUCCUCUAUAUACUCAGACUCUAGGAUAUUGUCAGGGAUGGGUGAGGGUCCAGUUUGAGUUGUAUUUGAUGUGGAGGGUUGGUCAGAGGUUAAGUCUAUAAUAGAAGGUGAUGCUGGUUGUUGUAUUUCUGUUGUUUGUUGGUCAGAGUCAUGAUGUUCAUGAACAGACUGUUCAGAAGCACCAAGAUCUUGGUCAGUAGCAACUUGUUCAGAAACAGUUUGUUCCAGAACAGUUUGCUCAGGGAUGGUUUGGGUUUCUGAUUGUUGGUUUUCCAAAACAGUCUUUUUAGGGACUGUCUUAGAGGCCUUUGUGGGUGUUGGUUGCAUUUCACCACAUAGAUGUUUUUCUAGGUUGUGAAGGGUUGAGGAUUCUUGUUGUUGGGGGGUUUCUGAUGUAGUUGCUUCUGAAACUACUUCAGAGGCUCUUUGUGGAGUUUGGUCAUUUUGUUGAUUUGUUUGGGUAGGUUCUUGGUUGGGUUGAGGUUGUUGUAUGCUAACAACUUCUGGAAUGACUGGAUACAAAGGAUGAGAAGCAGGCAAAUUGAAUUUCUCACAGAGUUUAAUUAUGUUCUUAGAAAAUUCAAUUUGUGUUUGCUCAUAGUCAAAAGUUCCAAACUCUGUUAGUUUUGUGGGUUUGAUGUUAAGGAGAUUGGUUCAUCUGAUUCUGUGGAUGAUGAUGAGGGUGAAGAGGGUGGAGUAGGUAGGGUGUGAAUCUGAGUAUUAGAUGGAGCUUGAGAUGAAAUACCUGAAGAAUGAGCUUCUGAAGGAGGUGCUUCUGGAGCUUUUGUAGAAGGAUCUGAUGAUGAUGCUCCUGAAGCUUGCUUAUUCUUCAAGGCUUGUGAAAGCAGAGUUGCUCCACGCUGAAUAGUUUCCAUCUCAGAAUCUAUAGCAGCAAUUUCAGGAUCAGGCUCAUACCCUGCAGCCUUGAGUUUAUCUUCCCUUUCCUUUUCAUACAAUUCCUUCAUCCUCUUCUUCUCUUGAAUUUUAGUUCUUGCAUACUCAUUUUCUUCGCUCAGUUGAGUCUCAGACGCUUCAAAUCUGGGCAAGACUUCAAGCUCAGUGUUGGUAGUCCUCUUUACUUUCUUAGGACUUGAGUCUUCAUCCCAGUUCUCUUCAAGCUCUUCCAGCAUCUGCGCCUUGCGUCCUUCAGCUGUCUUCAGAUUUCUUGUUAUAUAAGAUCUCUUCCUUUUGAUGGUCUGAAGAGUAGCUUCUCUUUUCUUCUUAGGACUUAGAGGUUUUUCAGAAGCAGCUUGUUCAGAAGCAACUUGUUCAGAAGCAAGCUGUUCUGCUGUUUCUUAAGCACUCCUUGUCCUUUUUCUGAUAAGAGGGACUUCAUCCAAGUCCUCCACUUCCUCUUGAAUAGUGGACAUUGCAGAUUUUUCCUUCUUAACUUUCUGAUGCUUCUGAGCACCCUUCUCAGUAGCAUCAUCAGCAAGAUAUUCUUCCUUGGUGAUCUGCUUCUUCUUGGACUUUCUGCCUUUAGCCACAGGCAGAGCACCACCAUACAUCUCCUCAGGGACAUCCUUCAGGUCAAUCUUCUUGUUGUAGGUUUUGUAGAAGUCCAUGAUGUAAGCCCUUUGUACAUCCAGGGGAUCUUUCUUGCAGAUAGGGAUGAGAUGAGUGACCAGAUCAGAUAUGGCAUCAGAUUCAUGCAUAUCAGUAUCUAGUUUCUUGAAUGUUGGAAUCAGUCUCAUCUUUAGAAGAGUUGCUCCAUUAAUUAUUUUCCCAGUGACUGCUCCCAGCUUCUGAUUAUCAUAAAUGCCAACGUCCUUCAAGGCACUUAGGAUUCCUCCUUCUUGAAAAAUUACAGAGAGCAGCCUUCCAUAAGGAACAUACUUCCUGUUUUCCAUCUGACUCUUCUUUAGUUCCUUGAUCAUGUACUUGAACAUGUACUUAGGAACAUUCAUCGUGGUCUCUUGAGUGAUGGUGUGAUGCAGGAAAACUUUGUGACCAAGUGAAGGUUGAUCACUUCCUCCACCUUUGGGAAAGAUGUUCUCAUUUUGGAUCUUCAGCAGCAACUUCUUUUGCAUGCUCAAAGUGCUGUAAGGUUUAGCAUCCUUUGAUCCAUAAAUGGUGUUAUUUACAAUUUCCUUCCAGGAGCUGGUUUUGGGAUUAGGAAUCUCUUCUCCAAAGUACUUGCCAGAGGUAUCCCUUCUCAUGGCUUGAGCAAUAAUCUGCUCAUUUAUGGUUACGGGAAUACCCAUGACAUUUGAUCUAAUCUCUGUACCAGUGAAGGCGAGUAGACCCAUUUCUUCUCUGGUUUUUCCCUCCAGAGUAGGAUCAACCAGAAUCAUCUGAGCUUCUUCCUGUCUAGCAGCAUCAAUGUCAAAUAUUGAAGCCCUUACCCAGAAUUGUCUGACCAGAACUUCAUACGUUGGACCAUUGAGAAGACCAAAAUACCCCAUGAGUUGCUGUUUCUCGUAGAACUUUACCAAGUCGCAUCCAUGGCGAGUUAAAGAGGCGAAAUCCACUGGAUUUUCUGCUUGAAUAACUAACUCUCAUUCUUCAAUAGACAUGGUUCUUCCUUUAAUCUCAUAAGCCGGAGUAUCUAUUUCCAUGUUUGAAGAUGAACCACGAGCAAAACUUGAACUUUCCAUUGAUUCGAAGGAGUUUUAGGGUUCUAAGGUGUUUUGAGAGGGAGAGUGAAUGCGCUUACUUCGCAGAGGGUUGAGAAGAAAAUAGAAAGUGUUUGUUGUGAAGUGAGUAGUGUGUGUUUGUUUUAAGUGUUUUUUAUUAAAACGUUUGCAAUUCAGAAGAGACAAACAAACAUAACAUUAAUGACAAAUUGGGGGCGCGUGAUAGUACAUUUAAAAGCAAGUAAAACAUCAUUGCCCUUUUUGUUAUACUCCAAUACAAAUAGACCACGUCAGAGACUUAUCAGAAAACUAACCUUUGGGUAAUGGGACAGCUGUUACAAAAAGUAACUGCCAACGUUCCCACUAGCCUUGCUAUUCAGAAGCAAAUAAUACCGUUUCUGAAGUCUUAGUGCUGACGUCAUCUUCAGAAGCACAUUUUCCUCAGAACCUCAGUUAAGAGCUUCUGAUGGACCAGAUGCUUCUGAAUAGACUUCAGAACCAAAAACUUCUUAUUCAGAGGCAAGCAAUUUUUCAAUCAGACACAAAGUGCAUGUUCAAAUUUUUCUUAAUAAAAUCAAAUCUUUCAACCGAUAAAGGUUUUGUAAAUAUAUCAGCCCAUUGAUGUUCAGUAUCAAUGAAUUGUAUAUCUAAAAUCCCUUUUUGAACAUAGUCUCUGAUAAAAUGGUGUUUGAUCUCAAUAUGCUUGGCUCUUGAAUGUAGAAUUGGAUUCUUUGACAGACAAAUAGCAGCAGUAUUAUCACAAAAAAUGGGAAUACUGUUAGCAUUAAUCUGAUAGUCUUCCAACUGAUGUUUCAUCCAAAGUAGUUGUGUACAACAACUUGCAGCUGAAAUGUAUUCUGCUUCUGCUGUAGACAUAGCAAUAGUUGCUUGUCUUUUGCUUGCCUAGGAUAUCAGAUUCUCUCCCAGGAAUUGACAAUUUCCACUGGUUGAUUUUCUUUCAAUCCUGUCACCAGCAUAAUCAGCAUCACAGAAUCCAAUCAACUUAUAAUCUAGGGAUUUCCUAUACAGGAGUCCAAGAUUAGUUGUUCCUUUCAGAUACCUGAAGAUUCUCUUAACUGCAGUUUAAUGAGAUUCUCUAGGAUCUGAUUGAAAUCUUGCACACAAGCAUACACUGAAUAAAAUAUCAGGUCUAGAUGCAGUGAGGUAUAACAGAGAACCAAUCAUACCUCUGUAUAGCUUCUGGUCUACUAUUGUUCCAGUAUCUUCUUUGCUUAAGGUGCAGGUUGGAUGCAUUGGAGUGUUCAUCACUUUACAAUCUUCUAGCUUAAACUUCUUCAGAAGCUCCUUUGUAUAUUUUGUUUGAUGAACAUAUACUCCUUCUUUACUUUGGUUGAUUUGAAUUCCAAGAAAGAACUUCAAUUCUCCCACAUACUCAUUUCAAAUUCAUCCUGCAUUAACUUAGAAAAUUCUUUGCAAAGAGAUGCAUUAGUAGAACCAAAUAUUAUAUCAUCAACAUAUAUUUGCACAAUCAAAAUGUCUUUCUUAAGAGUCCUUCUGAAGAGUGUUGUGUCAACUUGUCCUCUUUCAAAAUCAUUUUUAAUUAAGAAAUUACUUAGUCUAUCAUACCAAGCUCUGGGAGCUUGUUUCAAGCCAUAUAGUGAUUUCUUAAGUUUAUAAACAUGGUCAGGAUGCUUAAGAUCCUCAAACCCAGGAGGUUGUUUGACAUAAACUUCUUCUUCAAUGACACCAUUAAUAAAACCACUUUUGACAUCCAUUUGAUACAAUAUUAUGCCAUGAUUAAUUGCAUAGGAUAGAAGUAACCUGAUUGCUUCCAAUCUUGCAACUGGAGCAAAUGUUUCAGUGUAAUCAAUGCCUUCUUGUUGACUGUAACCUUGAGCAACAAGUCUGGCUUUGUUUCUGGUUACCUCUCCUUGUUCAUUCAACUUGUUUCUGAAUACCCAUUUUGUUCCAAUAAUGUUCUUCUGAAAAGGUUUGGGUACCAGAUCCCACACAUCAUUCCUCUGAAACUGAUUUAGUUCUUCUUGCAUAGCUAGUAUCCAACCAUCAUCUGAGAGAGCUUCUUCAACAGUUUUAGGCUCAAUUAUUGAAAGCAAUCCUAUUAAUGACUCUUCUUGUCUGAAAUGUGAUCUUGUUCUUCUAGGACUAUCUUUGCUUCCAAUGAUUAGCUCCUUAAGUGUGAAGAUUUGUGUUUGAAUUUAGGUUGAAUAGCCUGCUGAGAGUUAUCUUGAAUAUCCUCAGAAGCAUUCUCAUUCUGUAUUUCUGGACUAGGUUCUGCUUCUGAAUUUGACUCAGCUUCUGGAGUGAUUUCAGCUUCUGGACUAGAUUCAACUUCUGAAUGCUUUUCAGAAUCAGAAAGUUGAUCAGAUUCUGAUGCAUCUUCAGAAUCAAUUGUACCUGCAUUACUUUCACUUUGCUCUGGAGUUUUACUUCCAGGCUCUCUAUCAUCAAAUUUAACAUGCAUAGAUUCUUCAACACAAUGUGUUUCUGAAUUAUACACUCUGUACGCCUUUGACCUUUCAGAGUAACCUAAAAAGAUUCCUCUUUGAGCCUUGGCAUCAAAUUUCUUCAGAUAGUCUUUAGUGUUUAGAAUGUAACAAGUACAUCCAAACUGAUGAAAGUAAGAGAUAUUGGGUCUUGUUCCUUUAAAGAGUUCAUAUGCAGUUUUCUCCAACAUAGGUCUGAUAUAGAUCCUAUUUUGAAUAUAACAUGAAGUAUUAAUUGCUUCUGCCCAGAAAUGUUUAGCUAAAUUGUUUUCAUGGAUCAUGGUUCUGGCCAUUUCUUGUAAGGUUCUGUUCUUUCUCUCUACAACCCCAUUUUGUUGUGGAGUUCUAGGAGAAGAAAAUUCAUGAAGAAUCCCAUGUUUUUCACAAAAAGAUUCAAAUGUCUCAUUUUCAAAUUCACCACCAUGAUCACUUCUGACUUUCAAAAUUUUCAAUUCUUUUUCAGAUUGUAUUUGAGUGCAGAAGCUGCUAAACACUUCACAAGCAUAAUCUUUACUUUUAAUGAAUUUUACCCAAGUCCAUCUGCUGUAAUCAUCAACAAUGACUAAUCCAUAUUUACUUCCAUAUAAGGAUGUAGUGUUAACUUGUCCAAAAAGAUCAAUAUGGAGUAAUUCCAAGGGUCUAGAGGUUGAUACAAUGUCUUUAGAUUUGAAAGAACUUUUCACAAUCUUCCCUUUCUGACAUGCACCACUGAAGGGAUUUUAAGAGGGGUUUUUCAAAAAUUUAAUCCUCUUUGCGGAAGAAAUCCCAUUGAAACGGAUCUUGAUUAAAUCAUUAAUCACAAAUCAAAUAGAAACUUAAACACUUUAAGAUUCAUGUGUUUACCUCUUGAAGAGCAGAACCUUUGUAGAAGAAAUAUUUCUGAUCACGAGCAAAGCAAAGCAGCGAUGCCUCUACUCAGUCCACACGAACAGAACUUCUCUGAUGACCGGUGCUAGCCAAUUCCAACGGAGAUUCAGAGAGAACAAGGUUUAGAGAGCGGCGGCUAGGGUUUCACAACUUUUGUGAAUUAGGUUAAGCACUCACCAAAGGUUAAUAAUGUUUCAACACAAGGGUUCUAUUUAUAGAAUCACUUGUGUGGACAACAAGACAACACUUAAAUACACCGUACUUUACGGUGGACCGCGUUUCUCUAUUUUUCGUAAAUUAAAUAAUAAAGUCAUAUUUAAUUUUUUAAUUAAUAAUAAGUCUCACUUAUUAUUUUAUAAAUAAGUCUCACUUAUUAUUUUAUAAAUAAGUCUUACUUAUUUAUUUCUCUCAUCUAUCUGUCCUUUGUGUGUGACCCUAUAGGUUCCCGUAACGUUGGCAAUAAUAUUAAAUCACAUAUUUAAUAUUAUAAACAGUGAGCGGUAUCUAGCAACACAUCACUGCUACCCAAGUGACGAGAAUGUCAUGUGAUCUGACGAAACCUUUCUGUGAUAAUGAUCAUGUGUAUAAUUACCCUUUUGCCCUCAUGUCUAUAUUGAACACAAGGCAUAGACCGUGUCAUCCUUGUCUAGUUCAAUAUUGGGCCCGUAGACAUUUCUCCUGUUAUGUAGGAGGGGCAAAUUCCAUCUAGGUCACUCAUGUCCCUCAGCAUGAUUCAUGGAGUACCCAUCAACCAACUUUAUAGUCAUCCUGUUACGGACAACGUUUGAAUGGUGACAAAGCACUCGACUCCAACAUCUAGGGUACAUAGUGGUUUCAGGUCGAAGGGUGGAAUACACCACUAUCACUAUGAGAAUAUCUUAUGACACUUUUCAUAACUUUUACUAUGUAGUAUUCUCAUGGCGGAUCAAUCCAAUAUAAAUAUUACUCCUAAUAUUUAUAUCUAUGUGAAGACUUGAUAACUCUUUAUCCAUGAUCUGUGAGAUGUGAUCAUCAGUCUACCUACAUAAUAGUCUCUAUGCUUUAAUGAUAUCCCACUUCUCAACAAAGCUUGACUAUGGAUACUUUGAGAAUAGUUUCCAUAUGUUUAAUGGGGUCUCACAAUUAAGUUAUACUUAAUGUUCCAUUAAACGGACUAACUAUUCUAGGGACUUUAUUAUUUUGAAACAAAACAAAAUCAAUAAAGAAAUGCCUUGUUAUUAUAUAUUCACAAUAUAUAUUUAUAUCAAUAUCAUGAAACAAAGCCAAACCCAAUCAAUAUAGAUUGGCUAUUAGGGCUUAUUCCAACAAUCUCCCACUAGCACUAAAAGCCAAUCAAAUAUUAACUCAAUAUCUAUUGGUCAAGUGUUAGCAUCAAGCACACUCUUGACAAGAUACUAUACUAGCAAAUAAGGAACUCUUUUCUAUGUUGGUAGGUUAUACUUCUUUCAAUUUCCACUUUCGAUCUUCUAUCGAAAAGAAAUUGAAGUGUCAAAGUAUACAUUUGGAUCAUUGGUGAGAUCAAGUUUUCAUUGCUCACAAGAUUUAAAGCAAUUUUACCUCAUACGAGAUCAAUGGAAUCCGCAACGCAAGAAACACAUGUUUUCACUCAGUUAUGAGCUAAACAAUCCAAAUCAUAUAUAUUUGACAUCUGUAAUAGAAACAACAACUAUUUGAAGCUUGUACUUUUAUAAAUUUCAUAGUUGAUAUCCUAGCAUAACAUUUAUUCCAAAUUACGAUCUGGAUAUAUUGUACACUGAUAUGAAAGUCAACAUCAUUGUAACUCAUUUACAAUGUUUCUUUCAUCUGUGUUCAAGAAACAAUCUAUUGUCCUUUAAGACAUCCAAGGAUAUUCUUGAAGGUAUUAUAGUGUCGAACACUAUAAUCAAUUUUGGUACAUAUUGAAAAUAAUUUUCUAACCAUGUCUUACAUGUGUAGAUAAAUUAUUUUGGUGACUAGUAUGUCAUCUACAUACUCCACCAAAAUAAUUUCAAUGCUCCCACUAAUCUCCUUAUGUGCACAAGAUUUCUUUAUUGAUCAAAGUUUUCAUAAAACUUUGUUAAUAAAAUAAACAAUUUAACUUCGAGAAGAUUUCUCUAAUAAAUAAAUUUUGUAAUACAUUUACCUUUCUAGUAUCCUUUGGAUUAACGAAACCCUACAUAUAUGUCAAAUACAUAUAUAAGGUCAUUCUAAUUAAAGAAUGCAAUCUCUUUGCCAUUGUUCUUGUAUGUGCUGUAGAUCAUAGAAGCAACUUUGAUUCUGUCUAUUCUAGCCAUAAUAAAAUCAUCCAAGGCAAUCUCAUGUUUAGUGCCUGAACCUUUAUCACAUUUUUCUUGUAGCUUCUGACAAAGAAUUUUGAGUCUCUCUUCAUAUGUUGUUGAUAUGAGGUUAAACCCUUUUAGUUCUUCUUCAGAAGCUUUCAGUUCCAAUAGAGUUGACUUUUGUUCUUUCAUUAAAUCAACAUAUUUUUCUUUUAAAUCUGUCAACUCAUUGGUUCUGUGCUCAAACAGUGAUAAAAGUUCUUUUAGAGAAUCCACAAGUUCUUGUCUAAGAAUUUUGGAGUAUACCUCAUUUUCAUCUUCUGAAUCUGAUUCAGCUUCUGAAACUGCUUCUGAUGAUACUGUUGCCACUAACCCCAUGGCUGUCUUUGCAUCAUCAUCUGCUUCUUCUUUAUCAGAACCAGAUUCACUGUCCAAAUCUUCCCAGGUUGCCAUCAAGCUCUUUUUGAUUUGCUUUCUAAAUUUACUGGAGCUGAAGCUUGAUUUCUUGGAUUUGCUUUUAGAUUUCUCCUUCUGAAGAUCAGGGCAAUCAACAAUAAAAUGACCAGGCUUUUUGCAGUUGAAGCACCCCUUCUGAUCUUCUUUCUUUGAGUUCUUGUAGCCACCUCUCUUGCUCAAAAAUUUCUUUUGCUUCCUUGCCAGAUACUCAAGUUUGUUGGACAACAUGGCCAUCUUUACAGAUUGAUCUUCAUCAGAAUCUCCAUCAGGUGAUUCUUCUUCAGAUUCACUAGCUUUGUAGGCUUUUGAGGAUUUUGAAGUCUUUCCUUUAGAUGGUAAAGCAAUGGAUUUACUCUUCUUAGAGGAUUCAUGCUCAUUUAGACUCAUUUCAUGCACUUUGAGUGAGCUAACAAGAUCUUCAACACUUAAAGUGUUUAGAUCCCUAGCUUCCUCAAUAGCAGUUACUUUGGGUCUCCAUCUUGAAGGUAAGCUUCUCAAAAUCUUACUGACAUGAUCAGAAGCAACAUAGCUUUUCUUCAGUAUUUGCAAUCCAGAAACCAAAGUUUGAAAUCUUGAGUACAUUUCUUCAAUACUCUCAUCAUCCUUCAUUCUGAAUAGUUCAUACUGAUGAACAAGCAUCAAAGCUUUAGCCUCUUUCAACUUCUUGCUGCCUUCAAAGUUGGCACAUAGUGACGCAAACAUAGCCUUUGCAGUAGAUUUUUCACCCAUCUUCAUAUAUUCGGUGCGAGGUAUAGAAGCCACAAUAAUCCCUCUGAUUUUGUGGUGCUUCUUGUAAAGAUUUUUCUGAGCAGGAGUAUGUAUUCUUUGAAGGUGAGAAAAACACAAGAAGGGGGGGGGGUUGAAUUGUGUUUUCUUUUUCUCUUAAAAAAUACUUCUUCUGAUAAAACUUCAGAAGCACUUUGAUUGCUCCUGAUGAAGUGAUCAGAGUCAGAUUGCAGCGGAAGAGAACAGAGCAGAGAAAAGAAAGACAAAGACACAAGCAGUUAUCCUGGUUCCUUCCACAACACGGAAGUAGUCCAGUCCCCCUUGCACUUCCAAGGAGAUUUUCACUAUAAUCAACAAGAUUACAACUGCUCAAUACUUUCUAAGUAUGAGACUUCACAAAGAUGCUCAAGCACACACGCAAGAGACUUCCAAUGCUCAAGCACUAAGCAAGAGACUUCUAAUGCUCAAGCACUAAGCAAGAGACUUCUAAUCAAACAAAAGUACAGACAAUUGAGUUUGAUUUGAACACUUGAUAUACAAUCAGUGAUGUUCUCAAUACAAUACAGUAAAGACUCUAGACUUUGAAUUUCUAAGAUUUAUCAAAUCAGUGCAGAAAUUCUGUGUGCUUUGUAGAAUCAAUUUGACAGAGUUUUGGCGCUUUUGAACUUGUAUAUCUCUAUCUACAAUCUUCAAGUCUUCACUCCUUUAUAUAGAGGUGUGAAAGAGAUGUUGAGAUUAUCAGCACGUCUAAAGAGUCGUUUGAAAUCCUUUAAUCAUCCACCAGUGAUCCUUUGCCUGAUAUGGGUGUAGUCCUUUGAAGAGUUAGCUUCAAAAUCAUUCCCAUCUUGAAGGCGCACAUUCUGCAGGCAAGGCUGUUGUUUUGUCUUGUAGCGAAGACAAAAACAGAGUAAUGGAGGUAGUGGUUGUACACUUGUACUUUGUCAACUCUAGUAAAGAGAGACAAGUGCUCAGUGCUAUCCAUAUAUCCGUUGGAACCUCCCUUUCAAUUCUUUGUUCUUCUUGGAUAAGACUGAAUUGAGAGCCAGCUACUUUGAAUCUUCAGUUUGAUUGAGGGAUCAAAUGCAGCUUCUGGUGAAGAUAUUUUCCUUCUGAUGAAAACCUUGCUUCUGAUGAUCCUCUGCUUCUGAUGACGUCAUCACUUCAGAAGCACUCUGAACUUCAGGAGCGAUUUUCUUCAGAUGCUUGGAAUUCUUUUUCUUUCCAUUGUUCUUCCAGGACCUGUUGAAAUUACUUGACUAGACUUUGGUCCUGUACACUUGAACAAUUAUUAGUAAUAACCAAUUGACAAUUUUUAAUACCUUGUUAUCAUCAAAACUCAAUAAGGUUCAUUGUGAAACCCAUUUUGUUCCAACAAUCUCCCCCUUUUUGAUGAUGACAAACACUAGUAUUUAAAAUGUUCAAUUGUUGUUGAUCUAAUUAAUAAGUUGACUUCUGGAUAGAGGUUUGUAAGCUCCCCCUGAGUCUAAUAGAUCUUUAAGGUGAGGUUUGUAAGCUCCCCCUGAGUUCUAUUCUUAUUAAUUAAAUUUCAAUAAAGUAUAUAUAAAAACAAUAGCAAAAGUAUUUAAGAAGGUGGUUAUAGUGGGGCUCAGUGUCUUAAAAAUACUAUACAUUUACUCCCCCUUUUGUCAUCAACAAAAAGAAUAAGAACAAAAGACAGAGUAGCAGAGCAUAUAACCAAAUAAAAACAGAAGAAGAAUCAGAGCAAGAAGUAUCAGAGCAUAUGACAUUAAAAUCAAUAAAUAUCAUUAGAGUUUAAAAGAAAAGAGCAUAAUAUUUCAGAAACAUUGAUAAUAUUUAUAAAGAAAGGUUAAGGUACAAGGAUAAAACUACACAGAACAAAAGUAAAAACAAGCUAGAGUUGGGUGUGCAACUAAGGUUGGGCUUGCUUCUUCAACUGUUCUAAGAGAAGUCUAAUCUGUUCAUCCUUCUUCUGAAGUAGCUCAUCCUUCUUCUGAAGUAGUUCUUCCUUCUCUCUUAACUUCCUCUUAUGCCCAGCAUGAAUUCUUGCAGCUCUUGUGAUGUAUUCUGCCUCUGGAUAGAAAGGAGUGAUGUCCAGUAGAGGCACAAAGUUCAGCUCUUUCUCCUUAGCUGCUUCAUGCAUAUCAUCCAAAAGCUUUUGAAGCAUUACAGAGUGGGAUGAUACACACUUGGUUCUUAGCUGACUUAGUAGAUCAUUGAAGCUCUUUUGUAGAUCCAUCCACUGAUCAUAAUAGUGAAUAGGAGGUACAGGAACUGUUCUGCGAAGAAUCAGUGCCUGAAUCUCAUCACUAAGACUAAUCAGUUGUUCCUCUAUAUACUCAGACUCCAGGAUAUGGUCAGGAAUGGGUGAUGGUUGCAUUGGAGUUGUAUUUGAUGAGGAAGGUUGGUCAGAGGUUAAGUCUAUGAAAGUGGGUGAAUCUGGUUGUUGUUGUGGUUCUGUUGUUUGGUCAGAAGAUAUUUGUUGGUCAGGAGCAACUUGUUGGUCAGGAGCAACUUGUUCAGGAACAACUUGUUCAGAAACAGUUUGCUCAGGAAUGGUUUGGGUUUCUGUUUGGGUUUCCAAAACAGUCUUUUCAGGGACUGUCUUAGAGGCCUUUUUGGGUGUUGGUUGCAUUUCACCACCUAGAUGUUUUUCUAAGUUGUGAAUGGUUGAGGAUUCUUGGUGUUGGGGGGUUUCUGAAGUAGUUGCUUCUGAAGCUACUUCAGAGGCUUUUUGUGGAGUUUGGUUAUUUGGAGAGUUUGUUUGGUUAGGUUCUUGGUUAGGUUCAGGAUGUUGUAUACUGACAGGUUCUGGAAUAUCUGGAUAAAGAGGAUGAGAGGUAGGCAAAUUGAAUUUCUCACAUAGUUUAAUCCUAUUUUUGGAAAAUUCUAUUUGAGUUCUCUCAUAGUCAAAUGUUCCAUAUUCUGUCAGUUUGGUAGGUUUGGUUUUUAGNNNNNNNNNNNNNNNNNNNNNNNNNNNNNNNNNNNNNNNNNNNNNNNNNNNNNNNNNNNNNNNNNNNNNNNNNNNNNNNNNNNNNNNNNNNNNNNNNNNNUACUGAAUACGAANUCUANGCUCUGGUACCAACGUUAUUACUAAUUAAUGAUGUUGUUAUGUUGUAUAUGAAUUAGGAUUAAUGAUGUUGUUAUGUUGUAUAUGAAUUAUGAUUAAGAUGUUGUUAUGUUGUAUAUGAACUAUGAUUAUGAUGUGAUGAUCUAUGUUGUUAUGAUUUGGUUAAUAUGUGUUAUAUGAUGAUGUUUAUAAUGUGAUGAAUAUGAAGUAAAUGAUAAUUAGAAGUUGGUUGAACUAUUAAGAAUUAUUACAUAAAGAAUUAUUAUUACUAAUCGAUGAAAUUAAUUAUGUUGUUAAAUAUAAUUAUUGAAUUAUAUGCUUGAUAUUAUUGUUUUGUGAAAUCUCACCCCUUCUACUUGGAAAUGUUGCUCUUCGUAUCAGUAACUUGCAGGUGAUCGAGUUUAAGUUGCUGUUAGAUUGCUGUUGUGAGUGGAUUAGCUCUCAUGUGUGUCUUUAGGUGCUCUGAUACGUAACGGGAUGAGAAUUUUAUUGUUGUCUUUCUAUUCCUUAUGUAUUGUUUUAAGAAGAAUUAUGACUAUGGUUUUAGAUUGGAUUAUAUGAGAAAUUUAUGAAGAGACCUUCGUGCCAAAGACUGUUUAGUUAUUGAAUAAAUUCCGCUGCGAAGUGUUAAAGAUUUUGUUAUUGAAUUUUAAAGGAUAAAUAGUUAUUUAUUCAGUUUAUGAUUUUAAGAAAAAGAAUGUGACAUUCCAUUUAUGUGAAUACUCUGAUUAUAUUUAUGCGAAAUUUUUAUGUUGGGAAAACGGAGUGUUACAUAAUGUAUAUUUAUACAUAUUAUGUUGAGGGCUUGAUGCCCUGUAAGUUAAGGGCUUGAUGCCCUGUGAGCCUAUUUACACUCAAUACGUUAGGUGUAACGCACACCUUUGUUUAAUCGUUUAUUUAAUCGAGUUUAGGCAAUUAUAUUAUAAUUAUAUAGUAUAUGCAUGAUUUUGAUAUGUUUUGAUGAUUUGUGGUGAUUUUAGUGAUUUGAUUGAUGACGUGAUAAGUUAUGAGUUUUGGAAGAUUUGAUAAGGAUAUGAGAUUUAUUUUAUUGUUAAAUAGAAUAAAGAUUUGAAAAUAAUAUAAAAUAUUUAGUUGAGGGCUGUUUUGAUAUUUUAGAUAGUUUUGGGGGAGAAAGUGAGAUAAGAUAAGUAAUUAAUAGGAGAUAUAAAAGAUUAGACCUAGUUUAGAAAAACAUAACGUACGUACGACCGUUUUUGGAGAAAAGGGAGAAAAAGCCAAGUCUAGAGAAACCAAGGGGCAGUGCUGCGAUUUUCUUCAAACAAGGUAAGGGUGAGACUAAUAAUUCAAUAACGUUGAUUGCUGUAAUUCUGAUGAUUAAUUGACAAAGUUAGGAUUGGUUUAGAAAAGUUUUGGAAUUAGGUCAAAACCCUAAAAAUUGAUGAUCAAACGGUAAAACUUGUUUAGAUUGAUGUAGAAACCGUCCUUUAACCUUAGAACAUGUUUAGGAUGGAUUAUGGAAUCAAAAUUAGGCUUUGAACCAUGUUGUUUGAUGGAUUUUCGAGUAAACCCUUAGUCUGCCCGAGCUUCUGUUCAUCGCUCGCCUUGGCGAGGGAUGAUCCUCGCCUCGCGAGUGAUGAACUUCAUCGCCACGCGAGCAAUUCCCUUCGCCUCGCGAGUUGUGUGACGCAGCUCGCCACUGCGAGCAACCUUACUCACCAUCGCGAGCUAAGGCAGAGUGUAUGUUAGAUUUUGUGUUUCGACCUGUUUAGUUGGACCUUGUAUGCCUUUGAGUGCCUGAACAUACCUAGUAUUGAUUAGGAAUGAAUGUAGGAUCAGAGGGAACCCAGAACAAGAUUAGUUUGGGAGUUGAGUGGUACUCGCCAUGGCGAGUAAGAACUCUCGCCUCGCGAGCACAAUCAGAAUGUAGUUGCUUGAGUGUUUGUGCGAUCUGUGUCGCACGUGUUGACCAAGAGUGAACCCCUAAUUGGUAUUGAGACCUAAUGAUGACGUUUAAUGCAGUCUGUAGACUUGUUUAAGUUAUGUUGAUAUUAAUUGAACAUGAACUAAUGUAUUGUAUAUUCAUGCAAGAUAUGAAGGUUUGAUAAUGAUGCAAUUUGUGUGCUAUUGAUAUAAUGAUAUCAUCUUGUUAUGUGACUUGUUUAUGCUGCUUCCGUUAUUUAACUAAGUGCAUAAGUAUAUGAUGAAGUUUAGCUCCAAAUUAUUGGAUGCAUGUUGAUAUGCUGAUUACGAUGUUUUGUUCAUAAGUGUCCAUGCAUAGCAUCUCAUUGAGCUUAGUCCUCACCACGAUUAUUAGGAGUUUUGUCCUCCGCACAUUUUAUAGGAGCUUUGUCCUCCGCACGAUUAAAGUAUAUUAAUACUUAUGAUGACGAUUGGUACCACAUGCAUAUAAGGAGUCUAAGAGCAUUGUCACAUUGUCAUGAUUAAGAUGCCUUGUUGAUGAUGAUUGAAUACGUGAUUACGUGAUAAAUGUUUAUCAAUUAUGUUAUGUUGUUCAUGAUAAUUGGAUAUAUGAUUACGGUAUAACUGUUUAGUAAAUAUGCAAUGUUGUUAAAGAAAUGAUUAUGAUGUUAAUUUAUGAUUCGCAAUUACAUUGAUUAAUGUUAUUUUGUUAUGAAAUCUCACCCCUUCUGCUUGAAAAUGUUGCCCUUCGUAUGGGUAACUUGCAGGUGAUCGUGCUUAGUGUGCAGUUGCCGUCGUGAGUGGCCUUGUCUUCACUGUGUCGUCUAGGUCGCUCUGAUACGUAACGGGAUGGGGUUUAAUGUUAUACAUGCUUCAUUCUUUUACGUGAUUAAUAUGUUAUUUUUAUCAUGUUAUGGAUUACGAACUAUUUUAAUGGGGCCUACGUGCCAAACUGAUUUAUGAUUUUCGAAUUAGUAUUCCGCUGCUAUGUUAAGAAUAUUUUGUGAAGGUUAAAUUAUUAUUUAACUGUUUUUGGAUUACGUUUCUAUGUGAUAUCCCGUUUAUGGUUUUUACUCUGAUAAUUGUUUAAGAAAUUUGUAUAUUGGGAAAACGGGGUGUUACAUUGGGGGCUUGAUGCCCUGGUUGGUACCACAUGCAUGAUUAAGAAGUUGAAGUUGCAUUUGUCGAGUUCAAGUUCUUGAAACCGCGUUGUCGUUUUCGUUAAUUAAGUUGUAAUUUAUCAAUGAGUUGUUAAUGAAGAACUAUGCGAAGUAUUAAUAUUUAUUAAUCGUUGUUGUUUAUGUUGUUAUAUGAUGAUGUUUAUGAUGCGAAAUAUUAAUUAUUAUGUUAUUGAAUUUUGAAGGAUAAUUACUUAAUUAUUCCGUUUAUGAUUUUAAGAAAAGAAGUGUGACAUACCGUUUAUGUGGAUUAUUCUAAUUAUUUUUAUGAAAUUUUUAUGUUGGGAAAACGGGGUGUUACAAUUGGUAUCAGAGCAGGUCGGUCCGUCCGGCCAAGUAGUUGAGUCAUUUGUGUCGUGUGACAGUUGAAUACUGUCGUUGUGUUUUCUAAUUAAUGGUUAUGUUUUUAUUUUUAUUUUUUAUGUGAUCAUGUCUGACUAACUAACUUUAAUGUGAUUUUUGUGUAUUGAUGAAGUUUCCAUUUUGUUAUAUAGUUUAAGAUAUUUAAGUGAUCAUUGAAUUCAUUUUUCUCUUGUGUUUGAAUUUCGAGUACGAAAUUCUUUUAAGGGGGUAGAGUUGUAACGCCCUCUUUACUUAUUUAAUUAUUUUAUAGAGUUUAUAGUCCACUUUGAUAAUUUAUGUGAUUUUAUAUGAUUAUGUGAUGUAUUGAUAUUUUAUUUAAAGACUUGUUUUAUUAUUUACUAGAAUAAGAUUUGAAAAUAAAAUAAAUAUUGAGAUGUGGGGCUGUUUUGGAAUUUAGAAGAGUUUAGUGGAAAUAGAGGAAAUAAGAUAAAGUGGAUUGAGGAGAGAUAUAAGGAGGAAACUAGGUUUAGAAUUUUUUUUUACGUGAAACUGCUUUUUGGAGAAAAAGGGAGAAAACAAGAAAAGAAGAGAACCCAGAGGGAGAGAGACCGCCGAUCAUCAAUACUAAGGUAAGAGUGUGACUAACUUUCUCUAAUUCUAGGUUGUAUAAUUCUGAAAUUGAGUUUAACAUGUUGUAGGUUGUAGUUAUGGCAAUUUGGGAAUUAGGUUUUGAAGUUGUAAUUGGUUGUUAAUAGAGUAGAAAAUCCGUUGAAUUUAUGUUUAGAUCAUGGUGGUUAUUUUUAGUGCAAUGUUUUAUAUGGUUUUGAGUGCCUUAGCAUGUAUAGAAAUGGUUAGACAAGUUUUUGGAUCAAAUUUGGGCAUAGGGAAGUUAAAUUUGGGAAUUUCGGGUGAAAAGUGGAUUUUUCCCGAGUUGCUCUCUGACAGCAUGUCCUGUUCCAUGUUCUUGUGUCUUUUUCACACAUUUCUGUUUUGAAUUGGCCUUUGGUGUAAACAUGAAAGUUGUAGAUAAUUGAGUUAGUUUUCCAGUGGCUUUGGUUUGACAUGAAAAUGAUUUUUGGUUCUUGAGAUAUGAUGAAAAUACUCCAAGGAGGUCUUAGUGAAAUCUUAUGAAAUUGAAUAUGAGGCUGGGUAGGUGGCUUGAAUUGCUGAAGGACUAUGAAUUGAGUAGGAAGACUUUUCAUAUGUCCGCUAUGAUGGUAAAGGAGUUCGAGUUGCUUGAAUAGUUCAAAGAUUUGAGCCUAGUUUGCGAGAUGUCAUCUAAGAGUUUGAAGCUAGGAAUGCUGAAGAUUGAUAAUGAAUUUCUGAAAAGUAUUAAAGAAGCACAUAAAGUUGAUGUUAAGUUUGUAGACUUGUUGGUUGCUAGUAAUCAGACUGAAGACAGUGAUUUUAAAAUCGAUGAUCAAGGUGUGUUGAGGUUUCAAAAUAGAAUAUGUAUUCCAGACGAUGAUGAGAUGAAGAAGAUGAUUCUCGAAGAGAGUCAUAGAAGUAGCUUGAGUAUUCACCCGGGAGCUGCGAAGAUGUAACAUGAUCUAAAGAAGUUAUUUUGGUGGUCUGGGUUGAAACGCAAUGUGGCACAAUUUGUGUAUUCUUGUUUGAUUUGUCAGAAGUCGAAGGUUGAGCAUCAGAAACCUGCUGGUAUGAUGGUGUCUUUAGAUGUGCCAGAGUAGAAAUGGGAUAGCAUAUCCAUGGAUUUUGUGACAAGCUUGCCAAAUACUCCUUAAGGGAAUGACGUGAUUUGGGUGAUUGUUGAUAGAUUGACGAAGUCGGCUCAUUUUCUUCCGAUUAAUAUAAGUUUUCCUGUUUCUCAGUUGACAGAGAUUUAUAUUCGAGAUAUUGUGAAGUUGCAUGGUGUUCUUUCGAGUAUUGUAUCAGAUAGAGAUCCAAGAUUUACUUCUAGAUUUUGGAAAAGUUUGCAAGAGGCUUUGAGUUCUAAGUUGAGGUUGAGUUCGGCGUAUCAUCCGCAGACAGAUGGUCUGUCAGAGAGGACGAUUCAGUCGCUAGAGGACUUGUUGAGGGUUUGUGUGCUUGAGCAAGGAGGAACUUGGGAUAGUCAUCUUCCAUUGAUAGUGUUCAUGUACAAUAAUAGUUAUCAUUCUAGUAUUGGAAUGGCACCUUAUGAGGCUUUGUAUGGUCGGAGAUGCAGAACUCCGUUGUGUUGGUUUGAGUCAGGUGAAAGGGUGGUUUUAGGACCCGAGAAUGUUCAACAAACUACUGAGAAAGUUAAAAUGAUUCAAGAAAAGAUGAAAGCGUCGCAGAGUUGACAAAAGAGUUACCAUGAUAAGCGUAGAAAAGACCUUGAGUUUCAAGAAGGGGAUCACGUAUUUUUGAGAGUCACUCCUGUGACUGGUGUUGGACGUGCAUUGAAGUAAAGGAAGUUGACUCCGAGAUUUAUUGGUCCAUAUCAGAUAUCAGAAAGAGUUGGAACGGUGGCGUACCGAGUGGGUUUACCACCGCAUCUUUCGAAUUUGCACGAUGUGUUUGAUGUGUCGCAACUUCGGAAGUAUGUUCUGGAUCCAUCCCAUGUGAUCCAAAGUGAUGAUGUGCAAGUUAGAGAUAACCUUACGGUUGAGACUUUACCGGUGAAGAUUGAUGAUCGAAAAGUGAAGACGUUGAAAGGCAAGGAGAUACCUCUUGUGAGAGUCGUUUGGGAAGGAGCGACUGGUGAAAGCUUAACGUGGGAGCUAGAGAGUAAGAUGCUGGAAUCUUAUCCAGAGUUGUUUGCAUGAGGUAAAUUUUCGAGGAUGAAAAUCUUAUAAGUAUGGGAGAGUUGUAACGCCCUCUUUGAAUUAUUUAAUUAUUUAAUUGAGUCUAGAAGUUAUUAAGAUGAGUUUAUAUUAUAUUUAUAUGAUAUAUGUGUGAUGAAAAAGAUUUAUAUGAUUGAGGCGUUGUGACUUAUUUUAUUGUUUAAUAAAAUAAGAUUUGAAAAUAAAAUAAUUAUUGAGUUUAGGGGUUGUUUUGAGAUUUUAGAGAGUUUUGGGGGAGAAAGAGAAAUAAAAUAAGAUAAAUGGAGGAGAUAUAAAUAGGAGAGACCUAGUUUAGAAAAAAAAAAAUUACGUACGAUCAGUUUUUGGAGAAAAGAGAGAAAAAAGCCAAGAGGAGAGCAAGAGAUCUAGAGUGCUGCAAUUUUUUAUUCUAAGGUAAGGGUGAGACUAGCAUUCAAUUCUAUUAUCCUAUAUAAUUCAUAUGGUUGUAUUUAGCAAAUGUAGGAUUGAAUUAUAGAAGUUUGAAAACUAGGGUUAAUGAGAGAAAUUGAGGAUUAAUUGAUGUAGAAUGGUUAGAUUGAUGUAGGAACUAUUUACAAACUUUAGAUAAGUCAUAAGAUGAUUGCAGGAAUCAAUGUUAGGCUUAAAACCAUGUGAAAUAGUGAAUUUUCGUGAAAACUGCAAUUCUUCCCGAGCUAUGAUCCUCGCCAUAGUGAGUGAUGAACUUCAUCGCUCGCCACGCAAACAAGUUUUCCCCGCCCCGCGAGUUGCACCUUGCAGCUCGCCAUAUAGUGAGCAUAUUCAAUGGCCUAGCGAGUGUGACCAGAGAGGCAUCAUGAUUUCAUAAUUUUGACCUUUAAGUUGAACCUUAGAUGCUUUUGAGUGGCUGAACAUGUAUAAUGAUGAUUAGGAAAGAUUUUAGAAUGAGGUUGAACCUGGAAAGAUUUUAGAAUGAAGUUUUGUGAGUUGCACCUGAACUCGCCAUGGCGAGUAGAGGCUCUCGCCUCGCGAACUGCCCAAUUACAGAAUGCUUUGUUAGGUUAAAUGUGAUCCUUGUCGCACGAGUUGAUGUGAGUUGAUCUUAGAGGUUAGAAACUAAAUUGUUUAUCUUGAUGUUGCUGUUUCAGUAAGCCUGAAUUGUAUAAUCCAAUGUUGUUGUUUCGAUAUUGUUAUAUCAUGAUGAUUUGCAUACUGCCUAUGUUGCUGUUUGUUAUUUAACUAAGCUGCAUGAGUCGGUCUAAGUUGAUUAAGAUGAUGAUGUUGCCUUUGCUCACCACAUUGGGGGCUUGAUGCCCUGGAGCUUUAGCUCAAUUAUGUUGGGGGCUUGAUGCUCUGGAAGUAUAUUAAUACUUAUUACGUUGAGGGCUUGAUGCCCUGGAUUGAUACCACAUGCAUAUAAGAGGUCUAAGUUGCAUAGUCGCAUUCGUCGAGUCAAAGAUGUUAAGUUGCCAAGUUGUUGAAGUUGUGAUUCUUUAUAUAAGUUAUUAAUGAAGUGAUAUAUGAUAUAUUAUUAUCCAUGAUGAAUAUUAUGAUGUUUUCAUGUUGUUAAAUAUAAUUGUUGAAUUAUAUGUUUAAUAUUAUUGUUUUGUGAUAUCUCACCCCUUCUGCUUGGAAAUGUUGCUCUUCGCAUGAGUAACUUGCAGGUGAUCGAGAGUAGUUGUUGUUGCCUUGCUGUCGUGAGUGGUUAUCCCUCACUGAGUCUUUUAGGUGCUUUGAUACGUAACGGGAUGAGAUCUUUUGUGGCUAUUUCUUAUUCCUUUACGUAUUUGUUUUAUGAGUUUAAAUGAUUAAGUUGUUUAACUGAUUUAGGAGAUGUUUUGAUGAGGCCUGCGUGCCAAGACUUAUUUUUGUUGAUGAAUUUAAUCCGCUGUAAUGUUUUGGAAUUGAUUUAUGUUGAAGGAUAAUUAGUUAAUUAUCUCAUUUAUGAUUUUAUGAAGUGUAGCAUUUCGUUUAUGUGUUGAAUACUCUGAUAUAUGUUUGAAAUUUUUAAGUUGGGAAAACGGGGUGUUACACGGGGAGUGGUCGAUCGCCGGUGCACAAGGCACGACAAUGAACGACUCCCAACAGCUUAUAGAGGAACUGAAUCACACCGGAACGAGAGGGUUCCUGAGGUCGUGCAGGUAUGGAACUGCAUGGUUGAAGGAAAGCUUAUAAGAAUUGUUUGGUACUACCUAUAUCAACAAGAUGAAUCUUCUUUUCGGUAGCUCAUUCCAUAAGAACUCCGUACGAGUGAGGACAAAACACGCUGAAAAGACUCGUGUUGAUUUGUGGGGUCAGUCGACAAUCUUAGAUGCAAUCUGGAAUGUUACAUCAAGUUUCAGCUACCAAAGUCUACACUUUUACUACUAAUGUCAAGUCUGAAACUUCCUUCUUAUCUUCCAUGUGGACCAAUGUGGGACACUUCCUUUGAAUUAGUAACGUGUACCGGUCAAUGAAGGAUGGAUAGGUGGAUGAAGACUAGUAAUACUUAUGUAAACCAAUGCGUGCCUUUAAAAUCAAUGUCAAUGACUUAAAAAUCAAACUGACAUUUUCAAAUGGGUCCCUAAAAAUUAAUCAAGAACUGUGAUAUUUUGUUUAGACCUCAAAAGUUAAAAGUCGUUCUGAUAUUUAUUAUGUGUCCAAACAAAUACUUAAUCUCAUCUAUUGAACUGACAUUUUCAGCUCUUAUUAUGUGUCUAUACAUUAACUUGAUAUUUAUAUUUGAAAUUUGAUUCACCUCUUGUAAAUUCUUCAUAAAGUUUGAAAGAUAAAUAAUUAGUGUUGACAUCCAAUUUAAAAAGAGAAAUGAUAUUUGUACAACUAUUUUGUGACAACUUUUGUAUAACUUUCCUUCUCAUACUCACAUGAUGGUCUUAUCCUCUCUCUUCCUUUUUUUCUCUCUCUCUCUAUUAUUUUUGACCAAUAAAAAGAGAGAAAAACAAGGUUGUCAUUAAAGUUGUCAUGAAAUGGAUGUACAAAUAUCAUUUGCUGAUUUAAAAAUGAAUAAACUAAACAAGAAGCUAUCAUCUCUCUUUGAGAAACUUCAUUUCAACAUUUUAACCAUUAGAAGAGUGAGGAAAAUACAACAUGUUAGUAAGCUAGGUGUGUGAAAAUGAUUUCAUUUAUAAUUUCAGAAACUCAGUUCAAACGACAAGCAGGAAAAAAUACUUCAACUUACAAAAUGAUUGAUGUAAAAUCAUUAUUUUUCAUUUCUAAAUUUUAUCUGAUUCUAAUGUGUUGGUUGAUUUAAAAUAUCAUUUUAGUUGUAUUAAAAUAUUUACAUGGAAAUGUUUAAUUUGUAGGUGAUUGAUAAUUUCUAGUUGAAAAAAUAUAUUUUAUUUAAGCUACAGAAACGAGCAAGAAAGUAGAGGGGAAUGAAUACCCUGUAUGGUUCCUUAUAAAAUGAACCCAUGAGAAUAUUGGUCCAUGAUGGACCAAUUUUUUCAAUAGUUAGAUUAGAUGAACCCCAAAAUUUUAUCAUGAUCUAUAAACACUCAAUCUAACCCAUCUUCCCUUAUCAUUUUAUAAAAAAAUCAUUUUUACCCUUUAUAAUUAUUUUAAUUUAAAAUAUUACAUAUUGUUAUGGUAAUUUUUUUUUCUUGACAAAUUUGUUACAGUAAAUUUUUUUGUUGCUGUUUACACUUUUUUUCAUGAAUUUGUUACGGUAAAUGUUGGACAGCUGCAUAUUAUUAUUUGAUUUUAUUUUUACGAAAACUUACAAGUUUUUUUUAAGGAGAAUUUUUUUUUUUUUUUUUUUACAAAUAGGUGAAAGGGUACAUGCUAUUUUUUUUAAUAAGAAAAGGUACGUGUUAUUUUUAUUUUUUUGAAAGAAAAAAAUACAUGUUAAUGUUACCUGAAAAGUUUAAUUUAGUUACCGUUAUCAAUUAUUUAUUUUUGCAUUGUUUUUUUAGAAUAGUCAUAUUAUCCUUUCCAAAAGACUAAUAAUAGCAGUAACUGUUCAUUGCUAUCUUUUAUAAAACAAACUUUCUCGUUGCUAUGUUUAAGUAAAUGAAAAUAAAUUUUUGUGAGUAAAUAUUAAUUUAAUAUUAUAAUAUAAAAGAUAUGUUAAAUUAUUAAAUUCUAAAUAUUGAUCGAAAAUGAUGGGUUUUUAUUGAAAACAAUUGAAGAUUGAAUGUUGAAAUUACAGAAAGAAAAAGAAGGCAGAAAAAUAUUUUAAAAAGAGUAAAGAAAAUAAUCAGACAUGUAAAGUGCAUUAUGUUAUUGUGCAUACAUAUAAUCCAAUGGUUAUAAAUAUUGGUCCAUUAUGAACCAAUACUUACAUAGGUCCAAGCUAAAGGGAGCAGAUUCCCUCCUGUGAAAACUUUCUCCAGUUUUCUACUGUUUAAAUCUAAACCAUUAAAUACAUUAUCUCUCUUCAUUUUGACAUUUAAUUCCUAUUUAAUUCUUCACAUGUAUUUAUCAUUUAAUGGCUAGGAUUCCACAGGACUCUCCAGUCACAGGAGAAGAUCCAAUCCCCAAGCUAAAUGCCACUUUUUGAGACUUUGCCAAAGCUCGACAUGGUGUAACCACACGGUUAGAAGAAUUCAUUUUACUAUUUUAGUAACAUAAAUAAAGCUCUUCACAAAUAAGAACUGCUUCUUCCAAAAUGUGAUUACGUCGAAAAACAUUUAAACAAAGUAAGACUGCAUUCGUUCCAUACAAAUUUCAUCAUAUUAUUAUUCCUCAUGGAACUUCCCAACAGGAAAUCUAAAGUGAAACCAGUAGGAAUUUUUUGGGCUUUUGUCAAAACGUUAUGGAUGCAUUGAACUUGUCAAACAUAGAAACUGAUAAAACUUCCAAGCUAAGAGGUAUUUAAUACAAAAAAACAAGCAAUGUCAAGAAAUACAUUUUGCUCCUCUAAGUAUCUUUUGUAUCUCUUUAUUGGGAAUCCUGUCAUACCCAUCUAAUGUGUUCUUCCAUACUUCUAUGUUCUUUCCAAACAAGUUAGAACCCACUAUUUCUAAAACUAAGGGAAUGCCCGAACCAUAUGAAACUGCACGGUUUAAAACAUCUUCAUAACUUGGCGGUACUUUGUUAUUCUUAAAAGCCGUCCACCUCAACAAUUCAAGAGCUUCCUUCCCAUAUAGCCCUCUUACUGCAUAUGUUCUUUCUAUCCCAUGACAGGUUAGUAAGUGUUUAUCUCGGGUGGUGAUGAUGACUCUGCUUCCAGGACCGAACCAAUCAAGUCCUCCAGCCAAAGCCUCUAGCUGAUCCAGUUGGUCAACAUCAUCGAGAAUCAAAAGAAUCUUCUUCCUACAUAGCCUUUCCUUAAUGAUUGGAAUUCCCUCAGAAACAUCUCUUAACUUAAUGUUCAGUUGAACUGUUUUUGAAAGGAGCUCCUUCUGGAGAUGUUUCAAGUUUUUACGAGCUGAAUUCUCUCUAACAUUAUGAAGAAAGCAUACUCCUUCAAAUUGAUCAGCAAUGAAAUUAUAAAUUGCUUUUGCAAGUGUUGAUUUUCCCAAGCCUCUAGUACCAUAAAGUCCUACCAUGUUGACCCCUUCAUCAGAUUCCUCAUCAAGAAGCAAUUUUACUUGUUGUACUCGGGACUGUAAUCCAACAGGGUAUUUGGCAACGUGUAGAAAAACACGAUUGAUCCUAUCGGAAAUGUGUUCGACUAUAUUCUCAAUAAGCUCGUACUCAUAUCUAUUCAUGUCCAAUAGAUAAGUUAGUAAAAUCACAUCCAUGUAUUGACAAUAUAUUAUACAAUUCUAACUGUUUUGAAACAUAUACUUGUUUAAAAACAUAAAUAAAAAACAUGCUUCCUUUUUAAGCUUUAAGAUGAGAUUAAUGGGGAAAAGAAAUUAAAGAAAAGAAAAUAUAAAAAGGAAAAAUAAUAUUAAGUAAAGUGGGGUACCCUUGACUAAAAUGGUGGCCGGAGAAGUUAGCAGCUUGGGUAAGAGCCAUCUUCCAUUUCUUCAACCUCUCCAUGUUUUCCUUGUUAUUUUGGAACUUAUCUUCAUGCUUAGUAAGAUGCUCACCAUAACUCCCAGUCUGAUGUCGUACGUGAGUAGGAUCCGCACCAUAGAAAACAGGCAAAACCGAACAACCCCUUGUCUUGUAGCAGUGAAUGAUGUGGACAAGUUCGUCCAAGCAAAAUGAAGAAGAUGCAUAGUUUGCAGAAAAUAUGGGAAUCAAAAUCCUAGACUCUUCAAUGGCCUUGACAAGUGAUGGUGUGCUUUCAUCUCCUCUUUCAAGAUCGUUGUCAUCAAUGAAGGUUUUGAUUCCCUUGUCAAUAAGAGCCUUGUAGAGAUUGCCGGUAAAACCGUAAAGAGUGUCAAUGUCCCUAAAACUGAGGAACACAUGGUAUUUGAACCCAGAGGAAAUUGAAGAGGAAGAGGAAAGUGAUUGCAUAGCCAUGAGAAUUGAGAGAAAUAAGAUGAAAAAAAAGUUUGAGAAUAUGAAUGAGUAAGUUUUUGUGGUCUGUGAUGUGGAGUCUUUAAUAUGGAUCUAUAUAACAAGGAGAAAACUUGUGACAAAAAUGAUUUGUGAAACUUCUUGGCCACUUCCUAUAGCCGUGUGGACCAAUCACUAUAUGGACCUACCACCUCUUCUUGCUAAUUUCCUCAAUAUGAUUACUGUUCAAUUUUUGGACACAACUUAAAUAAAUAAACAAGUGAAAAGCCAAAUAAUAUUUCACUAUUAUUUUUUUCUUUGUUUCUGCCUAAUGCUACAAUAUACGGUUUUCAAUUUUUUUAUUUGGACACAUGAUUUCCAAUAUUGUAUUUUGACAUUGUAUACCAUUGAGAGUGAUGUUGGUUGGAGUGAGCACGACCACCCGAGAAGAGAAAAAAACUAUUUAAGACUAUGAAACCAAUAAGUAUAGCGUGUGUCUAGAUCUACGUUAAAAAAAAUUCUACAAGACAUUUUACAAGUUUUAUUUUUCAACCGAUUUUAUUCUUGUGUGUGAUUUUAUUCUUGUGUGUGAUUUUCAGUUUGUAAGUUAAUUAAUCAGUCCUAAAUAACAUGAAAUAAAAAUAAAUGCAGCCUAUGCUAUUCUAACAUCUAAUAAGACAGUUACAAAAUUAAAUCUGUUACUUAAUUACUCCUUUUUCAUUUUUGUUAUGUUAACUAUUACAAAUAGAUAUAUACAUAUAUAUGGUUGAAAGUAAGUAACAGAAGAAAUUUGAUGAAGACUAGUUCUACCUAAUAAUUUUGCUUAUUACAGAGUCAAAUUUUUUCUUUAAAAAUGGAUUUACAUGUCAUUGGUGAUCAACUAUGUCUUCAAAAUAUGACCUGUUUAACUAAAUGAUUAAUUAACCAUGCACACACAAUUAUUAGUGUAGGUUGUUAUGUUGAAUGCUUAAUUAGCCAUACAACUGUAACAUAGAAAAUUUAUAUAUAUUUCAUUCCAAAUAUGACAAGGCUUUGGAAAAAUGACUUUAAAUUUAAAUUUUCAAUUGAAGAUGAGAUGGAGAAGCUAAUUUUAUGUAAAAGAUUCUUCUAACUGAAUUAACAAUCACAUUUCAAAGUCAGAAAUAUGCUACCCUUCCCAAAGGAAUAUAUAUAUAUAUAUAUAUAUAUAUUACAUAUAUUCAAAAGUUUUGAUAGUAUUUCCGUCUUAAACUAACUAGUUAGUUAAAAACAAGAUUAGGGUAACAUAGAUAUGAAAUAUUCUUUCCUUCAUUUAUUUUCUCAAGUUUUGGCUACCAAGUCAACACUUUUACUACCGCAUGUUGAGUCUGAAACUUUCUUCUCAUCUUCCAUGUGGACAAAUGUGGGACACUUCCUUUGAAUUUCUACAUCUGUACGUGUGGACCAUUCAGCAAUAGCACCACUCAAAGACCAACCUUCAAAGUCAUUAUCCUUAACCUGUUUCCAUCAAUGAAGGAUAUGGAUAGGUGGAAGAAUAGUAAUACUUGUGUAAACUAAUGCGUGCCUUAAAAAUUAAACUAUGAAUUGCGAGCUGUGAUAUUUUGUUUAGACCUCAAAAGUCAAAAGUCUUUCUGAUAGUUAUUGUGUGUGUCAAGACAAAUACAAUCUCAUCUAUUGAACUGACAUUUUCUGCUCUUAUUCUAAGUCUAUACAAGAACUUGAUAUUUAUAUUUGAAAUUUGAUUCACCUCUUGUAAAUUCCUCCUCAUAAAAUUUUAAAGAUAAAUAAUUAGUGUUGGCACCCAAUUUAAAAAUGAAUAAAACUAAAGAAUACAACAAAUAUAAAAGUAUAAACUAUUAACGGAGGGGGGACACGGUUCUUUACUCCCAAAGAUUGUUUCAACAUCAUUUAAUAUAAUCAGAGAAUCAAUUAUCCUUUAACAACAAAAGCUAGCAACAACAACUUCAUGAUAUUUUUUUAUUAUUUCCAUUAUCCAAGGAAACAAAAGUUUACAAACGCGUCGACAUUCAAAUACAUUAUUCAAGGAUAUGGCCUCCAUAGCAAUUAUGAGCAUGGUUGUAAAUUUAAUCAAAUAAAAACACAAAUUGCAAUUAUAUUUUAUACUGCAUAGGUCAUGACUCUGGCAAAACGAUCUCAUGAAUGUUGGCUCUCAGAUUCAGUUCUUUAUCCCAUAUUACUAUAGAAAUAUAGAAAGAAAUUGUAUAAUGUUGAUAAUUACAAAUUUUGAAUAGUAGAAGUAAUGCUAGUUAUAGCAAAACCCACUAACUAUUGGUACAAGAUAUACUAACACACAGUUUUUAUUUAUAUGACCAAGCCUUUGCAUAUUUCUUCAUAUUAUCCGAUGUGGGACAUUAUUCUAAUUAUUAUUAUUGAAAUCCUCCCGCAAUUGUAUGGUUUGAGAGAGAGAUGCAACUUGGACAGUAAGUACUCGAACCUAGGAUGAAGCAGGGGUUUGGUUAGAAUAUCAGCAAGUUGAUCAUCGAUAGAAACAAAGGAUACUCGAAACUUGCCAUUUCGAACAUUUUCUCGGAAAAAAUGAUAGGCUAAGGCUAUAUGUUUCAUCCGAGAGUGAAAUACAGAAUUAGCACUAAGGUGGGUACGUAGCACCGAGGUUGUCACAAUAGAUGACUGGAUUGGAUGGUGGAGUGUGGCCUGAAGGUGAAAAACACAAGAAGGGGGGGGGGUUGAAUUGUGUUUUCUUUUUCUCUUAAAAAAGGAUUCUUCUUCUGAUAAAACUUCAGAAGCAGUUUGAUUGCUUCUGAUGAAAUGAUCAGAGUCAGAUUGCAGCGGAAAAGAACAGAGCAGAGAAAAGAAAGACAAAGACACAGGCAGUUAUCCUGGUUCCUUCCACAACACGGAAGUAGUCCAGUCCCCCUUGCACUUCCAAGGAGAUUUCACUAUAAUCACAAGAUUACAACUGCUCAAUACUUUCAAAGUAUGAGACUUCACAAAACAAUGCUCAAGCACACACGCAAGAGUCUUCCAAUGCUCAAGCACUAAGCAAGAGACUUCUAAUGCUCAAGCACGCAGGCAAGAGACUUCUAAUCAAACAAAAAUACAGAGAAUUGAGUUUGAAUUGAACACUUGAUAUACAAUCAGUGGUGUUCACAAUACAAUACAGAAAAGACUCUAGACUUUGAAUUUCUAAGAUGUAUCAAAUCAGUGCAGAAAUUCAGUGUGCUUUGUAGAAUCAAAUUGACAGAGUUUUGGCGCUUUUGAACUUAUGUAUCUCUAUCUAAAAUCUUCAAGUCUUCAUUCCUUUAUAUAGAGGCGUGAAAGAGACGUUGAGAUAAUCAGCACGUCUAAAGAGUCGUUUGAAAUCCUUUGAUUAUCCACCAGUGAUCCUUUGCCUGAUUUGGGUGUAGUCCUUUGAAGGAUAAACUUCAAAUUCAUUCCCAUCUUGAGUGUACAAAUUCUGCAGGCAUGGCUGUUGUUUUGUCUUGUAGCGUAGACAGAAAACAGAGUAGUGGAGGUAGUGGUUGUACACUUGUACUUUGUCAACUCUAUUAAUGAGAGACAAGUGCUCAGUGCUAUCCAUAUAUCCGUUGAUACCUCCCUUUCAAUUCUUCAUUCUUCUUUGAUAAGACUGAAUUGAGAAUCAGCAACUUUGAAUCUUCAGUUUGACUAAAGGAUCAAAUGUAGCUUCUGGUGAAAAUAUUGCUUCUGAUGAAAACUUUUGCUUCUGAUGACUUUCUGCUUCUGAUGACGUCAUCUCUUCAGGAGCAGUUUAGCUUCAGGAGCAGUUUUCUUCAGAUGCUCAGAAUUUCUUUUUCUUUCCAUUGUUCUUCCAAGACCUAUUGAAAUAACUUGAGUAGCCUUUGGUCCUGUACACUUGAACAAUUAUUAGUAAUAACCAAUUGACAAUUUUUAAUACCUUGUUAUCAUCAAAACUUAAUAAGGUUCAUUGUGAAACACAUUUUGUUCCAACAAUCUCCCCCUUUUUGAUGAUGACAAACAAUAGUAUUUAAAAUGUUCAAUUGUUGUUGAUCUAAUUAAUAAGUUGACUACUGGGACAGAGGUUUGUAAGCUCCCCCUGAGUCUAAUAGUUCUUUAAGGUGAGGUUUGUAAGCUCCCCCUAAGUUCUAUUCUUAUUAAUUAAAUUUCAAUAAAAUACUCAUAAAAAUCAAAUCAGAGGUAUUUAAAAGAAGUUUAGAAGUUGUUAUAGUAGGGCUCAGUGCCUUAAAAAUACUCAUAAAAAUCAAAUCAGAGGUAUUUAAAAGAAGUUUAGAAGUUGUUAUAGUAGGGCUCAGUGCCUUAAAAAUACUAUACAUUUACUCCCCCUUUUGUCAUCAACAAAAAGAAUAGAAACAAAAGAAAGAGUAUCAGAGCAAGCAGCAUUAAACAGUAAAUAUCAUCAGAGUCAAAGCUUGUAAAACAUAUUGAAGGUGAAAAAGCACAAGAUCCAGAAACAAUGAUAAUAUAUAUAAAGAAGAUUAAGAUACAAGGACACAGCUACGAAGAACAAAAGUAAAAAACAAGCUAGAGUUGGGUGUGCAACUAAGGUUGGGCUUGCUUAUACAACUGUUCUAAGAGAUACUUGAUCUGAUCAUCCUUCUUCUGAAGUAGCUCAUCCUUUUCCCUCAUUCUUCUUUUAUAUCCAGCCUGAAUUCUAGCAGCCCUAGUGAUGUACUCUUCUUCUGGAUAGAAAGGAGUGAUGUCCAGCAGAGGCUCAAAAUUCAGCUCUUUCUCCUUAGCUGCUUCAUGCAUAUCAUCCAAAAGCUUCUUCAGCAUAGCAGAGUGAGAUGACACACAUUUAGUUCUAAGCUGAUCCAGCAGCUCAUCAAAGCUCUUCUGUAGAUCCAUCCACUGAUCAUAAUAGUGAAUAGGAGGUGCAGGAACUGUUCUGCGAAGAAUCAGUGCCUGAAUCUCAUCACUAAGUCUGAUCAGUUGUUCCUCUAUAUACUCAGACUCCAGGAUAUGGUCAGGGAUGGGUGAAGGUUCAGUUUGAGUUGUAUUUGAUAUGGAAGGUUGGUCAGAGGUUAAGUCUAUUAUAGUGGGUGAAUCUGGUUGUUGUUGUUGUUCUGUUGUUUGGUCAGAAGGUAUAUGUUGGUCAGAAGUUGUUUGGUCAGGAGCAACUUGUUCAGAGGCAGUUUGCUCCUGAACAGUUUGCUCAGGGAUGGUUUGGGUUACUGUUUGGGUUUCCAAGACAGUCUUUUCAGGAACUGUCUUAGAGGCCUUAGUGGGUGUUGGUUGCAUUUCACCACCUAGAUGUUUUUCUAAGUUGUGAAGGGUUGAGUAUUCUUGGUGUUGGGGGGUUUCUGAAGUAGUUGCAUCUGAAGCUACUUCAGAGGCUUUUUGUGUGGUUGAGUUAUGUGGUGAGUUUGUUGUAGGUUCUGGGUUGGGUUGAGGUUGUUGUACACUAACAGGUUCAGGAUUAUCUGGAUAGAGUGGAUGAGUAGGAGGCAAAUUGAAUUUCUCACAAAGUUUAAUUCUAUUCUUAGAAAAUUCUAUUUGAGUUUGCUCCCAGUCAAGUGUUCCUAAAUCUGUUAGUUUGGUAGGUUUGGUUUUUAGAAGCUUGUCUAUGUGUUGGCUAAGGGGUUGGUCAUCUGAUUCUGUUGAUGAUGAAGAGGGUGAAGAGGGUAGAGAUGGAAUCUGAGUAUUAGUUGGAGCGUUAGAUGGAUUACCUGAAGACUGAGCUUCUGGAUGAACUGCUUCUGGAGCUUCUGAAGCUGGUUCUGAUGAAGUUGCUCCUGAAGCUUGCUUAUUCUUCAAGGCUUGAGAAAGCAGAGUUGCUCCAUACUUAACAGUUUCUAACUCCGAUGCUAAAGCAGCAAUGUCAGGAGUAGGCACAUACCCUGCAGCCUUGAGACGUUCAUCCCUUUCUUGUUCAUACAAAAUCUUCAUCCUUUUCUUUUCUGCUAUCUUGGAUGCAGCAACCUCCCUAGUAUACUGCUCCAUUUCUUCAGUCAUUUCGAAACUGGGCAUGACUAUGGGCUCAGAAGUUGCAGUCCUUUUUGCUUUCUUAGGGCUUGAGUCUUCAUCCCAGUUCUCUUCCAGUUCUUCCAACAUUUGUGCCCUUCUUCCUUCACUUGUCUUCAGAUUUCUUGUUAAAUUAGACCUUUUCCUUUUGAUGGUCUGAAGAGCAGCUUCUCUUUUAUUUUUGGGACUUGGAGGCUUUUCAGAAGCAGCUUGAUCAGAAGCAGCUUGUUCUGAACCAGCUUGUUCAGAAGCAGGCUGUUCUGCUGUUUCUUGAGUACUCCUUGUCCUUUUUCUGAUAAGAGGGACAUCUUCCAAAUUCUCCACUUCCUCAAGAAUGGUGGACAUAGCAGAUUUUACCUUUUUAGCUUUCUUAUGCUUCUGAGCACCCACCUCAGUAGCAUUUUCAGCAAGGUAUUCUUCCUUGGUGAUCUGCUUCUUCUUAGAUUUUCUGCUUUUGGCCACAGGCAGCUCACCACCAUACAUUUGGUCAGGAACAUCCUUCAAGCUGAUUUUCUGGUUAAAGGAUUUGUAGUGAUCCAUGAUAUAUGCCCUUUGAACCUCCAAGGGAUCUUGUUUACAGAUGGGAGGAAAGUCUGGGAUAAGAUCUGAUUUGGCAUCAGAAGGUUUCAAGUCAGUAGGACUCUUCUUCACAUCUUUUGCUUUAAUCAGAUGCAUAGCCCUUAGAGUCUCACCAUUGAUAAUCUUCCCUCUAACAGUUCCCAACUGUUCAUCUGUGAAGAUCUGAGCUUCUUUCAGCAUCUCAAUAAUUCCUCCCUGAUGGAAAAUCUCAGAGAGUAGUCUUCCAUAGGGUACCCAAGACCUUUUAUUCAGUUGACUCUCUCUGAGUUGAUGAACCAUAUGUCUGAAUAUGUAUCUGGGAAUAUUUGCCUCUACACCCUUUAUGACAAAGUGUAAGAGGAUUUUAUGUUCCAGAGAGGGCUGAUCACCACCACCACCUUUUGGUAGUAGGUUUUCGUUCUGAAUCUUCAACAUAACCUUUGUCUUGGUGUUCAUGUCAGAAUAGGCAAAGUCCUUUACCUUGUUGUAGAGAGUUUUGUUAACAAUAGCAUUCCAGGGGCUGUCCUUUGGCUUUGAAAUCCCAGCCUCAUGUUCUCCUUCUGCUGGUCUUCUGAUGACAAAGGCAAUAGUGUCCUCAGUGAUCCAGACACGGAUUCCCAUGAUGCUUGAUCUUAUCUGGGUUUUGGAGAAAGUUUCCAAGCCCAUUUCCGCUCUAGACUUCCCUUUGAGUUCAGGAUUGAGAAGAACUUUUUCAUCUUCUUCAAUCUUGGCGGCUUCCCUGUCGUAGAUGCUGGCUCUAACCCAGAAAUGACGAACCAGUGUUUGAUAAGUUGGUCCAUUUAGAAGAUUGAAGUACCUUCCCAGACCUUGUUUCUCGUAGUACUUGCCAAUGUCACAGUCGUGAGCGGCCAAAGAAUCAAAAUCCACCGGACUUUCUGAUUGAAUGUUUAAUUCCCAUUCCUCCAAGGACAUAGUUCUUCCUUUGAUUUCAUAAGCAGGAGUAUCUAUAUCCAUAUUCGAUGAAGAACCACCGGCAGAACUUGAAGAUGCCAUUGAUAUGAAGUGGUUUUAGGGUUCUAAAGAGUUUUUGAGAGGAUGAGAGAAUGUGCUUACUUACACAGAGGGUUGAGAAGAAAUUAGAAAGUGUUUGUUGUGAAGUGAGAAGUGUGUGAAAUGACUUAGUGUUUUUUAUUAAAACGUUUGUAAUUCAGAAGGGACAAACAAACACAGCAUUAAUGACAAAUUGGGGGCGCGUGUAAGUAUGUUAAAAAGCGAAUAAAAACAUCAUUGCCCUUUUUGUUAUACUCCAAUACAAAUAGACCACGUCAGAGACUCUUCAGAAAACUACCUUUUGGGUAAUGGGACAGCUGUUACAUAAAGUAACUGCCAGCGUUCCCACUAACCAAGCUAUUCAGAAGCAAAGAAUAACACUUCUGAAGUUUUAGUGCUGACGUCAUCUUCAGAAGCACAUUUUCCUCAGAACCUCAGUUUAAGAGCUUCUGAUGAACCAAAAAUGCUCCUGAAUAAACUUCAGAACCAAACUUCUUAUUCAGAGGCAAGCCAUUUUUCAAUCAGACACAAAAUGCAUGUUCAAAUUUUUCUUAAUAAAAUCAAAUCUUUCAACAGACAAAGGUUUUGCAAAUAUAUCAGCCCAUUGAUGUUCAGUAUCAAUGAAUUGUAUAUCUAAAAUUCCUUUUUGAACAUAGUCUCUGAUAAAAUGGUGUUUGAUUUCAAUAUGCUUGGCUCUUGAAUGUAGAAUUGGAUUCUUUGACAAACAAAUAGCAGCAGUAUUAUCACAAUAAAUGGGAAUACUGUUAGCAUUGAUCUGAUAGUCUUCCAACUGAUGUUUCAUCCAAAGUAGUUGUGUGCAACAACUUGCAGCUGAAAUGUACUCUGCUUCUGCUGUAGACAUAGCAAUAGUUGCUUGUCUUUUGCUUGCCCAGGAUAUCAGAUUCUCUCCCAGGAAUUGACAAUUUCCACUGGUUGAUUUUCUUUCAAUCCUAUCACCAGCAUAAUCAGCAUCACAGAAUCCAAUCAACUUAUAAUCUAGGGAUUUCCUAUACAGGAGUCCAAGAUUAGUUGUUCCUUUCAGAUACCUGAAGAUUCUCUUAACUGCAGUUAAAUGAGAUUCUCUAGGAUCUGAUUGAAAUCUUGCACACAAGCAUACACUGAAUAAAAUAUCAGGUCUAGAUGCAGUGAGGUAUAACAGAGAACCAAUCAUACCUCUGUAUAGCUUCUGGUCUACUACUGUUCCAGUAUCUUCUUUGCUUAAGGUGCAGGUUGGAUGCAUUGGAGUGUUCAUCACUUUACAAUCUUCUAGCUUGAACUUCUUCAGAAGCUCCUUUGUAUAUUUUGUUUGAUGAACAUAUACUCCUUCUUUACUUUGGUUGAUUUGAAUUCCCAGAAAGAAUUUCAAUUCUCCCAUCAUACUCAUUUCAAAUUCAUCCUGCAUUAACUUAGAAAAUUCUUUGCAAAGAGAUGCAUUAGUAGAACCAAAUAUUAUAUCAUCAACAUAUAUUUGCACAAUCAAAAUAUCUUUCUUAAGAGUCCUUCUGAAGAGUGUUGUGUCAACUUGUCCUCUUUCAAAAUCAUUUUUAAUUAAGAAAUUACUUAGUCUAUCAUACCAAGCUCUGGGAGCUUGUUUCAAGCCAUAUAGUGAUUUCUUAAGUUUAUAAACAUGGUCAGGAUGCUUAAGAUCCUCAAACCCAGGAGGUUGUUUAACAUACACUUCUUCUUCAAUGACACCAUUAAGAAAAGCACUUUUGACAUCCAUUUGAUAUAAUAUUAUGCCAUGAUUAAUUGCGUAGGAUAGAAGUAACCUGAUUGCUUCCAAUCUUGCAACUGGAGCAAAUGUUUCAGUGUAAUCAAUGCCUUCUUGUUGACUGUAGCCUUGAGCAACAAGUCUGGCUUUGUUUCUGGUUACUUCUCCUUGUUCAUUCAGCUUGUUUCUGAAUACCCAUUUUGUUCCAAUAAUGUUCUUCUGAGAAGGUUUGGGUACCAGAUCCCACACAUCAUUCCUUUGGAAUUGAUUUAGCUCUUCUUGCAUAGCUAAUAUCCAUCCGUCAUCUGAGAGAGCUUCUUCAACAGUUUUAGGCUCAAUUAUUGAAAGCAGUCCUAUUAGAGACUCUUCUUGUCUAAAAUGUGAUCUUGUUCUUCUAGGACUAUCUUUGCUUCCAAUGAUUAACUCCUCAGGAUGUGAAGAUUUGUGCUUGAAUUUAGGUUGAAUAACCUGCUGAGUGUUAUCUUGAAAGUCCUCAGAAGCACUUUCAUUCUGUACUUUUGGGCUAGGUUCUGCUUCUGAAUUAGACUCAGCUUCUGGAGUGAUUUCAGCUUCUGGACAAGAUUCAACUUCUGUAUACUUUUCAGAAUCAGAAGGUUGAUCAGAUUCUGAUGCAUCUUCAGAAUCAGUUGUACCUGCAUUACUUUCACUUUGCUCUGAAGUUUUACUUCCAGGCUCUCUAUCAUCAAAUUUUACAUGCAUAGAUUCUUCAACACAUUGUGUUUCUGAAUUAUACACUCUGUAUGCCUUUGACCUUUCAGAGUAACCUAAAAAGAUUCCUCUUUGAGCCUUGGCAUCAAAUUUCUUCAGAUAGUCUUUAGUGUUUAAGAUGUAACAAGUACAUCCAAACUGAUGAAAGUAAGAGAUAUUGGGUCUUCUUCCUUUAAAGAGUUCAUAUGUUGUUUUCUCCAACAUAGGUCUGAUAUAGAUCCUAUUUUGAAUAUAACAUGAAGUAUUGACUGCUUCUGCCCAAAAAUGUUUAGCUAAGUUGUUUUCAUGGAUCAUGGUUCUGGCCAUUUCUUGUAAGGUUCUGUUCUUUCUUUCUACAACCCCAUUUUGUUGUGGAGUUCUAGGAGAAGAAAACUCAUGGAGAAUCCCAUGUUUUUCACAAAAAAGUUCAAAUGGCUCAUUUUCAAAUUCUCCACCAUGAUCACUUCUGACUUUCAAAAUUUUCAAUUCUUUUUCAGAUUGUAUUUGAGUGCAGAAGCUGCUAAACACUUCACAUGCAUAGUCUUUACUUUUAAUGAAUUUUACCCAAGUCCAUCUGCUGUAAUCAUCAACAAUGACUAAUCCGUAUUUACUUCCAUAUAAAGAUGCAGUGUUAACUGGACCAAAAAGAUCAAUAUGGAGUAAUUCUAAGGGUCUGGAGGUUGAUAUAAUGUCCUUAGAUUUGAAAGAACUUUUCACAAUUUUCCCUUUCUGACAUGCACCACAAAGUGCAUCUGAAUGAUAAUCAAUGUUAGGCAAUCCUUUGACCAGUUGUAACUUGCUAAUUUUAGAAAUUAAUCUCCAAUUAGCAUGUCCCAACCUUUUAUGCCAUACCCAUUUUUUAUCAUUCAUUGACAGAAGGCAAACUACCUUCUGAUCAGCCAGAUCAGAGAAAUUUAUUUUAUAAACAUUCUCAACUCUCUUUCCCUUGAAUGUAAUGGAUUUGUCAUCCUUGUUGACUAGUGUGCAGUUGGUCUUACUGAACGUUACAUCAUACCCAUUGUCACAAAAUUGACUAAUGCUCAAUAGGUUAUGCUUCAGACCAUCUACUAGCCACACAUUAUUAAUUGAGAUGGAGGAAUUACCAAUAGUACCUGUACCAAUGAUCUUUCCAGUUUGGUUGCCACCAAACUUCACUUCUCCUCCAUCUUUCAUUGUAAGGGUAAGGAACAAAGCUUUCUCUCCAGUCAUGUGCCUUGAACAUCCGCUGUCUAGGUACCAUGACCUUUGUUUCUCUCUUGCCCUUAAGCACACCUGCAUUUUUGGCCAAUUCAGAUUUAGGUACCCAUAUCUUCAUGGGUCCUUUUGGGUUAGUUUUGGAGGUUUUACUUUUCCUCCCUUGCACCUUAGGGUGAAUGCUGAGUGGCUUCUGAUCAUUCAAUACUUUGGGUUUGACACCUUUUGGUAUUGUUUUCUCAGAAGCAGUAGCUGCUUUGUUCUUCUGAUCCUUUUGUUUUGGAAUUUUAGAUUCUGGUUUAAUCAGAUUCUGAUGAACAGGUUCUGAUCUUUUCAGAAUUUUAAUCUUUUGACUCUUAGGAUCAGAUUUUGUCAUUACCUUGAUCUUAAGAUUCUCUGGCUUUGAUGUGAUCUUAGCCUGUGAACCUGAAGCUUCAGGUUUUGACUGAACAGCAGUUAUAGCAUUUGUACCUUCAGGCACAAAGGUGGAUUUCAAUCCAUCCUUGAUACAAUCACAGUAGCUCUUGAGACUGUAUUCUUUGGAUUUCUCCUCAGAAUAUCCAAUCCCUUUGCCUUUGUUCUUGUAUGUGCUGUAGAUCAUAGAAGCAACUUUGCUUCUGUCUAUUCCAGCCAUAAUAAAAUCAUCCAAGGCAAUCUCAUGUUUAUUGCCUGAACCUUUAUCACAUUUUUCUUGUAGCUUCUGACAAAGACUCUUGAGUCUAUCUUCAUAUGUUGUUGAUAUGAGGUUAAACCCUUUGAGUUCUUCUUCAGAAGCUUUCAGUUCCAAUAGAGUUGAUUUUUGUUGUUUCAUCAAAUCAACAUAUUUUUCUUUUAAAUCUGUCAACUCAUUGGUUCUGUGUUCAAACAGUGAUAAAAGUUCUUUUAGAGAAUCAACAAGUUCUUGUCUAGGGAUUUUGGAAUAUACCUCAUUUUCAUCUUCUGAAUCUGAUUCAGCUUCUGAUACUGCUUCUGAUGAUACUGUUGCCACUAAUCCAACGGCUGCCUUAGCAUCAUCAUCAGCUUCUUCUUUAUCAGAACCAGAUUCACUAUCCAAAUCUUCCCAGGUCGCCAUCAAGCUCUUUUUGAUUUGCUUUCUGAAUUUACUGGAGUUGAAGCUUGAUUUCUUGGAUUUGCCUUUAAACUUCUCCUUCUGAAGAUCAGGGCAAUCAGCAAUGAAAUGACCAGGCUUCUUACAAUUGAAGCAUCCCUUCUGAUCUUCUUUCUUGAAGUUCUUGUAGCUACCUCUCUUGCUCAAAAAUUUCUUCUGCUUCCUUGCCAGAUACUCAAGCUUGUUGGACAGCAUAGCCAUCUUUACAGAUUGAUCUUCAUCAGAAUCUCCAUCAGGUGAUUCUUCUUCAGAUUCACUGGCUUUGUAGGCUUUGGAAGACUUUGAGGUCUUUCCUUUAGAUGGUAAAGCAAUGGAUUUACUCUUCUUAGAGGUUUCAUGCUCAUUUAAACUCAUUUCAUGCACUUUGAGUGAGCUAACAAGAUCUUCAACACUUAAAGUAUUUAGAUCCUUAGCUUCCUCAAUAGCAGUUACUUUGGGUCUCCAUCUUGAAGGUAAGCUUCUCAAAAUCUUACUAACAUGAUCAGAAGCAACAUAGCUUUUCUUCAGUAUCUGCAAUCCAGAAACUAAAGUUUGAAAUCUUGAGUACAUUUCUUCUAUACUCUCAUCAUCCUUCAUUCUGAAAAGUUCAUACUGAUGAACUAGCAUCAAAGCUUUAGCCUCUUUCACCUUCUUGCUGCCUUCAAAGUUGGCACAUAGUGACGCAAACAUAGCCUUCGCAGUAGAUUUGUCACUCAUCUUCAUGUAUUCAGUGCGAGGUAUAGAAGCCACAAUAAUCCCUCUGAUUUUGUGGUGCUUCUUGUAAAGCUUCUUCUGAGCAGGAGUAUGUAUUUUUCUAUCUAUAGCAGCUCCUUCUUCAUCUAAAUCCAGGUCAUCAACUCCAUCUUCCAGUAUGUCCCAUAACUCUUCAUCUAAUCCCAUGAUAAAGCUGUACAUAUUAGUUUUCCACCAAGAAAACUCUUCUGGAUCUCCAUUAAACCUUGGAGCUUUUCCAGAGUCUGUUUUCUUGUCAGCAGUAUCAUAGUCAUGCUUGACGCUUGUGUAUUUUGGAGUAACUGAUUCCUCAUCUCCAGACAUGUUUUUCUAAUAGAUCUUGAACUGUAACACGGUUAAGUGCUGUGAUAACAGAGCAGGCUCUGAUACCAAUUGAAGGUGAAAAACACAAGAAGGGGGGGGUUGAAUUGUGUUUUCUUUUUCUCUUAAAAAAGGAUUCUUCUUCUGAUAAAACUUCAGAAGCAGUUUGAUUGCUUCUGAUGAAAUGAUCAGAGUCAGAUUGCAGCGGAAAAGAACAGAGCAGAGAAAAGAAAGACAAAGACACAGGCAGUUAUCCUGGUUCCUUCCACAACACGGAAGUAGUCCAGUCCCCCUUGCACUUCCAAGGAGAUUUCACUAUAAUCACAAGAUUACAACUGCUCAAUACUUUCAAAGUAUGAGACUUCACAAAACAAUGCUCAAGCACACACGCAAGAGUCUUCCAAUGCUCAAGCACUAAGCAAGAGACUUCUAAUGCUCAAGCACGCAGGCAAGAGACUUCUAAUCAAACAAAAAUACAGAGAAUUGAGUUUGAAUUGAACACUUGAUAUACAAUCAGUGGUGUUCACAAUACAAUACAGAAAAGACUCUAGACUUUGAAUUUCUAAGAUGUAUCAAAUCAGUGCAGAAAUUCAGUGUGCUUUGUAGAAUCAAAUUGACAGAGUUUUGGCGCUUUUGAACUUAUGUAUCUCUAUCUAAAAUCUUCAAGUCUUCAUUCCUUUAUAUAGAGGCGUGAAAGAGACGUUGAGAUAAUCAGCACGUCUAAAGAGUCGUUUGAAAUCCUUUGAUUAUCCACCAGUGAUCCUUUGCCUGAUUUGGGUGUAGUCCUUUGAAGGAUAAACUUCAAAUUCAUUCCCAUCUUGAGUGUACAAAUUCUGCAGGCAUGGCUGUUGUUUUGUCUUGUAGCGUAGACAGAAAACAGAGUAGUGGAGGUAGUGGUUGUACACUUGUACUUUGUCAACUCUAUUAAUGAGAGACAAGUGCUCAGUGCUAUCCAUAUAUCCGUUGAUACCUCCCUUUCAAUUCUUCAUUCUUCUUUGAUAAGACUGAAUUGAGAAUCAGCAACUUUGAAUCUUCAGUUUGACUAAAGGAUCAAAUGUAGCUUCUGGUGAAAAUAUUGCUUCUGAUGAAAACUUUUGCUUCUGAUGACUUUCUGCUUCUGAUGACGUCAUCUCUUCAGGAGCAGUUUAGCUUCAGGAGCAGUUUUCUUCAGAUGCUCAGAAUUUCUUUUUCUUUCCAUUGUUCUUCCAAGACCUAUUGAAAUAACUUGAGUAGCCUUUGGUCCUGUACACUUGAACAAUUAUUAGUAAUAACCAAUUGACAAUUUUUAAUACCUUGUUAUCAUCAAAACUUAAUAAGGUUCAUUGUGAAACACAUUUUGUUCCAACAUGGCCAAAUUUAGUGAAUAGGGAAAGGACCCAUAACAGCUCACUCGCCGUGUCAGCCAAGGCUUUAUAUUCUGCUUCUGUAGAAGAGCGAGCAACAGAACAUUGUUUUAGAGAGCUCCAAGAGAUGGGCGUGCUGCCAAGAUAUAAUAGAUAACCAGUGGUCGCCUGCCCAGUCCGCAUCUGAGUAGGCAUGGAGAUUUAAUGGGUCGGUCGUCGAAAUGAAGACACCUUUGUCACAGGAACCCGCCAAAGUAUAGGAGCACUCUUUUGAGUGCAGUCCAAUACACCGUUCUGGAGUUUUGCAUGAAUUGGGCGAGUUUGUUUGUGUUGAAGGCAAUGUCUAGGAGAGUAAGGCUCAAGUGUUGGAGGCUUCCAACGAGCGCUCGAUACUCGGUUGGGGACGUACGGUAGGAGAUCGCCGGAAUCCUUGAGUAACUUAUUUGUGGCAGACAAUGGAGCGAAUGUUUGUUUUGUAUCUGCCAUGCCUGACUUAUGCAGUAGAUCAGUGAUAUAUUUCCUUUGGGAAAGGAAUAUGCCCGUAGUAGAGGGAAUAACUUCGACCCCCAAGAAAUAAUUAAGACAUCCAAGGUCUUUCAAAGAAAAACGAGCAGCAGGUGUGGCGAUGAGUGUUGAGACCUCUGCAGGAGAACUCCCAGUGACAAUGAUAUCAUCAACAUAUACUAAUAAGUAUGGUGUGUAACGCCCUCUUUAAUUAUUUGAUUAUUUUAAAUGAGUUUAGAAUAUACUUAUAUGAUUUGUAUGAUUUAUUUUGAUGAGUGAUAUUUUGUUAUGUUAUAUGUUGGUAUUUAUUAGUAUAAUAUAUAUGUUAUUUGAUUUAGAAAUAUGUAUAUGUUAUUUGAUUUAGAAAUAUAUAUAUGUUAUUUAGAAAUAUAUAUGUUAUUUGAUUUAGAAAUAUAUAUAUGUGAUUUAGAAAUAUGUAUAUGUUAUUUGAUUUAGAAAUAUAUAUAUAUAUAUGUUAUUUAGAAAUAUAUAUGUUAUUUGAUUUAGAAAUAUAUAUGUUAAUUGAUUUAGAAAUAUACAUGAUUUGUCAUAGAAAUAUACAUGAUCUGUUAUAGAAAUAUAUAUGAUUUAUGGUAGAAAUAUAUGUCAUUUGCUAUGGAAAUAUAAAUGAUUUGUUAUAGAAAUAUAUAUAAUUUGUUGUAGAAAAUAUAUGUUAUUUAGUAUGGAAAUAUAUAUAUGUUAUAGAGAUACAUUUGUUAUUUAUUAUUGUUAUAGAAAUAUUUUAUAAUAUAUAUAUAUAUAUAUAUUAGAAUAGAAUAUUAAGAUUGGGAUAUAAGAGAAAAAUAAGUAGGUUAAGGAUUUAUAUAAAUAGGAGAGACCUAGUUUAGAAAAAACAUAACGUACGACUGUUUUUGGAGAAAAGGGAGAAAAAGUCAAGAGAAGAGGGAGAAGACCUAGAGGCUGCGAUUUUUAUUCUUUAAGGUAAGGGUGAGACUAACUUUGCAAUUCUAUUAAGUAUGUGAAUCAAUUGUUAGGUUUAACAUGAUGUAGGAUGAGUUUUGAGGAAUUGAAAAGUAGGUUAAAAUUGUAGAAUUAAUGAAUAAACGGUGGAAACUUGUUAAAAAGAUGUAGAAACUGUUCUUAGACCUUAGAUAAUGAUUAAGAUGAAUUCUGGAAUUGAGAUUAAGCUUAAAACCAUGAGAGUUGAUGAUUUUUAGGCAAAACUGCACUUCUGCUUGUAGCGACAUUCAUCGCUCGCCUCCCGAGCUAUGAUCCUCGCCACGGCGAGUGAUGAACUUCAUCGCUCGCCACGCGAGCAACCUUUCCUCGCCUCGCGAGUUGCACGUUGCAGCUCGCCAUAGCGAGCAGUUGAACUCGCCUCGCGAGCUUGACCAGAGAGCAUGCAAGAUUUCGUGAUUUUGACUUUUGAGUUGAACCUUAGAUGUCUUUGAGUACCUUUAGGUGUCUACUAGAUAUUAGAGGAUUAAUUAGAACAAGAUUGAACCUGGAACAACCUUAGUUGGGAAUCUGGCUUGUACUCGCCAUGGCGAGCGGAUGCUCUCGCCUCGCGAGCACUUCCAGAAUUGAGUGCAUUUGAGGAUUUUGAGACCUGAGUUGCUUGGAUUGAUUAGGAGAGGAACCUUAGGUACUAAUGAGACCUAUUUAAGAUGUUAACUGAGAACUGUGAAGCUAUUGUGAAAUGUUAAGUGAUUAUAAUGUGAUAUAAUGUUUUAUGCAUUACCUAAGAAUUAUUUGAAUACUCAAGAUGUUGUUGAAUUGAAAUUGAUAAUAUUAUGUCAUGCUGUUUGUAUGCUGCCUAUGUUGCUGUUGUUGGUUAUGUGAAAUAUUUAUAUGCCUUAUGUGGAAAAUGUAUGAUGUUUAAGUUGUUGAUGCUUCACAUUAAUAUUGUUAUGUUGUGAAUUGCUUGUGCUGUUUCUGUUGCUGUUAUGAACUGCUAAGUUGUUUGUAAUGUGAUUUAAUGAUUAAAUGCAUUACUCUAAAUAUUAAUGAAUGAUCAAGAUGUUGUUGAAAUGAAUUGUUAUUAAGCUUGAUUGAUUAUGCUGCAAUUGUUAUUUAACUAAGUUGCAUGAGUAUGAAUAUGUUGAUGAUGAACUCCAAAUUAUUGGAUGUAUAAGUGAUAAGUUGAUUAAGGUGUCUUGUUGAUAGAGUCCAUGCAUUAGCAUUCAUUGAGCUUUGUCCUCACCAUGAUUAGGAGCUUUGUCCUCCGCACGAUAGGAGUUUUGUCCUCCGCACGAUUAAAGUAUAUUAAUACUUAUGAUGACGAUUGGUACCACAUGCAUAUAAGUGUCUAAGUUGCAUUGUCGCAUCUGUCGAGUCGAAGUCGUUGUUGAUGAAUUAUCAUCUAUGAGUUGUUAAGUGUACUUGAUGAUGUUUAUGUUAAGUUGAUAGGUUGUCUUUUAUUCAUGAAUUGAUAAUGAGAUGUUUGAUGAAUAAGUAUUAUUAUGAAUUGAUGAUGUUACGUAUAAUUGCUAAGUUGUCUUCUAUUAUGAGUUGCUAAUGAGAUGCUUGGUGGAGAAAUGUUAUUACGAAUUAAUGAUGUCGUUAUGUUGUAUAUGAAUUAUGAUUAUGAUGUGAUGAUCUACGUUGGUUAGGAUUUAGUUAUUAUGUGUUAUAUGAUGAUGUUUAUAAUGUGAUGAAUAUGAAGUAAAUGAUAAUUAGAAGUUGGUUGAGUUAUUAAGAAUUAUUACAUGAAAGAUUAUUAUUAUUAUUAAUAGAGGAAGUUAUUUGUGUUGUUAAAUAUAAUUAUUGAAUUAUAUGCUUGAUAUUAUUGUUUUGUGAAAUCUCACCCCUUCUGCUUGAAAAUGUUGCUCUUCGUAUGAGUAACUUGCAGGUGAUCGAGUUUAAGUUGCUGUUAGAUUACUGUUGUGAGUGGAUUAGCUCUCAUGUGUGUCUUUAGAUGCUCUGAUACGUAACGGGAUGGAAAUUUUAUUGUUGUCUUUCUAUUCCUUACGUAUUGUUUUUAAGAAGAUUUAUGACUAUGUUUUUAGAUUGGAUUAUAUGAGAUAAUUAUGAAGAGGCCUUCGUGCCAAAGACUAUUUUAGAUGUUGAAAUAAAUUCCGCUGCGAAGUAUUAAAGAUUUUGUUAUUGAAUUUUAAAGGAUAAAUAGUUAUUUAUUCAGUUUAUGACUUUAAGAAAAGAAUGUGACAUUCCGUUUUUGUGAAUACUCUGAUUAAUUAAAUGAAAUUUUUACAUUGGGAAAACGGGGUGUUGCAUGGUGGAACACCUGGUUUGUGGUGGAUGAAUAAAGAGGCAUCAGCAGUGGAGUUGACGAAGCCAAGGGAUAAAAGGAAUACUCGAAGCUCCGUAUACCAGGCACGAGGUGCUUGCCUUAAGCCGUAAAGUGCAUUUUUGAGACGACAAAUAUGAUCAGUGAAGUUUUUCUCGACAAAUCCAGGUGGUUGUAACAUGAAUACUUCCUCCUUGAGUGUACCUUGGAGGAACGCAUUGUUAACAUCAAGCUGGCGAAGGGACCAUCCUUGACGAACUGCAAGUGUAAGGAGAAUUCGAAUAGUCGCCGGUUUAACAACUGGACUGAAUGUUUUUGUGUAGUCACAACCAAGGCGUUGAUGAAAUCCUAUGGCGACUAGUCGUGCCUUGUUACGAUCAGUGGAGCCAUCCGGAUUUCGUUUGAUACGAAAAACCAAUUUACAUCCAACCAAAUUCUGAGCAAAGGACCGGCUAACAAGAUCCCAUGUGUUAUUGUUCUGUAAGGCAUCAAAUUCAUCUUGCAUAAUCGAGCGCCAAUCAUGGUCACGAAGGGCUUGAGUGAUAUUGCUUGGUUCGAUGGGACAUAAGGGGCGAACAUGAAGGUUAAGCUUUUUGAUGGUUUUAACAAUGUUGUUUUGAGAACGGGUGAUGAUCCCACCGACGUUGGUAGUGUGGUUGUUGUGUGGGCGAGCAGUGGGUGGGGGCGGUGGUGGAGGUGUUGGCGAUGUAGUGAUGUUGGCCAGUUCAUUGGAUGUUGGAGAUGCGGGCGAGGAUAUUUGAAUGUUUUGGGCGACCUCAUUGGAGUUUGGUGAAGAGGGCGAAGAUGUUUGAGUGGAUUCGGCGAGCUCGCUGGAUGUUUUUGAGGACGGCGACUGUUGUUGAGUGGUGUGAGCGAGGUCAUUGGGCAUUGGUGAUGAGGGCGCAGACGGGUGAGUGAUAUGGGCGAGAUCAUCUGACAUUACACCACUGACAUUUGCCGAGGAAGGGUUUGCGAUUUCCAGGGCGUUGAUUUGAUUGUGUGGGGAGCUUGGCAGGGCGCCGUUUGUUGUUGGGUCUUACCUGAGCAUUCAAGGCAGUGAAUGGGGCAGGGGGUUGUUGCUGAACAGCGGCGAUUGAUAGUUCCUGGAUGAGAAGCUUCUCAAGAAGGUCGUCAAAGGUAAUUAAGUUAUCCCUUGCAUUCACUCCGUCAUUGACAGAGCUAUAGCCGUCGUCGUGGCCAAGUGUUUAGUUUAAGAAACCCAUCCAACCAUAGCCAUUUUGACCUACAUUUACAUAAAUAAAUAAAAUGUUAAUAUUAAUAAAAAACUUACAAUAGCAACAAAAACUGAACACAUUUCAUUAUGAAAAUAGGAUAGAACAACUCUUCCCAUUCAGCAAAAAAAAAAAUAAUAAUAAAUACAUUUGUUCCUUCCUUGUAGCUAUGAAGCUUUGGGGACAGAUAAUUUAAAACGCAAGUCCUCACCAAGGGCACGCAUGGAUAGCACGAAAGGAAAUACGUCGAGCUGCAGAAAGCCAGGCGGCCACGGACUAUGUGGUUUGAGCCACUGCGAGACACGUCCUAUGACAAUGCAAAAAGCCAGACAACAAUCGAUGGAUUUCUGGUAAUGAACUGUAAAAGAAGAAAUGAAUGCUUAGGUCAUAGUUAGAGAAAAGUUCCAAAAAUAACUGACUGGACAGUCUGAAAUUCUCAUGCACACCAUUAUGCAGAAAACCAGAAACCUAACUUGCUACAAUUGUGAAAAGGAAACGUGCAUUCAAAAUGAGAAGAAAAAAAAAGAGAGGUUAAUUUCAUCAGAUAAAAGGACUUUCAAUCUAUGUAGUCAUAGAAUUUCAUUUCUAUUUUUGAUGUACUAAACUACAAUUUUGUUAUGAAACACAUAUAAGAUGAAGUUUUGAUCUAAUUUUACCUGCCGGAAAAAGGUACACAUUUACAUUAAUGGUCUUCAUACUACUUCUUUUCAUAAUACCUAAGAAAUGACAAGUUAUUGCUAUUUGAAAAUAUAUUAUUUUCGGAUAAUGAUCAACUUCUUUUUAAAAAGAUGUUUCGAAAAUAUUAUGAUUAUAAGAACUUAUGCUUUCAAAGUAUAAGGAUCUUACUUGUAACAGCAUUCAUCUAUAUGAUCCACCGCAAUUUAUUAGACGUCAGUUGAAAAGCUUCCAUCACCUUUUAAGAGUUCUGGACUGAAGGGAUAUAGCUGGAGGACGCGAGAGAUGGAUUCCCAAACUUUCAUCAGACCUGAUUGCUUUUGAUGCCUCUGAAGCAUCCUUAUGUACUAGUUGAACAAAAAUUCAAGUUGAUAGCUAUGGCUUCUCCAUUCUGCAAGUCACAAGCAUUCAAAUAGAUGUGAUAAGUAACACAAUAUACAGUUAUGCUGCAACAGAGAAGAUCGAUAUUGAUUACUCGACAAAUUUUUGUACUCCCUCUAAACUUGUCAUCAUUCUUUUUGUCUGAUUUUCAAUCACAAUAUCUCCCCACUUCAAACAAUAUGCAUUAUUAACUUUCAUGAAAUUCAUUUUACUUGUUGUUUCGUUUUUGACAUGCAGGUUUGUGACUAACCCAAGAUAAUACGUUAUCGUAGUAGCUAUUUGAUUGGUUGACUUAAGGAUUUGAUAUAAACGUCUACCACUCUGCAAUGCACUUGCGUUUCAUUUUUAACAUACAGGUUUAGGACAAUCUUAGAAAAUACUUCAUUCUUCUCUAUGUAGGACCGAGACAAAUACGUUCAUCGGACACGACACUGCCAUGCCGACACUACAUGUAUUAGUGUCCGACACCGAAUACGCUUUUGAAGUCAAGUCUUACAAGCUGUUUGUGUCUGAGACCUUAGGGUAGCUCCUAAGGACAACAAACUAAUAAAAGUAAAGGAAUGGAAAGAGAAAUGAAUCCCAGAUUGUCUUGAUUAAGCUUUUAUAUCCAAACAUGUAAAUUUGAACCACAUACAAACAAAUCAUUUUCAGGAAUUCCUUUUCAAGUGAAGUUGAACUCAUAUUUUCUUCUAAAGAAUUUUCAAAUGGUCAUUCAGAUAUAUAACAAACCUUCCAAUCGGCCAUAAUAUAUAAAUCCAAACAUAAAAAGGUUUCAGAAUAUAUACUAACAACUUAAUUUAAAAUGAAUGACUAAUAUAUAUUUAUCCAAACUUAUAAGGUUUCAAUAUUUUGCCAUUAAAACAACAAACCAUAUUAAUGCUUCUGUUAGAGGAAAUUUUGUUGACAGUCUGUAGCUUAAAACUGAAACAAUUCAAACUAAUUAGCGUUUUGUACUUUGCCGCAUAGCUAGACCCUGAUUUCUUGUUUUUGCAGCCAAACACAUGUUCAACUUACAACUAGACAUUAAAUUAUUGGGAAUAAUAUGGUAUGAACUUUAAUAUAUAUAAUACAGACAUUAAUCAAAUUGUGGAUAACAACUAAAGCAAAUUUACUGGUUGAAAAUGCAGCAAGGACAAACAAUACAUUGUGACUGUGCCCAAACGAUACUCAUGUGAUCACGAAAAGAACAGUGUUCAUCCAUUUCCUACUCUUAUUUCCUAUAUGCAAUGCAAUGGUGUCCAUAGAGGAAAAAGAGUGCUAUGGAUGUCACUCAAAUCCAACGCCAGAGACAAGAAGCUGAAAACCCUAAAAUUUUCUCUAUCAGUUGGUAGCCACAGAGGAGAAAAAUCAGCACUCAUCACCGCUGGGAUAAAAUAUGAUGAUGCAGAAACCAGGGAUAUUGAAGCUGAAGGUCGGGUGUUGUGAUGUUUCUGCCAUUGUGUCAGUGAGCAGAAAGGUGAACAUUUGACCGGGAUUGAAAGUUUGAGGGAUCGUGUCAAGGAAUGUCCAUAGGGAAUCCUCACAAUCGAGCCGGUUAGGAAGCCUAUCUUGUAAGAGUCUCCAACCAUACACAACUUUUUUUAGCACUGAUGUGAGCCAUAAUCUAUGCACUGCCUUCAAUAAUUCAUCGUCGAAAUCAUUGAAAAACGCAAAUUUCACAGCUCUUGAUAACAUCCUUUCUCUGAGAAUCUGCUGUACUCUCCGGCAACAAUUUAACAAAAUCUGAUACAGGUUCCUGCAGCUAUAAAUUUUCCACCAUUCUUUGCUCAUUCCCAUUCAGACUUCGCCACCAGCACCAGCGCCAAACCUGUAUAUUUUCCGCCUACAUCCGCUUUUGCGACAUGGUAUUGCAUCUGUCUGCAGCCAAUAUGUACAGUUCAGGAAAUAGAAACUGAUUGGUUGGUUACACUUCCACAAUUCAUUGCAAAGUAAUGUGGUUUUCACCAUUUCCUAUCGCACUUCUAAGAAGAGUUGCAAACCAGUUUGGUUCAAUGUCAAUAUCCCUUCCAAUUCUAUUGAGGGAUGCUUUAAUUACUUUUAUGGUAAAAUACACUCGUCAAAUAUGUGCUAAGGUUUUUGAAGUUGAUCAUAUGAAUAUUCAAUUAUAUCUUCUAAUAAUUUCUGUGAUUAUAUAUUGUAAUUACUUAGAAUAUGGAAAGUAUGGGUAGCAUGUGUAAAGCUGGCUGUUAUGGGUUUUUUUGGCUCAUGAAUUUGUUGGUGGUAUCUCAUUCUGUGUUGGUUUAGAGUUCUCUUCCUUUAGUUUUUGGUCCAAUGGGGGGUGAACUCUAGUGAUUUCACUAAUUAGUUUUUUAUCAGCUCCGGUUACUGGUUUUUGGCCUUGUGGGAGGUUCUUAGUUUUUUCUCAUUUUAAUGGGUUUUGGCUUACUCUCCCAUUCUGGAUGGUACAAUAAUUAUAUUUUAAAAGCUAUUAUGAUAUAAUAUAUACAAUACCUUUUUUAUGAGAAUAUUCAAAGUCUAGUUGUAAUUAAAAAUCAAACACUUUUAUUUAAGAAAUGUUAGUUCACAUCAUUGAAUAGAGAUUUGAGAUGAACCAUCUGUCAGAAUCAUACAUACAUUUGUUGUUGCUGCGACACAAGUUCUGUUGCAGAAAAAUGAUUUGGCAGAAAACUGCUUUUACACAAGAAUACCUUAUUAAUUACAAGAGCCAUACAGUGUUGUUUCUGCUACUCAAGUUCUGUCUCAAAAAACUUCUGAGUUCUGAUCUUCAUCUGCUUUAAUCUUUCUAUACGGAUUCAAGUUUGUGUACUAAGAUUGAAAUUCUCAAAACCAACGGAUUCUAUGCUGCGAGCAAUCUCUAGACAUGUCGCAUGACAAUGCAAAUAGCCAGAUGACUACAGAUGGUUUCCUGACAAUGUACAGACAAAGAACAAGUAAAUGCUUAGUUUUCGUUAGAGAAAAGUUGCCUGAGUUUCAAACAUAAUUUCUUUAUGUUUAUUUCAACAAGAGAGAAUCCACUCUUGAAAUUGUCAUACAAACCAUUAUGCAGAAAACAAAAAAUUCUGACAUGUUACGGUCAAAAUGAGAAAAUAAAAUGAAAUUCAGUUUAAAAUAUUAAUAAAUCAUAUGAAGGAAAUAUGAAUUCUUGAGAUACAUUAAGGAGUAGCAGAUCGAAGUAAAUUAAUUUUUCCUAUUGUAAGUACAAAACCAAAACUUAGAAUUAUAAAAAAGGCUUCUUUAUACCAUGAAGUACAUACAUUUAAAUAUUUCCUGAACAGAUUUUUUUAAUUUUUUUUUUUUUUGCAAUUUUUAAUCCCUUAAACUAUCUAUUUAACUGUGAUAUAAGAUGAAGUUUGUAUCUAAAUUGACCUGUUGGACAAAAGAUACACAUUUUUAUAACGGUCUUCAUACACCCUAAGAAAUGACAAGUCAUGCAUAUUUAUAAAGAUUAUAAUUAAAAGUAUUUAUGGUUUCAAAGUAUAAGGAUCUUACUUGUAACAACAUUCACAGAGGAUCCGCCGCAAUUUAUUGGAUGUGGUGCAAUUUAUUAGAUGUUUUUGUGGAUAUGUCCAACUUCCACCACAGCUUUUAAAAGUUCUGGACUGAAGGGAUAUAGGUGGAGGCCCUGAGAGAUGGAUUCCCGACCCCGAUCCGAAACAUUCAUCAGACCUGAUUGUUUCAGAUGCCUCUGAUAGCUCUGGAUUCAACUUUCCACUGGUCACAUGCAUUCAAAUAGAUUUGAUAAGUAACAUAAUAUACAGUUAUGCUCAACAGAUAAGAUCCAUAUUGAUUAUUUCGACAAAACUAAGCAUUUAGCUCACUGUAAACCUCGUGUGUGCUUAUAAGCUAGUGGAAUUUUUAUGAAUUAUGUAUCAUGUUUGAAUUGCAAUCACGUUAAAUUUCAUUCAUAAAAGUUAAAAAUCCAAAUAGCCUGAAAGCAUAUAACAUUAGUUAGGACUUCUUCAAGUUUAUGAAACGUAUAUGUUUACUAGCUAAUAGUAAAGCCACUUUCUUAAUCAACUAAAUGUAGAGCAAUAUUAAAAAACAUGUGUCGACACUGGUAGAAAUUGAAGAAAAUAACAUAUUUGAAUGUAGUCAGUGGUGUCGAUGUCGAACUUACAGACAUGUGUCGGACAUGUACACGUCUUCGUGAGAAGUGUAUGUGCUACAAAGCAUCCUCCACAGUAAGUUGAAGCAAUAUUUUAGAGUGAACAAACAUUAAUCAAGGAAUGUUGAGAUUGAGAGAAUAACAACAAAGCGGUUAACUUUAUGAUGAACCUAGACCAAGGAAUGUACCCAACAUCUUUGUAUUCUCUUCUUUCAUCAAUUCCUUUUGUUGCACCCACAUCUUUCUCUGAAAAUCCAUAAGGAUUGAAAAUUUGUUUUGUUUCCUUUUCUUUUCUGAUAAUGAUGCAUUGAGAUAGUCAGCUAAUUUUUUUCAUAACGGUCUUCAUACACCCUAAGAAAUAACAAGUCAUGCAUAUUAUGAUCAAAAGCAUAUUUAUAAAUAUAUUACUAUGAGAUGGCAAUCAAUUUCUUUUUCAAAUUAUCUUUUAUAAAUAUUAUGAUCAAAAGCAUUUAUGAUCAAAAUCUUCGAAGUAUAAGGGUCUUGCUUGUAACAACGUUAAUUCAUGAUCCGUCCCAAUUUAUAAGACCUUGUGUGAAAGUUUCCAGCUCCACUACACCUAUUAAAAGUUCUGGACCAAAGGGAUUCCAAACCUCAAAGUUCAUACCUCUGAAGCAUCCUUAUGUAAUGGCCAUGCAAAUAUUCAAGUUGAUAGCUGUGGAUUCUUAUUUCUGCAGGUCGCCUGCAUUCAAAUUUCAAACAGAUGUGAUAAGUAACACAAUAUAGAGUUAUGCUGCAACAUAUAAGAUCGAUAUUGAUUACUCGACAAGAUGAAUUUACAUAGCAUGCCAAAACUAAGCAUUUUGUGCACUGUCUGACUCCAGAAACGUCUUUAAUGAUUUGAAAAACUUGUGCAGGAAGAAACAAUUAUUUGGUUCAUGAUAAAGUUAAAUAUAUACCUUGACCAUGGAAUCUAUCUAUCAACGGUGUUCCUUUUCUUUUGUUUCAGUAAGCACGAAGUUUGGCAUGCCUGACACUAAAGCGUCGAAUUGUGAUUGCAAAGCAUUGCGACAUUCAUCUAAUUUUAUCUUUCCAUAAGAAUUGGUGAAUAUGGCAUUCUCCUCCAUGUUGUUUUUCUCCUUGUACAUGAUUCCCAUUUUUACAUUUGAUGAAUAAUAGUAGAAGUGCUUCCUUGAGUUUAGGCACAAGUUUCCCACACUACAAAGUGCUUUGUCAAAAAGAGUAUAUUUAUAGCCAUUGACAAACAAAGAAGAAUAAUAAUAAUUGUUCUAAAAGGGAUCUUUUUACGAAACCAGAAAGAAAUGGUGUGUCCCUUGCUUCUGUGCCUUGAUUUGCAUUGAAAUCCAGAAAACUUUUCUAGAUUCGAUGGAAUCCCUCGAUCUUCCUCAAAACACUUGCAUUCAUCCAAUCUAAGGAUCCUAAGAAGGUUAAUUUUUAAAUUGUCACCUGAUAUUGUUAAGUGACGAAGUUCACUAAGAUUUUGAAAGGAAAAUGGAAAUUCUCCUAUGGAAGUUUCCUUCAACAAGAUAGAUUUUAUAUUUGUCAUCUUGCAUAAUAAUUCUGGAAAACUCUUGAGACUCUUACAAUUAGAGAGUUCCAAAUUCUGAAGAGAGGGAGACUGUAAGGGUGGAAAACUCUCGAGCUUCUCGCAACCCUCUGCAUUUAAGAUUUCUAAUCUAUUUAGGUAUCUAAGUGAAUUGUGAAUUGUAACUAAAUUAUGACAUCUUGCAAACGAGAACUUUUCUAAAUUUGGAAGCCAUGAGACAUCGGGUGUAUAGAUUAAAUCUUGACAAUUGUCGAAUAUCAACACUUUCAUAUUCUCAAGCUUCUGCAUAAACACACAGAAGAAACAAAAAAUAAAUAAAUAAAAACCAAACACUAUACUCUCAUAGUGAAUUAUAAAUAUAUACAAUUAGGAAAUGGAACUAUAUAUGUACAAAAAAAAUGAUAUUGUUUAACUUGCCUUAUUCAAACUACUAGAUGAUGGAGACCUCAGAAUACAUCCUUUCAUUACCCUCAAACUUCUUGGAAGAUACUUGAGACUUUGAAUAUGAUAGCCAUUUUCAGUAAUAAACGUUUUGAGGUGUGUCAUCUUCUUGAAGGCCUUUCCAUUCUUGUCUAUUACGGAUUCCAUAGAGUGCAAAUUCAUAUAUAUCAUUUCAAUUUUACUGGUUCCCUUUUAACGAAAAAAAAAAAAAAAAGAUGAAUCAACCACAAUACAAAUAAGAUAGAGAAAUUUAUGUGUAAUUAACUGAAAAGAAUUAGUAGUAUCAGAUGCUUGUAUACAUAUCCAAAAAGAGCAAAGUCAUGUUAAAAGCUAAAUAACAAAUUGUUCCUGCAUAUCAAUCUUACUCACAGUGUUUUCUUCUAGAACUUCAAAUAUAUCCUUUUCAAACCAUAACCUGCUUCUUUUUCCAGGCUCAAAAGGUGAUUCUAGUCGGACGAGUUCUUUACCCAUGUUCUCUAUCAAGUUAUGUAAUGACACAUGACUAUCGUAUUCAAAAUGGUCAAUGAGACAUUUUUCAACUAGCACUUCAACAUGAUGAUUUAUGCAAUGACCAUAAUGAGCAUGAAGUAUUUCUUUGACCUUUUCCCAUUUACAACCUUUGAAGCAACAAGCAAUGUCUAGAAAGACACUUUGCUCCUCUUCCUCCAAAGAAUCAUAGCUCACUUUAAGUAUUCUUUGGAUCUCUUUAUUGGGAAUCUUUUCAUACCAAUCUAAUGUAUUCUUGCAUUCUUCUAUGUUCUUUCCAAACAAGUUAGAACCCACUAUUUCUAUAACUACCGGAAGGCCAGAAGCAUAAGCAACUACACGAUUCAAAAUCUUUUCAUAACUUGAAGGAACUUUGUCAUUUUUAAAAGCCAUCCACCUCAACAAUUCAAGAGCUUCUGUCACAUUCAACCCUUUUACUGCAUAUGUUUUUUCUAUCUCAUGACAGGCUAGUAAGUGUUUAUCUCGGGUGGUGAUGAUGACUCGGCUUCCAGGACCGAACCAAUCAACUCCUCCAGCCAAAGCAUUCAGUUGCUUCAUAUUGUCAACGUCAUCGAGAAUCAAAAGAAUCUUCUUUCUACACAACCUUUCCUUUAUGAUUGAGAUUCCCUCACUGACAUCUGCUAACUUAAUUUUCAGUUGAAGUGUCUUUGAAAGGAGCAUCUCCUGGAAACGUUUCAAGCUAUUUGAAGCUGAAUUCUCUCUGACUUGUUCAAGAAAACAUAAACCUUCAAAUUGAUCAGCAACAAAAUUAUAGAUUGCUCUUGCAAGUGUUGAUUUACCUGAGCCUCCAAUCCCAUAAAUUCCAACCAUAUGGACCCCAUCAUCAGGUCCCUCAUCAAGAAGCGAUUUCACUUGUUGUACUCGAGACUGCAAUCCAACAGGGUAAGUGGCAACAUGUAAGGACUGUCGACUGAUCUUGUUGGAGAUGUAUUUGACUAUCUUUCCAAUAAGCUCGUAUUCAUAUCUAUUCAUGUCCAAUAAUAUAAGUUAGUAUGUAACAACAUCACACAAUCACAUCCAUGUACUCAUAAUAUAUUAUACAUUUUUAACUAUUUUGACAUAUAAAUAACUAACAAUUGUUUAAAAACAUAAAUAAAAAAGGUGUUACACAUUUAGGCUUUAAGAUGGUAUUGAGGAAUAGAAAUUAAAUAAAUUAAAUGCAAAAAGCAAAACAGGAAUUAAGUAAAUAGGCGUACCCAUGACUAUCAUCAUGGUAGCUGGGCAAGUUAGCAGCCAGACUCAGAGCCACUUUCCAUUGCUGCAACCUCUCCAUGUUUUUCGUAUCAUUUUGAAACCUAUUUUCAUGCUCAGCCAAUGCUUUACCAUACCUACCUGUAUGAUGUCGCACAUCAGUAGGUUCCACACCAAAGAAAACAGGCAAAACGAGGCAACCCUUGGUUUUGUAGCAGUGAAUGAUGUGGACAAGUGUGUCCAAACAAGAUGAAGAAGAUGCAUAGUUGGCAGAAAAUAUGGGAAUCAAAAUCCUGGAUUCUUCAAUAAUGAUUGGUGUGACUUUGUCUCUUCUUUGAAGAUCACUGUCAUCGUCAUCAUGGAAGGUACGAAUUCCCUUGUCAAUAAGAGCCUUCAAGAGAUUGCCGGUGAAACCGUACCGAGUGUCGGUGCCCUUACAAAUGAGGAACACAUCGUAACUGAAUGCAUAGGAAAAUGAAGAGGAAUAGAAAGGUAAUUGCAUGGCCAUGAGAAUUGAGAGAAAUAAGAUGAGAAGAGUUUGAGAAUGCAGAAUAUGAAUGAGGAUGUUUUUGUGGUGUGAUGUGAAACUUUAAGACAAGGAGAAAACUUCUGACGAAAAAUGGUCUAUGAAACUUCCUUGCCAUUUCCUAUUGCCGUGUGGACCAGUCAUUGUCUACCGCCUCUUGUAAAGUAAUUUCUUCAAUGUGGUUACUGUUCAACUUUUGGGGAAAACUUAAAUAAAUAAUAAAUAAAUAACCGGUUAACAACCUAAAAGUAUAAAAAUUAAAUUAAAUUUUGCAUUGAAAAUAACACUUUUUCAACAUUUAAAAAAUAACUAAAAAAGAGAAUAUUUCAUUUUAUAACUCUCAACAAGUGUUCUUCCUUAUUUAUAUUGUACUAUGUUUAUUCAUUUUCUCAUCUUGCGUGUGGACCGGUGUAGAAAACUUUUUUUUUUUUUUUGAAAGGACCAGUGUAGAGAACUUGUUAUGACAAAUUUUCUAUAUCCCUGCGUGUGGACCAAUCACCAAUAAUCUAUAUCCCUACGUGUUGACCAAUACCAACCCUGCCUUGAAAAUAUUACCACUUGACCCAAUUGGUUAGUUAACUAACCAUGCAUGCACACACAAUUAUUGCCCUAGGUUUUAGGUUAAAUAAUCAUUUUUAAAAUGAGUGUCACUUUAGUCAAAAAAAAUUGUUUAAAAAUAAAUAUCUUUAUCUUUAUCUUUAUUAUAUAUAUUGCGCUAUUUUUUCUUAAAAGUACACGUGUCAUCCUAGAAUUCUAAGGAACAUUUAAUGUUGUUCUGAUUCAAUGCAUUUCAUGUUUUUUUAUUUAAAUUGUUUUUGCUAUUUAAUUUCAUUACUAAAUUAAGGGCAAAAUUGAUGCAAUUUACUUGCUUCUUUUUUUCUAUAAAUAUUGUUCGUGAGUCUCAACAUUUUCACGUCAUUCAGAAUUCAAUUUUGAAAUUCUUCUCUGAAAUCUCUCUUAUAUUUUAUUGAAACACUUUUCUUCUUAGCAUAUUUUUUUUCAUCACUCUAAUUUCAAAAGCUGAUUCAAUUUAUGAUAUCAAUCCACUAAAUGUUGUGGAUAUCCAUGUAUUUUGUCCAAAUUCACAUAUUCGCCCUAUGAUAAUUUCAAGUUCUAACGGUUUAUGGCAUGGAUGUAACGCCCACUUUCGUUUAAUCGUUAUUUAAUCGAGUUUAGGCAAUUAUAUUAUAAUUAUAUAAUAUAUGCAUGAUUUUGAUAUGUUUUGAUGAUUUGAUUGAUGACGUGAUAAGUUAUGAGGUUUGGAGGAUUUGAUUAAGAUAUGAGAUUUAUUUUAUUGAUAAAUAGAAUAAAGAUUUGAAAAUAAUAUAAAAUAUUUAGUUGAGGGCUGUUUUGAUAUUUUAGAUAGUUUUGGGGGAGAAAGUGAGAUAAGAUAAGUAAUUAGGAAGAGAUAUAAAUAGAGAAGACCUAAUUGUUAGAAAAACUGAUUGUACGUGAAAACUUUUGGAAAAGGGAGAAAAAGCUUAGAGAGGAGCAAGAGACCAAGAGGGCUGCGAUUUUCUUCAUAACCAGGUAAGGGUGGGACUAAUAACUCAGUAGCAUUAACCUCUGUAAUUCUGAUGAUUAGUUGACAAAGUUAGGAUUGAUUUAGAGAAGUUUUGGAAUUAGGUCAAAACCCUAAAAUUUGAGAAUAAACGGUAAAACUUGUUUAGAUUGAUGUAAGAAUUGUCCUGUAACCUUAGAAUAUGUUUAGGAUGAAUUCUGGAAUCAAAACCAAGCUUAGAACCAUGUGAAACGUCGGAUUUUUGUGAUUUUAGGAAGCCUGGCCGUAGCGACAUUCAUCGCUCGCCACGGCGAGCUAUGAUCCUCGCCUCGCGAGUGAUGAAGUUCAUCGCUCGCCACGCGAGCCCUUCCUUUUCGCCUCGCGAGUUGUUUGGUUCAACUCGCCAUGGCGAGCAACCCCUCCUCGCCUCGCGAGCUUAGGCAGAGUGCAUGUCAUAUUUUGUGUUUCGACCUUUUUAGUUGGACCUUGGAUGCCUAUGAGUGCCUAAACAUACCUAGAGAUGAUUAGGAAUGAUUUUAGGACAGGAUUGAACCCAGAACAACAUUAGUUUGGGAGAUUAGUGUUACUCGCCAUGGCGAGUAAGUACUCUCGCCUCGCGAGUACAACCAGAAUGUAGUUGCUUGAGUGUUUGUGCGAUCUGUGUCGCACGAGUUGAUCAAGAGUGAACCCCUAAUUGGUAUUGAGACCUAGUGGUGACGUUUAAUGCAGCCUGUAGAGUUGUUUAAGUUAUAUUGAUAUUAAUUGAGCAAGAACUAAUGUAUUGUAUAUUCAUGCAAGAUAUGAAGAUUUGAUAAUAAUGCAAUUUAUGUGCUAUUGAUAUAAUGAUAUCAUCUUGAUAUGUGACUUGUUUAUGCUGCUUCCGUUAUUUAACUAAGUGCAUAUGUUUAUGAUAAGGUUUAGCUCCAAAUUAUUGGAUGCAUGUUGAUUACGAUGAUUACGUGUUUUGUUCAUAAGUGUCCAUGCAUAGCAUAUCAUUGAGCUUAGUCCUCACCACGAAAAUUAGGAGCUUUGUCCUCCGCACGUUUUAUAGGAGCUUUGUCCUCCGCACGAUUAAAGUAUAUUAAUACUUAUGAUGACGAUUGGUACCACAUGCAUAUAAGGAGUCUAAGAGCAUUGUCACAUUGUCAUGAUUAAGAUGCCUUGUUGAUGAUGAUUGGUUAUGUGAUUACGUGAUAUGUGUUUAUUAAUUAUGAUAUGUUAUUCCUAAUGAUUGGAUAUAUGAUUACGUGAUAACUGUUUAGCAAUUAUGCAAAGUUAGUAAUGGAAUGAAUAUGAUGUUAAUGUAUGAUUCUCAUUUACAUUGAUUAAUGUUAUUGUAUUAUGAAAUCUCACCCCUUCUGCUUGGAAAUGUUGCCUUUCGUAUGGGUAACUUGCAGGUGAUCGUGCUUAGUGUGCAGUUGCCGUCGUGAGUGGCCUUGCCUUCACUGUGUCGUCUAGGUCGCUCUGAUACGUAACGGGAUGGGGUUAUAUGCUAUAACAUGCUUCAUUCUCUUACGUGGAUAAUAUGUUAUUUUUAUUAUGUUAUGGAAUAUGAACUAUUUUGAUGGGGCCUACGUGCCAAACUGAUUUAUGAUUUUUGAAUUAAAUAUUCUGCUGCUAUGUUAAAGAUAUGGUGAAGGUUAAAUUAUUAUUUAACUGUUUUUGGAUUACGUUUCUAUGUGAUAUCCCGUUUAUGGUUUUUACUCUGAUAAUUGUUUAUGAAAUUUGUAUAUUGGGAAAACGGGGUGUUACAAUGGACAUCAUAGAUCUACCCAAAAAAAAGUUAGAUAAUAUAAUUUUUUUUUUGUUGUUGUGGAGAAUGUCCAUUUGUUGGGUUUUUUUCCAUCUAUAAUAUAUGUUAUGUUCGGUUUCAUAUUCUAUUGAAAUUUUGCCUUUAGAUUGUUGGUUAGUCCUGUAUAAAUAUUUUUGUAAGAUUUUGUUUUGUUUGUGUCUGCUUCCCAUUUGUACUUAUUCCAUAAAAGAUUUUGAUUUAUUGUGUUAUUUCCUUUUGGUUGCCAUUGUAACACUAAGAUCAAUUAUUUUUAUAUCUAUGAUCUUUUGUUUAAUUUAUUCAUGUUUUGAUGUGUAUAUACGUUUGUAAUCAUUUUGUAUAUAAUCAAUUCAUUUCUUAGACAUAUAAUUCAUAGGUACCUAAAUUAGAGUGAUUUUAUUUGUCAAUAUACAACGAAUGUGAUUCGGUGGAUGCUAUCAAAAUGAGAUUGAUUUCGUCAAUAAUAUAAUAUUAAUUUAUUUCUCCUAAAAACAUUUAUUCAUUUUACAUUUUUAUAAUUUAAUUGGGAAUAAUUAUACUCCAAGCAAUAAUUAUUCUAAAAGAUAUUUAAACAUAAAUUGUUACGAAUCAAAAAAAUAGAAACUUCUUUUUUAUACAAAAAAAAAAUUAGAAACUAUUAACCGUCAAUUGCCAAAGUAUGUCUGACAUAUAUAUUAGCAUAUAUUCCUUGGAGUAAGCAUCAAUUUUCCUCAUAGAACCGCUUGACCAAAUAUUACAAAACAAAACACGAUAUAAUGAUCCAUUUUAAUAUUGGUUUGAUCUCUACCAAAAAAAAUAUAUAUUGGUUUGAUCUUAAUUGCUUUAAUGGAACUUAAAUAAAAUAUAAUGUAAUUGAUUCAUUUUAAUAUUGUUAAAGUAAACAUAAAUGAUUGCAAUUAAAAAAAAAGUAAACAAAAAUGUCACACAAUUAUCCAAGAGCGUUUAGAUGAGAUGACACGAGUCUCUUCUAGCUUAACCAGGUCCUUGAGCAAGCAACAAUUUUAACUUUUGUCACACAUUUAGGUCCCACAAGACUCGAAAGAUUAGUCUCCACGGUUACGCGCCCGGAGGAUAUCUGAUUUCCACAAAACAAAUGUCACAUAGUUUCCAUUUCUAAAAUUGUUACUGUACACAUGACAUCUUUCUUUGUCAAACCUACCUAAGCAAUAUUGAUAUGCCUCUAUCUGAUCAUGAGACAUCACCGGAACAGAGAAAAAAAAUGAUAUAUUAAUAAAACCAACGAUUGCAUAAACACAAACACAUAGCUAGAGACUCUAGAAAAGAUCCUUGCAACUCCAAGUAAAUAAAAAAUAUAUAUGUUGUCGUGAACUUUAAAAACAAGUUUUGUUUAAAUUUAUUUAUUUCAUUCAAACCCUACAAAAAUGCAUCAUUUUAGGUAAAUUUAUUAGAAAAAGUAGGUAAAAGAGAACAAAUGUGUUUCAUUCUAAUUUUGGACCAAAAUAUCAAUUUUCUAUAAUAUACUUUUAUUUACGAUUACGGUUUGAGAGAGUUUUUUUUUUCAUAAGUGUCUCAUUAUAUGUAUUGGUCACCUUUACAUAAUUUUUAUCACAAAAAAAUUAAUAAUAAGUAUGGGUUCUUUCAUAUGGCCGUUUUCAAAUGUAGUACUCGAUGUUAUGUUAUGUUAUGUUAUGAUUGGUAUAUUAGUUAAUUUCAAUUUUUUUAAUUUUUUUUAUCACUAUUACUUCCAAAAGAUCAAUACUCACUAUUACAAUUUAGUUUUAUGAUUUAUAUCAAAACAAUUUUUAAACAACUACCAUCUAUCUCUAAUUAUAAGCAAAAAUGUUCAUUCAAGCAGUUUAGCAUGCAUUGUUUGUCGGCCUAUUAAAUUUAGUAGUAUUUUCUCCUUUCUUAAGGAGGUUGUAAUGAAUGAUAUGAUGAAUAAAAUGCUAGGUGUUAACGUCAUUAGUUGUUUCUAGGAUGAAUAUGGUGUCAAAUGAUCUUAAUAUAACAUUUAAAUCAUAUGGUAUGCAAUUUCAAUUAACAUUUUAUUUUGCAAUAACCAUAAAUAGAAGUCAUAUAAAUGUCUAUGUAGGUAUUUAUCUUUCGAAUCAUGUCUUUACACAUGGAUAACUUUAUGUUAUUGUCUCUCGCCUUACAUCUAAAAAUGAAUGAAAUUUCUAAAUUCGAUGAAGAAAAUAAUAUUUGCAAUGAGACUACGAAUGUUUUGUAUCACAAUGUUUUGCAAAAUUUGUAAACAUUAAUAAUGAAAUCAAGUUAUUUCUUUUAUAGGGAAAUGCUAACCGGUGCCCCCGGGGCACUGGUUAAGGGUAUGAAAAAGGAAAUUAUAUAGUAGUUAAUGCAUUAAAAUUGUGUAAUUAAUUUAUCAUAAUGUCAAAAAUAGUUUCCUUUUAUGGUAAUAAUUCCCUUUUAUGGUAUGUUUAACCCGUUCCCCGGGGGCACCGGUUAGCAAGACCCUUCUUUAUAUUAUAUUAUGCUAUUGUUAUUCUUAAAAUUUAUUUGUGGUUUAUAUCAGUAGCAAUUAACCUCUCAUUAUUGUAUUUAUGGCACUAGAAAUGACAAUAAAUUGGUUUCAAUGCAAUGAUAUAUAUGACAACAACAUGUAUUGCAUUUAAAUAAGGAUGUAACUUUCUUCCCUUUCAAUUCUUCCCUUUCGAAUUUGAAAUCUUAACCAUUAUUUCCUUUAUUUUCAUUCCCGCAUAUUUCAUCUAUUAGAGACCAAAAUAAUUAAAUUCAAAUGGUUAAUACACCUCAAUAUGACCAAUACAUGAACCAAAUAAUUGAAUUCAAAUGGUUAAUAAGCUCUCUAAGGACAUAUUGUAUGAAAACACACACUCCUCAUCAUCUAAAUAAAGCUUGCUUAUUGGGUGUACUGCAUAGUCACUCAUUCAUGUUAGCAUUUUUUUCCAAUAAAUUUCAACACAUGUUGAAUUACAUGCAUUAUACAUAUUUUUCCUUCAAAAAAAUGCAUUAUACAUAUUUAAAUUUGUCAUUUAUUUUAAUUGAUUUAUGGUGAAAAAUAGCCAAAAAAAUUUAACGUGCAAGAUGCAAAUUAGCCAAGUUUUCUUCUUAUUUUUAAACGCUAAUAAUUGCAAUAGUUUUCCUAAUAAAUGCAUUACUAACUAUUUAAUCAUUAAUUAACCAUUUUUUUUUUGAAGAAUCAUUAAUUAACCAUUAAGUUUAGCAUAUUUCCUCACUUUUUAUAUUUUACGAUCCAUAAAUCAUGCAAUUGCUUAUGUGAUUUUUAUUAAGUCAUGUAGUUUUUUUUUCUCUAAAAAAAAAGUCAUGUGGUUUUUUUAAUCUCUAUUAUAAACAUUUCCCUUAUUUUAUUUUGAUAGUAUAUGUGGCAAGCUUAUAUUGAAAGGUGCAGUUAAUGUCUUUCUAUCAACCAAUGAGUAUGAAUCGUGACUCAUAAUCUUUGAACUAACGAAUCAAAAUAGAUCAUGACUCAUUUUGUUAAGUGAAUGUGGCAUCUUCACAUGAUCUACAUCUCAUUUAAUGUUUUCUUAUCAUCCAAUUAAAUUGAAUUAUGACUCAUUUAUUUUUUAUUAGCCAAUCAAGAUGGACCAUGACUCAUUUAGUUUUCACCAACCAAUCAAAAUUGAUUACACAAUGAUUUUUGUCUCUGUAUAUAGACAAUUUGUUUUUCAUUAUUUUCAUGUGUCUCUUCCCCCCAUAAAUUUUUUCGUAAAAACAAGUAUUUUAUGUGUUUUUCUUUUUUAUUUGUAUCUAAUUGUUUAUUGUUAAUGCUACUUUCUCAGGGUUCCAUUGGAGAGCAUGUGUCUACGUUCUACGACUUCAAGAUGUUCAACAUCAACAAUAUAAUUUUUAAUCAACAAUAUAUUGCAAAGAAAAAAUGAUGUAUUGUCGAAAUUUAAAUAAUUGAGGUUACUUAAAAAACUAUUGAAUAUUUUAUUUUUUUAAAAUAAACUAAAAAUAAAAAUAUUUUAAGUUUUUUAUUAUUGUUUCACAUCUAAUUUUUCAAAAGGAAUAUUUCAUGUACUAAAAAAAAUCGAUAAAUUUAAAAAAAAAUCAUUAAAUUUUGAAUAAUUCAAUUUGAAUAAUUAGUUUUUUUUUUCUAUGUAUAAUCAUGACAAAAUAAAUUAAGACUCAUUAAUGUGACCAUUUAAAUUAAAAUGAUUCUAUUAAAUGUCUCAUUUAUUGGGUCAGAUGAUAAAAAAAUAUUAUUUAAAUGAUACUAUUAUAUGAUAUCAUGUUUUGAUUCACUAUUGUUGCUAUUAAUAGCAUUCCUAAUUAAGAUUGGCUCGGCUAAUAACGAGUUAACUCAACCUCAAGAGCUUUGAUUUAAACCCCACUAUUAUCGUGAAGAUAUCUUUGAUAGGGAGUAACUUUGUGAGUGUUCAUUGUGUCAUGAGACAUAUCUUGAUCUUGAUGUGUCCUCAGAGUCUAACUCACCUAAAAAAAAUUAUAAUAAAAAAAAACAUUUUUUUUUAAAUUGUAAAAUGUAUAGAUUAUGAUAGUAGUCUUUGAAAAACAUCAAUUUAUUUUAUGAAAAGUUAAGGGUGUGUUUGUUUCAAGGCAAGAAAUUACAUUCCUUGAAACGACAUUCCUACCCAUUUCUUUGGUAAAAAUUUAGAUUUCCUGAAAUAUUUUAGAAAUUAAUUAAUUUAAAAAAUAAAAAUGGAAAUAAACGUUAAUGGUAGUUAGAAUUUAUGGCAAGUUGAGUUUUAUUACCAUAUGAAUUUUAGAUUUCCAUCCUUUAAGCAUGAAAAUAACAAUAGAAGAAAACAUGUGUAAAUAACAUUCCUCAUAAUAUAAUAUUCAUGGGAACAAAUUUUCAAAACUUGAAACAAACAUGAGAAUGUUGCAUAUUUCUAAUCUCACGUUCGUAGGAGUCAUAUUACAAACCUUGAAAUAAACACACCCUAAGGCCUAAAGUCUCUUUAACAUAUUCUAAAGGUUAACUUUUUUUUUUUUUUAAGAAAUAAUAAUAACAAACACAAAUUAAAAGGAGAAUUGAAUGAUAUCAAAAAUUAAAUUUUAGCAAUAACUCAGUGAUUUUGUAAUUUUCAAUUUUACGAAUUUUCAACGAAACUUUUUAUACAAUUUAUUUAGGGGCCCUCAAAAAAGUGAAUAUAGAUAGGGUGCUUCUAUAGCCACCAUUCUCUACAUGCACCUUAUUUAUUUGCUCCACAAUGGGGGUGUUUAUUUAUUAUGGUGUUAAAUAGGUGAAACACUCAUCAUUGUGGAUAGUCUUAGAGAUAAAAGAGCACUCACAAAUAUAUUUAUGUUUACUUAUCUCCAAGGAUAUUAGCUGAGUUCGAAACUCAAAAUCUUGAAAUUCAAAGUUUGUCCUUCUGCUACUAGAUUAAACCCUUAAGUUGGAAAAUCGCAUUGAACAACAAAAUGAAUUUUUAUUUCAAAUUAAUAAUGACAAAUGAAAUAUCCCUUAUACCCAAACCAUCUCUCAUCUUAAUUUUUUACUAAAAGAGUUUGUUGGUUUAAUUGUUCAUGCUAAUUGGGAUUGCUCAGUCAAACAUAUUUUUCAAAAGUUAUUGGUAAUUUUGUGGAUUUUUUGAAGGAGUUGAAAAAAUGACACCACAAAAUGAAUAAAACCUUAAGUCAUCAAGUAUAUUGGUCAUCUAACGUAUAUGUAAAAUCUACUUUAGCAUCCAAUAUAGAACUUUAACUCGCACUUGACACAUUGACAUCUCUACAUUAAGUUUCAGACUCUUUGCGACUGGGAUAUAGAGAUAUAAUAAAAUAAAGUUAUACAGAUGCACAACAUGCUAAAAAAGGUAGGUUAAUGGUGACUUUAUAUAGAGUUUUUAUCCCUUUCAUUCAUGAUAAAUAAAGAAUUAAGCAAGUGUAAUCCAAAAUAGAAGAAAACAAUUUAUCUUAAUGUUAGGACUUAGCGUAAACUGGGUUGGAUAAUCAGAUUAGACUAAGAGCAACUACUCAAGUGAGAUUAACAUCACAUAUUCAUCCAAAUCCUAAAGACAUUAGAUUAUAGGUCAUCUCACUUAUAUGUUUGUCACUAUAUUUUCUUGCAUUCAAUCUGAAACUAAUAUAAGACAUGUUAACAUCUCUCCCUUUAGGUGUGAGACUGACAUCUGUGAUUUGGUAACAAAGCCAAAUAAAACUAGAUGAAGACAUAUCAUUGUAAAAAUGGUCAGUUGGUGGUGAUUUAAUGGAUGGAGGUUUACGUUAAUUUCUUUCAUGAGAUGUUACGAAAUAAAUUAGAUAAGGAAAUAAAUUAAAAUAAUAAUUUGAACAUGAGAGAAAUGAUAAGAAAAAAAAAGGAUUGUGUGCUUUUAUGGUUGCGUAUAAGGAAUAGAGUGAAUUAUCAAUAAUUUUACUGGUUCGAUUCAGGAGUUGGACAUUUUUUAGUAAAUAUUUAACCAAAAUAUUAGACUAACUAAAAAAACGCCAAGUUAUUUUAAAGUUUCUGAUAAGUAUUUAUUUUGUCAAAUCAACCGCAGUUGAGCACGUAAACGAAUUCCUUCUAUCAUUGGUUCCAGGAGACGAAAAGGAAUAUAUCAGUUCUGAUACGAUUUGCAAAUCAGACGAGAAUAAUGAGGUACAAAGUGUCAAGUUAUGGAUUUGAUAAAGAGAGCGACAAAACUGCUAUGUUCAAAAUCAAUAGGCUAAAGUGCACUUUUCUCCCCUUAACUUUAAAAAAGUUGCAAUUUUGGCCCCCUAUAAAUAAAAACUACAAUUUUGACCCCCUAAGAUUUAGCUCCUUUGCAACUUUGGUCCUUUUGGCCAAUUUUGACCAAAUCAACGCUGAUUUGGCAUGCCAUGUGUGUAUUUUUUAAUUAUUAAUUUUUUAAAAGCUACAUAAUCAUGUAUUAAAUUAAAUAAAUUAAAAAAGAAAUUGAAAAUUUUUUAAAAUCAAAAAAUUGUAAAAAAAAAUAGUAUUAUUUAUUACAUCAUUUAUGUUAUUAACCAUUUUUUUUUAAAGGAAUGUUAUUACCCAUUUGAUUAUCCCUUUUAUUUUAUUUGUUUAACAACAAAUUACAGGUGAGGUCUAUGUUACCCUCUCUUGUUUAGAGGGUAAUUUAUCUUCUCAUGAUAUCAACCAAUCAAAAUGUAAUAUACAUGGGUACAUUAAAUGUCAAAUAAAUGAGUAGAUUUUUUCUAAAAUAAAAGUGUUAAUUUUAAAUUUUUUUUUAAGGAAAGUUAAUCUUAAUCAUAAGGUAACUUUUAAUACUUUUAAUUUUUAUUUAAUUUUUUUUUGUAAAAUAACAAAUGAUUUUUUUUUUUAUAUUAAGGUGUUCAAUCUUAAUUAACUUACACUACAAGACUUAUAACAAAUAAAAUUUUACAUCAAAUUUCUUUCGUUUGGAUGUCCUUAAAUUCAUCAUUUACAUUCAUAAAAUUUCUUCCAUUCCAUUACUCAAAACGUGAGAACAAAAAUAUCUCCUUCUUUCAAAUUUCUUCUUCUUUAUUCUUCCAUAUUGAUCAAUUUUGUUUCUUUUUCAUUAUUCUUUCCAUUUUGAUUGUUCAAUUUUGUCGUUCCAAAUUGCCGCAAUUUCCAAUUAUCGUGAGAAUUGUCGUUGUUUCUAGAACCGCGUCAGGUAUCGUGACUUAUUUUUUUUAGGUUUAAUACAUCAUUUGGUCCCUUAACUUAUUUUUGGAUUUCAUUUUGGUCCUUUAACUAUAAAGUGUCUCAAUUUGAUCCCAUAAAUAUUCUGCCGUUUACUCUUUUGGUCAUCUCCGUUAAUUUUUUAAAAUAUAUUAUUCUUGAUAUAAUUUUAACCACUUGAUUGCAGGUCUAUAGUAUCUAAGAGUGAACCAUCAACACUUGAUUUUUUACGGUUUUCUUCAUCUUCUCUCUUCUUCAUACUAUGCAAACUUCAAAUAUGCAGAACCAAAAAAUACAUCAAAUCCUAAAAUCUUAAACACAUCAACAACACCUUGUUUAACACUCAUAAAAAAAGUCCAUAGAAAUUUAUCAAUAGUAAUCAACAACAAAAUCAUCAUCUCAUAUUAUCACACCUCCAAUUUCUUAAAUCCAGAAAUCGUCAACAACAAUGUCUUUUUCUUCUUAGAAUUUGAUUAUCGGCUACAAUAAAUAAAUCUUUCAAAACCUUUAAAGGUCCACACUUACGGUUUAUACCUCCUUUUCCUUUAUAAAUUCAUAGCUUUAAUUCCUACAACAACCCAACAGACACAUAUUAUUCUUUGUUUAAUUUCUGUCUAUCUCUUAUAUUUCACUUUCUUGUUGCCUUCUCUAAAAUAAUACAAAUAUGAACAAAAUUGCAGCCUUGUUCUUCAUGGCACUUUUACUCUCCUGCAUGCUCUUCCACUCUUCACGCCCUGACCCAUCUUUUCAAAAGGAAUUUUUGGUAGCAACACAUAAUCCGGAUAAAAGCAAAACUCAAAGAAAUCAUCAAACCCAAAAAAAAAAAAAAAAAUAUAAAAUCUCCAGGUCCAAAGUAAUUUACUUAUAAACAACCCAGCAAGAACAACUGAUUAUUGCUAAGAUGAAAGGGACCAGAUUUGAAUCAAACCCAACAAUUGAAUAUGUAUAUUUGAAUUCAAACGAAACAUGAGAUGAAUUGCGUUGUUUCAAGAGAUCAGAUAAAAGGGGCAGAUUGUACGGGAAUGAGAUGAAUUGCGUUGUAUGCAAGAUGAAGGAAUGAGUUUUAGAGAUAGGGAGAGAUGGGGGUGGUUAUGAUCGAGAGAAAGAGGUCCAUAGAGAGAUGGUUAGUUGAUAGAGUGGAAAUGGAUCUUUCUGGUUUUUUUUUUUUUUUUUUUUUAAGAUGAAGAUGAAUAAAGAUCUGAUGUAGAAGACUACUACGGAAAGAAGAUGAAGAAAAAAAAUGAGGUGAUUGUGGUUUAUUAUAAGCUACAGAAGAUCCCCCUCUAUGAUCCAACAAUUUUCAUUUUAAAAAAAGAUCAAACGGUUAAAAUUAAAAAAUUUAAUAAAGUUUAUGGUAGACCACCUACAAAGUUAAUUCACCUUAGACAUUUAAAGUUAAAAAUUAACGGAGAGGACCAAAAUAGUAAACGGAAGAAGAUUUAUGGGACCAAAUUGAGACAAUUUAAAGUUAAGGGAUCAAAAUGAAAUUCAAAAAUAAGUUAAGGGACCAAAUGAUGUAUUAAGCUUUAUAAGCAGCCAACCUAAUAAAAUCUGUUAACACGCAUAGACCUGUCUCAUUAUCAGCAAACGUCUUUAAUUUCAAAUAAAAGAACAAAAGCCUCAUCACAUAACCAUUUCAGCAGCAACCAAAAAAAUGCUAGCAAACUCCCACAACAACACCUACUAGCAGCCCUCAAAGUACAACGGAUGAUUUACCCAAUUGUUAUAAUUAACUACCUCACAACCAAGAAAAAUCAAAUCAAAAAGAAAAAUCAAGUCAUCAUACCUGACGUUGUACUAGAAAUAACGACAUUUCUCACGAUAUUUGAAAUCAUGACGAUUCUCACAAAAAUUGAAAAAUACGGCAGUUGGGAACGACAAAAUUGAACAAUCAAAAUGGAAGGAAUAAAUUUUAUGAAUAUAACUGAUAAAUUUAAGGGCAUUCAGAUGAAAGAAUUUUGAUGUGAAAUUUUAAUUGUUCUAAUUAAGCCAGUCAUGUAGUGUAGAUUAAUUAAGAUUGAACACCUAAAUAUAAUUAAGGCAAUAUUAUAUUAUGGGUCAUUUAUCUUAUUUAUUUGUAACACUUUGGUACUUUGUCUUUAUUUUUUUCCCGCUUAGGUCCUUUAUCUCUCUUAAAAGCACAUAUAAAUCUUUUUUCGCAUUUUUUUAAUUAAAAAAUACAUAAUUUUAUUUUUAAAAAUAUAUUUUUAUUAAACUUGGAAAAAAAUCCAAAAAUAUGAUGAAGAUGUUCAUCAUCUUCAUCUUCUUCCUAUGAAUCUUCAUCAUCUUCUUUAAAUAAAUAAAAAAUUCUACUAAAAUAUAUCUCCAAAUAUCGUGAAUUAAUAUUAUAUUCACAUCAAAUCUUAUUUUAAACACAAAAAUCAAAACCUUAAUUUCACAAAUGUUGUAAGGCGAAUGGUGGAGGCUUAGUCAGUGGCGGAAGGGUUAGGCUUUACGAAAGUUAAUAUUGUUCUGGAAACAACAAAAUUGAUGUGCAAAGCUGCUAUCAAUUUUGGGGUUAUUUUUAUGUCGGGCUUGAAUAUUGAGUUAGAAAAUAAUAAUAAUAUACAGCGUGACAAUUUAUAUAACUAAUUUUUUUUUUUUUUUUUGUGAUGAAACUAAAUCUCUUUCUCUAUAGGGGUUUGAUUUUUGUGUUUAAAAGAAGAUUUGAGGUGAAUAUAACAUUAAUUCAUGAUAUUUGGAGAUAUGUUUGUGUGGAAAUGUUUUUGAUUCAAUGAAGAUGAUGAACAUCUUCGUCAUAUUUCUGGAUUGAAAAAUGUUACAUGAACACCCUUUAAUCAUACACCCUAUUGUACAUCCUAUGUAUUAAGGAUAUUUUGGUAAAUUCAUCUCACAACCAUACUUUCUCUUUCAUCUCCUCUCCCUUUUCCUUGCCACAUGUCAGGAUUUUAUGUGGGUGUAAGAGGUGUAUUGCCACAUGGGUGUGUACAUGUAUCACCACUCUUCUGGAUUUGUUUCAUUUUAAUAUAACCCCCCAUUGCAUUUUUCACAUUUAUUAAGAAAUGUUGUCUGUGCAGUUAAUGUGUCUGAUUUAUGUUACAAUUUUACUAAACUACCCUCAUUCCACUAUUAAUGGAUUACCUCGGUUGCCUUUAUUAUACUUACAUUAAUUGUACUUUUUUAAUGAAGAACUACACCACCAUAUUUAUGACAACGCCUCCUUUUUUUUUUCUUUUCCAUUUAGUGACCUCGUUCCACUUGCCAACUGCAUUGGUACUAAAGUUAACUAUUAAAAUUCUGAAAAUUUCACACUAAAUGGCGCCAGUAUUUUGUUUUCUUUUUUGUAUUCUUUUUCUUCAUAGCUGUCAUUUUCAUACUCAUAUUCGGGGAACUUCUCAAUGUGCACACCUUGGACUUCAUUUUCUUCAGUUUGUUUGGAUUGGACUUCAUCUUCUUCAGCAUGUACCAUAGCAGCAACUUGUUGGACUACCUCUGAUGCAACACUAUCAUAGGAAUCUUCCACUACCUCCAUUGUAAUGUCAAAAUCGUAUGAAUCUUGGGCUACCUCCAUUUGUGCCGUAGUACUAAUAUGGUUCUGAUAGUAUCAAUAACUUCUCAUUUUAUACUACUCCUACCAAACUAGAGUAAGGUUAUCAAGAGUCACUAGGGAGUAAUUGUUACGGAUGCAUACAACCAAAGAGAGAAUUAAACUCUUUUCUCUUCCCGGUGUUGUUUAAUAAGAUAAUGUGAAAAGUCAAUUUAUUGUAAUUUUAGAAUUAGUAGUAGUAUUAAAUAAGGGUAUAUAUGGAAAAAAUAAUUAAUGCGUGUUGUAAUUUGAAAAGGGUUUACAUUUAGGACAAAAAUAAAAACAAAAUGUGGUUACAUAUAGGGAUGGAGGGAGUAAACUCUAGCAAAAAAAGUGUGAUUGCGAUUAAUUCUAAAAAGUGCGAUUGCGAUUAAUUGAAAAUCGCAGAAGCUCUCACAAACUGACUUACUGCGAUUAAACGAUUGCGAUUGCGGUUAAUUGAAAAGUCAUGCGAUUGAAAUUCUUCAAGUUGCGAUUGCCUUAAGAAUACAAACGUGUUGCGUCUAUCACUUCUGUGUUGCUUUAAGUGCUUCUUCUUCCUUCUUCCCAACAUGCGAUUUGCAGUUGCGACGGGUUCUAUUGAAAAGAAAUUGAAUUAACAAACACAGCUAGUUUUGCGAUUGGUUACUCACGAUUUGCAAUUGCUUCUGCGAUUUGUGCGAUUCAACUACCUGAGUUUUCAUUACUGUAAGUCACUGCUUUACAUUCCAACUUCGAGUUGGACUCAGCUACUCUAGUGCAGCGCUAUCGUCUCUAGGCCAUGGUGAUUCAGAAUUUUAUGCUAUUGUUUCUAGUAUUAUAUUUCAGUUAUCUUUACAUUCCACCAACUUUGAGGUGAAGUUUGUUAGGAGAGAAGCGAACAUGGUUGCUCAUAGCUUAGCUAGGGCGGUCUGUUCUUGGGCUAGUCACUGUAUUUUUGAUUCAUAUCCUUCUUCUAUUGAUUAAUGAUAAUAGUUAACUUUGCUUUGGUAAAAAAACAAAAAAAACUAAACUCUGCUUAAUACAUAAAACCAAUUUUUGUUAUAAAACUAAUUUUGCAGGAAAUUAGGAACAAUGUAUAAAACCAACGCAUAGUAACAUUUUUGUAUUAUGUACAUUUGCUAUUGACAUCUUUUCUUAAUUUAUCGUCAAUAUUCCUAUGUGACCUCCAGUAUGGAGGAUGCAGAAAGCUCAAAGAUAAAUUUAAGAUAGGCUCUGAUACCAUAUCAAAAUUUAGGAUACGGUCUAACUCAACCUUACAAAAUCGGAUUGUACGGUGAGGAGUGUUUCCUCUUUAUAAACUCUUCUCAAGAAUCCUAUCUAUCUGAUGUGGUACUAAUCCCACCGAGUGUUGGAACAUCAAAUACAUUAGCCAAUGAUGCCUCCAUAUUGGAAUGACACCAUUUGAUAUAUUUUUAUGUCCAAUAAUAAUUUUUCUUUGUCUUAUUUUUUAGGCUUAAGUGCAGUUUUUCCCCCUUAAGUUUCAAAAAGUUGCAAUUUUGACCUCUUAUUUAAUAAAAUGACAAAUUUAAUCCCUUAUGUUUUAACCCCUUUACAAUAGUAGUCCUUUUGUUCAAUUUUGACUUUGUCAAUGCUUACAUGUCAUGCCACGUGUGCAAUAAUUAAAUUAAAAGAUUAAAAAAUACCACAUAAUUAUUUUUUAAAUUAAAUAAAUUAAAAAAGAAAAUGAAAAAUUAAAAGUAUCAAAAAAAUUGAAAAAAAAAUAGAAAAGGAAAAGAAAAAAGAAGAAAAAAAACGUGAAUUCAUAGAACAACAACAAUUUCAGCAAGGUUCCAUUAUUCUUCAAUUUAUUUCCUUCUUCAUUAUCUAAUCUAACUUAUUCCUAAUCGUAGUUAACACUCCAAACCCUAAUUCUACUUUUUUAGGCGCCAAACAAUCCUAGCCCUUGGAUCUACACCUUUGGGCGCCACUUAUUUAUCAGCCAUAGAUCUGAUCUUGCUGCUGGCUGGCACAAAUCACAAUUCAAAUUCAAGUUUACGGUGCAUUGUAAAUUGACAAAUAGUUAAUGUUAUCGGUUUUGAAUACAGUGUUGCAUAUCCAUUUCAUUGGGAAACAAUGGCUCUGACCUAACCCUCCUUUCUCUCCAUCUCUCUACGAUUCCUCGUCUUCUUCAAAAACACACAAAAUCCCUUCUUCUUCUUCUUCUGCCUUCAUUUCGACCCUCUAAAGUAAAUGCAUCAUCGUUGACCACCACUGCGUCGGAAUAUGCUCUUAACCGCGCCGGAGUUGAACCACCGUUGUUAAUCACCGCGUCGGAUUCGCUCUUUAUCGCACCAGUGUCGCUGUUAGAAGCUUCUCCACCGUUCAAUUUUUAAUUCCGCAACUUCACCCGUAAUCGCUGCGAUAAAGAUUGAGAGCUAAAAAAGAAUCCCGCAUCAAACAAAGUUAAGGUAAUGAUUAAUGAUUCGUUAUACUUUGCUUGCUAUAGAUACAUAGAUGAAUAAAUUUGGUGGCUUGCCUUCAUUUGAUUUUGCUUGCUGUUGAAAUUGGGUUUUCAAGGUGUAGUUUUGAACCAAUCAAUUUGCUCGAUUCAUCAUUUGUUAAUUUUUGUUUUUAAUUUUUUUUAGCUUCAGUUCAAAAUAGUUGAAGAACUUAACGGGGUUGUGAGUUUUUGUUUUAUAUAAUUUCUAAUAUGCGAUUAUGUCUUUUUUGCAUGUUUGUUCAUGAUGUUUAACUCUGUAUUUCCCUUUUUUGUUACUUAUGUAGGUUGUUUUGGUUUUUGUUCUAAUCAUGGAAAAUCAUUUGAGUUUAGUGUUACAAAGUGAGCUUGAAAAUCUAUACAAAGAUGCUAUGAGAACAUUGAGUUCACUUGCUUUUUGAAUCUUCUUAGAGUUUGGUGUUCUAUGUUAAAAAAAAUUAAAACCACUACCAUAGGAUGAAGCAAUAGUUUUAGAAUCAAAUGUUGAUUGACAGGAAGAUAUAUUUAUUGUCGAAGAUGUCUAACUUGCUGCCCCUGUGUUUGUUGUUAUGUUAUAUUACUUUAUUAGAUUCUAUGAUCGAUUAUUUCCUUCAUUCUUUAUGGUUAAAUCUGCAAUUUUUGUUUGAGGAUUCCAAAAUAUCAUGUUUGCUCCUAUGCACAAUAAGAAUUCUGCUAAUUGAAUUUGCUAGAUAAUUAUCAACUAGCUCAUGUAGUUCUGCAUUUAAAAAGUAAUAGGGCAUUCUGAAGCAGCAAUUAGCCAACAUACUGGUGUUUGCAUAUAUUUUUAGUUCAUUUGUAAGUGUUAUCUUACUAUUGCUUCCUUUUCUCUCCAAACAGAUUUUGCUCCAACAGAAAAUAAAGAUGUUAUGUCAGUUCUAUUAAUGAUUUUUCCGAAGUAAUAUUUUGAUUUUUGGAAGACUUAAAAUGACAUCCAUCCAAGCUUGAGUGAUUCAUCAAAUGGAUGAACAACAAAGCAUCAUGAACAACUUUCUUGAUAUAUUAACUGAUGGUGUUCAUUCCUUGAAGCAGGAAAACAACAAAGGCUAUGAAAGGUGACUUUUUAUGAUCUAUAUGAAAUACUGCAUGUUUGCUGCUAUAUUAAUUUUGAAGAAUUAAAGUGCUGCUAUAUUAAUUUUGACUAAGUCAAAUCAACCAAAGUGUUGAUAUAGUAUUAUAUAGUACAAAGAAGGAAUACUCUAAAAAAAUAUAAUUAUGCACAUGUAUGUCACUUUGUGUAGCUAAAACCAUUUUCAUUAUAUACGUCGACCAUGCUUUGCUGUCAAAGUUUAUAAAUGAAAUCUAUAUGUGGUCAUAUUAAGCCUAAUGCUAGUAUCAAUGUCACUUAAGUGAAGGAGGUGUGCACUGCUACCGUAAUGCUUAUCUUUUCCAUCUCAUGAAUUCUAAUGAUCAAAUUUAGUAUAUGCAAAGGCUAUAUUACUCUGCAUGAUCAUAUUAGCAAAAUGCUUGAUAGAAAAGACUGAACCCAAUAAGAUAAAUAUUUUGAAAUAGUCUUGGUAUAUGUAGCAUAGUGAUUGUUUUAAUUAUGCUUGAAAAUUGCAAGACUUAACACUUGGAAUAGGCAACCAAGAUCCUAUCUUCAAGCAAUACAGCUUGCCAAAGGGUGAGGUUGGUUACCCCAAUGGAAUAUUUAACCCUUUGCACCAACUUUGGAGGCUAAAGAGAAGGAAAUUUCUAACGUUAUAUUUGCAAUGUUGGCAUUCUUGGGAUUUAUCAGUCAGCACAGUGUCACAGGAAAAGGACGAUUUGAUAACCUCUUGCAGCACCUUUCAGACCCAUGGCACAACACCAUUGUUCAAACACUGAGUGGCGGCAACUAAAAUGUUUGUUGUAUCUAAUGAUAUGAAAGCCUAUGUUAUUCUAAUGUAAUCAUGAAUGGAUGAAUUUUGAAAGAUAUCUGAGCAUGAUUGUUAAGAUCCUUAAUUUAUUUCCAUGUACAGAGGAACUAAGUGGGUUUUUUAAAUAAAAAAAAUAGGCGUAGGUGUACCUUAGUGGUUAUGGAACUCUUUUGCAAGCCAUCCAUUUAAUAUAUGACAAUUCCCGUUCUUUGAGUGAAAUCAGAUUCUACAUAUAUUUGAGUUUUAUAUGCAUGUGGUCUUGGUUUAAUUUUGAUGUCUUGACUUUACUAUAUACACAAUUUAUGUGAUCUUUUGGAUUAUACCAAUUUGAGUUUUAAAUUUAUUACUAACAAGAUUCAUAAAUUGACAAAAAAAGUAAUUGUUUACCUCUUAUAAAUAGAACAAAAAAUUGUAACAAGAAAGAUUAAUCGUUAAAAAACAAUAGCGCUUCAACUAUAAUAGACAUUUGCGAUUGAACGGAUGACAAUGGAGAUUAUUUCAACACCACUUUAAAUGUAGUGUAUAAAGAGAUAUUUCAAAAUGUGUGAAUAAUUGUUGUAUGUCCUAAAAUAUUGAUUAUGUUGAAUUGUUUUCUUAUCUAUAUAAUAGAUCAUAUUGUAAUAUGUUAGCUUUUCCAUUGUUUAUGACCCGGGCGGUAGCACGGGUAAAAGUCCGCCCGGAUAAAAGUUCUAGUCAAUUCCAACCCCAAUUGCGGUACAACAACAUCGACAACUUUUUUUCUUCUUCUUUACUAAGAUUACUAAGAUUGUGAUUACUAAGAUUUAUUUGGAUAAGGAUAGGAAAAGCUUGUUGUGCUGCCGCUGAUAAGGAGGGUACCAAGUUUGCUCCUGAAGACAUUAUGCAAAACGUUGAUUAGUUUAAUUAUAUUAUUACUUUUGGUUGUAUUGUUACUAGAACUUGAUUUUCUUGGUGAUUUGAAUGUUUUGUGAUUAAGAUCUGAAUUAUUUUCAGAAUUUUGGGAAGUUUAUGUUUUGUUAAAAAAUAAAAAUGAGGGAGAUGAUUGUUGGGUUUGAUGAAGUAACUGGGUUAAUAAGAUGAAGAAGAAGGAGAUUGAUGAAUAUGCACUCUAGAGAGAAAGAAGGUUCGAAAGAAUCAUGGAAAGAAGAAGAUGAAUAACGUUUUUUUUUUCCUUUUCUAAUUUUUUUUUUUCUGAUUUUUUUUUAAUUUCUCAAUUUCUUUUUUAAUUUAUUUAAUUUAAAAAUGAUUAUAUGGUUUUUUAAUUUUUUAAUUUAAUAAUUACACACGUGUCACCCAUUUAAGCGUUGACCAAGUCAAAAUUGGACAAAAAGACCACUAUUGCAAAGGGGCUAAAACAUAAGGGACUAAAUUUGCAAUUUUGUUUAAUAAAGGGCCAAAAUUGUAACUUUUUAAAACUUAAGGGGGGAAAAGUGCACUUUAGCCUAUUUUUUAUUGUUAACUUUACGGUCAUAAAGGUUGGAAAAAGAAAGGAUGAGUUGAGCGCAGCAUCAAAAUGGAUGGAGAGACAAGUUGAUGAUACUCCUCCGUCUCUAAAUAAUAAUCGUUUAAGGUUUUUGCACAAUUAUUAAGGAAAUGAUUAAUUGUGUUGAUUUUGAUGAUGAAAUUAGUAUCAUUUACUAAAACAUCAUUAUUAAUUGUAAUUCUUUAUCUUCUUAUAUAUUAAAGUUAACAUGUAAGCCCUAAUUUUAACCUAAACCCUAUUGCAUAAUUUUACUGUUUUAACCCUAAUGGUCACACCUAAUCUCCUAUUUUCAUGAACAACCCUAAUGCUCGCACCUAAUCUUCUUAUAUAUUAAAGUUAACCCGUAAGCCCUAAUUUUAACCCUAAUCUAUAUAAACAGGUGGAAGAAACAUUUCAACAAACAGUUAAAGGGUAUCAUUUACGGUAAAGGCCAAAUAUUUGAUAAAAGAAAAAUUAUUUAAAUAAAACAUUUUACAUNNNNNNNNNNNNNNNNNNNNNNNNNNNNNNNNNNNNNNNNNNNNNNNNNNNNNNNNNNNNNNNNNNNNNNNNNNNNNNNNNNNNNNNNNNNNNNNNNNNNAAGGAAUGUGAUGCCCUUGCGGGGAUACAAUGACUGCCCCAAUUCCUUUGCCAUAAGCAUUGACAGCACCAUCAAAGACUAAACCCCACUUGCUAUUGGGAUCUGGACCUUCAUUAAUCAACGGUUCGUCGCAGUCUUUGGAUUUCAAAUACAUGAUCUCUUCAUCAGGGAAAUCGAAUUCAAUUGGUUGGUAAUCAUCAAGAGGUUGAUAAGCAAGGUGAUCGGCAAGAAUGCUGCCUUUGAUUGCCUUUUGAGUUUUGAACACAAUAUCAUAUUCAGACAAAAGCAUCUGCCAGCGUGCAAUCUUCCCAGUAACGGCCGCUUUCUCAAAGAUAUACUUUAUCGGAUCCAUUCUGGAUAUCAACCAAGUUGUAUGAUUCACCAAAUAAUGACGCAGGCGUUUGGCAGCCCAAGCUAGAGCACAACAAGUCUUCUCAAGCAUUGUAUACCGAGUUUCACAGUCGGUGAACUUCUUGCUUAGAUAGUAGAUAGCAUGCUCUUUCUUUCCGGUUUCAUCUUGUUGACCAAGCACACAUCCCAUGGAUUCAUCAAAUACUGCCAAAUACAUAAUCAAAGGCCUUCCUUCCACGGGUGGGACAAGGAUAGGUGGUUCCAGCAGGUAAUUCUUGAUGCUAUCAAAAGCUUCCUGGCAUUCAUCGUUCCAUACAAUAGGCUGAUUCUUGCUCAAGCAAUCGAGUGAUCUCAUAUGGUAUAUCAUCAUCCUCUUCAUCUUCGGCUUCAUACACAGGGAAUUCAAAAUUUGGAGGAACCGUAGGAUUACUGUGUUCAACGGGUUUAUUAUGGUUCAAACUGCAUAGAAUGGUUGAAUGAUUUUAGAAAAUGUUUUUUUUUUCUUUUAUGCAGUUCUUUGAAAUUGAUAAGAAAAAUAAAGAUGUUUUGGUUUUUUCUGGUAUUACCAUUAUUUCCAAGAAAAAAAGAAAAAAAAAAUCACUAAAAAAUAAAAGUCGUGAAAGAAACGACGAUUUUUGUUAAUAACGGCGAUGCCGAAACAAACACGCCCUUCCAGAAAUAUCACUUUCGCUUCGGGCAGAGCGAGAGGAUGGUUAUUUUGAAAAACAAAACACUUAAGCAACAAGACACAUUAUUCGGAAACAUGCAUGAUUGAAUGAAUGUUGAUGGCAUCACAAUUUCUCGCAAUGCCUCCUGGUAUAACAAACAUAGGCCUAGGACUACAUCCAGUCGCCUCUUCAGUAAUUGCAUUGAUAAACUCAGCACUGUUGAAGAUUCAUGUGGCAUUGUACUUGUAAGGAAUAGCCUUUGUAGAAGUAUAAGGUACUGGUCCGGGCAGCCUUAUCACUUAGAGGCUCAACAUUCUCUUUUGAAGGCACGCUCUUGACGGGCGGAUCAUGAAAGACUGGCACAAUCACACAGACAUCACUGACAGUCAGAAGAUUAUCAUCCAUCAGGCUUUGGAUGUCGUCUUGAACAGUAUAGCAGCCCAAAGGAUCACAGAGGCAUCCUAGACACUUGGCAUGAUCAUGGCUGAACAGAGAGGCUUUGCAUAGCUUGAUAUGCAGAGGCACCAGAGGAGUGGCAACAUUGUGGACAUCAAGUCUAGGAGCUUCCUCACACACUUCGAUCAUAUUCACAGCGGCAUGAUUUGGAAGAGGAUUGUCAAGGACAUGUGGAACAUUAUUCUCAAAAGUCAGCUUUCCCUGAUCAAUGAGCUUCUUCACGAUAUACUUCAAAGCAUAACAUCCCUCGACAUCAUGACCUAAGGCACCUUGAUGAAAGUCACAUUUGAGAUCAGACCUGAACCUUGGAGGCAACGGAUCAGGUGGGGGCUUACCCUGUCUAGUUGUACAAUGUCCUCUCUGGAGUAGAGUUGGAAGAAGUUCUGCAUACAACAUCGGUAUAGGAGGAAAAGUUGGUCUAGUAUACUGCUGCUGUUGUUGUUGUUGUUGUUGUUGUUGUUGUUGAACCGGCAACUGUUGUUUCAUCUGUUGGGCAAUUGCAUUGACGGGCACUUGAGGCUGGCCCGGUGGCAAAGGGUACUGAUGAUAAAACGGUGGGAAGAACGGAUGUUGAGAAUACGGCAUAUAUGGGUAUGACGGAGGCAUUUGAGCUGCAUUGAUAGGAGCAACGGUAGCCAUAGAUUGACCGGCUCCAGCUGACACCAUCCCCACUUCCGUUUCUUUCUUCUUGUGGUGUCCAUUACCAUAUCUCUUCGAUGCACUCGUAGAAGAUUCAGCUUUCUCAAACACAAUGAUCCCAUCCCUGACUGCUUCCUCAAGACGGGUUCCCAUAGUGACCAUCUCCGAAAAGUUGUUCGGGGCGGCGAUGAUCAUCCUCUCAACAUAAUCUUUCUUCAAGGUCUUUAAGAAUGUCUGGGUCAUUUCUUCUUCAUCUAAAGCAGGAGUGAUACGGGCAGCUGCCCCUCUCCAUCUUUGUGCAUAUUCCCGGAAACUUUCCUCCUUUUUCUGAGAUAGGGACCUGAGGAACUCCCUAUUCGGCUUCAAACGAGUGUUAAACCCGUAGUGGCUCCUGAAAGCGGUGGCCAGCUCAUCAAAAGUAUGGACAUCGUCUUUGCUCAGACUAGUAUACCACUCUGCAGCAUCUUCCAUCAGACUGUCUUGGAAGUAAUGGAUCAUAAGGGAAUCAUUGUCCUUGUAGUUGCCCAUCUUCCGGACAUAUUUGACAAUAUGAUUUUGAGGACAAGUCAGCCCGUUAUAUUUGUCGAACUCCGGGACUUUGAACUUUUUUGGAACAUCUACCUUCGAUACUAAGCAGAGAUCCUGGGUUUUAAUGGAGUCUCCAUUUCCCCUAUUGGCCUUAAUUUCCCGUCGGAGCUCUUUGGCAAGUUCUUCCAUUCUCUCUUCCAUAGUUUCGGUUGCGGCAAUACUCCCGUGGUGUGCAUUAGCAUGGACAAAUAGAGGCACCGCAUUCACAAUGGGCUCGGUAACAGUUGUUGCAGCUUGAGUCAAGGCGGUACUAAUAGGAGUUAAGUUUGCCCCUGGGAUUGGGCCAUUGUUGGUAGUACCAGAGGUCCCUGCCCCUGUAUUAGCAGUAUAGUACAGCGGAAGCCCGUAAGGAUACCCGGAUGGCAUGAUAGAGCGGGGAUCAGUUGUUACAGUAGGAGUCACAUUUGCAGCUGUAGAAACUACAGGAACUGGUUGUUCCUGAGCAGCCAACAGAGCAGUCAUAGCAUCAUGAGCUUUGGCCAAUUCCUCCCUUAGAGAUGCCAAUUCGGUACGAAGCUGUGUGUUCUCUUCUUCCAUAGCCUUUUUCCUUCUUCUGUACUCUCUGGUUCGAUCGAUUCUAUCAGGUUCGUAGACCUUCUGAGCACGAGCCACUUUUCAAACUGUGGCAGAGGAACCAGGAAGUAGUGAGCAAUUGGAAGCCUUUGUGACCGAUGUAUGAUGCAUAUGAUGCAUGAUAUGCAGAUGCAAAUGCAAAAACGACUCUUUUUAAUGUCAUCGAAGGACUUUUUAAACAAAUUCGAAACAUUGUAAACACUGUUAAACAAGCAAAAUAAGGUUUUACAAUGGUAAACUUAUGAAUACAAGUUCACACCUGCGGUGUCUUACAAUGUUUCGAUCUGUCUAAAAAAAUCUUCGAUGUAUGCGUGAAAAAAAACUUAUGCAUGUAUGCAUGGUUGUUUUGUUUAGUUACAAAGAACAAGGUGGGUUGAGAUUCAAAGUAACAGGGCCACGGAUGGACACGGCGUCCGGUGAACUAAGGCUUUGGAUAGUAGUAACCAAGGUUCUAACACAGUUCCCAAACUGCAACCUCUCUCACAUAUAUCAUGGUAGUACAGGACGACACCCGUUCCAUGAUUAUUUGUGAGAAGGUCUAGUUUGAGUGUAGUAUCGCGUGACGACUAAAGUUUGAGACAACACUCAAUUUAGCCACCGCACUACGUCCUAAAAAGGCUAGGAUGGGUUUGGUAACUACGGUUCAUAGCUUCGUCGAACAAUUGAAAGUGAAGUGCCUAAGCAUGACAACACACGCCGACAAUAUCACCUUCAAAAUGCCUCAGCUAUGUGAGAUUGAUCGCAUAAUCCAAUACACGAGGCAACCCCCGGAUCGAAUUGUCGAUUAUAUCUCUACCUAAACAUAAGUUCACUCAGCCCGGGUAUAGGACUUUUGAUAUUCUCACCCCACACGUCAAAUGAAAAUAAACAAGUAUUCACAUAUGUAAGCAAUAAAACAAAGCGUAAAUAUAAACUAAGGAAAACUAGGCGCGACCCGCUAAAAAGAAUCCCCAGUGAAGUCGCCAUUUCUGUUAUCAUGGUUUUUGGGUGCCAAGCCAUUAAUUGGACUUGUACCUUUCGACCGUUGAUAUCUCUCUUUUUUCUUGGGAAGGGUAAAAGGAGAAAAACCCUUGAGUUUCCGAAUUCGGGGGUCGGUUUUACCACGGGAAGGUGUUAGGCACCCGGAGUAACUAUAGUCCUCUAUAGGAGCCGUUUUCCUAAGUCUAUAUUCACGCUUAUUUUUACUUACUUUUGAAAAUGGGAGGUUUAUUUAGUUAAGAAUGGGGGGAGAGAAGUUGUAAGACUUUUUAUCUUUUAGUUGAUUUGAAGAAAAUUUUAAUGUGUUGCUAUUUGAUUUUUUAAAGUUUGAAAAUGAUUUUUUGAAGAAGAGAAAGGAGGCCUUAAAGGCUUGAGAAGUAAAAAAUGUGAAGUUUGUCCAAUUUUACUUAAUAAAAUAGUCUAAGUCAUUUAAGGUUCAUUUAGAAUUUUCUUAAGAAAGUAAAAGGAAACACCAAAGGAGUUUUGACUCCAAAGUUCAUUUUAAAGAAAAAGAGCUAGAAUUAUGGAACUUGGUUUGCUUUGCGAAAAAAUAUUUUCUAAGUACUCGCGUUACCUAAUCAUACAUCUAAACGAAUGUCAUACACCGUGUGUGAGUGUCGGUGCUCGUGCCGGUGUACAUCAAUAGAGUCCAUAGUCCCUUUUACAUUGUCCUAGAUACAUUCUAUGGUCUUUGCAUGAAAUAUAAAAGAUAACACCUACCUAAAUAUUACAAUUCCAAAUAAAAGUAAAAAAAAUGGAUGCAAAGAAACUAAACUAUGUAAAAGAAUGGAAAUGGAAUGCUAAAUGAUAUGUAUGAAGUACCAAAGUAAACUUGUUAGUAAAAAAAAACAUAACAAGUACUAAGAAAUAAAAGCAUGCAAGAUGGCACAAAAAGUUAUCAAAAUGACAUUAAACCCUAAAAACUUAGGUAUGAAACCUAAAGCAUUCUUGGCCUCUAAUUCUCAUGCUUUAACAAAUUUUGAAAGAGUUUUCUUUAUCUCAAGUUAUAGCAUGGAAUUAUUGGAAACAUGCAAACAUGGUUUCAUGCCAUAUUUUCUAGAAUAAACUUGGCAUUUUAUAUCUUUCAAAAUAUGCAUAUAUUGUUCAUAAAAUUAAGAACUUAUGAACCAAAUCAAAACAGCAAAUCAACAUGAAAUUAUAGGCACAAAUCUCUCAUAUUAACACAUCAAGUAGCUUUUAUUACAUAUUCUCACAUUAAGGACAAAUGUGUGAAGAAGAAUUCAUAACAAAUAAUUCAAAGAGAAUUAAAAUGCUAUGAAUUAAUUAUACCAAAAUUUCAUAGAUCCUUAAUGUGCAAAAAUGUCAUAAAAACACUAAGAAAAUAUCAAGAAACAUGUAUGAAUUUUUCUAGGAAUUUUAUCACAAUUUUAAUCAAGACAUAGGUGCAGGUAGCAAAAAAAUAGGGGUGUGAACAGCAAGAAAAAAAGCAAGAAAUGUGCAGAAAAUUAAGCCCAAACCCAAAGCCCAACACCAAAACUCAGAUUGCACAGGAACCACACGAUUGAUCCAGGGUCCUGAAACCCUAGAUCAAACGGCCAGGAACCAAGGGGGGGUUGGACCGGUCCUGAACCGGUCCGGUUCACUGGCUUUAUAAGGGAGGGAAACCGGUUUUUUUUAUAAUUCUUCUUCUCCUUCUCUCUCUUCUCUCAUUCUAGUGAGAGAAGCUCUCACUUCUCUCUUCCUCACCGCGCCGGAUUCUGGAAAAACAGGAGAUGAUCUUCAUCUUCUCCGGCGGAGUUUGUUCCUCCGGCGUGGUGGCCGGCCACCCAAGGGUGGCGGCGCCGCCGCCGGAGUUGAGCAAACUCCUCCGAUUUUGAAAAUUUUUACAUUUUUAGAUAUCCUUUUUCGUGCUAUUCAUGAAUCCAAACUUAGUUUUUUGAGAAAAAGUCCCAAUCGGAGUAGAUCUAGCUUCAAAGAUUCGGAAAUUUGAAUUUUAAAGAGGAAGAAAGAGGAAGAGGAAUUGUCACCUAUUUGUGGUGUGUUGUAGAGCAAGGGAGAGAGCUUUGCUUUCUUCCGAAUCCGGAAUAUUCCUUCCUUCCUUCUCUUCUCUUUCACGUGUCUCUUUGACCGAUUUUGUGCUUGUUGUUUGGUGAUGUUCUUGGCGCGGAUUUGUGGAUUUUUGUGAUUCUUGGUACGGAUUUGGUUCGGAUUCGGUUUUGUGGCUUUUUGGUACGGAUUUGUUGCUUUUUGGGUACGAAUUUGUUGCUGGAUUUUGGUACGAAUUUGUUGCUGGAUUUUGGUACGAAUUUGUUGCUUUGUUGAUUUUUCUUCUUCCCCUCUCUCUGUGAUCGUGCUUGAAUUCGCCGCUUCCGGUGGCGGAUUCGCACUUGAAUUGUGGAGCAGAGGCGAUUCGAUGAUGAAGAUUCGCAAAGAAUCUCUGAGAAUCACCCAAAAAAAGGAUGAAUUUGAUGAAUCUGUGAUGAUUUUCGGUUAGGGUUUAUGUGUGUGUUCUUGAUGAUUUUCUGUUUUGAUUUGUAACUGAAUAGAGAGAGAAGAAAAAAUCUGUUUGUGAUGUGUCACUGUGUGAAUGGAAUCCUCCUAAAAAAUCUGACACUUCGUUUCCCCUUUUAUAUGCUGCCAUGUGUACCUGAACCAAUAAAAAAGUGACAUCUGGACUGGACUAAAAUUUGUGCGAAAAUUUGGACCAAAAUGCCCUUUGGGGCGUUUCUGCAGAAAAAAAUGAUAAUAAAAGGACUGAAAUGCAAUUCUUAGAAACUUUUGGACUGAAAUGUAAUUUUGGGACCUCAAUUGAGGGACCAAAAUGCAAUAAAAAAUAAAAUUGAAUAAAAAACGCAAUUUGAUCGAACGUAAAGCGAAACAAAAAUAAAAUUGACAAAACGGACUUAAAACGAACCAAUGGCCUAAAUGAGGUACUUCAAAGUAACCUCCCUAUGUCAAAAUUUCGUGUGAAAUGACCAAAAUGCCCCUAGGGCUAAAAAUGACCUAAACUGACUCAAACAGACUUGACACUGACUCGGACGCAAGUUUGAAAUGAAUUUAAACAGGGUUUACUGAUGAAAUGUUAAAAAUGAAUUUGAAAAGACUCAGAGACAGUCACAAGGAUGAAAAUGGGUCCCACUGCAGGAAAUGACCAAAAUACCCUUCUGCAUGACUUUUUGCAAAUUUUGAAAUAAACUGUAGAAAAAGCAAUGUAAUGAUUCAGAGACACCUUUGAAUGACUUUCAAGACAAGUAAAGACAUUUUGAAAGGUUUUAUGCAAAAAAACAUAGGUAAAAUUGUGAUUGAAAAAAAACUGCGAGACAGAGACAAUUUGAACUGUGCAGUUGACAUUUGAUAAUUGACAAAGUUUGAAAUGAAAUUGGGCCCAGUAUUUUUAGGUCCAAAAACAGGGUAUAACACUAAUUGUUCAUAACAUGUGCCAAAAUUUAUGAAGAAAAACAUGGCAAGAAAUUCACAAAAUUAGGCCAAAAAGAACCAAUUAAUCAAGAAAAUAACACCUACAUUUUUAUCAUCUUUAAACAGGUAGCAAUAUCACACAAAAUGUCAAAAGAUACAACAAAAAACAUAUAGAAUUUUUAGGAAAUUUUUAGAACAAAUAGAGGCGUAUAUAGCAGGAAAAUAAGGUGCAAAUAGCAAAGAAAAGGCAAAAAAACAAAAGAAACUGUAAGAUAAAGCCCAAGCCCGAAACCUAAAGGCCUGGAAGCACAGGGAUGCCAUGCUUAAUUUCUGAGUCAAUAACCGAGUGGAACAAAAGUGACUUAUAUGUAUAUGCAUCAUACAAGUAAUAAAGCAUAUCCAGGAAAUUGGGAGAGUGAAAGAGGAAUAUCAUAAGCUUAACUUCGAAGUUAAUGUCAAGGUGUAACAAAAUUGGUUUCUCUAUGAUUAGCAUUUUUACUUAGAGAAAAAAAGACAGGGGAUGUCAACCAUUCAUGAGGAAAGUAAUGGUAGACAUUACGCAAAACCAAAUUUUAUCACAUUUUACAAAGUAAAAUAAUAGGGAUUGUUAUGCCAAAUUUUUGCGUGGAAAUAAUAUUCACAGCAUGCCAUGUACUCCCUUUCAUUGAUGACCGUGUUCUUUUUAGUUGAUUUUUGUUUAAAAGUGACUUGAACAAAGUGUGGCUGGCCAUUUAUAAAUGGAUUAUUGCUAGUCAUUGUGUUUAAAUAGAUGACUAGCAGGAGUUGGCUACAGAAGUUGCAGCCACAUUUAAAUUUAUUAGAAGGCAACUAAGAAACAAGAAGAUUAGAGAUAUUGGGAGACCUCAAGAUUUUAGACUACAUGCAAAAUAAGUACCUGUUUCCAAUGUCAUGCAUCAAAAGGUUUCUCUAAGCAUUGCAUUGAAAAUUAUCAAAUCAAGAAGCUUAAAGAACCAAGAGAAAGAGUUAUAUGGUCCAUCCUUAUAGAUAAAAAAAUGUAGAUAUUUAGAGUUUUGUUAAUAUGGAAAAAAGGCCAAAUUUAGAAAUGUUAUUUAUUUUGGUAUAUCCUUGGUCUCUCUUUCCUCUUUAUGCUAUCAAUUAGUUCAUGUAAUUUUUUUGGUUCAAUUCAUUGAUGUGAUCUAAAUAGCUCAAUAUAGCUUUUUAUAAAAUGUCCACUCACGAAGCAUAGCUUACAAUAAAAUGUUCAAGUAGUAUACACAAAGAAACAAAUAAAAAUAUAUACACGAGUUAGCGCAGUAGAAAAAGCGUGCCCGUCUGGACGCUAGUAAUAAUGAAAAAUAAUAAUAAAUGAUGCAUUGGUAUUCUAAAGUGACAAUUAUUUUGAGAAAAAGAAAAAUGAGUAAAAAGAAAAUUAUUGUGAGACGGAUGGAGUAUUUAGAAAUUUAAACCUCAAAAUUCGAACAGCUUAAUAGCUAAUGCUACAAAAACUCGAAUAAAUACUCCCUCCGUCUCACAAUAUUAGUUCGCUUUUGUGCACGAUUAUUAAAGAAAUGAUUAAUUGUGUUGAUUUUAGUUGUAAAAUUAAUUGCAUUUACUAAAACACCCUUACUAAAACACCCUUAUUAAUUGUGAAAUUCAAUAAAUAAGGGUAUAAUAGUGGAAAAAAAACUAAUAAAUGUUACAUUGGUAUUGUAAAGUGACAAUUAUUCUGAGGAAAAAGAAAAAUUGUCAAAGAGAUAAUAAUUGUGAGACGGAUGGAGUAUAUGUUAACCUAGUGAGUUAACUAGAGCAAUAAAAGAGCUUAAUAUUAUCUGUCACUUUUUUCUCAAAUUCUCAUUCAAUUAUUAGUAGGACCCUGCGCUUUAUUUGGCUUUGCACUUUUACCAGCCAGUUCCUAUCUUCUGGAAACCAACGUGAAUGCCUUGAAAAUCAAAAGUAUUUUCUGAUAUUUUAAUCUCAUCUACCAAUUUGACAUUUUUCCAGCUGUCAUUCAUAGUCAAAAUUGGAAUCUAAUAAAUGUUGUAGUCUAUACAGAGUAACUUGAUACCUAUAUUUGGAGUUUGAUUUACCUUUUGUAGAUUCUUCAUUAAGUUUUAAUGAUAAAUAAUUAGUGUUAGGACCAAAAUUAAAACCGGAUAAAACUAAACAAUACAAAAAAUAUAAACCAUUAAAGAGGGGGAUACGGUUCUUUGCUCCCUAUUAAAUAUCGUUGAAACAAUAUUUAAUAAAAUCAGAGAAUCAAUAAUCAUUGAACAAGAAAAUUCAGGUUGAUAGCUAUGGCUACUCCUUUCUGCAAGACACAAGCAUUCAAAUAGAUAUGAUAAGUAACACAAUAUACAGUUACGCUCCAACAGAGAAGAUUGCUAUUGAUUACUCGACAAAAUGAUUGUGUAUCAUGCCAAAACUAAGCAUUAACCUCACCGUAAACCUCGUACGUCCUUAUCAUUUAUACAGCAUGCUUCAAUUGCAAUCACGUUAAACCUCAUUCGUAAAAGUUAAAAAUGUAUACAAGCAUUAAAUUAUCCAUACGUUUAUAGGUUAGACAGAAAGCAUGUGACGUAAGUCAAGAGAGAUAUAGCAUUUAAUACUUCAAUGCCCUCAUCACAUCCAGAAGUUGGAUCUAUACCCAUUUCGAGCUGAUUACCUCAUGGUGGAAGUUGAAACUUCCAGCCAGUAGAUCUCUAGUUAGUGAGUUGCGACAAUUUGUUAUAUUCAUUAAUCAUCUACUACACGUAAUUAACCAUAUAUUUUGUUGUGUCAAAAUAAUACAAGGAAGACAGACCCAAGCAAUUAACAUGCAUAUCUGUCAAAUAUGGAAAGGAAAAAAAAUUUAAUACUAAGAACCAGCAGUGACAUCAGACUCUUAACUCUGGAACAGGACAAAUCUGUAAUGAGUCAAAGAGUUGAAAGAGGUAUUACAGGAAAUAUGAAUGUGGACUCUUAUAAAUACGAGAAAGCCAAGAGAAAAAGGCAUGGAAUAUGUGUGAUGUCAACAUUCUUCUUCUAACCACUUCUCUCAUUUUACUAUCCUUAUUUUCUUGCAAUUUUAUUUCCUGCAAUUGUACUCAUUGUGUGUUCACAGUGAAACGUUAUCCUUUAUAUCAAUUUUAGUACCAAUACAUUGGUGCUAUGGCAUGGGCUGAAUCAGUAUGAGCUCAUUGGAAAAACAUAGAAGCCGAGUAUAAUCGAUUGGAAGAGUUGCAAAGGAUCUUUGAUUCAUCUUUCCAGUAUGUUAAUCAUAUCAUUGAAUUUUAAUGCUGAACCACUGCUAUUGAAACCUCCAUAUCCAUUUGUUUUUACUCUGACUCCACCACCACCUCAGCCGAAACCUCCUGAUCGAAGCUUUGCGCAGAUUCCCGUGGAGUUUCAAGUGAUACGGAACUUCACCAUACAUCCACUGCCUCCAGAGCCUCUAGACACCGAUCACACAGCAGUGAAUACCAUAGUUUUGCCUUCUUGUGUGGAAAUAGCAGUUUUCCCACCAUCUGUUUGUGUGAAUGAUUGUGUCAUCAUCCAGCUAUUGUUGUUCAUGUUGUUUCGGUGUUUACCAUUGGUUCGACAUCUCAGCGAAAAGGACCAUGAACAGGUAAUCCUUGUUGUUUAUCUUAGUGUUGGUUCGUAUGCUCCUAUUUCUCUAGACUAUGGCUAUACAAUGAAUGUCUUUGAGAAGAGUGAGGUUUAUGGUUAUGGUGUAGUGUUGUUGAUUGUCUUGACUUGUAAGUAUAUUGAUGAGAAAUGGAAACAAGAACCACAUUUCCACAUGGUGACAUAUGAGAAUAGAUAAUUCAGGAACUUAGUUUUUGACAAGGUUCAAAUUCAUCAACAGCCAACCCAAAACAUUUAUGAGUUUGGUAGGAUUAUCUUGCCACAUAACCAGGAUGAUACAAUACUUUCAAGAGAUGUUGAAUCCCAAUAAAAAGAAUGGCACUCCUGUUGUUUUGAUUUGGUUUGAAAAUCUCCAGCAACGACAUCAAUUGUCGCUUGAACCAUACCAUGCUCACUUUUGGAGUUGCAUGAAUGCUAUCUCUCAUAAUGAUGUUAUGGCUAUUGUUCAAUUAUUUUCCUUUGUUGUCAAAUUGGUUGUUUCUAUUCCUGAAGAUGUAUCUCAAGCUAUGGGAUUGAGCCUUGCAUUUUUCAGGACAAAAAUUAAGCAUGAUAAGGCUCAUUAUUCAAUUUAUUUUCCUUUCUUCUCAUUAUUCAAUGUAAAACGAUACAAAACAACCUUCAGUAUGUGAAAGAGGCUGCCAUUGUGUUUGUUUUGUUUCUACAACCAAUCCAAAUCAAGGACAAGAGUUAUCAUAUAAUAACUACUUGGAUGUUAUUACUACUUUCAACUUUGUGCGUGCAUUUCAAAUUCCAUGUGGGGUAGCUUCAAGUGAUGUUGUUUUGAAAUCUUGUAGAAUGAACACUACAGCUUGUAGCUUCUCAAGAUUAGAGUAUAGCAACUUAGGGACUUCGCAAUUGGGUUGGAAAACGAAAUUUGAUGGGGAAUGGUGCAUAGAAGAUCUUUUGGUUUUGAGAAUUGACAUGGUUCAAAGAGUCAUACCAAAGAUGAAGUGUUAUGGGCAUUGUCCACAAGGUAUUGUAGUUUCUCUUUUGCAUUGGUCCGGGCUGAAAUUGGCGAGGAAACUCAACUUGUGGAAACCAUCUAGCCUGACUGCAGACGUAAAAAGAAGAGUAGUGAUGGAAAUGACCACUUUUAUGUUCAUAGAAACAUGUAUGCUUCUCUUAUUUAGUAAGGCUCCUAACAUCAAAUAUCAUAUUAAUGUUAAUCCUACCUCAUUGCUUGUCUAUGUUGGUAGUGAUAUACAAGAUCUUCUAGCAGUUUUGGAGGAAUUUUCUUGGGUGUUUUAUCCUAAUAAAGUUACUCUUGCUAGGAUGCGUCUUGAAGCUAAUAUGAAUUCUGCAUUGUAUUUGAGCAGAUACAAUGUCAAGGUUUUCCUUCUCAAGUGCCAUACGAUGGCAGGGAGAGUGAUAUCAAUAAAUGGAGUGUCCUUCAAAGACUGAGAAAUAUUAUAUACAAGACGAAGUUCUUGCUGAACAAUUGCAGGAUCAGGUGAAGAAGCAUCAUCGGCUUGAUGGGUGUAAAUUUAAAGAAGACUUGGGGCUAAAAGAACCAAGAGACAUGAACGAUCUUCUGGUUCAGGCACAUCCUUACAUCAAUUACGAAACAGCUGAAGCCGUCAAGAAGAAACAACCUUAGAAAGAGUACAAGCUACAGGACGACAGUCAAAAAACACGAGGGAACAAUUCUCGGUUCUCGGAAUACAGUCAGUUUAACGCUUCAUGAGAACAAGUUUUCAAGCAAUGGAAAACACAGAAUUCAAAGAUGCCGGCAUCAAAGCCCCAGCGCCGUUGAAGGAAAUACCACGCAGAGACAAGUCCAAGUACUGUAGGUUCCACAUAAGUAGCGGCCACAAUACAAGAAAAAAAAUUCCAGCUGAAGGAUGCAAUUGAAGAUCAAAUCAAAAAAGGGAAGUUGAAACGCUACAUCAAAGAUGAUUACCACAAAGGUGGUAAGAAGAAAUACAAAGACUCCAAUCACAAAUCUUCUCUCAGUAGUGAGUCCACAAAGAGAAAGCGCUCUCCUUCCUAGGAAGACACUCCACCCACAAAGAAACGAUUGACGUCGCUGACAGAGGCAAUAAGGAAAGGAAAAUGAUGACCACCAUUAGAAGAACGGUAAAACGUGUCUUCCUGGACGCCAUCAUGGGGAAUCUCCGAGAACGGGUCCAAAGGUACAUGAAGAGGAAGGUAGCUCAAAUGCUCGCAAUCAAUGUCACCAUACCAUCUUCUGAAGCUGAGUAUAGGACAUUAGCACAAGCAACCUUUGAAGGACAAUGGUUGUUGUAUCUUCUGCAUGAUUUCUUAGUUCCUCAUUCUUCAUCUAUUAUCAUCAUAUAUUGUGAUAAUCAAUCAGCAAAGCAUAUGGCUGCUAACCCUAUUUUUCAAGAGAGGACAAAGCAUAUCAAAAUUUAUUGUCAUGUUGUCAGGGAUAGAUUCACACAGGAAUGCUUCAUCCACUACCAGUGUCUUCCAAGGAAAAAGUAGCAGAUAUAUUGACCAAGUCACUUCACCCUGGGUCAUUGAACAUUCUUCGGCACAAGCUUGGAAUGAUUGACAUCUAUUCCAGCUUGGGGGGAUGUUGAAGCUAGUAUAGAUACAGUCAGUUAGUUAAUUAACUUGCACUGACCUUAACUCCUUGCUACCAUUCUCUAACUAUGAUUAGCUAUAGAAGUAACUACAGUUAGGAGGAUAUAAGUGAUAUAUAUACUCUUGCUAGUUCCACUUUGAAGGUGAGAAAAACACAAGAAGGGGGGGUUGAAUUGUGUUUUCUUUUUCUCUCUUAAAAAAUCUUCUUCUGAUAAACCUUCAGAAGCAGUUUGUGAGUGCUUCUGAUGAACUGAUCAGAAUUGGAUAUGCAGCGGAAAAGAACAGAGCAGAGAAAAGAAAGACAAAGACACAAGUAGUUAUCCUGGUUCCUUCCACAACACGGAAGUAGUCCAGUCCCCCUUGUACUUCCAAGGAGAUUUCACUAUAAUCACAAAGAUUACAACUGCUCAAUACUAUCUAAGUGUGAGACUUCACAAAGAUGCUCAAGCACACACGCAAGAGUCUUCCAAUGCUCAAGCACUAAGCAAGAGACUUCUAAUGCUCAAGCACGCAGGCAAGAGACUUCUGAUCAAACAAAAAUACAGAGAAUUGAGUUUGACUUGAACACUUGAUAUACAAUCAGUGGUGUUCUCAAUACAAUACAGUAAAGACUCUAGACUUUGAAUUUCUAAGAUGUAUCAAAUCAGUGCAGAAAUUCAGUGUGCUUUGUAGAAUCAAUUUGACAGAGUUUUGGCGCUUUUGAACUUGUAUAUCUCUAUCUUCUAUCUUCAAGUCUUCACUCCUUUAUAUAGAGGCGUGAAAGAGACGUUGAGAUAAUCAGCACGUCUAAAGAGUCGUUUGAAAUCCUUUGAUCAUCCACCAGUAAUCCUUUGCCUGAUUUGGGUGUAGUCCUUUGAAGAAUAAGCUUCAAAUUCAUUCCCAUCUUGAAGGCACAAAUUCUGCAGGCAUGGCUGUUGUCUUGUCUUGUAGUGUAGACAAAAAAACAGAGUAGUGGAGGUAGUGGUUGUACACUUGUACUUUGUCAACUCUACUAACGAGAGACAAGUGCUCAGUGCUAUCCAUAUAUCUGUUGAUACCUCCCUUUCAAUUCUUCGUUCUUCUUAGAUAAGAUUGAAUUGAGAAUCAGCUACUUUGGAUCUUCAGUUUGAUUAAAGGAUCAAAUAUAGCUUCUGGUGAAGAUAUUGCUUCUGAUGACCUUCUGCUUCUGAUGACGUCAUCUCUUCAGAAGCAGUUUUCUUCAGAUGCUUGGAAUUCUUUUGCUUUUCAUUGUUCUUCCAAGACCUAUUGAAAUUACUUGACUAGCUUUUGAUCCUGUACACUUGAACAAUCAUUAGUAUAAACCAAUUGACAAUUUUUAAUACCUUGUUAUCAUCAAAACUCAAUAAGGUUCAUUGUGAAACACAUUUUGUUCCAACAAUCUCCCCCUUUUUGAUGAUGACAAACAAUAGUAUUUAAAAUGUUCAAUUGUUGUUGAUCUAAUUAAUAAGUUGACCACUGGGAUUGAGGUUUGUAAGCUCCCCCUGAGUCUAAUAGAUCUUUAAGGUGAGGUUUGUAAGCUCCCCUUGAGUUCUAAUCUUAUUAAUUAAAUUUCAAUAAAAAUAACUUAUUAAAAAUAAAUAAUAUCAGAAGUAUUUAAAAAGUUUUUGAAAUGGUUAUAAUGGGGCUCAGUGCAUUAAAAUACUAUACAUUUACUCCCUCUUUUGUCAUCAACAAAAAGAAUAAAAACAAAAGAAAGAGUAGCAGAGCAUAUAAACAUAUAAGCCUUAAAAUACAAUGUAUCAGAGCAGACAUCAUUAAACACAGCAAAUAUUAUCAGAGUUAAAGCUGUAAAACAUAUAAUUCAGAAAAACAAAGAUAAUAUUUAUAAGUUAAGAUACAAAGGCAAAACUACUAACAACUUAGAACAAAAAUUAAAACAAGCAAAGAGUGUUGGGUGUGCAACUAAGGUUGGGCUUGCUUAUACAUCUGUUCCAAAAGGUACUUAAUUUGAUCAUCCUUCUUCUGAAGUAGCUCAUCCUUUUCUCUCAUUCUUCUUUUAUACCCAGCAUGAAUUCUUGCAGCCCUUGUGAUAUACUCUUCUUCUAGAUAGAAAGGAGUGAUGUCCAGCAGAGGCACAUAAUUCAGCUCUUUCACCUUAGCUGCUUCAUGCAUAUCAUUCAACAUCUUCUUCAGCAUGGCAGAGUGAGAUGAGACACACUUAGUUCUAAGCUGAUUCAUCAGUUCAUCAAAGCUCUUCUGCAGAUCCAUCCACUGAUCAUGAUAGUGAAUAGGAGGUACAUGAACUGUUCUGCGAAGAAUCAGUGUCUUGAAUACUCAUCACCUAAAGCCUCGAUUAGCUGUUCCUCUAUAUACUCAGACUCUAGGAUAUUGUCAGGGAUGGGUGAGGGCCAGUUUGAGUUGUAUUUGAUGUGGAGGGUUGGUCAGAGGUUAAGUCUAUAAUAGAAGGUGAUGCUGGUUGUUGUAUUUCUGUUGUUUGUUGGUCAGAGUCAUGAUGUUCAUGAACAGACUGUUCAGAAGCACCAAGAUCUUGGUCAGUAGCAACUUGUUCAGAAACAGUUUGUUCCAGAACAGUUUGCUCAGGGAUGGUUUGGGUUUCUGAUUGUUGGUUUUCCAAAACAGUCUUUUUAGGGACUGUCUUAGAGGCCUUUGUGGGUGUUGGUUGCAUUUCACCACAUAGAUGUUUUUCUAGGUUGUGAAGGGUUGAGGAUUCUUGUUGUUGGGGGGUUUCUGAUGUAGUUGCUUCUGAAACUACUUCAGAGGCUCUUUGUGGAGUUUGGUCAUUUUGUUGAUUUGUUUGGGUAGGUUCUUGGUUGGGUUGAGGUUGUUGUAUGCUAACAACUUCUGGAAUGACUGGAUACAAAGGAUGAGAAGCAGGCAAAUUGAAUUUCUCACAGAGUUUAAUUAUGUUCUUAGAAAAUUCAAUUUGUGUUUGCUCAUAGUCAAAAGUUCCAAACUCUGUUAGUUUUGUGGGUUUGAUGUUAAGGAGAUUGGUUCAUCUGAUUCUGUGGAUGAUGAUGAGGGUGAAGAGGGUGGAGUAGGUAGGGUGUGAAUCUGAGUAUUAGAUGGAGCUUGAGAUGAAAUACCUGAAGAAUGAGCUUCUGAAGGAGGUGCUUCUGGAGCUUUUGUAGAAGGAUCUGAUGAUGAUGCUCCUGAAGCUUGCUUAUUCUUCAAGGCUUGUGAAAGCAGAGUUGCUCCACGCUGAAUAGUUUCCAUCUCAGAAUCUAUAGCAGCAAUUUCAGGAUCAGGCUCAUACCCUGCAGCCUUGAGUUUAUCUUCCCUUUCCUUUUCAUACAAUUCCUUCAUCCUCUUCUUCUCUUGAAUUUUAGUUCUUGCAUACUCAUUUUCUUCGCUCAGUUGAGUCUCAGACGCUUCAAAUCUGGGCAAGACUUCAAGCUCAGUGUUGGUAGUCCUCUUUACUUUCUUAGGACUUGAGUCUUCAUCCCAGUUCUCUUCAAGCUCUUCCAGCAUCUGCGCCUUGCGUCCUUCAGCUGUCUUCAGAUUUCUUGUUAUAUAAGAUCUCUUCCUUUUGAUGGUCUGAAGAGUAGCUUCUCUUUUCUUCUUAGGACUUAGAGGUUUUUCAGAAGCAGCUUGUUCAGAAGCAACUUGUUCAGAAGCAAGCUGUUCUGCUGUUUCUUAAGCACUCCUUGUCCUUUUUCUGAUAAGAGGGACUUCAUCCAAGUCCUCCACUUCCUCUUGAAUAGUGGACAUUGCAGAUUUUUCCUUCUUAACUUUCUGAUGCUUCUGAGCACCCUUCUCAGUAGCAUCAUCAGCAAGAUAUUCUUCCUUGGUGAUCUGCUUCUUCUUGGACUUUCUGCCUUUAGCCACAGGCAGAGCACCACCAUACAUCUCCUCAGGGACAUCCUUCAGGUCAAUCUUCUUGUUGUAGGUUUUGUAGAAGUCCAUGAUGUAAGCCCUUUGUACAUCCAGGGGAUCUUUCUUGCAGAUAGGGAUGAGAUGAGUGACCAGAUCAGAUAUGGCAUCAGAUUCAUGCAUAUCAGUAUCUAGUUUCUUGAAUGUUGGAAUCAGUCUCAUCUUUAGAAGAGUUGCUCCAUUAAUUAUUUUCCCAGUGACUGCUCCCAGCUUCUGAUUAUCAUAAAUGCCAACGUCCUUCAAGGCACUUAGGAUUCCUCCUUCUUGAAAAAUUACAGAGAGCAGCCUUCCAUAAGGAACAUACUUCCUGUUUUCCAUCUGACUCUUCUUUAGUUCCUUGAUCAUGUACUUGAACAUGUACUUAGGAACAUUCAUCGUGGUCUCUUGAGUGAUGGUGUGAUGCAGGAAAACUUUGUGACCAAGUGAAGGUUGAUCACUUCCUCCACCUUUGGGAAAGAUGUUCUCAUUUUGGAUCUUCAGCAGCAACUUCUUUUGCAUGCUCAAAGUGCUGUAAGGUUUAGCAUCCUUUGAUCCAUAAAUGGUGUUAUUUACAAUUUCCUUCCAGGAGCUGGUUUUGGGAUUAGGAAUCUCUUCUCCAAAGUACUUGCCAGAGGUAUCCCUUCUCAUGGCUUGAGCAAUAAUCUGCUCAUUUAUGGUUACGGGAAUACCCAUGACAUUUGAUCUAAUCUCUGUACCAGUGAAGGCGAGUAGACCCAUUUCUUCUCUGGUUUUUCCCUCCAGAGUAGGAUCAACCAGAAUCAUCUGAGCUUCUUCCUGUCUAGCAGCAUCAAUGUCAAAUAUUGAAGCCCUUACCCAGAAUUGUCUGACCAGAACUUCAUACGUUGGACCAUUGAGAAGACCAAAAUACCCCAUGAGUUGCUGUUUCUCGUAGAACUUUACCAAGUCGCAUCCAUGGCGAGUUAAAGAGGCGAAAUCCACUGGAUUUUCUGCUUGAAUAACUAACUCUCAUUCUUCAAUAGACAUGGUUCUUCCUUUAAUCUCAUAAGCCGGAGUAUCUAUUUCCAUGUUUGAAGAUGAACCACGAGCAAAACUUGAACUUUCCAUUGAUUCGAAGGAGUUUUAGGGUUCUAAGGUGUUUUGAGAGGGAGAGUGAAUGCGCUUACUUCGCAGAGGGUUGAGAAGAAAAUAGAAAGUGUUUGUUGUGAAGUGAGUAGUGUGUGUUUGUUUUAAGUGUUUUUUAUUAAAACGUUUGCAAUUCAGAAGAGACAAACAAACAUAACAUUAAUGACAAAUUGGGGGCGCGUGAUAGUACAUUUAAAAGCAAGUAAAACAUCAUUGCCCUUUUUGUUAUACUCCAAUACAAAUAGACCACGUCAGAGACUUAUCAGAAAACUAACCUUUGGGUAAUGGGACAGCUGUUACAAAAAGUAACUGCCAACGUUCCCACUAGCCUUGCUAUUCAGAAGCAAAUAAUACCGUUUCUGAAGUCUUAGUGCUGACGUCAUCUUCAGAAGCACAUUUUCCUCAGAACCUCAGUUAAGAGCUUCUGAUGGACCAGAUGCUUCUGAAUAGACUUCAGAACCAAAAACUUCUUAUUCAGAGGCAAGCAAUUUUUCAAUCAGACACAAAGUGCAUGUUCAAAUUUUUCUUAAUAAAAUCAAAUCUUUCAACCGAUAAAGGUUUUGUAAAUAUAUCAGCCCAUUGAUGUUCAGUAUCAAUGAAUUGUAUAUCUAAAAUCCCUUUUUGAACAUAGUCUCUGAUAAAAUGGUGUUUGAUCUCAAUAUGCUUGGCUCUUGAAUGUAGAAUUGGAUUCUUUGACAGACAAAUAGCAGCAGUAUUAUCACAAAAAAUGGGAAUACUGUUAGCAUUAAUCUGAUAGUCUUCCAACUGAUGUUUCAUCCAAAGUAGUUGUGUACAACAACUUGCAGCUGAAAUGUAUUCUGCUUCUGCUGUAGACAUAGCAAUAGUUGCUUGUCUUUUGCUUGCCUAGGAUAUCAGAUUCUCUCCCAGGAAUUGACAAUUUCCACUGGUUGAUUUUCUUUCAAUCCUGUCACCAGCAUAAUCAGCAUCACAGAAUCCAAUCAACUUAUAAUCUAGGGAUUUCCUAUACAGGAGUCCAAGAUUAGUUGUUCCUUUCAGAUACCUGAAGAUUCUCUUAACUGCAGUUUAAUGAGAUUCUCUAGGAUCUGAUUGAAAUCUUGCACACAAGCAUACACUGAAUAAAAUAUCAGGUCUAGAUGCAGUGAGGUAUAACAGAGAACCAAUCAUACCUCUGUAUAGCUUCUGGUCUACUAUUGUUCCAGUAUCUUCUUUGCUUAAGGUGCAGGUUGGAUGCAUUGGAGUGUUCAUCACUUUACAAUCUUCUAGCUUAAACUUCUUCAGAAGCUCCUUUGUAUAUUUUGUUUGAUGAACAUAUACUCCUUCUUUACUUUGGUUGAUUUGAAUUCCAAGAAAGAACUUCAAUUCUCCCAUCAUACUCAUUUCAAAUUCAUCCUGCAUUAACUUAGAAAAUUCCUUGCAAAGAGAUGCAUUAGUAGAACCAAAUAUUAUAUCAUCAACAUAUAUUUGCACAAUCAAAAUGUCUUUCUUAAGAGUCCUUCUGAAUGUCUUUCUUAAGAGUCCUUCUGAAGAGUGUUGUGUCAACUUGUCCUCUUUCAAAAUCAUUUUUAAUUAAGAAAUUACUUAGUCUAUCAUACCAAGCUCUGGGAGCUUGUUUCAAGCCAUAUAGUGAUUUCUUAAGUUUAUAAACAUGGUCAGGAUGCUUAAGAUCCUCAAACCCAGGAGGUUGUUUGACAUAAACUUCUUCUUCAAUGACACCAUUAAUAAAACCACUUUUGACAUCCAUUUGAUACAAUAUUAUGCCAUGAUUAAUUGCAUAGGAUAGAAGUAACCUGAUUGCUUCCAAUCUUGCAACUGGAGCAAAUGUUUCAGUGUAAUCAAUGCCUUCUUGUUGACUGUAACCUUGAGCAACAAGUCUGGCUUUGUUUCUGGUUACCUCUCCUUGUUCAUUCAACUUGUUUCUGAAUACCCAUUUUGUUCCAAUAAUGUUCUUCUGAAAAGGUUUGGGUACCAGAUCCCACACAUCAUUCCUCUGAAACUGAUUUAGUUCUUCUUGCAUAGCUAGUAUCCAACCAUCAUCUGAGAGAGCUUCUUCAACAGUUUUAGGCUCAAUUAUUGAAAGCAAUCCUAUUAAUGACUCUUCUUGUCUGAAAUGUGAUCUUGUUCUUCUAGGACUAUCUUUGCUUCCAAUGAUUAGCUCCUUAAGUGUGAAGAUUUGUGUUUGAAUUUAGGUUGAAUAGCCUGCUGAGAGUUAUCUUGAAUAUCCUCAGAAGCAUUCUCAUUCUGUAUUUCUGGACUAGGUUCUGCUUCUGAAUUUGACUCAGCUUCUGGAGUGAUUUCAGCUUCUGGACUAGAUUCAACUUCUGAAUGCUUUUCAGAAUCAGAAAGUUGAUCAGAUUCUGAUGCAUCUUCAGAAUCAAUUGUACCUGCAUUACUUUCACUUUGCUCUGGAGUUUUACUUCCAGGCUCUCUAUCAUCAAAUUUAACAUGCAUAGAUUCUUCAACACAAUGUGUUUCUGAAUUAUACACUCUGUACGCCUUUGACCUUUCAGAGUAACCUAAAAAGAUUCCUCUUUGAGCCUUGGCAUCAAAUUUCUUCAGAUAGUCUUUAGUGUUUAGAAUGUAACAAGUACAUCCAAACUGAUGAAAGUAAGAGAUAUUGGGUCUUGUUCCUUUAAAGAGUUCAUAUGCAGUUUUCUCCAACAUAGGUCUGAUAUAGAUCCUAUUUUGAAUAUAACAUGAAGUAUUAAUUGCUUCUGCCCAGAAAUGUUUAGCUAAAUUGUUUUCAUGGAUCAUGGUUCUGGCCAUUUCUUGUAAGGUUCUGUUCUUUCUCUCUACAACCCCAUUUUGUUGUGGAGUUCUAGGAGAAGAAAAUUCAUGAAGAAUCCCAUGUUUUUCACAAAAAGAUUCAAAUGUCUCAUUUUCAAAUUCACCACCAUGAUCACUUCUGACUUUCAAAAUUUUCAAUUCUUUUUCAGAUUGUAUUUGAGUGCAGAAGCUGCUAAACACUUCACAAGCAUAAUCUUUACUUUUAAUGAAUUUUACCCAAGUCCAUCUGCUGUAAUCAUCAACAAUGACUAAUCCAUAUUUACUUCCAUAUAAGGAUGUAGUGUUAACUUGUCCAAAAAGAUCAAUAUGGAGUAAUUCCAAGGGUCUAGAGGUUGAUACAAUGUCUUUAGAUUUGAAAGAACUUUUCACAAUCUUCCCUUUCUGACAUGCACCACUGAAGGGAUUUUAAGAGGGGUUUUUCAAAAAUUUAAUCCUCUUUGCGGAAGAAAUCCCAUUGAAACGGAUCUUGAUUAAAUCAUUAAUCACAAAUCAAAUAGAAACUUAAACACUUUAAGAUUCAUGUGUUUACCUCUUGAAGAGCAGAACCUUUGUAGAAGAAAUAUUUCUGAUCACGAGCAAAGCAAAGCAGCGAUGCCUCUACUCAGUCCACACGAACAGAACUUCUCUGAUGACCGGUGCUAGCCAAUUCCAACGGAGAUUCAGAGAGAACAAGGUUUAGAGAGCGGCGGCUAGGGUUUCACAACUUUUGUGAAUUAGGUUAAGCACUCACCAAAGGUUAAUAAUGUUUCAACACAAGGGUUCUAUUUAUAGAAUCACUUGUGUGGACAACAAGACAACACUUAAAUACACCGUACUUUACGGUGGACCGCGUUUCUCUAUUUUUCGUAAAUUAAAUAAUAAAGUCAUAUUUAAUUUUUUAAUUAAUAAUAAGUCUCACUUAUUAUUUUAUAAAUAAGUCUCACUUAUUAUUUUAUAAAUAAGUCUUACUUAUUUAUUUCUCUCAUCUAUCUGUCCUUUGUGUGUGACCCUAUAGGUUCCCGUAACGUUGGCAAUAAUAUUAAAUCACAUAUUUAAUAUUAUAAACAGUGAGCGGUAUCUAGCAACACAUCACUGCUACCCAAGUGACGAGAAUGUCAUGUGAUCUGACGAAACCUUUCUGUGAUAAUGAUCAUGUGUAUAAUUACCCUUUUGCCCUCAUGUCUAUAUUGAACACAAGGCAUAGACCGUGUCAUCCUUGUCUAGUUCAAUAUUGGGCCCGUAGACAUUUCUCCUGUUAUGUAGGAGGGGCAAAUUCCAUCUAGGUCACUCAUGUCCCUCAGCAUGAUUCAUGGAGUACCCAUCAACCAACUUUAUAGUCAUCCUGUUACGGACAACGUUUGAAUGGUGACAAAGCACUCGACUCCAACAUCUAGGGUACAUAGUGGUUUCAGGUCGAAGGGUGGAAUACACCACUAUCACUAUGAGAAUAUCUUAUGACACUUUUCAUAACUUUUACUAUGUAGUAUUCUCAUGGCGGAUCAAUCCAAUAUAAAUAUUACUCCUAAUAUUUAUAUCUAUGUGAAGACUUGAUAACUCUUUAUCCAUGAUCUGUGAGAUGUGAUCAUCAGUCUACCUACAUAAUAGUCUCUAUGCUUUAAUGAUAUCCCACUUCUCAACAAAGCUUGACUAUGGAUACUUUGAGAAUAGUUUCCAUAUGUUUAAUGGGGUCUCACAAUUAAGUUAUACUUAAUGUUCCAUUAAACGGACUAACUAUUCUAGGGACUUUAUUAUUUUGAAACAAAACAAAAUCAAUAAAGAAAUGCCUUGUUAUUAUAUAUUCACAAUAUAUAUUUAUAUCAAUAUCAUGAAACAAAGCCAAACCCAAUCAAUAUAGAUUGGCUAUUAGGGCUUAUUCCAACAAUCUCCCACUAGCACUAAAAGCCAAUCAAAUAUUAACUCAAUAUCUAUUGGUCAAGUGUUAGCAUCAAGCACACUCUUGACAAGAUACUAUACUAGCAAAUAAGGAACUCUUUUCUAUGUUGGUAGGUUAUACUUCUUUCAAUUUCCACUUUCGAUCUUCUAUCGAAAAGAAAUUGAAGUGUCAAAGUAUACAUUUGGAUCAUUGGUGAGAUCAAGUUUUCAUUGCUCACAAGAUUUAAAGCAAUUUUACCUCAUACGAGAUCAAUGGAAUCCGCAACGCAAGAAACACAUGUUUUCACUCAGUUAUGAGCUAAACAAUCCAAAUCAUAUAUAUUUGACAUCUGUAAUAGAAACAACAACUAUUUGAAGCUUGUACUUUUAUAAAUUUCAUAGUUGAUAUCCUAGCAUAACAUUUAUUCCAAAUUACGAUCUGGAUAUAUUGUACACUGAUAUGAAAGUCAACAUCAUUGUAACUCAUUUACAAUGUUUCUUUCAUCUGUGUUCAAGAAACAAUCUAUUGUCCUUUAAGACAUCCAAGGAUAUUCUUGAAGGUAUUAUAGUGUCGAACACUAUAAUCAAUUUUGGUACAUAUUGAAAAUAAUUUUCUAACCAUGUCUUACAUGUGUAGAUAAAUUAUUUUGGUGACUAGUAUGUCAUCUACAUACUCCACCAAAAUAAUUUCAAUGCUCCCACUAAUCUCCUUAUGUGCACAAGAUUUCUUUAUUGAUCAAAGUUUUCAUAAAACUUUGUUAAUAAAAUAAACAAUUUAACUUCGAGAAGAUUUCUCUAAUAAAUAAAUUUUGUAAUACAUUUACCUUUCUAGUAUCCUUUGGAUUAACGAAACCCUACAUAUAUGUCAAAUACAUAUAUAAGGUCAUUCUAAUUAAAGAAUGCAAUCUCUUUGCCAUUGUUCUUGUAUGUGCUGUAGAUCAUAGAAGCAACUUUGAUUCUGUCUAUUCUAGCCAUAAUAAAAUACAUCCAAGGCAAUCUCAUGUUUAGUGCCUGAACCUUUAUCACAUUUUUCUUGUAGCUUCUGACAAAGAAUUUUGAGUCUCUCUUCAUAUGUUGUUGAUAUGAGGUUAAACCCUUUUAGUUCUUCUUCAGAAGCUUUCAGUUCCAAUAGAGUUGACUUUUGUUCUUUCAUUAAAUCAACAUAUUUUUCUUUUAAAUCUGUCAACUCAUUGGUUCUGUGCUCAAACAGUGAUAAAAGUUCUUUUAGAGAAUCCACAAGUUCUUGUCUAAGAAUUUUGGAGUAUACCUCAUUUUCAUCUUCUGAAUCUGAUUCAGCUUCUGAAACUGCUUCUGAUGAUACUGUUGCCACUAACCCCAUGGCUGUCUUUGCAUCAUCAUCUGCUUCUUCUUUAUCAGAACCAGAUUCACUGUCCAAAUCUUCCCAGGUUGCCAUCAAGCUCUUUUUGAUUUGCUUUCUAAAUUUACUGGAGCUGAAGCUUGAUUUCUUGGAUUUGCUUUUAGAUUUCUCCUUCUGAAGAUCAGGGCAAUCAACAAUAAAAUGACCAGGCUUUUUGCAGUUGAAGCACCCCUUCUGAUCUUCUUUCUUUGAGUUCUUGUAGCCACCUCUCUUGCUCAAAAAUUUCUUUUGCUUCCUUGCCAGAUACUCAAGUUUGUUGGACAACAUGGCCAUCUUUACAGAUUGAUCUUCAUCAGAAUCUCCAUCAGGUGAUUCUUCUUCAGAUUCACUAGCUUUGUAGGCUUUUGAGGAUUUUGAAGUCUUUCCUUUAGAUGGUAAAGCAAUGGAUUUACUCUUCUUAGAGGAUUCAUGCUCAUUUAGACUCAUUUCAUGCACUUUGAGUGAGCUAACAAGAUCUUCAACACUUAAAGUGUUUAGAUCCCUAGCUUCCUCAAUAGCAGUUACUUUGGGUCUCCAUCUUGAAGGUAAGCUUCUCAAAAUCUUACUGACAUGAUCAGAAGCAACAUAGCUUUUCUUCAGUAUUUGCAAUCCAGAAACCAAAGUUUGAAAUCUUGAGUACAUUUCUUCAAUACUCUCAUCAUCCUUCAUUCUGAAUAGUUCAUACUGAUGAACAAGCAUCAAAGCUUUAGCCUCUUUCAACUUCUUGCUGCCUUCAAAGUUGGCACAUAGUGACGCAAACAUAGCCUUUGCAGUAGAUUUUUCACCCAUCUUCAUAUAUUCGGUGCGAGGUAUAGAAGCCACAAUAAUCCCUCUGAUUUUGUGGUGCUUCUUGUAAAGAUUUUUCUGAGCAGGAGUAUGUAUUCUUUGAAGGUGAGAAAAACACAAGAAGGGGGGGGGGUUGAAUUGUGUUUUCUUUUUCUCUUAAAAAAUACUUCUUCUGAUAAAACUUCAGAAGCACUUUGAUUGCUCCUGAUGAAGUGAUCAGAGUCAGAUUGCAGCGGAAGAGAACAGAGCAGAGAAAAGAAAGACAAAGACACAAGCAGUUAUCCUGGUUCCUUCCACAACACGGAAGUAGUCCAGUCCCCCUUGCACUUCCAAGGAGAUUUUCACUAUAAUCAACAAGAUUACAACUGCUCAAUACUUUCUAAGUAUGAGACUUCACAAAGAUGCUCAAGCACACACGCAAGAGACUUCCAAUGCUCAAGCACUAAGCAAGAGACUUCUAAUGCUCAAGCACUAAGCAAGAGACUUCUAAUGCUCAAGCACUAAGCAAGAGACUUCUAAUCAAACAAAAGUACAGACAAUUGAGUUUGAUUUGAACACUUGAUAUACAAUCAGUGAUGUUCUCAAUACAAUACAGUAAAGACUCUAGACUUUGAAUUUCUAAGAUUUAUCAAAUCAGUGCAGAAAUUCUGUGUGCUUUGUAGAAUCAAUUUGACAGAGUUUUGGCGCUUUUGAACUUGUAUAUCUCUAUCUACAAUCUUCAAGUCUUCACUCCUUUAUAUAGAGGUGUGAAAGAGACGUUGAGAUUAUCAGCACGUCUAAAGAGUCGUUUGAAAUCCUUUAAUCAUCCACCAGUGAUCCUUUGCCUGAUAUGGGUGUAGUCCUUUGAAGAGUUAGCUUCAAAAUCAUUCCCAUCUUGAAGGCGCACAUUCUGCAGGCAAGGCUGUUGUUUUGUCUUGUAGCGAAGACAAAAACAGAGUAAUGGAGGUAGUGGUUGUACACUUGUACUUUGUCAACUCUAGUAAAGAGAGACAAGUGCUCAGUGCUAUCCAUAUAUCCGUUGGAACCUCCCUUUCAAUUCUUUGUUCUUCUUGGAUAAGACUGAAUUGAGAGCCAGCUACUUUGAAUCUUCAGUUUGAUUGAGGGAUCAAAUGCAGCUUCUGGUGAAGAUAUUUUCCUUCUGAUGAAAACCUUGCUUCUGAUGAUCCUCUGCUUCUGAUGACGUCAUCACUUCAGAAGCACUCUGAACUUCAGGAGCGAUUUUCUUCAGAUGCUUGGAAUUCUUUUUCUUUCCAUUGUUCUUCCAGGACCUGUUGAAAUUACUUGACUAGACUUUGGUCCUGUACACUUGAACAAUUAUUAGUAAUAACCAAUUGACAAUUUUUAAUACCUUGUUAUCAUCAAAACUCAAUAAGGUUCAUUGUGAAACCCAUUUUGUUCCAACAAUCUCCCCCUUUUUGAUGAUGACAAACACUAGUAUUUAAAAUGUUCAAUUGUUGUUGAUCUAAUUAAUAAGUUGACUUCUGGAUAGAGGUUUGUAAGCUCCCCCUGAGUCUAAUAGAUCUUUAAGGUGAGGUUUGUAAGCUCCCCCUGAGUUCUAUUCUUAUUAAUUAAAUUUCAAUAAAGUAUAUAUAAAAACAAUAGCAAAAGUAUUUAAGAAGGUGGUUAUAGUGGGGCUCAGUGUCUUAAAAAUACUAUACAUUUACUCCCCCUUUUGUCAUCAACAAAAAGAAUAAGAACAAAAGACAGAGUAGCAGAGCAUAUAACCAAAUAAAAACAGAAGAAGAAUCAGAGCAAGAAGUAUCAGAGCAUAUGACAUUAAAAUCAAUAAAUAUCAUUAGAGUUUAAAAGAAAAGAGCAUAAUAUUUCAGAAACAUUGAUAAUAUUUAUAAAGAAAGGUUAAGGUACAAGGAUAAAACUACACAGAACAAAAGUAAAAACAAGCUAGAGUUGGGUGUGCAACUAAGGUUGGGCUUGCUUCUUCAACUGUUCUAAGAGAAGUCUAAUCUGUUCAUCCUUCUUCUGAAGUAGCUCAUCCUUCUUCUGAAGUAGUUCUUCCUUCUCUCUUAACUUCCUCUUAUGCCCAGCAUGAAUUCUUGCAGCUCUUGUGAUGUAUUCUGCCUCUGGAUAGAAAGGAGUGAUGUCCAGUAGAGGCACAAAGUUCAGCUCUUUCUCCUUAGCUGCUUCAUGCAUAUCAUCCAAAAGCUUUUGAAGCAUUACAGAGUGGGAUGAUACACACUUGGUUCUUAGCUGACUUAGUAGAUCAUUGAAGCUCUUUUGUAGAUCCAUCCACUGAUCAUAAUAGUGAAUAGGAGGUACAGGAACUGUUCUGCGAAGAAUCAGUGCCUGAAUCUCAUCACUAAGACUAAUCAGUUGUUCCUCUAUAUACUCAGACUCCAGGAUAUGGUCAGGAAUGGGUGAUGGUUGCAUUGGAGUUGUAUUUGAUGAGGAAGGUUGGUCAGAGGUUAAGUCUAUGAAAGUGGGUGAAUCUGGUUGUUGUUGUGGUUCUGUUGUUUGGUCAGAAGAUAUUUGUUGGUCAGGAGCAACUUGUUGGUCAGGAGCAACUUGUUCAGGAACAACUUGUUCAGAAACAGUUUGCUCAGGAAUGGUUUGGGUUUCUGUUUGGGUUUCCAAAACAGUCUUUUCAGGGACUGUCUUAGAGGCCUUUUUGGGUGUUGGUUGCAUUUCACCACCUAGAUGUUUUUCUAAGUUGUGAAUGGUUGAGGAUUCUUGGUGUUGGGGGGUUUCUGAAGUAGUUGCUUCUGAAGCUACUUCAGAGGCUUUUUGUGGAGUUUGGUUAUUUGGAGAGUUUGUUUGGUUAGGUUCUUGGUUAGGUUCAGGAUGUUGUAUACUGACAGGUUCUGGAAUAUCUGGAUAAAGAGGAUGAGAGGUAGGCAAAUUGAAUUUCUCACAUAGUUUAAUCCUAUUUUUGGAAAAUUCUAUUUGAGUUCUCUCAUAGUCAAAUGUUCCAUAUUCUGUCAGUUUGGUAGGUUUGGUUUUUAGAAGCUUGUCUAUAUGUUGGCUAAGGGGUUGGUCAUCUGAUUCUGUUGAUGAUGAAGAGGGUGAAGAGGGUAGAGAAGGAGACUGAGUAUUAGUUGGAGCUUUAGAUGGAUUACCUGAAGAAAGAGAUUCUGACUGAGAUGCUUCUGGAGCUUUGGUAGGAGGAUCUGAUGAUGUGGCUCCUGAAGCUUGCUUAUUCUUCAAGGCUUGAGAAAGCAGAGUUACUCCAUGCUGAAUAGUUUCUUUCUCUAACUCAGAGAUCAAAGUAGAAACUUCAGGUUCAGGCGUAUACCCAGCAGCUUUGAGUUGUUCUUCUCUUUUCUUCUUCUGUCUUUCCUGUUUCAUCUUUGCCUUCCCAGAAGCGAUAAGAUUAUCAGCGUAUUGCAAUUGUUCUUGUGAAGGAACAAACAUUGGCAUUUUACUAGGCUGACUAUCCUCAGCUUUCUUGACUUUCUUGGGACUAGGUUCCACAUCCCAGUUCUCUUUAAGUUUUUGUAGAAUCUGCUCUUUUCGUCCCUCAGCUGUCUUCAGAUUUCUGGUUAAAUUAGACCUUUUCCUUUUGAUGGUCUGAAGAGCAGCUUCUCUUCUCUUUUUGGGACUUGGAGGCUGUUCAGAAGCAGCUUGUUCAGAACCAGUUUGUUCAGAAGCAGGCUGUUCUUCUGUUUCUUGAGCACUCCUUGUCCUCUUCCUGAUAAGAGGGAUUUCAUCCAAUUCCUCCACUUCUUCUUGAAUGGUGAAUGUUAUACCCUGUUUUUGGACCUAAAAAUACUGGGCCCAAUUUCAUUUUCAAACUUUGUCAAUUAUCAAAUUUCAACUGCACAGUUCAAAUUGUCUCUGCCUCGCAGUAUUUUCAAUCACAAUUUUACCUAUGUUUUUCUUGCAUAAAACCUUUUGAAAUGUCUUUACUUGUCUUGUAAGUCAUUUAAAAGUGUCUCUGAAUCAUUACAUUGCUUUUUCUACAGUGUAUUUCAAAAUUUGCAAAAAGUCGUACAGAAGGGUAUUUUGGUCAUUUCCUGCAGUGGGACCCAUUUUCAUCCUUGUGACUGUCUCUGAGUCUUUUCAAAUUCAUUUUUAACUUUCCAUCAGUAAACCUUGCUAAUUUCAUUUCAAACUUGCAUCUGAGUCAGUGUCGAGUCAAUUUGGCUCUGUUUAGGUCAUUUUUAGCCCUAGGGGCAUUUUGGUCAUUUCACAUAAAAUUUUGGCAUGGGGAGGUUACUUUGAAGUACCUCAUUUAGGCCAUUGGUUCGUUUUAGUCCGUUUUGUCAAUUUUAUUUUUUUGUUUCGCUUUACGUUUGGUCAAAUUACGUUUUUUAUUCAAUUUUAUUUUUUUAAUUGCAUUUUGGUCCCUCAAGUGAGGUCCCAAAAUUGCAUUUCAGUCCAGUUUCUUUUCCAAUUUUCAUUUUAGUCCUUUUUUGGUCAAUUGCAGUUUAGUCCUUAAGUUUUGUUUUUUGCAAGAAGGUCCAAAUUUCAUUUUUUUUGUCCAAGGCCGUGUCAUUCUUUUUUUUUCAGGUCCAGGUGUCACUUUCUCAUUUGUUCAGAGGCACACAUGUCAUGCUAUAAAAGGUGCACAGUGCCACUCAAGGCCAUGAAUCACACGCCAACUCAUAAACACAAAAUAAAUUUUCUCUUUCUCAGCAAUUAGAUCAAAAACAGAAAAUUCUCAGAAUUUCUCAAGAACACCAAGAACACAAAACCCUAACCGUUUUCCAGAAAGCAAGAAUCAUCAAAAUUCGUUGGAUUUUCCAUUGAUUCUCAGAGAUUCCUUAGGAAUCAUCAUCAUUGAAUCAUCUCCUUCGCAAUUCAAGGCACGGAUUCACUGCAGAAGCAGCAAAUUCCAGUACCGAUCACGAAGAAGGUUCAGCGAGAAGAAGGGGGAAAGAAACAAGGUUCUAAACCGGCGAAGAAGAUGAAGAAACAGAACCGGUGAAUCACCGAUUUAUUUUCGGUCCAAAGAACAAGCAGAAGCAUCAAAAAUCAGCAAGAACAGAAUCAAGUUUUCUGAAGAAUCUCACAAAAUCUCCAAUCAAAAAUUUCAGGUAAAACUCAGAAUCUUUUUAAAAAAUAUAAUAUCACAGUUGAACCUGUAAAAACAUGCAAGCAAUACAGAUCUAAGAUUUCCAGAAUUCAAAAGCGAAGCCGUAACCGUAAACACAAAACCUAGAUCCAUAAGGAUCUAAGUUUUGAAAGCAAGAACGAAUACCAGAAAAGUAAUCAAGCGACGAAACGAUGUAGAUCUUUAAAGAUCUAAAUGCUUUUGUUCAAAAAUCAAAGAAAACAUUUCAAGACCGUAUGAAAUUUUCUAGAUCUGCGUCGUUUCAAGCUGUUUUUGAAAAGAUAAUUGCCAGAUUCUUGAUUAGGGUUUAAAAACGAAUGGAUUGGUGAAGAAAUUUUGGCAUUCUGGAAAUUUUAGGUCACCGGAGUUCAUGAACUCGCCGGAGAAGAUGAAGCUUCCGGCGGACCUUCAAGGUCUCCGCCGUGGCUUCAUCCUCACCGGCGGUGAGGGUUAGAGAGAGGCGAGAGAAGAGGGAAGCUUAGAGAGAGAAAGAGAUGGAAGAAAUGGACUGGACCGGCGUCUACGUCCUUAUAUAGACGUUUGAACCGGUCCGGUUUAUUUUGCUUCCAUUUUGAACCGUAGGAUCUAGGGUUUCUUUUGUUGAAUGGCUGUGAUGCGUUGUUACUGUAUGCUUGAUUUACGUUACCAUGCGCUGCGUGUUUUGAACCGUUAGAUCUGGAUCCGGAUCAAUCCAACGCCUCUGAGGCCUUUGGAUGAUCCAGGUCCAGUCUGUUUUGGGUUUUGGUUUGGGCCUCAGUUUUCUUUCACGUUUUUUUGCUUUUUUUUGCUAUUUGCACUGUUUUUCUUUGCUAUUUGAACCAAUGUCUUGAUUAAAAAUUUUGAUAAAUUUCCUAGAAAAUCCAUGCUUACUUCUUGACAUUUUCUCGAUGUUUUAUGGUGUUUUUGCACGCUGGAAUUAGCAAAAUUCUUGUAUGAUUAAUCCAUGGCAUUUUAAUUUUUUCUUGGAUUAUUUCUUAUGAUUAUUUUGUCAAUUCUAUCAUUGAUUUGCGAAUAUGUGAUAAAUGCCAUUUGACAUGUUAAUGUGAGGUGCUCAUGCCUACAAUCCUAUGUUUACUUUGCUGUUUUAGAUUGAUUCAUGAAACCUUGAUUGUAUGAGCAAUGUAUCCAUAUUCUAAAAAAAAUAAUAAUAAAAUGAUAAUUCUAUCUCAAAAUUGGUAUGAAGCUAAGCUUGUUUGUUUCUAAUGAUCCUAUGUUUAUAGCUUGAGAUAAAAGAAACUAUUUCAAACUUGCUAUAGCAUGAGAAUUAGAAGCUACAAAUGCCUUAGGUUUCAUAUCAAAAUUUUAGGUUUUAUUACCAUUUUAUUACUAUCCUUAUGGCAUUUUAUGCGUUUUUGCCUCUUGCUACUCUUUAUGCUUUAUUUCACUAACAAGUUUAUUUCCAUGUUUCAUGCAUCUCAUUUAGCAUCCCCUCCACUUUCUUUAGCCUAGCAUUUAUUUUUUGCAAGUUUUAAUUCAUUUGGUAAUGUAAUUUGUUAUCAUUGAUUUGUAGCUUGGCAAAGGGGCCAUAGAAUGUAUUUAGGCAAUUUUUGUAAUAUGGACUAUGGACACUAUGACGCACCGACACGCACACACUCACCUUAGAUGUAUGCAUAGGAUUGUAUGGUUAAAUAAGCGUUUAGGUUUUAAACACUUAGAGAAAAUCCAUCUUUUUUCAAAAAAACAAUUGAACUUCACUUCAAAAAUUUUCAUAAUAAAUAUGAAGUCAACACUUCAUUUUUUUUCCUUUCUUUUUUCUUAAGAAAAAUUCAAUUCACCUUAAUCAUUUAGACUUUUUUUUUCAAUCACUAAUCAAACCUCACUUUUUUGCUAAAUCUCAUGCUCAUGAAGCCUCCCAAUCUCCUUCUUCAAAACCAUUUUCAAAACUAAAAAUCAAACAAUUAAAACGAAAAAACAAGUCUUUUUAGCAAGAACUACGCCGGUUUUGAUCCCGUAAAACGGUACGUAGGCAAUGAGUCAAAACUCAUCCAAGCCGAAAUAAAACCCAAUUCUACUUCUUCUCACCCCCCAUUCUUCACUAAUCAUACUUUUUUUUUACAAAUAAGCAAUAAAACUAAAGCGUAGAAAUAAAUUUAGGAAAGCGGUUCUUAUGGAAUACCAUAAUCGCUCCGGGUGCCUAACACCUUCCCGUAGCGAAAACGACCCCCGAACUUAGAAUCUAAGGGUUUUUUCUCAAUUUUACCCUUCCCGAGAAAAAAGAGAGAUAUCAACGGUCAAAAGGUUCAAGUCCAAUUAAUGGCUUGGCACCCAAAAACCAUGAUAACAGAAAUGGCGACUUCACUGGGGAAUUUUUUUAGCGGGUCGCGCCUAGUUUUCCUUAGUUUAUAUUUACGCUUUAUUUUAUUGCUUACAUAUGUGAAUAUUUGUUUAUUUUCAUUUGACGUGUGGGGUGAGAAUAUCAAAAGUCCUAUACCCGGGCUGAGUGAACUUAUGUUUAGGUAGAGAUAUAAUCGACAAUUCGAUCCGGGGGGUGCCUCGUGUAUUGGAUUAUGCGAUCAAUCUCACAUAGCUGAGGCAUUUUGAAGGUGAUAUUGUCGGCGUGUGUUGUCAUGCUUAGGCACUUCACUUUCAAUUGUUCGACGAAGCUAUGAACCGUAGUUACCAAACCCAUCCUAGCCUUUUUUAAGACGUAGUGCGGUGGCUAAAUUGAGUGUUGUCUCAAACUUUAGUCGUCACGCGAUACUACACUCAAACUAGACCUUCUCACAAAUAAUCAUGGAACGGGUGUCGUCCUGUACUACCAUGAUAUAUGUGAGAGAGGUUGCAGUUUGGGAACUGUGUUAGAACCUUGGUUACUACUAUACAAAACCUUAGUUCACCGGACGCCGUGUCCAUCCGUAGCCCUGUUACUUUGAAUCUCAACCCACCUUGUUCUUUAACAAACACAAUCAUGCAUACAUGCAUCCAUGCAUAAACAUUUUUUCAUGCAUUCAUCGAAGGGUUUAAACAAAUGGAAAUUUUUGUAAAUAAUCACAGGUAUGAAGAAGACUAAGUGCUACAAGUUCAAGGAAGUGGAUUUGGUUAGUUUGAGAGAGUUGGCACUCAAGGUCAAGAGUCAAACAGGGUUCCGACUCCGGUAUGGGGGAUUGCUUACUUUGCUCCGAACCGAUGUGGACGAGAAGCUAGUGCACACUCUAGUGCAAUUUUAUGAUCCAAGCUUCCGUUGCUUCACUUUUCCGGACUUCCAGUUGGUUCCUACUCUCGAGGCUUACUCCAAUCUAGUGGGUUUACCUAUAGCCGAGAAGACGCCUUUCACCGGUCCCGGGACUUCUCUUACUCCUCUGGUUAUUGCUAAGGAUCUCUACCUCAAGACUUCCGACGUCUCCAACCAUCUUAUUACCAAGUCUCACAUCCGGGGGUUCACUUCAAAGUAUCUUCUUGAUCAGGCUAAUCUCAGUACUACUCGUCAGGAUACACUCGAGGCUAUUCUUGCUUUGCUUAUCUACGGGCUCAUUCUCUUUCCGAACCUCGACAACUUCGUGGACAUGAAUGCUAUCGAGAUCUUUCAUUCCAAGAACCCGGUUCCUACUUUGCUAGCAGAUACCUACCACGCCAUUCAUGACAGGACUCUCAAGGGCCGUGGGUAUAUUCUUUGCUGCACACCUCUUUUGUAUAGGUGGUUUAUUUCACACCUUCCGAGUUCCUUCCAUGAUAACUCGGAAAAUUGGUCCUACUCUCAGCGGAUUAUGGCUCUCACUCCUAAUGAGGUGGUCUGGAUCACUCCCGCCGCUCAAGCCAAGGAAAUUAUCAUGGGUUGUGGAGACUUUCUCAAUGUACCUCUUCUUGGUACUCGUGGAGGAAUUAACUACAACCCCGAGCUUGCUAUGAGACAGUUUGGUUUUCCUAUGAAGUCGAAGCCCAUCAAUCUUGCUACAUCUCCAGAGUUCUUCUUCUAUGCGAAUGCUCCUACCGGACAAAGGAAAGCUUUCAUGGAUGUUUGGUCCAAGGUUCGAAGGAAGAAUGUGAAGCAUCUAGGUGUGAGAUCCGGUGUUGCUCAUGAGGCCUAUACUCAGUGGGUGAUAGAUCGAGCUGAGGAGAUUGGUAUGCCUUAUCCAGCUAUGAGAUACGUGUCUUCGUCUACUCCAUCUAUGCCUCUACCUCUACUCCCCGCGACUCAGGAUAUGUAUCAGGAGCAUCUAGCUAUGGAGAGUCGUGAGAAGCAAGUGUGGAAAGCUCGGUACAAUCAAGCCGAGAAUCUAAUCAUGACUUUGGAUGGUAGAGAUGAGCAGAAGACUCAUGAGAAUCUAAUGUUGAAGAAAGAACUAGCUAAGGCCCGGAAGGAAUUGGAAGAGAAAGACGAGCUGCUUAUGAGGGAUUCCAAGAGAGCCAGAGGACGACGAGACUUCUUUGCCAGAUACUGUGAUUCAGAUUCCGAGUCCGAUGAUCUUCCGACUACUUCCUAUGCUUGAGGGCUUCAUGUGUUUAUUUCAAAGUCUUUCUUUUGAGAAUACUAUGUAGUUUUGAUUAUUUGCAAGAUUUCUAAUUUGUUUAAAAAUCCUUCGAUGAAAAAAAAUAAGUCUUUUGCAUUUGCAUUUGCACAUCAUGCAUCAUAUGCAUCAUGCAUUGGUCACAAAGGCUUCCAAGUGCUCACUAUCUCCUGGUUCCUCUGCCGCAGUGUGAAAAGUGGCUCGUGCUCAGAGAGUUUACGAACCUGAUAGAACCGAUCGAACCAGAGAAUACAGAAGAAAGAAAAGGGCUAUGGAAGAAGAGAACACACAGCUUCGUACCGAAUUGGCAUCUCUAAGGGAGGAAUUGGCCAAAGCUCAUGAUGCUAUGACUGCUCUGUUGGCUGCUCAGGAACAACCAGUUCCUGUGGUUUCUACAGCUGCAAAUGUGACUCCUACUGUAACAACUGAUCCCCGCUCUAUCAUGCCAUCCGGGUAUCCUUACGGGCUUCCGCUGUACUAUACUGCUAAUACAGGGGCAGGGACCUCUGGUACUACCAACAAUGGCCCAAUCCCAGGGGCAAACUUAACUCCUGUUAGUACCGCCUUGACUCAAGCUGCAACAACUGUUACCGAGCCCAUUGUGAAUGCGGUGCCUCUAUUUGUCCAUGCUAAUGCGCACCACGGGAGUAUUGCCACAACCGGAACUAUGGAAGAGAGAAUGGCAGAACUUGCCAAAGAGCUCCGACGGGAAAUUAAGGCCAACAGGGGAAGCGGGGACUCCAUUAAAACCCAGGACCUCUGCUUAGUAUCGAAGGUAGAUGUUCCAAAAAAGUUCAAGGUCCCGGAGUUCGACAAGUAUAACGGGCUGACUUGUCCUCAAAAUCAUAUUGUCAAAUACGUCCGGAAGAUGGGCAACUACAAGGACAAUGAUUCCCUUAUGAUCCAUUACUUCCAAGACAGUCUGAUGGAAGAUGCUGCGGAGUGGUAUACUAGUCUGAGCAAAGACGAUGUCCAUACUUUUGAUGAGUUGGCCACUGCUUUCAAGAGCCACUACGGGUUUAACACUCGUUUGAAGCCGAAUAGGGAGUUCCUCAGGUCCCUAUCUCAGAAAAAGGAGGAAAGUUUCCGUGAAUAUGCGCAAAGGUGGAGAGGGGCAGCUGCCCGUAUGACUCCUGCUUUAGAUGAAGAAGAAAUGACCCAGACAUUCUUAAAGACCUUGAAGAAAGAUUAUGUUGAGAGGAUGAUCAUCGCCGCCCCGAACAACUUUUCGGAGAUGGUCACUAUGGGAACCCGUCUUGAGGAAGCCGUCAGGGAUGGAAUCAUUGUGUUUGAGAAAGCUGAAUCCUCUGUGAGUGCAUCGAAGAGAUACGGUAAUGGACACCACAAGAAGAAAGAAACGGAAGUGGGGAUGGUGUCAGCUGGAGCCGGUCAAUCAAUGGCUACCGUUGCUCCUAUCAAUGCAGCUCAAAUGCCUCCGUCAUACCCAUAUAUGCCGUAUUCUCAGCAUCCGUUCUUCCCACCGUUUUAUCAUCAGUACCCUUUGCCGCCGGGCCAGCCUCAAGUGCCCGUCAAUGCAAUUGCCCAGCAGAUGAAACAACAGUUGCCGGUUCAACAACAACAACAACAACAACAACAGCAGCAGUAUACUAGACCAACUUUUCCUCCUAUACCAAUGUUGUAUGCAGAACUUCUUCCAACUUUACUCCAGAGAGGACAUUGUACAACUAGACAGGGCAAGCCACCACCUGAUCCGUUGCCUCCAAGGUUCAGGUCUGAUCUCAAAUGUGACUUUCAUCAAGGUGCCUUAGGACAUGAUGUCGAGGGGUGUUAUGCUUUGAAGUAUAUCGUGAAGAAACUCAUUGAUCAAGGGAAGCUGACUUUUGAGAAUAAUGUUCCACAUGUCCUUGACAAUCCGCUACCAAAUCAUGCCGCUGUGAAUAUGAUCGAAGUGUGUGAGGAAGCUCCUAGGCUUGAUGUCCGCAACGUCGCAACUCCUCUGGUGCCUCUACACAUCAAGCUGUGCAAAGCUUCUCUGUUCAGCCAUGAUCAUGCCAAGUGUCUAGGAUGCCUCCGUGAUCCUUUGGGUUGCCAUGCUGUUCAAGACGACAUCCAAAGCUUGAUGAAUGAUAAUCUUCUGACUGUUAGUGAUGUUUGCGUGAUUGUGCCAGUUUUUCACGAUCCGCCUGUCAAGAGUGUACCUUUGAAGAAAAAUGCUGAGCCUUUGGUGAUAAGGUUGCCAGGACCAAUUCCUUAUGUUUCGGACAAGGCUGUUCCAUACAAAUACAAUGCUACUAUGAUAGAAAAUGGAGUAGAGGUGCCUCUAGCCUCCUUUGCCACAGUAAGCAAUAUUGCCGAAGGGACUUCUGCAGCACUAAGAAGCGGGAAGGUUCGUCCGCCAUUAUUUCAGCAGAAGGUAGCUACACCGACCAUCCCACCAGUUGAAGAAGCAACUCCAACCGUUGUUUCACCCAUUGCUACAGAUGUGAAUCAGCCAGGCAAAUCUAUAGAGGAUUCGAAUUUAGAUGAGAUUCUGAGAAUAAUAAAGAGGAGCGACUACAAGAUCGUUGAUCAGUUGCUGCAGACUCCUUCGAAGAUAUCUGUCUUGUCGUUACUCUUAAGCUCUGAGGCUCACAGGAAUACCUUGUUGAAAGUGCUGGAGCAGGCUUAUGUUGACCACGAAGUUACGGUAGAUCGUUUCAGUGGCAUAGUGGGAAAUAUUACUGCUUGUAACAACCUCUGGUUUAGUGAAGAAGAGUUGCCGGAAGUGGGAAAGGGUCACAAUCUGGCUUUGCACAUCUCGGUGAAUUGUAAAUCAGACAUGAUAUCAAAUGUGUUGGUGGAUACCGGUUCCUCUCUCAAUGUAAUGCCCAAGACAACUCUAGAUCAGUUGAGCUACCGAGGGACCCCUUUGAGAAGAAGUACUUUCUUGGUCAAAGCUUUUGAUGGAUCUCGAAAGAAUGUGCUGGGAGAGAUAGACUUGCCGAUAACUAUUGGCCCUGAGAAUUUCUUGGUUACCUUCCAAGUGAUGGACAUUAAUGCAUCCUACAGUUGCCUACUGGGAAGACCGUGGAUACACGAUGCAGGUGCGGUUACUUCCACCUUACAUCAGAAGUUGAAAUUUGUGAAGAAUGGAAAACUCGUUACAAUCCAUGGUGAAGAAGCAUACUUAGUCAGCCAGUUGUCUUCUUUUUCUUGUGUUGAAGCAGGAUCUGCCGAAGGGACUGCUUUCCAAGGUUUGACCAUUGAAGGUGCAGAGCCUAAGGAAGCUGGGGCUGCUAUGGCUUCAUUGAAAGAUGCUCAGAGAGCCAUCCAAGAAGGUCAGACUGCCGGCUGGGGCAAGGUGAUACAGGUCUGUGAGAACAAGCGUAAAAAAGGUCUCGGGUUCUCCCCGUCAUCAAGGGUUUCCUCGGGAGUCUUCCACAGUGCAGGGUUUGUUAAUGCUAUCUCUGAAGAAGCCACUGGAUCUGGUCUCAGGCCUGUAUUUGUUACACCAGGAGGCAUUGCGACAGAUUGGGAUGCCAUUGACAUUCCUUCAAUCAUGCAUGUUUCUGAGUAAUGUGUCUUGUUGCUUUAGUGCUUUGUUUUCAAAAUAACAAUCCUCUCGCUCUGCCCAAAGCGAGAGUGAUAUUUUCUGUAAGGGCAUGUUUGUUUCGGCAUUGCCGUUGAUUAAUAAAAUUGUGUCGUUUCUUCCACGACUACUUUUUUUUUUAGUGCUUUUUUCCCCUUGGAAACAAUGGUAAUGCCAGAAAAAACCAAAACGUCUGUAUUUUCUUAUUAAUUUCAAAAAUCUGCAUGAAAAAAAAAAACUCUUUCUAAAAUCAUCCAAUCAUUAUAUGCAGGUUGAACCAUAAUAAACCCGUUGAACACAGUAAUCCUACGAUUCCUCCAAGUUAUGAUUUCCCUGUGUAUGAAGCCGAAGAUGAGGAAGGUGAUGACAUACCGUAUGAGAUCACUCGGUUACUUGAGCAAGAAAAGAAAGCCAUUCAGCCUCACCAAGAAGAGAUUGAGCUUAUCAACAUAGGUACCGAGGAAAACAAGCGAGAAAUCAAGAUUGGUGCUACUCUAGAGGAAAGGGUUAAACAGAAGAUCAUCCAACUCCUCCGGGAAUAUCCGGAUAUUUUUGCAUGGUCCUAUGAAGAUAUGCCAGGUCUAGAUCCUAUGAUUGUGGAGCAUCGGAUCCCCACCAAGCCUGAAUGUCCUCCCGUCAGGCAGAAAUUGAGAAGGACUCAUCCUGAUAUGGCUCUCAAGAUUAAGAGUGAAGUUCAAAAGCAGAUUGAUGCGGGUUUCCUCAUGACAGUUGAGUAUCCCGAAUGGGUUGCCAAUAUUGUGCCUGUGCCAAAGAAGGAUGGUAAAGUCCGGAUGUGUGUUGACUUCAGAGACCUGAACAGGGCCAGUCCAAAAGACAACUUUCCAUUACCUCAUAUUGAUGUGCUUGUUGAUAAUACUGCUCAAUCUAAGGUGUUCUCCUUCAUGGACGGUUUCUCCGGUUAUAAUCAGAUCAAAAUGUCUCCUGAAGAUAGAGAAAAGACAUCUUUCAUCACUCCAUGGGGUACUUUCUGCUACAAGGUGAUGCCGUUCGGUCUAAUCAAUGCUGGUGCUACCUACCAAAGGGGAAUGACCACUCUGUUUCAUGACAUGAUUCACAAAGAAGUUGAGGUAUAUGUGGAUGACAUGAUUGUGAAGUCAGCAGAUGAGGAGCAGCAUGUUGAAUAUUUAACAAGGAUGUUUGAAAGGUUGAGAAAAUACAAGCUGCGAUUGAAUCCCAACAAAUGUACAUUCGGUGUCAGGUCCGGAAAGUUAUUAGGCUUCAUUGUCAGCCAAAAGGGCAUUGAAGUCGAUCCUGAUAAAGUCCGGGCCAUCCGAGAAAUGCCAGCUCCACAGACAGAGAAGCAAGUCAGAGGUUUCUUGGGACGUUUGAAUUACAUCUCCCGAUUCAUAUCUCAUAUGACUGCAACCUGCGGGCCGAUCUUCAAGCUACUUAGAAAGAACCAGCCUGUUGUAUGGAAUGAUGAAUGCCAAGAAGCUUUUGAUAGCAUCAAGAAUUACCUGCUGGAACCACCUAUCCUUGUCCCACCCGUGGAAGGAAGGCCUUUGAUUAUGUAUUUGGCAGUAUUUGAUGAAUCCAUGGGAUGUGUACUUGGUCAACAAGAUGAAACUGGAAAGAAAGAGCAUGCUAUCUACUAUCUAAGCAAGAAGUUCACCGAUUGUGAAACUCGGUAUACAAUGCUUGAGAAGACUUGUUGUGCUCUGGCCUGGGCCGCUAAACGCCUGCGUCAUUAUUUGGUGAAUCAUACAACCUGGUUGAUAUCCAGAAUGGAUCCGAUAAAGUAUAUCUUUGAGAAAGCUGUUGUUACUGGGAAGAUUGCACGCUGGCAGAUGCUUUUGUCUGAAUAUGAUAUUGUGUUCAAAACUCAAAAGGCAAUCAAAGGCAGCAUUCUUGCCGAUCACCUUGCUUAUCAACCUCUUGAUGAUUACCAACCAAUUGAAUUCGAUUUCCCUGAUGAAGAGAUCAUGUAUUUGAAAUCCAAAGACUGCGACGAACCGUUGAUUAAUGAAGGUCCAGAUCCCAAUAGCAAGUGGGGUUUAGUCUUUGAUGGUGCUGUCAAUGCUUAUGGCAAAGGAAUUGGGGCAGUCAUUGUAUCCCCGCAAGGGCAUCACAUUCCCUUUACCGCCCGAAUUCUGUUCGAAUGUACCAACAACAUGGCUGAGUAUGAAGCAUGUAUCUUCGGGAUCGAGGAAGCAAUUGACAUGAGAAUCAAACACCUCGACAUCUAUGGAGAUUCUGCGCUCGUCAUCAAUCAGAUAAAGGGUGAAUGGGAGACCCACCAUGCUAAGUUGAUUCCUUAUCGUGAUUAUGCGAGACGUCUUCUGACAUAUUUUACAAAGGUUGAGCUGCACCAUAUUCCUCGUGAUGAGAACCAAAUGGCUGAUGCUCUUGCUACUCUAUCUUCCAUGUUUCGAGUAAACCAUUGGAAUGAUGUGCCAUUAAUCAAAGUGCAACGCCUUGAAAGGCCUUCGCAUGUGUUUGCUAUUGGGGAUGCGAUCGAUCAGGCUGGUGAAAAUGUGGUUGACUAUAGACCUUGGUACUACGACAUCAAACAGUUCUUGCUGAGCCGUGAGUAUCCGCCGGGUGCUUCCAAACAAGACAAGAAGACUUUGAGAAGAUUGGCCGGUAGAUUCCUGUUAGAUGGAGAUAUUUUGUACAAGAGGAACUAUGACAUGGUAUUGUUAAGAUGUGUUGAUGAACAUGAAGCAGAGCAGUUAAUGCAUGAUGUACAUGACGGUACCUUCGGGACCCAUGCUACAGGGCAUACUAUGUCAAGGAAGUUGUUACGAGCAGGUUACUACUGGAUGGCCAUGGAGCAUGAUUGCUACCAGUACGCCAGGAAAUGCCACAAAUGUCAAAUCUAUGCUGAUAAGAUUCAUGUGCCUCCACACGCUCUCAAUGUUAUGUCAUCCCCAUGGCCGUUCUCAAUGUGGGGCAUCGACAUGAUUGGAAAAAUUGAACCAAAGGCUUCAAAUGGUCAUCGUUUUAUCUUAGUGGCAAUUGACUACUUCACCAAAUGGGUUGAAGCAGCAUCUUAUACCAAUGUGACCAAGCAAGUGGUAGCUAAGUUCAUCAAGAACAACAUCAUCUGUCGAUAUGGUGUUCCUAGCAAGAUUAUUACCGACAAUGGUACCAACCUGAACAACAAUGUGGUGCAAGCUCUUUGUGAAGAAUUCAAAAUUGAGCAUCAUAACUCUUCUCCUUAUAGACCUCAGAUGAAUGGUGCAGUUGAGGCCGCCAACAAGAAUAUCAAGAGAAUUGUCCAGAAGAUGGUAACCACGUACAAGGACUGGCAUGAGAUGUUACCCUAUGCUCUGCAUGGCUACCGUACUACUGUGCGCAGUUCAACCGGGGCAACCCCUUUCUCUCUUGUAUAUGGUAUGGAAGCAGUUCUUCCUUUGGAAGUGGAGAUCCCAUCUCUCCGUGUGAUCAUGGAAGCAAAGUUAUCCGAGGCUGAAUGGUGCCAAAGCCGGUAUGAUCAGUUGAAUUUGAUUGAGGAAAAACGUAUGGAUGCCAUGGCUCGUGGACAGUCAUAUCAAGCAAGAAUGAAGACUGCUUUUGACAAGAAAGUCCAUCCUCGAGAAUUCAAGGUAGGGGAACUUGUAUUGAAAAGGAGGAUAAGCCAGCAACCCGACCCAAGGGGCAAGUGGACGCCUAACUAUGAAGGUCCUUAUGUUGUCAAGAAGGCCUUCUCCGGUGGUGCUUUAAUCCUUACACACAUGGAUGGUGUGGAACUUCCAAAUCCAGUGAAUGCCGAUAUAGUCAAGAAAUACUUUGCCUAGAAAUAUGAAAAGAACAGCGUGGUAGGUCGAAAACCCGAAAGGGCGGCCUAGGCAAAAAUGCGCUUCCCGGUGGAUCGAAAACCCGAAAGGGCGGUCCAGGUAAAAAUAAGGGACAAAAAAAAUAUAUAUGAAAAGCUCGCUGAGAUUGUACGCAACUCAGGCAAGAAUGAGCGUCUCGAUGAGCCGAAAACCCGGAAGGGCGGUUCAUGCAAAAAUGAGAUUGAAACAGAAGGCAAGUAACUAUAUCUGGCCAACCACCGUCCCCCUUGGGGCAUCUGCAGCUGUUAAUGACCAUCUUCAUCAAAAGCUCCUAUACUUGUGAAUUCAAAGUUUCUAAGAACUGUAGUGGUUACCGUGUUCAAUGUACCACCAACCAAUAAAAUUACCAUUUUCCAAGCUUUGUGAAUCCGUGGAGUCAUGCCUUCGGCUGACCACCACUCUUAUACAUCAAUUUGAGCUUGUGCUUUUGUUUGAAACUCUAUUUUUCUUCUACUUUCAAAGCUGUAUACAAAACAUUUUCUUUCUAUUUUGAUAAUGACAAUGCUUGAAACAAACAUUUUUGAAAAUUGAAAACCUUUGGUCUAUUUUGAAAAGCAAACCUGAGCAACAGGGUACAUUCAAAUGAAACAUGCAUGAGCGAGAGUAUGUUGAUGUCUAUUUCAAUAUAUGUUACAAGCAAGUUCUCCUCCAGGAUAGUCUGUGGUCAAUGGCAAGAAUGAAAAAACAGAAUAAAAUGCAUGAAAAUAAAUAAGCUCGCUAAGUUGAAAACCCGAAAGGGCGGCUUAGGCAAAAAUGAGCACCCCGCUGGAUUGAUAACCCGAAAGGGCAAUUCAGGCAAAAAUGGGGCAUUGAAAAGAAUCUAUUUCCCCGGUGGAUCGAAAACCCGAAAGGGCGAUCCAGGCAAAAAUGGGAUGCAAAAAAUGAUGAAUGAGAAUUGAGAAUAUAACAUGCAAAAAGCAUUGACCACAGAUGCGAUGUCUACAACAUGCCCAGCACAACGGCGUUUUCCCCGGUGAGGUCUCUCAAGAUUCUAUCCCCAAGCAAGUUGUUUACCUACCUGCCCUCAGCCAUGGUCCCGAAACGUCUCCCAACGACGUCAUCUCCAAAGAGGAUUUCCAAGAAGGUGUAAUAUAGCACGAGCUACUACGUGCCCAAUACUCUGAUGUCUUGUCUUCCCCGUGAAGUCGUGCCUACAAAAUGCCAACAGUCAUGCAUUACAAGCAUUCAUACAUGCAUAAUCAUGCAUAUUACGUGCCCAUGCAUUUAAUGAAACUGUUAUAUCAUCCAUGCAUAUUGCAUUUCCAAUGUCAACAUCAGUCUCAAUUCAAAACUCAUGUCAGGUUCUCUGUCAAAACCUUGUGAGCCAAUAAUAUCGGUCAAUUUCUACCUUUCAAUUCAAAUCGACGUCAAGUCAAUCUCAAUCUAUAUUUUGUCAACAAACCAAUCCCCAGUGAAUAUGUUUCUGUUCGGUCAAGUUACUAGUUCGCAUCCAAGAACGACUUGCACCCGUUUACUUUUCAAUGUUAUCGGUCGAGUGCCCAGCUCAAUCCAAGAGCAGCUUGUACCUAUCCAUUUGUUUCUGUCCAGUCGAGUAACCAGUUCGAAUCCAUAAGAACCACUCGUACCUGCCAAUUUUACAUGUUUUCAGUCGAGUCACCAGUUCGAAUCCGUAAGAACAACUCGUACUUGUCAAUUUUCUCUUUUUCCCAGUCGAGUCACCAGUUCGAAUCCAUAAGAACAACUCGCACUUUCCAAUAUCCCCAAGUGAGUUACCAGUUCGAAUCCAUAAGAACAACUCAUGUUUGUCCAGUAACCUCUAUCCCCGGUGAAGUGACCAGUUCGAAUCCAUAAGAACAACUCGCAGUUGUCUGUUUGUUUCAUCCCCGGUCAAGUGGCUAGUUUGAAUCCAAGAACAGCUUGUACCUGUCCAACUUGUUUCUAGUUUCCCGUUACUCUGCUAUUCACUAUCUUUGUCAAUGUCUACCAAUCCCGCAAUGGAUACGACAUAUUUUGUUAAUUCCAAUCCCCAUGAGGUCUUGCAUUCAUAAUCCAAAUGAUGCAUGGCAUGCAUAUUAUUUGAAAAUGGGUAGGCGUAUUUUUACGUCCAAACACAGUGCAAAUGCUAAUAUUUAAGUAUCUUCGUCCUGUCAAGCCAAAGACUCCGUCUCUUGACUCUCCAGACAAAGAAACUUAAAUAGGGGCAGCUGUUAUACCCUGUUUUUGGACCUAAAAAUACUGGGCCCAAUUUCAUUUUCAAACUUUGUCAAUUAUCAAAUUUCAACUGCACAGUUCAAAUUGUCUCUGCCUCGCAGUAUUUUCAAUCACAAUUUUACCUAUGUUUUUCUUGCAUAAAACCUUUUGAAAUGUCUUUACUUGUCUUGUAAGUCAUUUAAAAGUGUCUCUGAAUCAUUACAUUGCUUUUUCUACAGUGUAUUUCAAAAUUUGCAAAAAGUCGUACAGAAGGGUAUUUUGGUCAUUUCCUGCAGUGGGACCCAUUUUCAUCCUUGUGACUGUCUCUGAGUCUUUUCAAAUUCAUUUUUAACUUUCCAUCAGUAAACCUUGCUAAUUUCAUUUCAAACUUGCAUCUGAGUCAGUGUCGAGUCAAUUUGGCUCUGUUUAGGUCAUUUUUAGCCCUAGGGGCAUUUUGGUCAUUUCACAUAAAAUUUUGGCAUGGGGAGGUUACUUUGAAGUACCUCAUUUAGGCCAUUGGUUCGUUUUAGUCCGUUUUGUCAAUUUUAUUUUUUUGUUUCGCUUUACGUUUGGUCAAAUUACGUUUUUUAUUCAAUUUUAUUUUUUUAAUUGCAUUUUGGUCCCUCAAGUGAGGUCCCAAAAUUGCAUUUCAGUCCAGUUUCUUUUCCAAUUUUCAUUUUAGUCCUUUUUUGGUCAAUUGCAGUUUAGUCCUUAAGUUUUGUUUUUUGCAAGAAGGUCCAAAUUUCAUUUUUUUGUCCAAGGCCGGGUCAUUCUUUUUUUUUCAGGUCCAGGUGUCACUUUCUCAUUUGUUCAGAGGCACACAUGUCAUGCUAUAAAAGGUGCACAGUGCCACUCAAGGCCAUGAAUCACACGCCAACUCAUAAACACAAAAUAAAUUUUCUCUUUCUCAGCAAUUAGAUCAAAAACAGAAAAUUCUCAGAAUUUCUCAAGAACACCAAGAACACAAAACCCUAACCGUUUUCCAGAAAGCAAGAAUCAUCAAAAUUCGUUGGAUUUUCCAUUGAUUCUCAGAGAUUCCUUAGGAAUCAUCAUCAUUGAAUCAUCUCCUUCGCAAUUCAAGGCACGGAUUCACUGCAGAAGCAGCAAAUUCCAGUACCGAUCACGAAGAAGGUUCAGCGAGAAGAAGGGGGAAAGAAACAAGGUUCUAAACCGGCGAAGAAGAUGAAGAAACAGAACCGGUGAAUCACCGAUUUAUUUUCGGUCCAAAGAACAAGCAGAAGCAUCAAAAAUCAGCAAGAACAGAAUCAAGUUUUCUGAAGAAUCUCACAAAAUCUCCAAUCAAAAAUUUCAGGUAAAACUCAGAAUCUUUUUAAAAAAUAUAAUAUCACAGUUGAACCUGUAAAAACAUGCAAGCAAUACAGAUCUAAGAUUUCCAGAAUUCAAAAGCGAAGCCGUAACCGUAAACACAAAACCUAGAUCCAUAAGGAUCUAAGUUUUGAAAGCAAGAACGAAUACCAGAAAAGUAAUCAAGCGACGAAACGAUGUAGAUCUUUAAAGAUCUAAAUGCUUUUGUUCAAAAAUCAAAGAAAACAUUUCAAGACCGUAUGAAAUUUUCUAGAUCUGCGUCGUUUCAAGCUGUUUUUGAAAAGAUAAUUGCCAGAUUCUUGAUUAGGGUUUAAAAACGAAUGGAUUGGUGAAGAAAUUUUGGCAUUCUGGAAAUUUUAGGUCACCGGAGUUCAUGAACUCGCCGGAGAAGAUGAAGCUUCCGGCGGACCUUCAAGGUCUCCGCCGUGGCUUCAUCCUCACCGGCGGUGAGGGUUAGAGAGAGGCGAGAGAAGAGGGAAGCUUAGAGAGAGAAAGAGAUGGAAGAAAUGGACUGGACCGGCGUCUACGUCCUUAUAUAGACGUUUGAACCGGUCCGGUUUAUUUUGCUUCCAUUUUGAACCGUAGGAUCUAGGGUUUCUUUUGUUGAAUGGCUGUGAUGCGUUGUUACUGUAUGCUUGAUUUACGUUACCAUGCGCUGCGUGUUUUGAACCGUUAGAUCUGGAUCCGGAUCAAUCCAACGCCUCUGAGGCCUUUGGAUGAUCCAGGUCCAGUCUGUUUUGGGUUUUGGUUUGGGCCUCAGUUUUCUUUCACGUUUUUUUGCUUUUUUUUGCUAUUUGCACUGUUUUUCUUUGCUAUUUGAACCAAUGUCUUGAUUAAAAAUUUUGAUAAAUUUCCUAGAAAAUCCAUGCUUACUUCUUGACAUUUUCUCGAUGUUUUAUGGUGUUUUUGCACGCUGGAAUUAGCAAAAUUCUUGUAUGAUUAAUCCAUGGCAUUUUAAUUUUUUCUUGGAUUAUUUCUUAUGAUUAUUUUGUCAAUUCUAUCAUUGAUUUGCGAAUAUGUGAUAAAUGCCAUUUGACAUGUUAAUGUGAGGUGCUCAUGCCUACAAUCCUAUGUUUACUUUGCUGUUUUAGAUUGAUUCAUGAAACCUUGAUUGUAUGAGCAAUGUAUGCAUAUUCUAAAAAAAAUAAUAAUAAAAUGAUAAUUCUAUCUCAAAAUUGGUAUGAAGCUAAGCUUGUUUGUUUCUAAUGAUCCUAUGUUUAUAGCUUGAGAUAAAAGAAACUAUUUCAAACUUGCUAUAGCAUGAGAAUUAGAAGCUACAAAUGCCUUAGGUUUCAUAUCAAAAUUUUAGGUUUUAUUACCAUUUUAUUACUAUCCUUAUGGCAUUUUAUGCGUUUUUGCCUCUUGCUACUCUUUAUGCUUUAUUUCACUAACAAGUUUAUUUCCAUGUUUCAUGCAUCUCAUUUAGCAUCCCCUCCACUUUCUUUAGCCUAGCAUUUAUUUUUUGCAAGUUUUAAUUCAUUUGGUAAUGUAAUUUGUUAUCAUUGAUUUGUAGCUUGGCAAAGGGGCCAUAGAAUGUAUUUAGGCAAUUUUUGUAAUAUGGACUAUGGACACUAUGACGCACCGACACGCACACACUCACCUUAGAUGUAUGCAUAGGAUUGUAUGGUUAAAUAAGCGUUUAGGUUUUAAACACUUAGAGAAAAUCCAUCUUUUUUCAAAAAAACAAUUGAACUUCACUUCAAAAAUUUUCAUAAUAAAUAUGAAGUCAACACUUCAUUUUUUUUCCUUUCUUUUUUCUUAAGAAAAAUUCAAUUCACCUUAAUCAUUUAGACUUUUUUUUUCAAUCACUAAUCAAACCUCACUUUUUUGCUAAAUCUCAUGCUCAUGAAGCCUCCCAAUCUCCUUCUUCAAAACCAUUUUCAAAACUAAAAAUCAAACAAUUAAAACGAAAAAACAAGUCUUUUUAGCAAGAACUACGCCGGUUUUGAUCCCGUAAAACGGUACGUAGGCAAUGAGUCAAAACUCAUCCAAGCCGAAAUAAAACCCAAUUCUACUUCUUCUCACCCCCCAUUCUUCACUAAUCAUACUUUUUUUUUACAAAUAAGCAAUAAAACUAAAGCGUAGAAAUAAAUUUAGGAAAGCGGUUCUUAUGGAAUACCAUAAUCGCUCCGGGUGCCUAACACCUUCCCGUAGCGAAAACGACCCCCGAACUUAGAAUCUAAGGGUUUUUUCUCAAUUUUACCCUUCCCGAGAAAAAAGAGAGAUAUCAACGGUCAAAAGGUUCAAGUCCAAUUAAUGGCUUGGCACCCAAAAACCAUGAUAACAGUGAACAUAGUAGAUUUAUCCUUCCUGGCCUUUUGAUGCUUCUGAGCACCCUUCUCAGUAGCAUCAUCAUCAAGAUAUUCUUCCUUGGUGAUCUGCUUCUUCUUGGACUUUCUGCUUUUAGCCACAGGCAGAGCACCACCAUACAUUUCUUCAGGGACAUCUUUCAAACUAAUUUUCUUGUUGUAGGUUGUGUAGAAGUCCAGAAUGUAUGCCUUUUGAACAUCCAGGGGAUCCUUCUUGCAUAUGUGUAUCUCAUUAGAGACUAGAUCAGAUAUGACAUCAGAUUCAUGCAUAUCUGAAGCUAGUUUCUUGCAAGUUGAGACCAGCCUCAUAUUGACCAUGGUUGCCCCAUUAAUUAUCUUUCCUGUGACUGCUCCCAGCUUCUGAUUGUCAUAAAUGCCCACAUCCUUUAGGACACUUAAGAUUCCUCCUUCCUGGAAAAUUAUGGAGAGCAGCCUUCCAUAAGGAACGAACUUUCUGUUCUCCAACUGACUCUUCUUGAGUUCCUUGAUCAUGUACUUAAACAUGUACUUGGGAACAUUCAUGGUUGUUUCCUGAUUGAUGGUGUGAUGCAGAAAGACCUUAUGACCAAGAGAGGGUUGAUCACUUCCUCCACCUUUGGGAAAGAUAUUCUCAUUCUGGAUCUUCAGUAGCAUUUUCUUUUCCAUACUUAAGGUGCUGUAGGGCUUAGCAUCCUUUGAUCCGUAGAUAGUGUUGUUUACUAUCUCCUUCCAUGGGCUUGUUCUGGGGUUAGGAAUCUCUUCUCCAUCAUAAGUCCCAGAAGCAUCCCUUCUCAUGGCUUGAGCAAUCACGUGCUCAUUGAUUGUUACAGGAAUGCCCAUGACAGAUGAUCUAAUCUCAGUCCCAGUGAAGGCGAGUAGACCCAUUUCUUGUCUGGUUUUUCCCUCCAAGGAAGGAUUAAUCAGGAUCAUCUGAGCUUCUUCCAGUUUAGCAGCAGCUUUAUCAUACACAGAAGCUCUAACCCAGAAUUGUCUUACCAGCACUUCAUAGGUUGGUCCGUUGAGAAGACUGAAAUAACUCAUCAAUUUUUGCUUCUUGUAAAAUCUUACCAAGUCGCAUCCAUGGUGAGUUAGAGAAGCGAAGUCCACUGGAUUUUCCGCUUGAAUGAUUAACUCCCAUUCUUCGAUAGACAUGGUUCUUCCUUUGAUUUCAUAAGCAGGAGUAUCUGUAUUUGACGACGAACCACCAGCAGAACUUGAAGAAGCCAUUGAAAUGGAGUGGUUUUAGGGUUCUAAAGUUUUUGAGAGGAUGAGAGAAUGCGCUUACUUUCGCAGAGAGUUUAGAAGAAAAUAGAAAGUGUUUGUUGUGAAGUGAGUAGUGUGUGUUUGUUUUAAGUGUUUUUGUUAAAACGUUUGCAAUUCAGAACAGACAAACAAACAUAGCAUUAAUGACAAAUUGGGGGCGCGUGUUAGUAUGUUUAAUUGCAGAUAAAACAUCAUUGCCCUUUUUGUUAUACUCCAAUACAAAUAGACCACGUCAGAGACUUUUCAGAAAACUAACCUUUGGGUAAUGGGACAGCUGUUACAAAAAGUAACUGCCAACGUUCCCACUAACCUUGCUAUUCAGAAGCAAAAGAUACCUUUUCUGAAGUAUUAGUGCUGACGUCAUCUUCAGAAGCAAAUUUUCCUCAGAACCUCAGUCAAGAGUUUCUGAUGGACCAGCUGCUUCUGAAUAAACUUCAGAACCAAAACUUCUUAUUCAGAAGCCAGCAAUUUUUCAAUCAGACACAAAGUGCAAGUUCAAAUUUUUCUUAAUAAAAUCAAAUCUUUCAACAGAUAAGGGUUUUGUAAAUAUAUCAGCCCAUUGAUGUUCAGUAUCAAUGAAUUGUAUAUCUAAAAUCCCUUUUUGAACAUAGUCUCUGAUAAAAUGGUGUUUGAUCUCAAUAUGCUUGGCUCUUGAAUGUAGAAUUGGAUUCUUUGACAAACAGAUAGCAGCAGUAUUAUCACAAAAAAUGGGAAUACUGUUAGCAUUAAUCUGAUAGUCUUCCAACUGAUGUUUCAUCCAAAGUAGUUGUGUACAACAACUUGCAGCUGAAAUGUAUUCUGCUUCUGCUGUAGACAUAGCAAUUGUUGUUUGUCUUUUGCUUGCCCAGGAUAUCAGAUUUUCUCCCAGGAAUUGACAAUUUCCACUGGUUGAUUUUCUUUCAAUCCUGUCACCAGCAUAAUCAGCAUCACAGAAUCCAAUCAACUUGUAAUCUAGGGAUUUCCUAUAAAGGAGUCCAAGAUUAGUUGUUCCUUUCAAAUACCUGAAGAUUCUCUUAACAGCAGUUAAAUGAGAUUCUCUAGGAUCUGAUUGAAAUCUUGCACACAAGCAUACACUGAAUAAGAUAUCAGGUCUAGAUGCAGUGAGGUAUAACAGAGAACCAAUCAUACCUCUGUAUAACUUCUGGUCUACUACUGUUCCAGUAUCUUCUUUGCUUAAGGUGCAGGUUGGAUGCAUUGGAGUGUUCAUCACUUUACAAUCUUCUAGCUUGAACUUCUUCAGAAGCUCCUUUGUAUAUUUUGUUUGAUGAACAUAUACUCCUUCUUUACUUUGGUUGAUUUGAAUUCCAAGAAAGAACUUCAAUUCUCCCAUCAUACUCAUUUCAAAUUCAUCCUGCAUCAACUUAGAGAAUUCUUUGCAAAGAGAUGCAUUAGUAGAACCAAAUAUUAUAUCAUCAACAUAUAUUUGCACAAUCAAAAUGUCCUUCUUAAGUGUCUUUCUUGAAGAGUGUUGUGUCAACUUGUCCUCUUUCAAAAUCAUUUUUAAUUAAGAAAUUACUUAGUCUAUCAUACCAAGCUCUGGGAGCUUGUUUCAAGCCAUAUAGUGAUUUCUUAAGUUUAUAAACAUGGUCAGGAUGCUUAAGAUCCUCAAACCCAGGAGGUUGUUUGACAUAUACUUCUUCUUCAAUGACACCAUUAAGAAAAGCACUUUUGACAUCCAUUUGAUACAAUAUUAUGCCAUGGUUAAUUGCAUAGGAUAGAAGUAACCUGAUUGCUUCCAAUCUUGCAACUGGAGCAAAUGUUUCAGUGUAAUCAAUGCCUUCUUGUUGACUGUAACCUUGAGCAACAAGUCUGGCUUUGUUUCUGGUUACUUCUCCUUUUUCAUUCAGCUUGUUUCUGAAUACCCAUUUUGUUCCAAUAAUGUUCUUCUGAAAAGGUUUGGGUAUCAGAUCCCACACAUCAUUUCUCUGAAACUGAUUUAGUUCUUCUUGCAUGGCUAAUAUCCAACCAUCAUCUGAGAGAGCUUCUUCAACAGUUUUAGGCUCAAUUAUUGAAAGCAAUCCUAUUAAAGACUCUUCUUGUCUGAAAUGUGAUCUUGUUCUUCUAGGACUAUCUUUGCUUCCAAUGAUUAACUCCUCAGGAUGUGAAGAUUUGUGUUUGAAUUUUGGCUGAAUAACCUGCUGAGUGUUAUCUUGAACAUCCUCAGAAGCAUUUUCAUUCUGUUCUACUGGACUAGUUUCUGCUUCUGAAUUAGACUCAGCUUCUGGAGUGAUUUCAGCUUCUGGACGAGAUUCAACUUCUGAAUGCUUUUCAGAAUCAGAAGGUUGAUCAGAUUCUGAUGCAUCUUCAGAAUCAGUUGUACCUGCAUUACUUUCACUUUGCUCUGGAGUUUUAUUUCCAGGCUCUCUAUCAUCAAAUUUUACAUGGAUAGAUUCUUCAACACAAUGUGUUUCUGAAUUAUACACUCUGUAUGCCUUUGACCUUUCAGAGUAACCUAAAAAGAUUCCUCUUUGAGCCUUGGCAUCAAAUUUCUUCAGAUAGUCUUUAGUGUUCAAGAUGUAACAAGUACAUCCAAACUGAUGAAAGUAAGAGAUAUUGGGUCUUCUUCCUUUAAAGAGUUCAUAUGCAGUUUUCUCCAACAUAGGUCUGAUAUAGAUCCUAUUUUGAAUGUAACAUGAAGUAUUAACUGCUUCUGCCCAAAAAUGUUUAGCUAGAUUGUUUUCAUGGAUCAUGGUUCUGGCCAUUUCUUGUAAGGUUCUGUUCUUUCUCUCUACAACCCCAUUUUGUUGUGGAGUUCUAGGAGAAGAGAAUUCAUGGAGAAUCCCAUGUUUUUCACAAAAAAGUUCAAAUGGCUCAUUUUCAAAUUCUCCACCAUGAUCACUUCUGACUUUCAAAAUUUUCAAUUCUUUUUCAGAUUGUAUUUGAGUGCAGAAGCUGCUAAACACUUCACAAGCAUAAUCUUUACUUUUAAUGAAUUUUACCCAAGUCCAUCUGCUGUAAUCAUCAACAAUGACUAAUCCAUAUUUACUUCCAUAUAAAGAUGCAGUGUUAACUGGACCAAACAGAUCAAUAUGGAGUAAUUCUAAGGGUCUAGAGGUUGAUACAAUGUCUUUAGAUUUGAAAGUGCUUUUCACAAUUUUCCCUUUCUGACAUGCACCACAAAGUGCAUCUGAAUGAUAAUCAAUGUUAGGCAAUCCUUUGACCAGUUGUAACUUGCUAAUUUUAGAAAUUAAUCUCCAAUUAGCAUGUCCCAGCCUUUUGUGCCAUACCCAUUUUUUAUCAUUCAUUGACAGAAGGCAAACUACCUUCUGAUCAGCCAGAUCAGAGAAAUUUAUUUUAUAAACAUUUUCAACUCUCUUUCCCUUGAAUGUAAUGGAUUUGUCAUUCUUGUUGACUAGAGUGCAGUUGGUCUUACUGAACAUUACAUCAUACCCAUUGUCACAAAAUUGACUAAUGCUCAAUAGGUUAUGCUUUAGACCAUCUACUAGCCACACAUUAUUAAUUGAGAUGGAGGAAUUACCAAUAGUACCUGUACCAAUGAUUUUUCCAGUUUGGUUGCCACCAAACUUCACUUCUCCUCCAUCUUUCAUUGUAAGGGUAAGGAACAAAGCUUUCUCUCCAGUCAUGUGCCUUGAACAUCCGCUGUCUAGGUACCAUGACCUUUGUUUCUCUCUUGCCCUUAUGCACACCUGCAUUUUUAGCCAAUUCAGAUUUAGGUACCCAUAUCUUCAUGGGUCCUUUUGGGUUAGUUCUGGAGGCUUUACUUUUCCUCCCUUGUACCUUAGGGUGAAUGCUAAGAGGCUUCUGAUCAUUCAAUACUUCAGGUUUAACACCUUUUGGUAUUGUUUUAUCAGAAGCAGUGGCUGCCUUGUUCUUCUGAUCCUUUUGUUUUGGGAUUUUAGAUUCUGGUCUAAUCAGAUUCUGAUGAACAGGUUCUGAUCUUUUCAGAAUUUUAAUCUUUUGACUCUUAGGAUCAGAUUUUGUCAUCACCUUGAUCUUAAGAUUCUCUGGCUUUGAUGUGAUCUUAGCCUGUGAACCAGAAGUUUCAGGUUUUGACUGAACAGCAGUUACAGCAUUUGUACCUUCAGGCACAAAGGUGGAUUUCAAUCCAUCCUUGAUACAAUCACAGUAGCUUUUGAGACUGUAUUCUUUGGAUUUCUCCUCAGAAUAUCCAAUCCCUUUGCCAUUGUUCUUGUAUGUGCUGUAGAUCAUAGAGGCAACUUUGCUUCUGUCUAUUCCAGCCAUAAUGAAAUCAUCCAAGGCAAUCUCAUGUUUAUUGCCUGAACCUUUAUCACAUUUUUCUUGUAGCUUCUGACAAAGAAUUUUGAGCCUAUCUUCAUAUGUUGUUGAUAUGAGAUUAAACCCUUUUAGUUCUUCUUCAGAAGCUUUUAGCUCCAAUAGAGUUGACUUCUGUUGUUUCAUUAAAUCAACAUAUUUUUCUUUUAAAUCUGUCAACUCAUUGGUUCUGUGUUCAAACAGUGAUAAAAGUUCUUUUAGAGAAUCCACAAGUUCUUGUCUAGGAAUUUUGGAAUAUACCUCAUUUUCAUCUUCUGAAUCUGAUUCAGCUUCUGAUACUGCUUCUGAUGAUACUGUUGCCACUAACCCCAUGGCUGCUUUUGUAUCAUCUUCUGCUUCUUCUUUAUCAGAACCAGAUUCACUAUCCAAAUCUUCCCAGGUUGCCAUCAAGCUCUUUUUGAUUUGCUUUCUAAACUUACUGGAGCUGAAGCUUGAUUUCUUGGAUUUACUUUUAGAUUUCUCCUUCUGAAGAUCAGGGCAAUCAGCAAUAAAAUGACCAGGCUUCUUGCAGUUAAAGCACCCCUUCUGAUCUUCUUUCUUUGAGUUCUUGUAGCCACCUCUCUUGCUCAAAAAUUUCUUUUGCUUCCUUGCCAGAUAUUCAAGUUUGUUGGACAGCAUAGCCAUCUUCACCGACUGAUCUUCAUCAGAAUCUCGAUCAGGUGAUUCUUCUUCAGAUUCACUGGCUUUGUAGGCCUUUGAAGAUUUUGAAGUCUUUCCUUUAGAUGGUAGAGCAAUGGAUUUACUCUUCUUAGAGGAUUCAUGCUCAUUUAAACUCAUUUCAUGCACUUUGAGUGAGCUAACAAGAUCUUCAACACUUAAAGUGUUUAGAUCCUUAGCUUCCUCAAUAGCAGUUACUUUGGGUCUCCAUCUUGAAGGUAAGCUUCUCAAAAUCUUACUGACAUGAUCAGAAGCAACAUAGCUUUUCUUCAGAAUUUGCAAUCCAGAAACUAAAGUUUGAAAUCUUGAGUACAUUUCUUCAAUACUCUCAUCAUCCUUCAUUCUGAAUAAUUCAUACUGAUGAACAAGCAUCAAAGCUUUAGCCUCUUUCACCUUCUUACUGCCUUCAAAGUUGGCACAUAGUGAUGCAAACAUAGCCUUUGCAGUAGAUUUGUCACUCAUCUUCAUAUAUUCGGUGCGAGGUAUAGAAGCCACAAUAAUUCCUCUGAUUUUGUGGUGCUUCUUGUAAAGCUUUUUCUGAGCAGGAGUAUGUAUUCUUCUGUCUAUGGCAGCUCCUUCUUCAUCUAAAUCCAGAUCAUCAACUCCAUCUUCCAAUAUGUCCCAUAGCUCUUCAUCCAAACCCAUGAUGAAGCUAUACAUAUUUGUUUUCCACCAUGAAAACUCUUCUGGAUCUCCAUUAAACUUAGGAGCUUUACCAGAGUCUGUUUUCUUGUCAGCCGUAUCAUAGUCAUGCUUGACACUUGUGUAUUUUACGGUUGUAGUUGAUUCCUCUCCUCCAGACAUGUUUUUCUAUAGGAUCUUGAUCUGUAACACUGUUAAGUGCUAUGAUAACAGAGCAGGCUCUGAUACCAAUUGAAGGUGAGAAAAACACAAGAAGGGGGGGGGGUUGAAUUGUGUUUUCUUUUUCUCUUAAAAAAUACUUCUUCUGAUAAAACUUCAGAAGCAGUUUGAUUGCUCCUGAUGAAGUGAUCAGAGUCAGAUUGCAGCGGAAGAGAACAGAGCAGAGAAAAGAAAGACAAAGACACAAGCAGUUAUCCUGGUUCCUUCCACAACACGGAAGUAGUCCAGUCCCCCUUGCACUUCCAAGGAGAUUUUCACUAUAAUCAACAAGAUUACAACUGCUCAAUACUUUCUAAGUAUGAGACUUCACAAAGAUGCUCAAGCACACACGCAAGAGACUUCCAAUGCUCAAGCACUAAGCAAGAGACUUCUAAUGCUCAAGCACUAAGCAAGAGACUUCUAAUGCUCAAGCACGCAGGCAAGAGACUUCUGAUCAAACAAAAAUACAGACAAUUGAGUUUGAUUUGAACACUUGAUAUACAAUCAGUGGUGUUCUCAAUACAAUACAGUAAAGACUCUAGACUUUGAAUUUCUAAGAUUUAUCAAAUCAGUGCAGAAAUUCUGUGUGCUUUGUAGAAUCAAUUUGACAGAGUUUUGGCGCUUUUGAACUUGUAUAUCUCUAUCUACAAUCUUCAAGUCUUCACUCCUUUAUAUAGAGGUGUGAAAGAGACGUUGAGAUUAUCAGCACGUCUAAAGAGUCGUUUGAAAUCCUUUAAUCAUCCACCAGUGAUCCUUUGCCUGAUAUGGGUGUAGUCCUUUGAAGAGUUAGCUUCAAAAUCAUUCCCAUCUUGAAGGCGCACAUUCUGCAGGCAAGGCUGUUGUUUUGUCUUGUAGCGAAGACAAAAACAGAGUAAUGGAGGUAGUGGUUGUACACUUGUACUUUGUCAACUCUAGUAAAGAGAGACAAGUGCUCAGUGCUAUCCAUAUAUCCGUUGGAACCUCCCUUUCAAUUCUUUGUUCUUCUUGGAUAAGACUGAAUUGAGAGCCAGCUACUUUGAAUCUUCAGUUUGAUUGAGGGAUCAAAUGCAGCUUCUGGUGAAAAUAUUUUGCUUCUGAUGAAAACCUUGCUUCUGAUGAUCCUCUGCUUCUGAUGACGUCAUCACUUCAGAAGCACUCUGAACUUCAGGAGCGAUUUUCUUCAGAUGCUUGGAAUUCUUUUUCUUUCCAUUGUUCUUCCAGGACCUGUUGAAAUUACUUGACUAGACUUUGGUCCUGUACACUUGAACAAUUAUUAGUAAUAACCAAUUGACAAUUUUUAAUACCUUGUUAUCAUCAAAACUCAAUAAGGUUCAUUGUGAAACACAUUUUGUUCCAACAUUCUUCGGUCUACAACAGCUCCUUCUUCAUCUAAAUCCAGGUCAUCAACUCCAUCUUCCAAUAUGUACCAUAGCUCUUCAUCCAAACCCCAUGAUAAAGCUAUACAUAUUUGUUUUCCACCAUGAAAACUCUUCUGGAUCUCCAUUAAACUUUGGAGCUUUACCAGAGUCUGUUUUCUUGUCAGCAGUAUCAUAGUCAUGUUUGACACUUGUGUAUUUUAAGGUUGUAGUUGAUUCCUCUCCUCCAAGACAUGUUUUUCUAUAGGAUCUUGAUCUGUAACACUGUUAAGCGCUAUGAUAACAGAGCAAGCUCUGAUACCAAUUGAAGGUGAGAAAAACACAAGAAGGGGGGGUUGAAUUGUGUUUUCUUUUUCUCUCUUAAAAAAUCUUCUUCUGAUAAACCUUCAGAAGCAGUUUGUGAGUGCUUCUGAUGAACUGAUCAGAAUUGGAUAUGCAGCGGAAAAGAACAGAGCAGAGAAAAGAAAGACAAAGACACAAGCAGUUAUCCUGGUUCCUUCCACAACACGGAAGUAGUCCAGUCCCCCUUGUACUUCCAAGGAGAUUUCACUAUAAUCACAAAGAUUACAACUGCUCAAUACUAUCUAAGUGUGAGACUUCACAAAGAUGCUCAAGCACACACGCAAGAGUCUUCCAAUGCUCAAGCACUAAGCAAGAGACUUCUAAUGCUCAAGCACGCAGGCAAGAGACUUCUGAUCAAACAAAAAUACAGAGAAUUGAGUUUGACUUGAACACUUGAUAUACAAUCAGUGGUGUUCUCAAUACAAUACAGUAAAGACUCUAGACUUUGAAUUUCUAAGAUGUAUCAAAUCAGUGCAGAAAUUCAGUGUGCUUUGUAGAAUCAAUUUGACAGAGUUUUGGCGCUUUUGAACUUGUAUAUCUCUAUCUUCUAUCUUCAAGUCUUCACUCCUUUAUAUAGAGGCGUGAAAGAGACGUUGAGAUAAUCAGCACGUCUAAAGAGUCGUUUGAAAUCCUUUGAUCAUCCACCAGUAAUCCUUUGCCUGAUUUGGGUGUAGUCCUUUGAAGAAUAAGCUUCAAAUUCAUUCCCAUCUUGAAGGCACAAAUUCUGCAGGCAUGGCUGUUGUCUUGUCUUGUAGCGUAGACAAAAAAACAGAGUAGUGGAGGUAGUGGUUGUACACUUGUACUUUGUCAACUCUACUAACGAGAGACAAGUGCUCAGUGCUAUCCAUAUAUCCGUUGAUACCUCCCUUUCAAUUCUUCGUUCUUCUUAGAUAAGAUUGAAUUGAGAAUCAGCUACUUUGGAUCUUCAGUUUGAUUAAAGGAUCAAAUAUAGCUUCUGGUGAAGAUAUUGCUUCUGAUGACCUUCUGCUUCUGAUGACGUCAUCUCUUCAGAAGCAGUUUUCUUCAGAUGCUUGGAAUUCUUUUGCUUUUCAUUGUUCUUCCAAGACCUAUUGAAAUUACUUGACUAGCUUUUGGUCAUGUACACUUGAACAAUCAUUAGUAAUAACCAAUUGACAAUUUUUAAUACCUUGUUAUCAUCAAAACUCAAUAAGGUUCAUUGUGAAACACAUUUUGUUCCAACACACUUGUAUUUCAGUUUUGUCUAAAAUAAUACAAUGAGAAUAAAUUUUAGUUCUCCUUCAAGCUUUCUUCCUCCAUUGAUGGAGUUUAUGCUAUAAUUUUCCAGUUAUAGCAUUCAUUUCUCUCUUGGUGUAUUAAUUCUGAAAAAAAAAGUCCUUCUUUCUAUUAAGUUAUAGCGAUUCAUUUCUCUUCUUGAUGUAUAAUCGACUCAUUAUAACCUUAACCUAAUGUUUGGAAGUACAAAACCAAAACUUUGAGCUAUGAAACGAUAUUCGUCACUUCCAUUUGCUUGAUCAAAACAAGGGCAUCUAUUGAACUAUGAUAUAAGAUGAAGUUUCUAUCUAAUUUCACUUGUUGGACAAAAGCUAUCCAUUUACAUUAAUUGUCUUCAUACUACUUAACAAAUUACAAGUCAUGCAUAUUUAUAAAUAUAUUGCUAUGGAAUAACAAUCAAUUUCUUAUUCAAAAGAUCCUUCAUAAAGAUUAUGAUUAAAAGCACUUAUGAUUUCGAAGGGCCUUCCUUGUAACAACGUUCAUUCAUGAUCCUGCCAAGCUGCACUACACCUUUUAAAAGUUCUGGACCAAAGGGAUUCCAAACCUCAAAGUUGAUACCUCUGAAGCAUCUUAUGUUAAUGGCUACACAAACAUUGAAGUUGAUAGCUAUGGAUUCUUAUUUCUGCAGGUCACAUGCAUUCAAAUAGAUGUGAUAAGUAACACAAUAUACAGUUAUGCUGCAACAUAUAAGAUUGAUAUUGAUUACUCGACAAGAUGAAUUUACAUAGCAUGCCAAAACUAAGCAUUUUGUGCACUGUCUAACUCCAUAAGUCUUUAAUGAUUUGAAAAACUUGUGCAGGUAGAAACAAUUAUUUUGUUUAUGAUAAAUAUGUACCUACCUGGACAAAGGAAUCUAUCUAUCAGUGGAAUUGUGAUUGUAAAGCAUUGAGAUAUUCAUGAAGGUAAGUCGACAUAUACAGAAUAAGCAGCGGAUUAAAAUUUCGAUUUACUUUCCUUGGAUCAUUACGAAUUGGAACUUGAACCAGUGAUUCGAUUGUUACCUUAGAACGAUUGGUCUGAAAACGAUCGGUGGAAUCUGCGAACCGGAAUCACGAUCACAGCCAAGCAAAUAGCAGAGCCUCUAUCAAGUCCACACGAACAGUGCUCCUCCAAAAGCUCGGUGCUAGCCAAGAAGACGGAAGUCAGAUAACUAGGGUUUCUGCAAAAGAACGUAACCGCAAACUAUUGCACUAGGGUUCUAUUUAUAGAACUCUUUAUGUGCUUUGCAAGUCAAACUCGUUUUUGACUUCACUAAGCCCAAUACGAGUUUAGUAAACUUUGCUAAAUAAUUAGCAUUAUUUACUAAGCGCACCCUUUAUAUAAGUCGUACUUAUACAUAUCUCUUUUGACUGUUCUUUUUGUGUGACCCUUUAGGUUCUAGUCACGUUGGCAAUAAUAUUAAAUCUAAUAUUUAAUAUUAUAAACAAUUAGCGGUAUCUAGCAACACAUCAUUGCUACCCAAGUGACAAGAAUGUCAAGUGAUCCGACGAAACCUUUCAUGAUAAUACAUAUGUGUAUAAUUACUCCUUUGUCUCAAUAUCUUCAUUGAUCCCAAGGCAUAGAUAGUGUCACCCUUGUAUAGAUCAAUGUUCAUUUAUCUUGAUUCCGAAAUAUACUAUUUAACGAAUAAGUCCAAUAUCUUAUAUUGACUUAGUUCGGCAUGGCCAUGCAUAUUUAUAGUCAUAUUUCAUCAAGAGGCCUAAAGAUAUAUCUCCUGUUUAUGAGGAGGGACAAAUCCCAUCUAGGAUACUCAUGCCCCUCAGCAUGAUUCAUCAAGUACCCAUCAACCAACGUUAUUUUUAUCCUUUUACAGACAACGUUAGAAUGGCAACAAAGCACUUGAAUCCACAUCUAGAGAUCAUAGUGGUUUCAGGUCUAAGAGCGAUAUACAUUAUUAUCAUUGUGAGAAUAUCUUAUGACAUUUUCAUAACUUACUAUGUAGUAUUCUCACAGUGGGUCAAUCCAAUACAAAUAUUACUCCUAAUAUUUAUAUCUAUGUAUAGACUUGAUAUCUCAUAUCUAUGACCCAUGAGAUGCGGUCAUCAGUCUACAUACAUAACAGUCUCGACGCUUUAUUAUUAUCCUUUAUACAUAUUAAAGCUUUGACUACGGAUACAUUUAAGAAUAGCGUUCUAUAAUAUAAUGUAAUCUCAUGAUUAAGUCACACUUAAUAUAUUAUUACACGAACUAUCUAUUCUAAGGACUUUAUUAACAUUAUCUAAAUAUAAUAAAGAGUGUCAUAUAUUAUUACAAUAAUAAAAGUCAUGAUACAUAAAAUAGGUUUAACAUAAACUAUUGGCCUCUAGGGCUUACACCAACAAUCUCCCACUAGCACUAGAGCCAAUUAGGCAUAAACCUAAUACCCAUAGAUCUAGUAUGACCAUCAUGCUUCUGCUGGGCAAGAGCUUUAGUAAGUGGAUCAGCGACAUUGUCCAAUGUUGGUAAUUUGCAUAUUUUAACAUCUCCUCUUUCGAUAAUCUCUCGAAUAAGAUGAUAACGCCUUUGUAUGUGUUUGGAUUUCUUGUGAGAUCUAGGUUCUUUGGCUUGUGCGAUUGCACCAUUGUUAUCACAAAGUAAUUCAAUGGGAUCCACAAUACUCGGAACAAUUCCAAGAUCAGAAAUAAAUUUCUUAAUCCAAACAGCUUCUUUUGCGGCAUUGGAUGCAGCAAUAUACUCGGCUUCAGUUGUAGAAUCAGCGACUGUUUCUUGCUUCGAACUUUUCCAGCUCACAGCACCGCCAUUUAAGCAAAACACAUAUCCAGAUUGCGAUCUAAAGUCAUCAUGAUCGGUGUCAUACCCCAAAUUUUGACCUAAGGUCCCACUGACACUCGUCUCCGAACUCGGAUCAGACUCACAUUUCAGUGAAAAAUUCGGCAAGGAGGUAUUUUGAAAUACCUCAUAAAGUUCCGAAUCGGGCCCUCUUCUCUCAGUCUUUAAUUAUUUAUUUCCAUCUUUUAUUCUUUUUUAAAUCGUUUAAUUUUUAUUUUGUUUAGUUAAUUAUUUAAUUUUUGUUUAGAUAAGUCCAAGAAGUCCAAAGUCUGUAUAAUCAUUUUUAUUUUGCAUUCUUUAUUAUUAUUAUUUGUUAAAAUCCAAAAAGUGGUCCUCAUCCAAAGAAAACUGUCACGCGCAUCAUCCCAUCCCAAUCCUCAUCCGCAGCCAAGGAACGACGGAUACACAUUUUCCUCCCAAAGCCACCAUAUUUUCUGCACUCUUCAACAAACCCUAAUCUCCAAAUCCCACACUAUAAAAGCAACUUGCAGAACACAAACCAAGGGGGGGAUACACAAAGAAACAAACAAUUUCACGGCCGAAAUUCCCAAUCAAAACCUGCAUUAAAACAACCGAUAACACGCACAAAAAAACGUCCAAUCCAUCAUCGAUCCCAAGCUGCCAAAAUCGUGACCCUUUUCAAACUAGCACAAUCUCCAGCAAUCCGAAUCCAGCAACCGUCAUCAAACCUACACCACGUACAGCCAUAAACCGGUCGCACGAUCAACUGACGUCGAGCCCAGCACCAGGUAACGAACGAGCUGCAGCGGAUCGCCGGAACCACUGAAUCGGGUUCAUACACCAACAGAAGCAAACGGACGUGUCGGAACCGAGUCGGAACGUACCGAAGCACAAGGUAGCGACCGGAGUUCACACCACCGCAGACAAAACCGUCGCAAAUCAACCGCCGCAAACAAAAGGUAGUCUCUUUUCUAACUUCUUAGAUCUAGUUUCAAUUUAGCUGUUGUGGAAUUUUUGAGGUAAGAUUUGAGAAGAGGGUGAAAUUUAGGUUAGAAAUCCAAAAAAAAAAGACCCUUUUGUCUCCAGCGCGGCGGCGCAGCCGCGUUGGCUCGUCGGCCACCGCGCCGGAACUCCCUCCACCACCCAUUCUCCAACCGGAGAAGAAAGAAGAAACAAGAGAGAGAGAUGAGAGCAUUUUUCUGUGAAGAGAGAGAAAGGGAUGUAGGAAAUGAGUGAAAAAAACCGUUACACCCUUUAUAUAGCCCCCUGAACCGGUUUGGUUCUCCUGAACCGAUUCAGGCUUGAACCAAACCGGUUUAAGCCCACUAAGCGCGCCCCAGCCUGUCCUCUAAGCCCAAUUCUUUUUUAUUGCUUUCUGCACACCCCUGUUUAUUACUGCACCCCCACCUUGUGUUUGGACCAUUUUUUUACCUUUUAUUCUUUUUUCGUAUUUAUUUAUUUAUUUUUAGCAUUUUUAUUUUAUUGCAGACCUUAGAAUGUAAAUAGGUUUUUUAUGUAAUAGUCAUAGAUUUUAUAUUUCUAACUUGGGGUAGCCGCGCUUUUUAUUUUUAUGCUCCGUUAGUUUAAUUUUUAGUCCAAUUAUUCAAAAAAACAACAAAAACAUCAAAUACCAAAAAAUUACAAAAAAUAUUUUUCAUAAACAAACCUUGAUCCUAAAUCAAGUGAUCGUCUCUUUUUAUUUUUAUUUUCUUAAUCAAAUAUCCAAACAAUUUAAUCAUACUUUGAGUCAUCUUUCUUUUAAUAAAAAACACAAAUCAAUUCUUAUUUUGCCACUUGGCUUUUCCUUUUAAAACCUUUUUUCAAAACUAAUAAAAAACACAAAACCAAUCAAACGUUGUUUUCUACCCCGAACUACGAGGUUUUGAUCCUUCACGGGUACGUAGGCAGAGGACACUCGUCCUUUCAAACAAUAAAAAAUGUAGAUAAAUUAGGUCUCAUUUUAUUUUCUUUUUCAUCACAUUAAUUCCUUCUUUUCAAAAUAAGCAAGCAAGUUAUAGCACAUUGAAUUAAAUAAAACCAAGAGGUUCCCGUAGAGUACUACGGACAUAAAGGGUGCUAAUACCUUCCCUUUAUGUAACUAACCCCCGAACCCUAAAUCUUUUCAAAAUGGGGUAGUUUGAACUUUUUUUUUGCCCCCUUUUCUUAAAAAUUAAAUGUUCAGUCGUGAAAUAAAUUAGUGAGUCAAAAGCUAAUCAAAUAGCCUUGAUCUCCGAAAAAUGACGCGACAGAAAUGGCGACUUCACUGGGGACGCCCCCUAAAGAGGGUUGAGCCUAACUUGGCCUUAUUUAAUUCUCUAUGCUAUAACUUGCUUAAAACAAAAAAACAAAAAAACAAAAAGAUGGAAAUAGUUGUACAUAUCUUCUCUUUUCUUUCUCCUCUUUUCUCUUAACAUGAGUGGUGAGAUAAGUCCUACACCCGGGCUUGAGUUAAAUAUAAGAUAGGACGGGGUACAACCAUAGUGCCAUACCAGGAGCGGUCCUGUGCUAUGUGUGCAUGUGGUAUAACCCCACUCAACGGAGGUCUCAAAGUAAUAUGAUGUCACCAUGAGCAGUCGUGAUUGGCGCUAUUAUUUUUGAAUGACCGUCGAAGUUGAGAAACCUUAGUAACCCUUAACCCAUCUUGGCCUUUUUAGGACGUAGUGCGGUGGCUAAACCAAGAGCAGUCUUGACUUUGGUCGACACGCGAUACUACACUCAAACUAGACUUACUUCUGGAUGUUAUUGGACUAGGAGCGGUCCUAUACACCGAUAUGUUCAUAAGGGAAGUUGUAAUUUGGGAAUUUAGUAGAACCCGUGAUGCAGGUACAUUUGAAACCAUAGUCCUUACCAAAUGGCGUCGAUAUCCUUGGCUCCAACAUUGUGGACUUAACCUCACCAUGCAUGAUCAUACAUGCAUUCAUCCAUAAAAAACUUUUUUUUUCAUCAAAAUAUCGAAGGACUUAGAUAAGUUUUCGUAAACAUCAAAGAUAUGGUCCUUGUAAGAAGGAACACCAAGAAAUACAACUUCAAAAAUCUUAACUAAGCUUUAGCUUUUGUUAAGAACCUUUCCUUGGUUUCGUUCUUACUUUUGAAAGGGAACCAAUUGCAACACCUUUACAAUUUUUAAAUAAAACAAUGUUCCUUAUCAAGUCUACAAUUACUUUGACAAGUCCUUCAAAAAAACGUGUGUAUUUUUUGCAUAAGCAUAUCAUACAUCAUUUUGCAUUCAAGUUUGAGUCUUACACUGUGUCUUUUCUGCUAAAGGUCAAUCCGUCUCAAAAGAGUCAUGGCAUCGUCGUCUGGAACCCACUCGCAUUUACAACACUCGAGCAAUCAUGAGGAAAAGAUGGAGUUUCUUGAACAAGAAAAUCAACUGCUUCGUGAGGAAGCGGCAGUCAUGCGAACUAAGAUGGAUGAAAUGACUGAAUUGAUGAAAGCAUUGACGGCUGCACAUAAUCAACCACCACCUCCUCCUCCUAUCAGCACUCAGGCCGAAGCAACUGUCUCUAUUGCCCCUGAAUGGGCGAUACCUGUCAGUAUUCCACCAAAUUCUAUGCCAGAAGGUCGUCCUUGGGGUGUCCCUAUUUGUCUCAGUGAAGUAUUUCGUCCUAUUGCUUGUGAAGCUCAGAUGCCUACUCACCUGCACACGGCUCAAGUACCCCUACCUACCAUGAGGGUCACUCCAGCCACCAUGACCUACUCAGCACCUAUGAUGCAUACAAUUCCGCAAACUGAAGAGCCUAUCUUUCAUUCAAGGAAUGCAGAGGCUUACGAGGGAGUAAGCGAUCUACGAGAAAAGUAUGAUGAACUACGCCGAGACAUGAAAGCUCUCCAUGAAAAAGGGAAAUUUGGGAAGACUGCGUACGAUCUCUGUUUGGUACCAAGUGUGCAGAUACCUCACAAAUUCAAGAUCCCAGAUUUCGAGAAAUACAAAGGGAGUUCUUGUCCUGAAGAGCAUCUAAAAAUGUAUGUGAGAAGGAUGCCUGCGUAUGCCCAAGAUGAUCAGAUUCUUAUCUACUACUUCCAAGAAAGCUUGAUUGGCCCUGCUUCAAAGUGGUACACAAACCUAGACAAAACAAAGGUUCAAACUUUCCGUGACCUUUGUGAAGCUUUUGUGGAACAAUACAGUUAUAAUGUGGAUAUGGCUCCAGACCGAAGCGAUCUUCAGGCAAUGACUCAAGAGAGCAAGGAAACAUUCAAGGAGUAUGCCCAGCGAUGGAGGGAUACCGCUGCUCAAGUCAUCCCGCGUGUAGAAGAGAAAGAGAUGACCAAGCUCUUCUUAAAAACUCUUAAUCAGUUCUACUACGAGAAGAUGGUCGGAAGUACACCCAAGAACUUUGCUGAGAUGGUUGGUAUGGGCGUACAGUUGGAAGAAGGAGUCCGAGAAGGACGAUUGGUCAAUGAAAGUGUCCCCGCAUGCAGUUCAAAAAAGAAAGACCAGGAAGUGAAUAUGGUGAAAGGUCAUCCUCGACGACAGGCUCAUCCGCAAUUCAAUCCACAUCAUCAGGCUCAGAAAACACCGCAGUAUGAUCUGAUUCCUAUGAAAUAUGCGGAGCUGCUUCCUUCUUUGCUUGAAAGAAACCUUGUCCAGACCAGACCACCUCCGCCGAUACCUAAGAAAUUGCCGGCUAGGUGGAGACCUGACCUCUUUUGUGCCUUCCAUCAAGGGGCACAAGGUCAUGACGUUGAGCAUUGUUUCUCCUUGAAGAUUGAAGUCCAGAAACUGAUUGACAAUGAUGUAUUGCCUUUCAAGAAUUUGAAUCCGAGUGUGUAGCCACAAUUGGGUCGAUGUUUAUGUCUUCUUCUGCUACUCAACUUGUUUCUAGUGAUAUGUUUGUUUGUUUACUAUCUUUUCAAAAAAAAAAAAACAUCCCUUCGUCCCGCCCGAGAUGAAAGUGAACUGGUGUAGGGCUUUUUGCUUUAAGAAAUUGUCCUCAUUAAUAAAAAGGUCGUUUUGAUCCCGACUUUGCUUUUAUUUUGUGCUUUUUCUUGGAAAAUGGUAAUACAAAAAACCAAAAAAUCUUUCUUUAAUCAUUCUCAAAUAUCUGCAUAAUCAUAACUUAUACUUACUUGUCAAAAUCAAUAAUCAAAUCAUGCAUUAAUAAACCCGUUGAACACAAUAACCAUGUACCCUCUACCAACUUUGAGUUCCUUGUAUCCGAAGUUGAAAGAGACAUGAAUGAAGAGACUCAUGACAAGAUCUCUCGCAUACUGGGGCAUCAUAAGCCGCCAAAGCUACAAAAAAUCAUGAAGAUAGUUCAGAGGAUGGUAAUCGCUUACAAAGACUAGCUCGAGGUGCUAUCAUUUUCUUCGCUCAGAUAUCCUGCUUCAGUACACAUUUCAACAGGGGCAUCCCCCCUCCUUCCCUCAAGUAUACAACAUGAAGGUGAUGCUUCCGGCACGAUCAAAGUCCCAACAAUAGGAGUCAUGUCAAAGUCCAAGCUUGAACAAACUUAAAAUGCAUGACGACCUUGUACAAUCAUGUCAAAAAAGUUUGAAAACAAACUUCCAACAAGAAGGUUCGUCCCCGUGAAAUUCAAGAAUGAGACUUUGUGCUCAAAAAGAUACUAUAUUUCCAAUCAGACUCCAGGGGCAAGUGGACGCCUAACUAUUAAGGAUCGCGUGCAAUAACUUUUACAACUAUGGAUGAUGACAAACUUGCACUUCCUAUGAAUGUCGGCGCAGUCAAGAAAUACUCUGUCAAACAUAAAAGCUCGAUAAGUCGCAAACCUGAAAAAAGGCGGCUUAGGCAAAAAUGAGCGUCUCGGUGGACUAAAAACCCGAAAGGGCGGUCCAGGCAAAAUUAGAGACAUGAACAAAAAAAUAUUCCUGAUAGAUUGAAAACCCGAAAGGGCGAUCUAUGCAAAAGUUAAGGAUCAAAAAGACAAAGUAACUGCAUCCGGUCAAGCACAAUCCACUUGAGGCAUCCAACUAUCAAAAGACCUCCGACUCGAAGCAUCUGCAGAUCAAAGACUCGGAACAGGGGCACUCAAAGUUGUUAGGGAGAAUAGCGGUUUUUUUUGUGUUCAAUGUACCGUUCCCAUUACAUUUACCAUUUUUCCAAAAUUUUCAAAAAUCCGUGGAGCCAUGCCCUUGGCAGGUCACCACUCAAUUCAUCAAACUUGAGCCUGUGCCCAUUGAUUUGGAACUCUCAUUUAUUCUAUUUGCAUAAUUUCUUCUUAAAGCAAAAAAUUUCAAAAUACAAAACUUUUUUUUUACAUCUCUUGAAAAGUGUGAACAACAAACACAUUCUCUUUGAACUCGUGAGUAGGUGAAGCGUACAUCAACAUUUGCUUCGAGAACGGUUACACUCCGGAAGAGAAACAUGGCUAAGCACUAUGGAAAGGACCUCUACUUUGAGCAAGAUGCAGUCAUAAUCCAAAAUACAAAAAAAGAAAUACAAAAAAUCAAAGCUCGCUAAGUUGAAAACCUGAAAAGGCGGCUUAGGCAAAAAUGAGCGUCCCGGUGGACUGAAAACCCGAAAGGGCGGUCCAGGCAAAAAUUAGGGGCAGAAGAAAAAGAAUAUAUUCCCGGUGGACUGAAAACCCGAAAGGGCGGUCCAGGCAAAAAUUAGGGGCAGAAGAAAAAGAAUAUAUUCCCGGUGGACUGAAAACCCGAAAGGGCGGUCCAGGCAAAAAUUAGGGAUUUUUCAAUAAAACAAAAGGCAUGACUGCUGAAGCAUACCAAUGGAAGGACACUCUGUGCCGGUUUACAAAUGGCGACUUCUUCCAGACUUCUUUCAUCAACAAUGGGCUCACCCCCCAGGAGGCAUCGGUGGCUACCUAGUGCCAGGUUCUUACACCAUCAACGGCUCGAUUUGCUCACAAUAAUAUUAUCUCCAAGGAAGGUUGCCGAGUGUUUGUAAUGCAAUGCUGGUCCGACUCCCAUCUUACCUGUCUUGUCUCGGCUCAUCGAGUCACCUGUCAUAUACAGUUUAUACGGUCAUGCAGUCACACAUUCAUACAUUCACACAUCCAUACAUUCAUACAAUCAUGCAUUCAUCAAUAUUUUUCACAUAUUUCAUACAUUUAUGCAUAAAUAGCAUAUGCAUAACAUUAAUUCGCACAUAAUUGCAUCAAUCAUCCGGAAUCUCGUUUUGGUCGUAUCUCUUCAGUUCGGUCUUAACUUAUCGUUUUGUCAACCCGAAAAGUUUCUAACAAAUGAACGUCUUGUUUUACUUUCUUUGUCAAAAGUGUCAUCCCCGGCAAAAAAGCCGUGCUAGUUAUGUCACUAAUCAAUGUCAAUUUCAAUUUCAAAUUCAAAAGUGUCAUCCCCGGCGAAAAAGCCGUGCUAGUUAUGUCACUAAUCAAUGUCAAUUUCAAUUUCAAAUUCAAAAGUGUCAUCCCCGGCGAAAAAGCCGUGCUAGUUAUGUCACUAAUCAAUGUCUUGUUUCGUCUUACCUUCAUACGACUACCAUACGGGUAGUAGGUAAUCUAUGUCAUUUGUCUUCCUACGACUAUCUUACGGAUAGUAGACAAUGUCUUGUUUCGUCUUACCUUCAUACGACUACCAUACGGGUAGUAGGUAAUCUAUAACAUUUGUCUUCCUACGACUAUUUUACGGAUAGUAGACAAUGUCUUGUUUCGUCUUACCUUCAUACGACUAUCUUACGGGUGGUAGGUAAUCUCAUUUAUUUGUCUUUAUACGGCUAUCUUACAUAUAGUGGACAAUGUUUCCUGUGUCUUACCUUCAUACAACUAUCAUACGGGUAGUAAGGUAAUACAACUCUUGUCUUCUUACAUCUACCAUACAGAUAAUAGACAACUUUUUUCCCCCAGUAAAACUACAAUAUUCCCCAGUAAAGUCGGAUCCCUUUCUUCGAAGAACUUGGGUAUCCCAGCGUCUUUUCAUUCCAGUCAAGCCGUCAUUGUCAUCAUGCAUUCAUAAUUAAAUCAUGAGCAUUCAUAAACAUCUUAGGUCAAAAUUGGUGUACUUUUGUAUUUAAGUCUCUUCGGCCCAUCGAAUCUCUGGACGAAGAAACUUAAAUAGGGGCAUCUGUCAUACCCCAAAUUUUGACCUAAGGUCCCACUGACACUCGUCUCCAAACUCGGAUCAGACUCACAUUUCAGUGAAAAAUUCGGCAAGGAGGUAUUUUGAAAUACCUCAUAAAGUUCCGAAUCGGGCCCUCUUCUCUCAGUCUUUAAUUAUUUAUUUCCAUCUUUUAUUCUUUUUUAAAUCGUUUAAUUUUUAUUUUGUUUAGUUAAUUAUUUAAUUUUUGUUUAGAUAAGUCCAAGAAGUCCAAAGUCUGUAUAAUCAUUUUUAUUUUGCAUUCUUUAUUAUUAUUAUUUGUUAAAAUCCAAAAAGUGGUCCUCAUCCAAACAAAACUGUCACGCGCAUCAUCCCAUCCCAAUCCUCAUCCGCAGCCAAGGAACGACGGAUACACAUUUUCCUCCCAAAGCCACCAUAUUUUCUGCACUCUUCAACAAACCCUAAUCUCCAAAUCCCACACUAUAAAAGCAACUUGCAGAACACAAACCAAGGGGGGGAUACACAAAGAAACAAACAAUUUCACGGCCGAAAUUCCCAAUCAAAACCUGCAUCAAAACAACCGAUAACACGCACAAAAAAACGUCCAAUCCAUCAUCGAUCCAAACCCCAAGCUGCCAAAAUCGUGACCCUUUUCAAACUAGCACAAUCUCCAGCAAUCCGAAUCCAGCAACCGUCAUCAAACCUACACCACGUACAGCCAUAAACCGGUCGCACGAUCAACUGACGUCGAGCCCAGCACCAGGUAACGAACGAGCUGCAGCGGAUCGCCGGAACCACUGAAUCGGGUUCAUACACCAACAGAAGCAAACGGACGUGUCGGAACCGAGUCGGAACGUACCGAAGCACAAGGUAGCGACCGGAGUUCACACCACCGCAGACAAAACCGUCGCAAAUCAACCGCCGCAAACAAAAGGUAGUCUCUUUUCUAACUUCUUAGAUCUAGUUUCAAUUUAGCUGUUGUGGAAUUUUUGAGGUAAGAUUUGAGAAGAGGGUGAAAUUUAGGUUAGAAAUCCAAAAAAAAAAGACCCUUUUGUCUCCAGCGCGGCGGCGCAGCCGCGUUGGCUCGUCGGCCACCGCGCCGGAACUCCCUCCACCACCCAUUCUCCAACCGGAGAAGAAAGAAGAAACAAGAGAGAGAGAUGAGAGCAUUUUUCUGUGAAGAGAGAGAAAGGGAUGUAGGAAAUGAGUGAAAAAAACCGUUACACCCUUUAUAUAGCCCCCUGAACCGGUUUGGUUCUCCUGAACCGAUUCAGGCUUGAACCAAACCGGUUUAAGCCCACUAAGCGCGCCCCAGCCUGUCCUCUAAGCCCAAUUCUUUUUUAUUGCUUUCUGCACACCCCUGUUUAUUACUGCACCCCCACCUUGUGUUUGGACCAUUUUUUUACCUUUUAUUCUUUUUUCGUAUUUAUUUAUUUAUUUUUAGCAUUUUUAUUUUAUUGCAGACCUUAGAAUGUAAAUAGGUUUUUUAUGUAAUAGUCAUAGAUUUUAUAUUUCUAACUUGGGGUAGCCGCGCUUUUUAUUUUUAUGCUCCGUUAGUUUAAUUUUUAGUCCAAUUAUUCAAAAAAACAACAAAAACAUCAAAUACCAAAAAAUUACAAAAAAUAUUUUUCAUAAACAAACCUUGAUCCUAAAUCAAGUGAUCGUCUCUUUUUAUUUUUAUUUUCUUAAUCAAAUAUCCAAACAAUUUAAUCAUACUUUGAGUCAUCUUUCUUUUAAUAAAAAACACAAAUCAAUUCUUAUUUUGCCACUUGGCUUUUCCUUUUAAAACCUUUUUUCAAAACUAAUAAAAAACACAAAACCAAUCAAACGUUGUUUUCUACCCCGAACUACGAGGUUUUGAUCCUUCACGGGUACGUAGGCAGAGGACACUCGUCCUUUCAAACAAUAAAAAAUGUAGAUAAAUUAGGUCUCAUUUUAUUUUCUUUUUCAUCACAUUAAUUCCUUCUUUUCAAAAUAAGCAAGCAAGUUAUAGCACAUUGAAUUAAAUAAAACCAAGAGGUUCCCGUAGAGUACUACGGACAUAAAGGGUGCUAAUACCUUCCCUUUAUGUAACUAACCCCCGAACCCUAAAUCUUUUCAAAAUGGGGUAGUUUGAACUUUUUUUUUGCCCCCUUUUCUUAAAAAUUAAAUGUUCAGUCGUGAAAUAAAUUAGUGAGUCAAAAGCUAAUCAAAUAGCCUUGAUCUCCGAAAAAUGACGCGACAAUCGGUCUGAAAACUAGCAUCAAUGUAACCAAUUACAGAGAGCUCUUCUUAACCUCCAUAGAUCAAGAAGGUAUCCUUAGUUCUUCUCAAGUACUUAAGGAUAUUCUUGACAGCGAUCCAAUAUUCGUUGCCAGGAUUAGACUGGUAUCUGCUCGUAGCACUUAAAGCAUACGAGACAUCUGGUCGAGUACAUAUCAUAGCAUACAUGAUAGAACCAAUUGCUGAAGCAUAUGGAAUAUCACGCAUUCGAUCCCUUUCGUCAUCAGUCGAAGGGGAUUGAGUCUUUGAUAGAUUUAAUCCUGACGACAUAGGAAUGAAUCCUUUCUUGGAUUCAUGCAUAUUAAAACGUCUCAGGACUUUGUCUAUAUAUCUACCCUGACUUAAGCCAAGCAAUCUUUGUGAUCUAUCUCUAUAGAUCCUGAUUCCUAAUAUAUAGGAGGCUUCACCUAAGUCUUUCAUAGAAAAGCAUUUCCGUAACCAAGUUUUGAUUUCUUGUAAUGUAGGGAUGUCAUUUCCGAUUAAUAAUAUGUCAUCCACAUAUAAAAUCAGAAAUGAAACUAUGCUCCCACUAACCUUCUUGUAAACACAAGGCUCAUCUUCAUUUUUAAUGAAUCCAUACUGUUGUACAGUUUCAUCAAAGCGAAGAUUCCAACUUCUGGAAGCUUGCUUCAAUCCAUAGAUUGAUCGCUGCAAUUUGCAUACCUUUUUGGUUGCUUUAGGAUCGCCAAAACCUUCAGGUUGUGUCAUGUACACAUCCUCAAGAAGAUUUCCAUUAAGGAAAGCAGUUUUGACAUCCAUUUGCCAGAUUUCAUAAUCGUGGUAUGCAGCGAUGGCAAGUAAGAUCCGAAUGGAUUUAAUCAUUGCAACUGGUGAAAACGUUUCAUCAUAGUCUACACCAUGAAUUUGUUUGAAGCCUUUAGCAACCAGUCGCGCUUUGUAGGUACUAACCUUUCCAUCCAUGUCAAUUUUCUUUUUGAAAACCCACUUGCAUCCUAUAGGAUUAAUUCCUUCAGGUGCAUCAAUCAAGUUCCAAACUUGAUUUGUGUACAUGGAAUCCAUUUCAGAUUUCAUGGCUUCAAGCCACUUCUCAAAUUCGGGGCCAGUUAUGGCCUCCGUGUAAGUCACAGGCUCAUCUUGGUCCAUGAGCAAUACAUCACCCUCUUGUGAUAUGAGAUACCCAUAUCUUUCGGGUUCUUGACGUAUCCUGCUAGACCUACGUGGUUCUUGUGUUACUGGGGCAGGAUUUUCUGUCAUAACAGUUUGGGUAUCCUGUCCUUGUUCCUCUACCGGUAUUUCAGUACUCUGUGGGUCUUGAAUUUCUUUAAGAUCUACUUUGCUCCCACUGAUUCUCCUAGAGACAAAAUCCUUCUCAAGGAAGACUCCAGUUUUGGCAACAACAAUUGUGCCUUCAGGUGGUUUGUAAAAGUAGUAUCCUCUAGUUUCUUUAGGAUAUCCCACAAAGAAACAUUUUUCAGAUUUUUGUUCAAGCUUAGUAGACAUAAGUCGUUUUAUAUAAGCUUCACAACCCCAAAUCUUAAAAUGUCCCACAUUGGGUUUUCGACCAUUCCAUAUCUCAUAUGGUGUCUUUUCUACCGCUUUAGAUGGAACUCGGUUAAGUGUGUAAGCUGCAGUUAAUAAGGCGUACCCCCAUAAGAAGUUUGGAAGUUCAGCAUGACUCAUCAUAGAUCGGACCAUGUCUAACAAGGUUCGAUUUCUCCUUUCAGAUACACCGUUCCAUUGCGGUGUUCCAGGAGGUGUGAGUUGGGACAGUAUUCCACAUUCUUUAAGAUGAUUGUCAAACUCUAAGCUCAAAUAUUCUCCACCUCGAUCAGAUCGAAGCAUUUUGAUUUUCUUGCCUAGUUGGUUUUCUACUUCAUUUUGAAAUUCUUUGAAGAAAGUAAAUGAUUCAGAUUUAUGUUUCAUUAGAUACACAUAUCCAAAUCUACUAAAGUCAUCGGUGAGUGUAAUGAAGUAGUGAAAGCCUCCUCUAGCAGUUAUGUUUAGGGGUCCACACACAUCAGUAUGUAUGAGACCUAAAAGAUCACUAGCCCUUUCACCUUGACCGGUAAAUGGAGCUUUUGUCAUUUUUCCCAAUAAACAAGAUCGACAUGUUUCAUAUGAUUCAAAAUCAAAAGAAUCCAAAAAUCCAUCUUUAUGGAGUUUGGAAAUGCGAUUCUCAUUUAUAUGUCCUAAACGACAAUGCCAAAGGUAAGUUGGAUUCAACUCAUUAGGUUUCAACCUUUUCGCAUUAAUGUUAUAGAUAGGCAUAUCGAGAUCUAAGACAUAAAGUCCAUUACUCAAAUUUGCGUUAGCAUAAAGAAUAUUAUCCAAAUAAACGGAACAACAUUUGUUCUUUAUUGUAAAUUCAAAACCAGCCUUGUCCAAACAAGAAAUUGAAAUAAUAUUCCUGCUAAUGGCAGGUACAUAAUAGCAGUUUUCUAAAUUAAGUAAAAGACCACUAGGUAAGGUCAAUACAUAAGUUCCAACAGCUAAAGCAGCAACCUUUGCUCCAUUGCCAACUCUAAGAUCGACCUCGCCUUUUGCCAAUGCUCUACUCUUUCUCAGACCCUGCACAUCAGUACAAAUAUGAGAACCACAUCCAGUAUCUAAUACCCAUGAUGUAGAAGUAGACAUAUUAAUUUCUAUAACAAAAAUACCUGCAGAAGUAGUAGGAACAUUUCCAUUCUUCUUAUCUUCCAGAUACUUUGGAUAGUUUCACUUCCAAUGCCCAGCGUUGUUGCAAUAGAAGCACUUAUCAUCCUUAGCCACGCCUCCAGUAGGCUUCAAAGCUUUGGUUGAUGGCUUGGCAACAAUUUUGCCUUUGCCAUUUCCCUUAGACUUAUUAGGCUUCUUAUGGUGCUUUUUGAACUUGCCAUUAUUAACCAUUAAAAUGGCAGCAACCUUUCCUUUUCCCUUCAUGUUUUUCUCAGCAGUUCUCAACAUAGCUGCAAGCUGUGGAAGUGUCUUGUCCAUAUCAUUCAUUAGAAAGUUAUGGACAAAACCGUUCAGGCUUUCAGGCAACGAUUGCAGCACAAGAUCAACGACUAGCUCUUGUUCAAGGACAAAUCCCAAACGAGCUAGAUUUUCAGAGUACCCAAUCAUUUUGAGCACAUGAGGUCCUACAGGACCUCCCUCUGACAGCUUGGUGGAAAACAGGGCUUUAGAGACAUCAAACCUCUCAUGCCUGGCUUGCUCUUCAUAAAGAGUCUUUAGAUGUUCGAUCAUAUCGAACGCUGUCAUCCCUUCAUGCUGUUUUUGCAGCUCGGGAGUCAUUGAAGCCAGCAUGAUGCAUGAAACUUCUACGGAAUCAUUGAGAUGCUUGGCAUGAGCAUUUCUUAGAGCCGCAGAAGCUCCAGCAGGAGGUGUCUCAGGAAUGGGUCCAUCCAGCACAUACAGCUUUUUUUCGUGGGUGAGGACAAUCCUCAUGUUACGGGACCAGUCUAUAAAAUUUGUUUCAGUCAAUUUUUCCUUUUCGAUGAGGGAUCGCAAAAUCUUUGUGGAAGCGUUAUUGGCCAUCUACAAUUUAAAAUGUGCAAAAUAAGUAUCAUGAAAAAUAUUUAAUUUGGUCUUUAAUUAAAUACGCUCCCACUAUUUUACUCAAAUCAAAUGACCUUCAAACAUUUGACUCGGAAAAUCCCGUUGGAAGAUUUUCUAGUGGAUUGAAAUCCUUAUUUCACCUUGUUUUAAGCCAACGGGGGCUGUACUUAAAACUUAGCUAUUUAGGUAGGAACAUUUCCAGUUGUAUCUUAUACAACUUUCAAAUCAAUUGGCGGAAUAACUCUUUAUUCAAUUUCUAUCAUAUAGAAGUCGUCCAAUUAUAGCUUCUAAAUUUAUUCUAAUCUUAUUAAAAUUAAUUUAGUUAAGUUUGACCCAAAAGAAUAACACUUGGAUAAAUUGGAUUACCGCACCGCAACUUACUAGUAUAGAAUAUGCGCUUUACGGAGGCAAAACUCACAUAUUCGAUAUUAGUCUUGAAGGGUGUUAAACUUUUGGAAAGCUUUAAACUUAAUAUUUAAAUUGAAGGAUUUUUAUUAAAUUUGAUCUCACCUCACCACGGCUUAUAUAUCAUAUAUAUAUUCGCACUCCAAUCAAAACAUGCAUAACAUUUAUACAUAUUAAAAGUGACAUGAUUAUGGCCAUCCUAACGCUAUGACUCUCUCAAGCCAAUGAGAGAAUCUGAACUAAUCCUAGAAACGACCUUGCUUCUCCAAGCUUGACGUCCAGGACCAUCCUUACGUCUUGAGUUCUAUUACCUCCUUUGUAUUCUAUUUACAUUACAUAUGAUGAAAACUCGUUUUACAUACGAGGGAGUGGAUGAGAAGAGAAUGUACAAUAGAGAUAUAAGAGAAAGGCACGGCACGCAGGCCGUAUUUUAAUAUCCAAAAGAAAUAAAAUAAAAGGACUAUGGCCAUAAUCAUUCACAUGAUAAUAAUAACAAACACACUUUUAUUAUUAUUAAUUAUUCCUUAUAAUUAAAUAAAUUAAAUUAAAAUUCGACAUAUGAUCACCUACGCAGAUUAUUCCUUAUUGAACGAUUCACUUUGAAUUAACACCGUAUUUCGCAUCAACACUUGACACGUUUCUGAUUACCCUAAUCAUUUCGGCAAACCCUAAUUCUGUUACAACAAUCUGAUCUUUAUUAAACAAGUACUCUGAUUUCAUUCACGUAUCAUGACCGAGUCUAGGAUGCUUCACCAGAGUUCACAGAAUCGGUUACGAAGCUCCAUACAUCAGAUCAAUCAACAUGAAAAUAUCAUCUGACUUAUUUAAACUAUGAUCAGAUCCAGUAUAUCAUAUAUACCGUUGUUAUACAAAAUUUACCAAUCAUGCUUCUGUCAAUAUGUAUGAUCGAAAGGUUUGAUGUUUCACCAGAAACGGUUUCUGAAACAUCAAAACGGUUCGAAAAGCCAUGCACAUUCACGUGAUUGAUAUUAUUAUUUACUGCGUUUUAUGAUCGAUCAAUCAUGUUUCUGUCGAUAUGUAUAAUCGAAACGUCGAUGUUUCAACAGAAACGGUUUCUGAAACAUUGAAUCAAGUCGAAAACACAUGCACAGAAAACAUAAUAUGAUGCGAUGCCAAUUUUAAUCUUUCUUUAUUAUUUAAGUUCGUUCAAUAUGUUUAAUCAAAUUAAAACAUAAAGCAGUAACAAAACAAUCCGAUUCAAGGUUUCGUAAUUGGCUCUGAUACCACUGAAGGUAAAUCGACAUAUACAGAAUAAGCAGCGGAUUAAAAUUUCGAUUUACUUUCCUUGGAUCAUUACGAAUUGGAACUUGAACAAGUGAUUCGAUUGUUACCUUAGAACGAUUGGUCUGAAAACGAUCGGUGGAAUCUGCGCACCGGAAUCACGAUCACAGCCAAGCAAAUAGCAGAGCCUCUAUCAAGUCCACAGGAACAGUGCUCCUCCAAAAGCUCGGUGCUAGCCAAGAAGACGGAAGUCAGAGAACUAGGGUUUCUGCAAAAGAACGUAACCGCAAACUAUUGCACUAGGGUUCUAUUUAUAGAACUCUUUAUGUGCUUUGCAAGUCAAACUCGUUUUUGACUUCACUAAGCCCAAUACGAGUUUAGUAAACUUUGCUAAAUAAUUAGCAUUAUUUACUAAGCGCACCCUUUAUAUAAGUCGUACUUAUACAUAUCUCUUUUGACUGUUCUUUUUGUGUGACCCUUUAGGUUCUAGUCACGUUGGCAAUAAUAUUAAAUCUAAUAUUUAAUAUUAUAAACAAUUAGCGGUAUCUAGCAACACAUCAUUGCUACCCAAGUGACAAGAAUGUCAAGUGAUCUGACGAAACCUUUCAUGAUAAUACAUAUGUGUAUAAUUACUCCUUUGUCUCAAUAUCUUCAUUGAUCCCAAGGCAUAGAUAGUGUCACCUUUAUAUAGAUCAAUGUUCAUUUAUCUUGAUUCCGAAAUAUACUAUUUAACGAAUAAGUCCAAUAUCUUAUAUUGACUUAGUUCGGCAUGGCCAUUCAUAUUUAUAGUCAUAUUUCAUCAAGAGGUCUAAAGAUAUAUCUCCUGUUUAUGAGGAGGGACAAAUCCCAUCUAGGACACUCAUGCCCCUCAGCAUGAUUCAUCAAGUACCCUGUAACGCACCGUUUCACUAAUGUAAAAAAAAAAAUAAUAAUAAUAGUAAUUAAAUGAAAUAGAUGUACACAAAACAUGGAAGCUACUAGAUUUUUCCCACACACCCUUUUCUCAUUCUCUUUCCCGUAUUCCUCUUUCCUCUUUGUUCUUUCAUGUCACCGCUUCUUCCUCUUCCAAAUUUUCUACUUUUUCCUUCAAAUCAUCAAUUUUCUUCCUCAAAUCGAACACCCAAAAUAAAUAUUAUGCAUCUAAGCAAGCUAUUUCAUAGUACAAGCUCUAUUUGGUAGAAUUUUGGGAUUUGAGUUUGUGCCUUGGGAAAGAAGAGGAAUACCCAUAUAGUGAAAGUUGUUCAUUGAGACUUCUUGGAGGUAUAUUUAUCAACUUACAACUCAAUUAGUGCAUAUUUAGACAUGAUUAGUUGUUAGAAAUUAAUUUUUUGAGAUUAGAGUAGAUUGUUUGGGGAAUUUGUGGUUAACUAUAGUUAGAGAAGUAGUAGAAUGAGUUUCUAAUUCAUGAGAGAAUAUUAUUGAUGUUCAGAUAUGACGCCAGACGCUUCACAUGCUUCUUCAGGAGUGGUUAGAGCGCAAACAUAGUUGAUUUGUCGUAACUGUGAGUUGAUGACGAUCAUUAUCACUUAUUUUAAUUAUCGCUAUUAUUGAUAUUUUGGUAAUUUUAUAAGUUAAAGUAUUUCUCAAAACGGGAAGCACACCUUUUAAACAUUUUUUUUUUAUCGUUGAAAUUGAUGUUUAAGGUCAUGAAUAUUAUUAUGGUCUCUGUUUUGAACUUGUCUAUGAUUUAUUGAGCAAAUGUUUUGCAAUCGAGAUUUAGUUACAUCUACUAUGAUGUGAGUUUUGAGAUAUGGAGAAAUACGGUUUUGAGAAAUAUGUUAUUGGUUUGAAAAUUAUUUUGGUACUAUUAUACACUCUGGAUUUGAGUUUUUGAUUGACCUAUGUCUUAUGAUUUAUGAAGUGGUGGAUUUAAGAAUUGAAAUUUAUUUCAGGUAUCUUGGCACUAGUUUUCAAUGUUGUAAAGCAUGGUUUAAAGUAUGCGCGUUUGAAAGGAAUUGAAAUUAAUAUGUACGCGAUUUGGAUUUGGAUUUGGAUUUACUUAUGAUGAUAAGUAGUAGAUUUUCGAUUGAGUUUGAUGAACGUAUAUUGACAUGAGUUUCGUUAUGUUCCGAAAUAUGGUUUUAGACAUGUGUUUUAAGAAUGGUGUUUUGAAAAUUACGGUUAUAAUGACGACGACCUAGAUGCACCUAGUAUGUGAUUUCAAUUAGGUAGAAUUACCCCGUUAGAUGGAGCCGCCCCUAUGGAAAGGCCGCCAUUAGGAGGAGAGGGCUAUCAAUGAGAGGUAAACUCCCUAAUUGAAAAUGUUUUACACUUUGUUUUGAGUCGAGAGAAAAGAGCUAUCCGUUAGAUGGAGCCGCCCCAUGGAAAGGCCACCAUUAGGAGGAGAGGGCUAUCAACGAGAUGAAGCUAGUUCUCGAUUCACCCCAUUUGAUUAUUUUCACCAAAGUUUGAUUUCUAUACUUUAUUUAAAGUUGAUUAUUUUGGUAUUAUGAAAUUGAAUAUGAUUUUAUAUUUUCUUUGAAGUGAUUAUUUUGAUUCCAUUUCAUUAAGCCCGAUUUUUAUAUUCUAUUUGGAUUUGAUUAUCUCGAUUCCUUUUCAUUAUAAUCGAUUUAUAUAUUUUCUUUAAAGUUGUGGAUUUGGUUUCACCUCUUGACGACAUUGAAAUUUUGAUAUAGUCUUAUUUGGUUUGAUAAAAUUAGAAAGUUUUAUGAAUUUUCAUGGUACACUUGAUUGUGAAUUUAUUAUAUUUUUAUACAGUUACUAGCCUUGUAAGUUAAAAAUUAGAUUUGAGAAAAGAAAAAAAAAAAAAAAUUCGUGCCCUUGUGUGUUUCCCUUCUAGUUGGUGGUGGUUGUUGUCUCCUCACUAAGUCUUUGUGACUUACCCCUUCUUCUUACAUUUUUUCAGAUUCAAAGUCAAGUGCGUAGAAAGCUUGUAGCAGAGUUAAAGAUAUAUCAAUGUCAUUCUUUUGGUAGGUUUCCUAUGUGUAUGAACUGAAUGGUCGAUGUAUCUGCAACUAUUGAUAGUCUAGAAAUGUUUUGUUUUAAAUUGUAUAAACAUCUAGUUAUGUCACUUUGAGAUUCUGCUGAUAAUACAAGUAUAUAGAAAGAAUUCAUAUCUUGGAUAGUAUUAAAAAUUCAAAGGACACUUUGUCGAAAUUUCAUUGGAUAUCAUUUUAAGUGAAAGUCAAUUUGAAAAUUAUUUAAAUUAUAGUUUGUCAAGUGUUGUCAUUAGGCUUGCCGGACUAGGAUGUUCUAGUUCGUGCGUCGGUCACGAUUGUGAAUUUUUGGGUCGUGACAUACCCAUCAACCAACGUUAUUUUUAUCCUUUUACAGACAACGUUAGAAUGGCAACAAAGCACUUGAAUCCACAUCUAGAGAUCAUAGUGGUUUCAGGUCUAAGAGCGAUAUACAUUAUUAUCAUUGUGAGAAUAUCUUAUGACAUUUUCAUAACUUACUAUGUAGUAUUCUCACAGUGGGUCAAUCCAAUACAAAUAUUACUCCUAAUAUUUAUAUCUAUGUAUAGACUUGAUAUCUCAUAUCUAUGACCCAUGAGAUGCGGUCAUCAGUCUACAUACAUAACAGUCUCGACGCUUUAUUAUUAUCCUUUAUUCAUAUUAAAGCUUUGACUACGGAUACAUUUAAGAAUAGCGUUCUAUAAUAUAAUGUAAUUUCAUGAUUAAGUCACACUUAAUAUAUUAUUACACGAACUAUCUAUUCUAAGGACUUUAUUAACAUUAUCUAAAUAUAAUAAAGAGUGUCAUAUAUUAUUACAAUAAUAAAAGUCAUGAUACAUAAGAUAGGUUUAACAUAAACUAUUGGCCUUUAGGGCUUACACCAACAAUUCAUCCACUUUUCUCUCUCCAUAUGAAUUGGUGAAUAUGGCAUUCUCCUCCAUGUUUUUUUUUCUCCUUGUACAGUUGAUUCCCAUUUGUGCAUUUGAAGAAUAAUAGUAGGAGUGCUUCCUCAAGUUUAGGCACGAGUUUCCCACACUGCAAAGUGCUUUGUCAAAAAGAGUAUAUUUAUACCCAUUGACAAACAAAGAAGAAGAAUAAUUGCUCUAGAAGGGAUCUUUUUACGAAACCAGAAAGAAAUUGUGUGUCCCUUGCUUUUGUGCCCUAGUUUGCAUUGAAAUCCAGAAAGCUUUUCUGGAUUCAGUGUAAUAGCUCGAUUUUCCUCAAAACACUUGCAUUCAUCCAAUCUAAGGAUCUUAAGGAGGUUAAUUUUUAAAUUGGCACUUGAUAUUGUUAAAUGACUAAGUUCACUAAGAUUUUGAAAGGAAGAUUGAAAUUUUUCUAUGGAAGUUUCCUUCAACAAGAUAGAUUUUAUAUUUGUCAUCUUGCAUAAUAAUUCUGGAAAACUCUUGAGACUCUUACAAUUAGAGAGUUCCAGAUUCUGAAGAGAGGGAGACUGUAAGGGUGGAAAACUCUCGAGCUUCUCGCAACCCUCUGCAUUUAAGAUUUCUAAUCUAUUUAGGUAUCUAAGUGAAUUGUGAAUUGUAACUAAAUUAUGACAUCUUACAAACGAGAACUUUUCUAAAUUUGGAAGCCCUGAGACAUCCGGUAUAUGGGUUAAAUAUUCACAAUUGUUCAAUAUCAAGACUUUCAUAUCUUCAAACUUCUGCAUAAACACGAAGAAGAAACAAAGAAAUACUCAAUAAAAAUCAAACACUAUACUCUCAGUGAAUUUUUAAAUAUACACAACUAGAAAAUGAAAACAUAUAUGUACAAAAAAAAAAGAAAUUAUUUAACCUGCCUUGUUCGAACUACUAGAUGAUGGAGACUUCGGAAUACAUCCUUUCAUUACCCUCAAACUACUUGGAAGAUACUCGAGACUUUUAGAAUGAUGGCCAUUUUCAGUAAUAAAUGUUUUGAGGUUUGUCAUCUUCUCGAAGGCAUUUCCAUUCCAAUCAAUAUCAGAUUCCAUGGAGGGGAAUUUCAUAUUUAUCAUUUUGAUUUUCCUUGUUCCCUUUUAACAACAAAAAAAAAAAAACACAUGAAUCAACCACAAUAUAUACAAAUAAGAUGUACAUAAAUUUAUGUGUAAUUAAGUGAAAAGAAUUAGUCGUAUCGAUCAGAUGCUUGUAUACAAAUUCAAAAAGAGCAAUGUCAUGUUAAAAGCUAAAUUUAACAAAUUGUUCCUAGAUAUCAAUCUUACUCACAGUGUUUUUUUUUAAAACAUGAACUAUAUCACGCUCAAACCACAACCUACUGCGUUCUCCAGGCUCAUCGGGUGAUUCUUGUCGGACGACUUCUUUACCCAUGUCCUCUAUCAAGUCAUGUAAUGUCACAUAACUAUCAUAUUUCAAAUGGUCCAUGAGAGAUUUUUCAGCCAAAACUGCAACAUGAUGUACUAUGCAAUGACCAUAAUGAGCAUGAAGUAUUUCUUUGACCUCUGGCCAUUUACACCCUUUGAAGCAACAAGCAAUGUCUAGAAAGACACUUUGCUCUUCUUUCUCCAAAGAAUCAUAGCUCACUUUAAGUAUUCUUUGGAUCUCUUUAUUGGGAAUUUCUUCAUACCCAUCUAAUGUACUCAUUGAAUCUUGUACGCUCCUUCCAACCAAAUUGGACCCUAUUAUUACAAUAGCUAAUGGAAGGCCAGAAGCAUAAGUAAGUGCACGGUUUAAAAUGUCUUCAUGACUUGAAGGAACAUUUUCUUUGAAAGCCAUCCACCUCAACAAUUCGAGAGCUUCUGUCGCAUUCAACCCUUCUACUGCAUGUGUACUUUCUAUCCCAUGAAUCUUUAGUAAGUGUUUGUUUCGAGUAGUAAUGAUGACUCUACUCCCAGGACCGAACCAAUCAAGUCCUCCAGCCAAGGCCUCUAGCUGAUCCAGUUUGUCAACAUCAUCAAGAAUCAAAAGAAUCUUCUUUCUACAUAGCCUUUGCUUAAUGAUUGGAAUUCCCUGACUAACACCUCCUAACUUAAUGUCCAAUCUAACUGUUUUUAAAAGGAGUUUCUCUUGGAGAUGUUUCAAGUUAUCUGAAGUCGAAUUCACUCUCACAUUUUCUAGAAAACAUAAAACUUCAAAUUGAUCAGCAAUGAAAUUAUAAAUUGCUUUUGCAAGUGUUGAUUUACCUAUGCCUCCAGUACCAUAAAGUCCUACCAUGUGGACCUCAUCAUCAGAUUUUUCAUCAAGAUGCCCUUUCACAUGUUGUACUCGGGACUGUAAUCCAACAGGAUAUUUGGCAACAUCUAAGGGCUCACGACUAAUCCUGUUGGAAAUGUCUUCGACUAUCUUUCCAAUAAACUCGUAUUCAUAUCUAUUCAUGUCCAAUAAGAUAAGUUAGUAUAAAAGGGAAUUAAAAACGUAAAUAAAAAUGGUAUUUCUAAUUUGGGAAUUGAAAUUAAAGAAAGAAAAUAUAAAAGGGAAAAAUAGGAUUUAAGUAAAGUGGGCUACCCAUGUUUAUAAUGCUGGCCAGACAAGUUAGCCGCUUGGCUCAGAGCUUCUUUCCAUUGCUGCAACCUCUCAGUGUUAUCCUUAUCAUUUUGAAACUUUUUUUUAUGCACAGCUAAUGCUUCACCAUAUCUACCUGUGUGAUGUCGCACAUCAGUAGGAUCCACACCAAUAAAAACAGGCAAAACAAGACAACCCUUUGUAUCGUAGCAAUGAGUGAUGUGAACAAGUUCGUCCAAACAAAAUGAAGAAGAUGCAUAGUUUUCAGAAAAUACGGGAAUAAAAAUCCUAGAUUUUUCAAUGGCAUUUUUUAGUGAUGGUGUGAUUUCAUCUCCUCUUUGAAGAUCAUUGUCAUCAAUGAAGGUAUAGAUUCCCUUGUCAGUAAGAGCCUUGUAGAGAUUUCCGGUAAAACCGUGGCGAGUGUCCGCGCCCCUAAAACUGAGGAACACUUGGUAAGUGAAUGAGGAAGGUGAUUGCGUAGCCAUGAGAACUGAGAG
rnacentral:lncRNA from 1 species